UGCAAUACACUGUCAGUAAACUCGAACAUCCCUCGCUCAAUAGCUUUGAAAAUUGCUGGAAGUACAUAAUCAUGGCAAUGUGGAUGUUUUAUCACUUCACACAUGUGAUGUAGGAGUUCACGUGAUUGAAUGUGGGCCUGUUUCAUUUCUCGUAUGCGGUUGAUUCCUAGGUUGGCAUUGAAAAAAACAUGUCAUACCACUAAUUCAUGAAAAAAAUUAUUGCUAAAACAAUUAAUGGAGAACAAAGGAAAUAUAGAAAAGGAAAAAAAAAAUUGUAGCAUACCCAAAAGUUCAAGGAGAUUUGAUUUCAAACUUUGCAAGAAACCUACCACUGCAAUGGAAAUCCAAAAUCUAAAUAUAAGACGGUGAAAGCUGUAUGUAUCUCUGUUAAUUAGAUGAUGACAAAAUGUGUAAAAGGGAAGAAGUAUUAGCUCACUUGAUUCCAUAAAACGGGUGCAAGGAAUAUUUAGAUACAUACAUGGUAUAAUGAAUCAACUCCUAAUUUUACACCAUAGCAACGUGCAAAUAGUAAUUUUUGGAUGAACUAGUGAUUCAAAAUGAAAAGGGCAUAUAAACGCCCAAUUAAUUGCAAUAAAAAAAAUUUACACCAUGAAAAAUAUUCAUCGCUCUUCUUUCAUUUGCUCAAAUUUCUCAGCCAAAUUUCUCGUGGAAGGCUAAAGAGCAAAACAGAAAGGCCAAAAGUCACUUUUGGUCCCUAUAAUUUGACACUUCAACCACUUUUGAUCAUGUAGUUUCAACUCUGUCAAUUUUGCCAUUGUAAUUUCGUAUUUGUAGCAAUUCAAGAACAUGUUAGUAUUUGUCAAUUUCUUUCACGAUGCAAGGGGCAAUUUCGUCAACCCAAAACCCUUAAGCAUAAAAGCUUGUCUGAAAUUCUCCCCUUUUAAUAUUAGGGCUUGAAAUUCAACUACUAAUUCCAAUGUUUGAAGAACCCUGAACCCUAAACCCAAAUGACCAAUUUCAAGCCCUAAUAUGAAAUUAGGGGAGUUUCAAACGAGCUUUUAUGCUCAAGGAUUUUGGGUUGACGAAAUUGCCCCUUGCACAGUUAAAGAAAUUGACAGGAAUACUAACUUGUCAUUGAAUUGCUACAAAUAUGAAACUACAGGGUCAAAUUGACGGAAUUGAAACUAUAGGAGCAAAAAUGGUUGAAGUGCCAGACUACAGGGACCAAAAAUGACUUUUAGCCAAACAGAAACCUCUCUUAUUAGAAACCAAAGGCUAAAGAGCAAAACAGAGGGUAUUAUAUAUGUUUGAAGAAAAUAAACCAAAGCCAUGUUAUCUUGUCCAGCAUCAUUGAACUUUCCAACUCUGACAUUAAGGCUUUCCGGGACACAGGAGGUCUAAGAGUAUACCACAUCUGUACAAAACUCCCAACCCAUUUAUACCUACACUGGAAUCACCCUUAUUAACCUCUAUAGCAUUUUCCCCAAUACUGCUCUUAUUAAUGACAUCUCUUAGGGCCUCCCUACCCUUAACCAUACCAAUUUUUAGGCAUGACGUUUACUUCGAUUAAACAUAAAGGAAUCCAUUUACAUUGAAGAGAGCAUGGGCAUCACAAGAACCAUAAUAGCAUGAAACAGAGUAAUUUGAUAAUUUGAAAAUUAUGUUAGUUCUUCAAGCUCUAAUGAAGAUAUUAACAUAAACAUAAUGAAGAUAUAAUUUUACAGAUUUUUUUGAUCAAUGAAUGAGCCACAAGGGGCUUUUUUGGUGGCAUAGUUUCCUACUUCUCCUUCAUUUCUUUCUUGCUUACUCUCUCAUAUGUUUAGAGACUCUAGCAAUUUCCCUUUUUAUAGCAGCUAGCCCAUCAUUUUCCAUUGGUUCUUUUGCUUUGCAUAUGUUGGAAUUGUUGAAAGCUUCCUCAUCUUGUCAUCUAACUAGCCUUUAUCCCUUCAUCGUUAGCUGCACUCCCAUCAUAUCAUACUCAUUCUGUAUUACCAUUUGAUGGGACAUUUGCACCAAACUCCUUAUAAGCUCUUACUAGGUUUCUUGUAACACCCCGACCCCAAAUUUAACCCUUAUUUAAUUAUUUAAUUAUUUAAGGGUAUUUCAGUCAUAUUUUUAACCGGAGAGAGUUUGGGGCAGUGACUAGUAUUUUUGGAUAGGUCGUACUGAGACGAGUUCAUAGACACGUAGUGGGCUCGAAUCGGAGUUGUAACCAGAGAGAUAUGGUCAAAAGAAGCCCAGUGGCACAAUCGUAAAUAUUUCGAAAUGGGAUUUUUUAUAAAAUCUGAUUUUUUUUUCUCUCUCUCUCUCUCUCUCUCCUCGUAACUCCGGCCACCGGCCACGGCUGUGGACGGGGCCGGUACCAAAAUGACCGGGGCGUCGUCCUCUUCCAGCCCCUGCCGUCUCCCGCCUCCAGCCGCCGCGGUUUUGCCGGAAAAUGGAGAAUAAGCGGCCGGCGUCGUCCGAUCUUCGCCGUCGUCGAUCUCCCUCCUCCGGCCACCAAAUCCGACGAGCAAGGUAUGGUUUCUCAUGUAAUUUUCAUGCUCUAGCUGAUGGUUGGGUAGGAUUAGAUCGAUUCUUAGCGUAGCCAAUUCGAUUUUCGAAUUGAAAUUCGGCCGGUUUUGGGAUCGCGAUUCCGACCACUUCCGGUCAGUUUUUGGGGUAGGUCCAAGAACAAAAGUGGCUCCAAAUAGGGUGUUAUACCUAGGGUAGGAGUUUGGAGCCGUGGUUUUGAGAUUUUCCGGCGAAGCGUUAUCGCUUUGGGCACCACGCGCUGUCGGCGCGUGCGGCGGAGCAUGGGCACUGUAGAAAAAGUGGCACUAUGUCUCGAUGAGAUCCUUAGGUUGUCACGAGUACGUAGGAUUUCGCGGAUCUCAAUUCGGACAUCGUUUGACUAUCGAACGGACGAUCGCAUAUUGUGCGUUAUCCGGGUUCGAUAGGUUGGGACCGUUGGAUGGUCCCAAAUUUAAUAUAUGUUAAUCUUGGUAAUUCUAGGAUCGUGUAGGAAUUCUCGGAUUGUGAAUCGGAGUCCCGGAUGUUCCGAAUAAUAAUUUUAAAGUUUAUAUUUUAUAUUAACCGUCAGAUCAUGCGAUCGUGAGCAAUCUGACCGUCCGAUCUGAACCAAACUUGCAGGGCAAGUGUCCUAUACUUGGUAGAACCCAUAGGGACUUUCGGAUCGAAAAUUGGCGGUCGUGAGCUCCGCAGGUCCGUUUGACCCGUGGUUGACCAUGAGUCUCCCGGAGUAAUCCCACAUGCUAGACUACUGUGGAGGGUUACACAAUAUUAGAAUUAUUAUAUAUAUUUAUAAUUAUAAUAUGUUUGUACAAGGGUACAAAAGAGUCUAGAAUGUCAGUUUGGAGUGCUAUACGUACUACCUUAGGUACCUCCCCGGAUUUUGGAUUCACUAAAGUACCACCAAGUGAAAGUUAGGUCCCACGUGGCGUAGGUUAUCCGGCGUGCGGACAGGCCCCAUAUGUGGCGUUGGUUGUACCGGCGUAUGGGGAGAUUUGUAAUAUAAAGUUCAGGUCUCACGUGGCGUAGGUUAUCCGGCGUUGAGACAGGCCCCAUACGUGGCGUUGGUUGUACCGGCGUAUGGGGAGAUAUUGUGAGAUUGUAUUGAGGUCGCACGUGGCGUAGGUUAUCCGGCGUGUCGACAGACCCCGUACGUGGCGUUGGUUGUACCGACGUAUGGGGAGAUUUGUGAUAUGAUGUUGAGGUCCCUCGUGGCGUAGAUUAUCCGGCGUUGGGACAGGCCCCGUACGUGGCGUUGGUUGUACCAGCGUAUGAGGAGAUAUUAUGAUAGUAUGGCAUGGUCGCACAUGGCGUAGGUUAUCCGGCGUGUUGACAGGCCCCAUACGUGGCGUUGGUUGUACCGGCAUAUGGGGAGCUUAUACGAAAUCAAGAGAAAUGCAAUAAGGUAUCGCCGAAGUGUGGCAUUGGGUUUUAUUGGAAGAACUACGUGUGGCUUGAUCCCUCAGUGAGGGUACGUAGGCAGCCUAAGGUUAUUAGGUGCAGCCGCAGACUAAAUGUUAGUCAUAAUUGGUAUUUGAAUUGUUUGGUAGUUGGUUAGGAAUUAUUGGAAGGUCGAAGGCCAUUUGUGUGAAUUGCAUGAAAUUAUAUUGUGCAUGCUGCCAGUUGGGAAUAUUAAAUGCGUUUUUAUGCAGGUUGUAAUUUUGGAAAAUGUCCAAUUUAUAGGGGAAACUCUGCCGAAUUUUCGGCAGGAAGUCUCGGUCUUUAGUAUUUGGGCCUGGCAUCGGGAGGAUGUCGGGAAUUCCAAAGGGUUCGCCUCGAGUUCUGAAAAAAAUUCGGGCGGGUCCUUUCAUUUCUAAGCUUUCUAAUGUAGGACAUUUCCACCUUCACAUUCUCACAUGCUCUGGUAUGUGUGAGGAAUUUUCUAGCUUAACACGUAGACAACACAUAUUGGGUGACGUGGAGGGUGUGUGGUCGUUGGGCUUCACAUAUAGGCAAAUUCGCUCUGAUACAAUAAGGGAAGUCGAGACUCCACCUCAAAACCAAUUGGUAAUGGGGGGAGUAGCCCAACUCUUUACAAGUCCUUACUAGGUUUCUCAACUUUCCAAUAUGAUACAUUUUUACUUUCACAUUCUCACAGGCUAAGGGGUAAUGUUACAAAACAAGAUACAUAAUGGCUGACUAGCAGCCCAUAUACCUCCUGAUCUAGGUUCAGUGCCCAAAUUUGGAUAUGUCAUAGUUGACACCCAUUGGAACAACUUUCAUUAAAGAAAAAUCCUCGUCCAAGUAGUGGAAGUUGAUGAUCUAAGGUCUGGAAGUGGACGUACAUACAUGAGCAAAAACAGAAACUAAGCUCAACAUUAUUUUUAAGCCCAUAUUCAUCAAGUUCAAGAUUAAAUUUAUAAAGCAAAAAUAAAUAAAUAAAAAUCUAUGAUAUAUCAAAAAGUAAACUAAGAAUAUUGAGUGAAUAACAUGAAACAACAUGUAUAAAUAUGAACCUAUACAGAGUUGCGCUCCGUAUCAUUGUGUACGGUACGCCCACUGAUAUGAACGACCAUUUUCUGAAAAUAAAAGAGACCACAUCGGUGGGUGAAAUAUGGAGCUGAAUUGAGUUUUCUGUUUUUCAAAUUUAAUUAACUAAAUUAAAAUAUCCUUGAAAUUUGAGCAAAUGAAAGAAGAGUGGAGAAUAUUUUUGGCGGUGUGAAUUUUUUAUUGCAAUUAAUUGGGUGUUUAUAGGGAAAAUACGAUUACGAUUAGGUUGAACAAAAAAAGGAGUUGCAAUUUUGGAUAAUUGGAAAACUAGCUGUUGAAAUUUUACCUUGAUUUGAAGGGGAAAAAAAAAACAAAAAUUGAAUUAUUCAAAAUCUAGUCGUCUAAAUAUUUUUGGUUUGUCAAAAUUUAGAUGACUGUUGACUUCAAGUGGAGAUGCCUUUUUCAAAUGGGUUAGAGUCCAAUUAGGCACUUUUCUUUGUGAUUUUUGCCAAAAGUUAAAACGUGGAGGUUUUGUUUUAAACGUGGGUUUUCCUUCUUAUGAAGAAAAACUCAUAUAAAACUAGACCUUGUCUUCUUUCUUCGUAGAGCUUUUACAAUCAUAUUUUUAAUCCAUAAACUUUGGAAAGCUGAGUUUUUAUUUGAGAUAAAUUAUCGAGUGUUCCAUGUUUACUUGUUGAUUUAUCAAACACUUUUAUCAUUCAUAUUGCAUUCAUUUGGAUGUUCGGUGACUCAUAUGAUUGAGGGCACCAAGACCGUUGUGGUGGUUUUUCUCCGGUGAGCUUGAAUCAAUCGUGACCAGUAUUGAAUUCCACAUCAUAAGAGUUGGAAGAACUCUGACGAGUUUGAAGCAAUUGUGACCAGUAUUGCGUUCAACAAAAGGAGUGUCGAAAGAUCAUCCCGUGACAGAAGUUGAGUUAUGAAGAAGUCUGUAAACAUUAUCUAGAAUUUGUCUAGGAUCAGUGUGUGGGUAUUUUUUGUAAUCAUUGUUCUAUAGUGGAUAUGUUUUAGACUGAGGAGUCCGUGGAUUUUCCCCAGAGAUGGGGUUUUACCAUAUAAAUUAAUUCUUUGCGUGUUCCUUUAUUUUAUGCUCUGCACGUUUUAGGAUUGAUAAGCUUUAUCAAUCCUGCUAUAGAAGUUUAUUUUCAUUUAUUGAUUAUAAUUUUAAAUUGGCCUAUUCACCCCAUUCUAGGCAUUAUUAGUCAUCCUACAGGUAAUUUCAGACCAUUUUCUGAAAGUAAAAUAGACUACAUCUGUAUAUAGGCUUCUAACAAACUCUGUAUGUGAGCUUUUGAAGACCAAGAUGGUUAAGGGAGCCUCAGUCCACCAACAUGGAUUGAAGAUGAUAGGACUCAUUGAGCAGGUGGAAAGUCUUAACAGUCCACUAGACCGUAACUUGACCACCAACAUCUUUCUUGUGUCCCUUUCUGAUUCCUUCUCCUAGUUUAUUAUGAACUACGACAUAGGGAAGAUGGAGCACACUCUCUCAGAGUUCCUAAACAUGUGUUUGACUACUGAAAAGACCUUCAAGAGAGAAUGAGGGAAUGAGACCAUUGAUGUUUUUUAGAAGGGUUCAACUUCUUCUGCUAAGCCUGGUAAUAAGAGUAAAGGCAAAUUCAAUGCCAACAAGAAGAAGAAAUGGAACCCUCAACUCAAACCCAAGGGAGAUGUCAAGAAGAAACAGAAAGAAGGAAAAGAGGUGAAAAGACAGUGUUUCCAUUGUGGGAAAGACGGACACUGGAAAAGAAUUGCCGGGCUAACUUAGCUAGCCUGAAGGACAACCAAGCUGAAGGUACAGCUUAAUUAGUCACUAAAGUUCUAAGAAAAUGUUUAUACCUUGCUUGAGUCUAGAAAACAAUGAUCUAUUGUAGGUCAUGUUGUUGCACAAACAGAGAACAAGUAUGAAGCUCAUAGAGAUAAAGAUUGUUGGGAUUCAGAAUCGUCAAGCACGCUUUUAUUUGUUUAUGGAGAUCUUUUAAAACUUAUGAACUUAUUUAGUUUAUUUGGUUUUUGGCAUGUAUAAAGAACUUACUUGCUAUCUUCAUGUUUUAAAAGAUAAUUUUAUGGUUUGUAUGACAUAACCACUAGUUUGCUUUAUAUAUGACUAUUCGUAUUAUGGUAAUAUGAAGUUUGAUCUCUAUAUGCUUUGUGAGAUGAAUGUAUGAAACUGUUCUUACAUUAAUUGUUUAGAAUAUUGAGAUAUGAUAAACCUAAUACAAGAAUGAUUUCUAAAAGGUUUAGAUUUCACAAUCAAGAUAAUAUUCAUAAGAUAAGCAAUAUGUGGUUCUUUAAAGGUUCCAAUUCUUACCUAUGAGUUGCAUCUAGAAAUUGAGAAAUCCAAACAAUCUAAGUUAUGAACUAGAAUGGAGAUCAUAUGAGUUGUAUAAGAUAAUGAAUGGAAUGGUAUCCAUUGUCUUUCUAUAGCGUUCACCAUUGAUCGCUCACGGUUGGACUUUACUAAGUCUAAAAUCCAAGAGAUUUAGGAUUUCAAGAAAGCAAAGAAAAAGAGAAAUCAUUUAGAGGGCAUCGACACUCUUUUAAUUGUUAUGAAGGGUUAAUGCUUAAACAAGAUACAUCUUAAGAGAUAAAGAGUUAUCUUUACAAGAUAUCUCAAUAGAUGAUCUUUAUCACAAAGGAUAAUAAAGUAUAAAUCUUUUAUGAUAAGUCAUCAAAACCCCUCCUUAAGUCGUAACCCCUAGGAUAACAAAAUAUUUGAUAAGUCCAAUGGAACGGUAAUGAGAUUGAAAUUGUUAUAAAGUUUAGAACUUUAUUGUUUGAAAGUUAAACUUGUGGGACAUCCUAGAUCACCUAAAGGAUGUGGUAUCCAUCGAAGUGUUAAUGGAUGCUUGUUGUGAAACGAGUGGAAUGAUUGAUUGUAAGCCAUGAGUGGAUUAUCGGACAAAGUGACAAUUCAACUCUUUUUCGUUGAUUCACCACAUUAAAACAUCCAAUAUAAACGGUAUCUUGAAUAAAGCAUUUUAGAAAUGGUUAUAUUCCAAAAAGAAAAGUGGGAGCCCAUUGAAAGUUUAAGAGAAAACACCAUCACCAAGUGAAGUCUUCUUCAAAAGAAACCUAAGGAAUGAAAAGUUCAUGUACUUAUUAUUUAAGUAUACGAUCAUAUAUGAUAUGACCAAGAUACUAAAGCAAGUUGCACUUAAUGCCAAAGUAUAUUAAGGGCAACAAGAUGACAUCCCAAGAUCAGAACCUGGACAACUGAUAAGUAUGUCUUUUAUGUUAGAGAAACAUAAAUAAGAUGAAAGGCGAAAUAUGCGAAGAGAAUAGUAUUAGAGCAUCAGAGUGGAAGUGUACACCUGAGUGACUCUGGUCGGAUCCUAAUUCCUAUGUUAUCAAACUCUAGAAAGCUGUUCUUUAUAAUCUUGGACGUUGUAACAUAGUUCAUGACCAAAAGCAGUACAUAUCUAUGCAAGAGAAGUUGAUACGUCAACAUCUUUUGGAUGAAUAGAAAAAUCUCCUGUAUAGGAGUAGUUCUUACCAUGAAAGAUCAAGGCUCUUAUAGUAAGAGAAAUUCUCAUGGGGCAAUAGCUCAAGCUGAGGAACUCAAGUAUCAUCAGGCAUCCAAAAUUCGAAGAAAAUAUUACAUAAAUGAGUUGAUUACUUAUGACGUCGAUGGUCUCUAAGUUGCAAAAGAAGGUUGAUAUAGCAAAGAUCACAAAAGCCUAGAACACGUCAGCUAUGGCUUGAUAGGCGUCUCAAGGUCAAACACAUUGUGUGGUUGAUUGGCUUUACGCGCAAGUGGUGAAUUAUUAGAUAUAUGCCCUCCAGGCCAAUAUAAAAUGGAUAAUUCUAAGGAAAUAAUCUAUAAUAAUCAAAGGGGGGAGAAUGUUGCUUUAGAUACAUAACGUACACAAAGUAACAAGUCCAUGGAUGAAGAUAUAAAUGGAAAGUGGAAUAAGGAAGUUAGAUGCACGAGACCUUUCCAUACAUAUAAAUUUCGUAUCCUAAAAUAUUCUUGGUCAUAGGAUCACCAAUUGAACAAUGGUGACUCGCAAAGACUGGUACACAUUAUGUCUGCUCAAUUGGGAGGAUGACUAGUCUCAAGUCAUUCAUGUAGAGACACUAAGACAGAUGUGUAGGUGCUUUAUAGAAGAUGAAGUCCAUUGAACGCGAUCAACUCUAGAAUUCUUGUAUGGAAGUCUUACAAGUGUCAAAUUCUAAGUUGUGAUAAUUCAAAUUAAUCCUUAGACCUGAGAUGUAAUAAUCCAAACCUUAAUUAAUUUUUAAUUAUUAAAUUAUUAGAGAAAAAGACAAUUUUGCACCUAGAAUAAAUUAUUAAGGAAAAUAUUGACUUUUUGACCGGGAAGGAAUUUGAAAAUUUCAAUUGCACCGUUGCGUAGAGCACGAUGAAACGACUUCGUAGACAUGUAGUGGGCUCAAAUCCGAGUCAUAUUGAAGAAAAUACUAUUAAAAUACAUUAAGGGGCAAAAUGGUAAUUUUGGACAUCUGAUUUUUUUUUUUUUAAUGUUUAAAAAAAAAACACACACACACACUCUCUCUCUCUCUCUCUCUCUCUCUCUCCCCGCGUCGUCUUUCUCCCUUGCAAAUUUCUCUCCCAACCGUCACCACCCUCCACCAUAUACCACCGUGACCGACCGCAGUAGGCCACUGGACCGGUCCAAAACAGACCGCCACCACCCCAGCAACCCAGCCUGCCUCACCCCGACGCUAGCCACUACAGGAAACAGCUGGAAUCUGCCGGGAAAGUUGUCGAUUUUUGACAGAUUUUCACCGGCAUCGAUCUCUCUUCUCCGACCACCAAACUAGAUGUGUGAGGUAUGCUUUCUUAUCUAUUUUCCAUGCUCUAGCUGAUGGGUAUGAAUUGAUCAAUUUGUAGCGUACGCAACUCGAUUUUUGAAUUGAAUUUUGGCAGGUUUUGAAAGCUCGAUUCUAGCCACUUCCGCUUGUUUUUCGAGGUAGGUUCAAGAACAAAAGUGUCUCCAAAUGAGGUUUUACACAUAGGGUAGGAAUCUUGGCCGGCAUGUGGGCAAGGUGUUGGGGCCACAUUGUGUCCUAGAAUGAUCCUCUAGUCCUCACUAGUGCGUAGGUACUUUCGAAUUCCAAUUUGGUUAACGUUUGAACCCCGGAUGGAUCUCGCCUAUUGUACGAUUUCCGGGUUCGAUACGUUCGAACUGUUGGAUUGUAGUCAAUUUUAUAUAUGAUUAUCCAGACAAUUCUAGAAUCAUGUAAGAUUCGACGAAUUGUGAAUCGGAAUCCUGGAUACUCCGAAAAUGCCAACCCUAGGGUUAGGUUUAAAUUAACCGCUCGACUGUGCGAUCGUGAGCAAUCCGACUGUCCGAUCGAGACCGAACUCUCAGGACAUGUGUCCUAAGCAUAUUGGAACCUUUAGGAACUCUCGGAUCGGAAUUUGGAGGUCAAGGACUGCACGGUGUCCCGGGUUGACUUUUUGGGACCUUAUCGCUUUUUAAGUCCCGGAUCUUUUCUAGACCAUUCUAAACAUGAAAAAAGUUUAUGUGGGCAUAGGAAUGACCUUAAAAUUAAUGCACGCACUUCUAGAAACUGGGGGUCAGGAUUUUUUCUUAAAAAUUAUAUUGAGAAUUUUUAUUAAUAAAAUAUUAUGAUGGUUUAAUCAGGCACUCGGGCACAGGCAGACUCGCAAGAGGGACCUUCGAAAGGUCCGACUAGCUUGGACCGGCAGUGAGUGGACUUUUGUUUUCAUAAAUGAAUUUAUUCAAUUCAAUUUCAUUAUUUGAUCUUGAAUAAGUAUUAAAUAGCUCGAGUUUUUCUAGCAUAUUUUGCUGAGGUCAAAUGUUUUAUUUAUAUGCUGUCGAGUUGAGAACACUUAAAGAAUAUGGAAAAUAAGAAUUUCAAAGAACUAUCAGAUGGGAUGGCAGCAGAGUUUUAAGAUAAAAAGAAUUUGUUUUAUUUAUUCCAGACUUUCCAGAAAUAUAUAUUUUCGUAAAACCACCCUAGGUACCCAAAUAUAAUAAAUGUUGCCUUCGGUAUUUCUGCUGCCUUCAGUCAGCAUGCUUGACUUUGCCCCACGAGUCUUAGGGAUAUCCGGACCGUGUGGAGCGAGGAUUGCGGAUCAGGUUGACUAAACGUCCCCGGAAUCCUGCGAGGAUUAUGGCUCGGGUUGACUUUGUGUUACCAGGACCUGCGAGGACGUGUCACCAACGGUGACACGCGGUUAUUUGUGGGAUUAAAUGGAAAUAAAGGAAUUAACGGAAUUAAAAUGGGUACGCCUAGGUGGUAGACUAGAUUUCAUUUUCAAUGUCAAUGGCUCCACCUUGAACCAAGUGCUUCUCAGUUGAACUAGGCUCUGAUACCAAUUGUUGUACCAACAGGCUCAAUAGGAGUCCAUUACCUAUCUGAAUCAUGUACCGAUAUUGUACCCACCUUAACCACUUGGAAGAGCGAUGGCCUAAUGGACCUCUAUGUGUGGGGUUUUAACUUUAAAGGCCUUGUGAUGCGGACAUCAUAAAUUAGUUUCCUAGAUUCUCUAGUUUUCUAGAUUUCGCUAGGAUUUUAGUUUCCAGAUUUUAGUAUGAUGUGAUUUAAAUUUCCUAAUUAAUUAGAAUUAGUUCCUUGGUGGAUUAGGAUUUCUAUUUUAGUAAGGGAUUUUAUCCUAUUCUCUCUUGGUUUUAGUUUGCUAUAAAUACCCCUCAUGUAGUUCUUUAAAAUUCAGUUGUUGAGAUAAAAAGAAAAGUUUAUUUUCCAGAGAUUGGAGACUACUUGAUGUGAAGCCAAACCCCUGGAGUGAUUCCAGAGAUUGGAGACAACUUGGCAUCAAAACCUGGUUUCAUUUUCCUUGGGUUCAAAAUUUUCUAGUAUUUCUUGUUGUUACACUGUGUGUCAAGUGAUGGCUUCGACUAAGCCUGGAAAGACAGAGGAGCCAGAAAAGGACUUUGAAUGUCUUGUUCAGAUGAUGGAAAACUUAUCAAAGCAUGUGGCAGAUUCGAACACUAGAUCCAGACUCAUGGAACAUCGCCUUAUAGACUUAGAAGUAACUAACCAACAUGAUGAAGCAAGUGUAAUUGGAGAAGAGAGGAAUCAUGAUUGACAACAUUAGGAUACAAGGAAUGCUCGAGGCACAGAGAGACACAAUUUUUAUGGUGGCUAUGAGCAAGACCCUGAUGAAAGGGUGAUGAGAUCAGUGAAAGUUGACGCUCCUAAUUUUGAUGGUGAGCUAAAUCCUAAAGCACUCCUCGACUAGUUACCUACCAUGGAUCUCUAUUUUGAGUGGCAUGACAUGUCUGAAGUUCGAAGGUUGAGAUUUGCUAAGAUAAAAUUUGUGGGUCAAGCUGGAUUGUUUUGGACCAAUGUUGAAACACAGCUAGAGAGAGUUGGUGAAGAACCAAUCAUCCAUUGGGGUGAGAUGAAAGAAAGGUUGAAGAAGAAAUAUCUACCAUUAUCCUAUCAACAGAGUUUGUUGGACAAGUGGCAAACUCUUCGUUAAGACAACAUACCAGUUGCUGAAUAUAUUUCCAAAUUUUGAGGAAUUCAUGUUGCGAUGUGACAUAAGGGAAGAUUGAAGGAUGACUCUUUCUCGGUUUAGAUCAGGACUUCGUCCAGAGCUUCAAAGGGAAUUAAUUCCUCAUACUGUGAAUACUUUAGAGAGGAUUUUUCAGAUGAUACAAGAAUUAGAGAAGUAUUAAGUAUUUAAAGUCGUCCAAUGUAGUCAAGCAAACUUAUUCUCAAAGAUCUGAUUUUCAUGUUGGCACGUAUGUGACUCCAAGUUCUAUGAAUCCACCAUCUACGAAUAAUUUAGUAAAAACUGACAAAGGAAAAGGAGUGCUAGUUGAUACACGUGGUGGUGGAACGCAAAGAUUGUUACAGAUGUCAAGGUUUUGGACACUUUGCUGUCCAAUGCCCAAUGAAGGAGAAACAAGAAACCUAUGAAACAAGCUGAUAAUCAAGUCGAAUUCAAGGAAGAUAUUUAUGAACCCCAACAAUGAUGAAGAUUGUGGAAUUGACUUUGAAGUCCCUCAUCCAACAUUAGCAAUAGUAAGGUGUAUACUUUGUCUCAACCUACUGAGGAUUGGCGUAGGACUUCCAUUUUCUACACUUACAUCAAGGCUGGAAAUAAAUAUUGGAAGGUGAUCAUUGAUAAUAGGAGUUGUAUCAAUGUGGUGUCAAUGCUAAUUGUUUCGCACCUUGGUUUGUCAUCUAAGAAGCAUCCUGUGCCAUACAGAGUAGCAUGGAUUGACAAUACAUCUUCUAUCCCUGUUACUCAACGGUGUCACGUUCCUAUAUAGUUUUCAUCUUACAAAGAUCAUGUUUGGUGUGAUGUGGUGGAGAUGGAUGUGAGUCAUAUUCUCUUGGGAAGACCAUGGAUCUACGAUCACAAUGUUACCAUCUUGGGACAAGAAAAUAUAUAUUCGUUCAUCCAUAAAGGAAAGAAGAUCACGAUGAAGCCACUUCCACCCAAGCUUGUGAAUCAAUCUAUACCAAACAAAGAGGAACAAGGCAAAGUAGGUAAAGCCAAAGCUCUACAUAUCAUUAUGCUUAAAGAAUGUAAGGAAGAUGCAGAAGUUCCUAGUCAAGUGGACGUCAAAACCAAAUUUUCGUAGUACUCGGAUUACAAAGGAGGACCUGCUGCACAUUGAUCCCGACGUUUUGGAAUGUUUUUACAGCUUUAUCUCCCUGGAGUCGAGAUCCUUUCAGCCAGGGAGAAUUGAUGCGAACAUCAUUAGUUAGUUUCCUGAUUUAUUAGUUUCCUAGAUUCUCUAGUUUUUCAGAUUUCACUAGGAUUUAGUUUCCAGAUUUUAGUAGGAUUUGAUUUAAAUUUCCUAGUUUAUUGGAAUUAGUUCCUUGGUGGAAUAGGAUUUUUGUUUUAGUAAGGGAUUUGUAUCCUAUUGUCUCUAGGUUUUAGUUUGCUAUAAAUACCCCCCAUGUAGUUCUUUAAACUUCAGUUGUUGAGAUAUAAAGAAAAGUAUAUUUCCCAUAGAUUUGAGACUACUUGGUGUAAAGCCAACCCCUCGAGUGAUUCCAAACUUAUCCUUGUUCGUUCUACUUUUUGUUUUCCGUUGUUUUCGCUUCCGCUAAACUACCUAAAUACUCAAUUCACCCAUAUCCUACAUCACCUUGGUGCAAUUAGGAGUGGACCACCUAUAUUUGAACUGUAGCUUGUUUUUGCUCAUAUUCUACAACUUCAUGUCAACUUUGGAAACCAGUUUUGGCAGCUAAGAAGGGGACCCAUAUUUCCCACUUAUUUUUGCUGAUUAUGUAAUUCUCUUUGGAGGAGCUUCUCCAAAACAGGCCAAGAUUAUGAUGAGCAAGGGUAGUAUUGAUUAUUUCUAUAAGAUGUCCGAGCAGUUAGUGGAUUUUGAGAAGUUUGUGGAGUAUUUCUCUCCUAAUAUUAAGAAAGUUAAAGCUAUUGAGAUUUCUCAAUUAUGUAACCCUUAACCAGUGACUUGGGAAGGUACUUGGGUGUUCCACUAAUUCAUGGAAGGAAGACUAGCAACAGUUAUACUAUCCCUUUCUAUGGCUGGCAGAGUGACUUUGGUUCAGUCUGUUACUUCUACUAUCCCGAUCUAUGUACUAUGCAAACGGUUAAACUGCCUAUGAUAGUUUGUAGGGAGUUGGAUAGGUUGAAUAAGAACUUUAUUUGGGGAUUAACUGAUAGGAGAAGGAAAGUGCAUCUUGUCAGUUGUUGUACUAUUUGUCCUAAGAACAGAGGUAGUCUAGGAGCAUGUUAAUCAAGAUCUCCUUGCAAUAACUUGAUGGACACUGGUGAAGAAAGAUAAUGGUUUAUCGUGAAGGAAGUUGAGGUUCCACCCCGAAACCAAUUGGCAAUGGGGGGAGUAACCCAACUCCUUAUAAGCCAUUGCUAUGCUUCUCAACUUUCCAAUGUGGGACUCUUUACCUUCACAUUCUCACACGCCCCCGCACGUGUGGCGAAUUUUCAAGCCUAACACGUGGACAACACAUUUUGGAUGACGUGGAGCACGUGUGGCCGUUGGGCUUUCACACGUGGGCAACCCGCUCUGAUACCAUGAAGGAAGUUGAGGUUCCACCCCGAAACCAAUUGGCAAUGGGGGGAGUAACCCAACUCCUUAUAAGCCAUUGCUAUGUUUCUCAACUUUCCAAUGUGGGACUCUUUACCUUCACAUUCUCACAUAUCGGUCCAUUGAGGUUGCUCUAACAUUGAAGAGAAUCUGGUAGAGAGCUGGAUACCACAUACCUAAAUAUCACAAUUCUUGUCUCGACACAUAUUAGUACAAGGUUUCCUUCCAUUGCCUUUACAAACUACGCAAUGACAGAUUCUUAUUUGCUCAUGAACAUUAGUUAUUCUUCGGUACUCUUAAUGCAAAACCAAAACAAACGUAGUAUUACAAAGUGCAAAGAGUUCGAUAACAUAAGAAGAAAUUAUUUAAAUUUUACCAGAUAAAACCAUAAUCGCAACAUACCUGACCAAGUGAUCUUCAUUUGAUUACAUUCUUCAUUUCCUUCAUUUUGAACACUUACACGAAUAUCAUUGCUGGCACGUUCUAUUUGUAUACCUUUCAAAAAAUGACAGUAAUUAACAUCAAUCAAUAUAUUUCGAAUUACUAUUUCUAUUACAAUUAUGGAUAUCUCGUCAUAAUUGAUUUGCAUAUAUAUGUUUUGUGCUGUCAACUUUUUCCAUGUUCCUAUGUUAAUAUUCUGUCACAUGUCCUCUUAGCUAACAGAGUGAAAAUACCUUCUUCCUUUGUCUUCCCAAACCUCGCAGCCAACAGACCCACCGCUCUCUUAACAAGAAGAGGUUGUGGUUUUAGGGAUUUCAAGAGAAUAAGGAAGAGAGAAUGUAAGAAGGAAGAUAGCUUUGUAAUCUUGUAUUUCUGAUUUUGGUGAAUGGAAUAGUGAAAAGCUCUGCUUUAGUACAGUACUUAUCUCCUCAUAUCACGCUAACAAACUUAUAACAAAUACAGCUAACUCUCACUAACAAACUUAAAAGAGAGCAAGUGAGCUGUACAUAAUGAACUAACAGUUUCUUAACUAAACUCAUAGUUAACAUUUUCCCUACCCAGCUGAACUCCUCAGUCUAAGAUGAAGACAAUGUUGUAAGAAAAUGGGACUAUGUAAACCCUUCGUAAAUACAUCUGCUAUCUGCUCUUCAGUAGGUAUAUACUGCACAAUAAGAUCUUUUCUUUCUACCUUCUCUCGCACAAAAUGGAAGUCAAUAUCCAAAUGCUUAAUAUGAGAAUGGUAUACUGAGUUUGAGCUUAAAGCCAGAGCUGAUAAGUUGUCACAGUACAUAAUAGGAGCAUCUGGCCGAAACAUCUUUAAAUCCAAGAGAACUUGUCGAAUCCAUGACAAGUCAGAAGCUGUGUUUGCUAGGGCCCUGUAUUAUGUCUCUGUUGAACUCCUAGAUACAGAGCCUUGCUUCUUGGAUUGCCAGGAGAUAGGAUUAUUACCCAAGAAUACUACAUAUCCAGUUGUAGACCUUCUAGUAUUCAUAUCCCCUGCCCAGUCUGCAUCACUGUAUGCAUUAAGCUGCCAAGGACGUUUUGUAAAACUGAUUCCAUACUCUAAUGUACCUUGUACAUAUCUGAGAAUAUGCUUCACCAAAACAUAGUGAACCUCAGUAGGAUUGUUCAUAUAUUGACACACAUGAUUCACAGUUUCUUAACUAAAUUCAUAGUUAACAUGCUCAACCCCUUCCAAUUCUUUGAGAUGAGAAAUUAAAACAAUAAUUAAAAAAACCAAAUCAGCAUUUCCACAUCUCUCAUCUGUAUGUUCCAUUUCGUUCUUUGUCUGAUGUUUUGAACCCCUCCCUCGGAUAAAGUCACUGAAGUUGUCAUUUCUUAGCCAUUAAGAUCAAUAACUAUAUUAUUUUGAAGUUUCAAGGCUCAAAUUCAAAAGCGCAGUCAAUUUUGAAGUCUUAGGUUGAUUACAGUCAAUGUUAUUGAAAACAUAUAAUUGUAAUUGUAAGAGGAAAAAGAAUGUGGAUACUAACAAUUGUAGAUCCAUCGUUGCCAAAAUUUGAGGCGUGUUCCACUCGGGAAUGCAGAAGGCAUAAAACCUUGCAUCGGGAAUGCCCCAUUGUGGCCCUCGGUAAAGACCAAUUGUGGGCAACGCUGAAUUAAUUCCAGAGCAAUACCUGUAGUGGAGAAAAACAAGUUUUUAUAAUUAAGGAAAAAACGAGUAAUCAAUUUCAUUGUUAUAAGAUUAAUUAAAACUAUUACCAAAUUUCAUGCCAACAAUAUAGUAGAGAAGAAGUCCAGCCCCGUAUGGUCCUUUCUCUGGCAUUAGAUCUUGGAGGGGAGUGACGGAGUAAAGAUAAUAAACGACAUCCCAUUGUUCAUUGAUAGAAGCCAAGAUAAUUGGAGUCUGAUUGCUGGUGGUGGGAAUACUAAGUAUUUUCUUGCUCUUUCUAACCAUGCAUUCAACCAUUUUUAAAUUUCCUCUAUUUGCAGCAACAGAAAGAGCUGUCCAACCCCCAUUAUCUGUUAUUUCCAAGUCUUCCUCUGACAUCAACCGCACCAACUCUUCCACAAUAUGCUCGUGCUCUAGUUCUGUUGCCAUGUGAAGAGCUAUACUGUUUGUAGAUGGAAUUCUUGCUCUUACUGCGUUGGGAUGUAGGGUAAGAAACUCCGUUGCUUUAUUCGAAUCCCCACUCCAUACAGCAUCGAACAACGGCUUAUACUGAUUGUAGUCAUUGUAAUAUCCUGCGCAGAGUUUGGUUAAUUAAUUUAUUAAUGAUUUCAGAUAACAUAAUCCAUUUAUUUUUUCAGUCAUAUCAAGAAUAUGAUCCAAGAAAAAGAAUCAUUAUUUAUUAGUUUUAUUUUUCGCUAUCAUUCCCAACAUUUUGAAACAAGAAAAAAACAAGUUUAUCAUAUGCGAAAUGGCCUACAAAGUAUCUCCUCAAUAAUGUGAUUGGAGGGAUAUAUACCAAAAUUGAAGGGGAUGGCUGAAGUUAAAACCUCCACUCUUUUUUUUUUAAGUAGAACCUCCACUCUUUGCAGCACGUUUGUUACAUUAAUAUAUGAUUACGAUUUGAAGUAUACUUCGUUUUCCCUCCCUCAUGAAUUAUAUAGAUUGUGUCAAUCUACCCCAAAACUUUAAUUUCAACCAAAUUUUCCCAUAAAAUAUACAAAAUUGGUGGAUCUAUCCAACUGUCAUUCCUACCAAUUACUUCAACCAUGUCGUCAAUUAAAAUCACGUUUUAAGAGACUCGUGAUCAUUUGACAUCAUAUUCUUCACAAAAGGUGGCACUAAUUGUCAUUUUGCAAAGUUAGGUGCUUAGCAAUUGACUAACUUUGAAGAGUUUCAGAAGGUGGCACUAAUUGUCAUUUUGCAAAGUUAGGUGCUUAGCAAUUGACUAACUUUGAAGAGUUUCAAGGCAACUUUUUUUUGUAAAGAAUAUGGCGUGAGAUGAGCAUUUGUUUUGCCAACAUCUUGAAUGAAAUUGCUCGGAAUAUGAGCAUGGGUAUAAAUUGGGUAGUUUUGUGACUCAUGGGGAAAUUAGCUAUUUUAAAAUAAAUAAAUAAAGCCAAAGGGGUAAAUUGACACCAUUAAAUUUAAUUUCCACAUUGUUACACAUGUAAUUUGCAUAAGGAUAUAUAUUUCUGUUCGGAUACAGUAAGUCUAGGGAGACCGAAAUGUAAAAGAACGAAACGUAAAUUGAUCAGUCCUUACAUCGACUAUAAGAAACAGAAACAGAAAUAAUAUGUAUAUAUAUAUAUAUAUAUAUCUGGUUUAAGUAGAUUAUUUACUUCUCACAGAAAGAGAACCAAGUAUACCCGGGGGUUGUUUGAUGAGGUUCAAAAUUUGAACUGGAGACUUACUUGGUUUUGGUUUGAACAUUUCUGCCAAAGUAUCCCAACCGUGUUUGGCUGAAGUGGUGUUCCUAAUGAGGGAAAAAGCUUCCCGCCCGCACGAAGUUUGGAUUGCAUGUAAUGCCGUGGCAUUCUUCUUCCUCCAAGCCUUGAACUUAUCAUCAGCUUCUUCUUCUUCUUCUUCUUCUUCUUCCACUACAUCCCAAAGGUCUUGAGCCAACAAGUAAGUUCUAACCAAUACACUCCAAUCCGCAUAGUUACUGCUAUUAAGAACUUCCACAACAACUGCACCUGCUGGGACGGCCAUUCUUAGAUGGAUCUGACCAAGGGCUUACUUAGGAGAGGCUUUGCAAUUUCUGUUUUAUUUACUAUACCCAAUUGAAAGAAGAACCACUUGUUAAAGCAAUGGGGGUCCGCGAAGGGUGGUGAGGGGAUUAUGUGAUUUACCAUUUGCUCUGCGCCAUAUAUAUACACACGCUCAUUACAGAGUCUUUUUUUUAAUUUUUUUAUCAGAAGAGUCUUUUAAUUGGGAUAGGCCCCCACUGGCUACUGCCACCAGCUAACUCCGGUGUAUGGAAGUCUCAAACAUUAUAUGGAAGAGUCUUUCACCUAACAUAUUAAUACACCUCAUUAAACCUGAAACCUAACAUAUUAAUGGAUAUGUCGUCAAACAAGUACGAAUGGCUCAGCGGAUCAACUUCUGCACGAAGCUCUGUAAAAAGAAAAAGGAAAAGAGGAAAAAGGGUAUAUAAGGCAUUCUCCAACCAUGACGGGCUAAACCCAAAUUUCCCCCCUCUAAAAAGUAGCUAUUUGGGUUUUGCCCAGACUCAAAUCGUUUUUUCUCCCAACCCUCCGGACUCAAAUUUUAAGUCCACAACUUUAUUAAAUUGCUUAAGAAUGGUUUAAGUCUAAUUUUUUUUUUUUUAGGGAUAACUUUUCUUCAUUCAAUCUUUUUAAAUAAGUUCAUAAUUAAAUUUUUUGAACAAUUUGAAAUUCCACAAAUAUAAUUUGACCUUGAUUAAUUUAAAAUAUUGUUUUGACCAUUGGAUAUAAAUUUCAACAGUUGGAUCUUUUUUUUACCAUUAAAAUAGUUUAGAUUUAAUCUAGAUCGUUGAUUUAUGUUACAUUUAGAAUAUUUAAAAUUAAAAAAAACCAAGUUCAAUUGUACAAGCAGAUAAACAGCAGCUUGACAAGUGGCUGGACAAGCAGCCAAACAACAACAGUCCAACAGGUCCGUUGGGGCCCACGUCAGAUGUUGUGCACAUGGGCUGUUUUAGGUGCAGUGGGCUCCAUUGAAUAGUGUUGGGUCCAGGCAAUACUUGGAAACUCAAAUUUUGGGUCCUUCAUUUUCUUGCGUUUGGAGAGAUUUUGGGCAAUAUUUUGGGUUUAGGUCCUUGAGUUGGAGAUGGCCUAAUAAAAAAAAUCGAAGUUAAGAUUUUCGUACAACAUGAAGCAAUGUGGGACCAGAUUUCCACAAAUACUUGAAUGGCCUGCAAUAGAGAGAAUUUCAUCUAAACCCCUUAAGGUUUGGCAUAGUUAUAGUCAAACCCCAUUGGUUUAGCAAAAUUACAGUCCCAACCCUAUCUUUAACCUAUGUUAAGCGGUCCGGGGGCAAGACUGUCUUUCCAACAACCCACCUCCAGUGUCAAAUGUUCAAAACAUUAGAAUUGUCAUUUCUCAGCCAAAUCUCUCUCUUGGCAACUGGGUUUUAACCUUGUUUUUAUUUGUGGUUGCACUAUAAUUAUGCUUAACCUGAGGGGGUCUACACGAAAUUCUCACGCAUGCAACAAAUAAAAAUCAAAGAAAGGAUUGAGUUUUGGAACAUCAAUGUGGUGUUAGUUUUUAUUUUAUUUUAUUUUAAUUUGGUUUGAUUUUGUGACGGAAAAGACUAUUAUACUAGACUGUACUAGUUUUAGUCUAAUUUUCCAUGUGUUCAUGGUAAUUUGUUCCUUUGGUUGGCCUUUUUGGCUUUUGUAUUCUCUGUUUGUUUCUUCCCUAUUUACGGGGUUUUGAAUUAACAUGAAAAAGGAGGGCUAAUGCCCAACACAAACACUAAUGUGAUUAGUUUAAGACAGGUGUAGUCAAUUAGAUUUGCAAAUGGAAUUGUUUUGUGUCUUUUGGUGUCUUGAGUCUUGUAAAAUGCCAAAACAUUGACACACACAUAGAAUUACACUCGUCUUGUAAAUAACUCACUAUGCGAAAAUUGAACUUUAGCUUUGGCGAAUUUCCGUUGCUAAAGGUACCAAAGAAUCGAAAUAUUGGGAACCAAUGCAUAUGAUAUAGUGAUACGCUUUGGACAUUCCCCGUCACUGAAGAUGAGUUACGACUUCGCUCUUUCUUAAUCGCCGAUGCGUAAGUUGUUAACAUAUGCCAAAAAGAGCAUUGACCUCCGAUGCCUAAACCUUUAAUAGCAUCAGUGAAUAUAUCAGCACGGAUGCUAAAUACUCACUACUACAAAAAGUGAAAGAGACGACCAGAAAACAACGACGGUCUAAGUGAAAACCGUCGUGGUUUUUAAAAAGACGACGGUUCUAAAAACACCGUCGUGUAAUACCACCUUAGACAACUAAAAAAUGGAGAUUCAAAUGGCUGUUCAAAAACAACGACGUACCUAAUUAAACAACCGACGUCUAUUUGAAACAGAUUUCUGCAGUGUAAAAUCAAAGCCAACAAAGAACGGCAGAAGUUAUGAAUCGACCGACGUAGAAAGUAAAGACGACGAUUUCAAUAAAAGCCGCCGUUUUUACUCAUAAAAUAACACGACGAGGUUUUCGUAUAAGAAGCCGUAUAAUUACAAACAAAUCCACGGCUUUAAAAUACAAAAUAUCGCCGUAUUAAAUUAAUGUACAACGACGGAAAAUAUAAAUAUAUCGACGUCAUUCCCGUAUAGUUCUACGACGUUAUCUUUAAAUCGUACUAUAAAAUUUAACGUCGUAUUUAUUCAUUUUAUACGUCGUACCUUUAAUUUAAACCGUCGUCUUAAUAAGAAUUUUUGUUAACAAUUUUUUCCUUUGAUUUUCUUAUCCUACGUCGGUAGAUCUACUUAAUGACAAGAAUUGAAAUAACCACGACGGUUUAUAUAGAAAACCGCCGACAUAAUCAGAUUUUUCUGAAAUCCCAAGGGUUACGAAAUCUUACCAGAUGGAACUCUGUUCCACAUCAUAAUCUUAACAGAUGACACAGAUUUGCAAUCAGAGAGACAAUUUUUUGGAAGUUGAUGAUGUGUGUGCAUUUGUGUAUCUACAAAUAUUAUACCUAACGUCGUUGCAAAUUUGCAAUCAGAGAGACAAUUUUCAACGACGGUUAUAUUAUACCUAACGACGUUUAAAAAACAAAUCAACGUCGCUCAACAAAUAUAUUACGUCGUCUUAGUCUUACUUAAGACGACGAAAAACGACGACAGUAAUAAAAAACAGUCGUUGUUUUUAUAUUCUUAUUUUAUUUAAAUCUGUCAUCCAAAAAAGAAACUUUACACAUUCCAGAACAUUAAUUUCCUUCAUUUUAAAUUUCCUCCGGAAAAAAAACUCUAUUUAUAACGCACUGUAAUUGAAAAAUAAACUGAAAGGUCACAGGAAAAAAAUUUCUAUUCAUAAUUUAAAAAUUCAAAUCCACGUCGGUUAUAUUAAACCUAACGACGUUAAAUGAAAAGAUUCCACGUCGCAAAACAAAUAUUGCGUCGUGUUAGUUUAGGGUUUCUUUAACAGUUUCAGUUUCUUUAACAGUUUGGUCCUUUAUCUUUCUGCAGGACUUGUAUAGUUCAAAGCAUUGACUUGUAUAGUUCAAAGUAUAGUUCAAAGCACUGAUUCGAUUGCUCAUGCUUUAUCGCAUUCUGAAGCCAUUUAUAUUCUUUAUCGCAUUCUUGAAACUCAUCUUCUUCUUCUGAAGCUCUACGGAUAAAGGAAGAGGCUAUCACAAAUCUGACGGAUCUUCUUAGCCAAGAAAAUCAAGCAGAGGAUCAGGCACAUCUGACCUUCAGAUUUCCCUGAGAAGCGAACUUUCCUUCGACAGCGAGUGGAGGCCAGGCUUGCAUCUCUUUUGAUGGAAAGCAAGGAGUAUUCAGAAGCACUAAGUGUCCUAUUAGGCUUGAUCAAGGAAGUGAGAAGGCUAGUUGACAAGCUUCUUCUUGUGGACAUAGAUUUGAUGCGAGUAAGCUCAAUUUCUCUUUGAGAAAGACAUCCAAAUUAUUGUCUUUGAGAUGUGAGAGACAGUGUCUCUGAGAGAGGAAGAACUUGGAACCCUAAAUGUAAACCGAAAAUGAAUGAAAGCGACAAAUUUAUAGAAUAAAUUUUUAAAACCAACGGCGGUCCUUACAAAAAAACCGCUGUUUAAAUUGUAAAAUCAACGUCGGUAUGACCGACGUAUAUUACAGAAAUCCACGUCGGUACAUUAAUAAAAACGACGUGUUAAAUAAUCUACCAUGACGCGAGUUAUUACUUAUGUACUUUAAUUUUUGAGUUUACUACGACGGUACUUACAACACUACUGUCGUAUUUAUUUACCACGUCCGAAGUUAAAUGUACCGUCGUAUUUUGUAAUUUAUACGUCGUAGUUAUAUGUAACUGCCGUAUUAUUUUUUUGAAAUGGUUUUAUAUGUAAGCAACUUUUCGUCUACCUGACUUACACAUGCACUGUUUCCAAACCCGAUUAAAAAUUUCAAUCUCCCAGAGAAAACUUUUAGACUUUUUUCCUUGUCAGAGCACUGUCAGAGUAUCUCAUCGUCUUCCUCUCGUCUUCUUCGUCGUCUCUGAACUUAAACAUCGAUCGUCUUCCUCUUGCUUUCAUUGCACGCAAAAGGUAAGCUUUCAUUUUCACUAUUUUGGUUGCUGUUUUGCAUGCUCAUACGUUUUUUGUUUGAAAAAUCUUUUUACCUUUUUUCUGGCCAAAAUCAUUUUACUUCUUUCCAAGUUCGAUAAAAUAUACAGACAAAGAGGGAAAGUUUCCAACUUUGAAGACAACUACCUCAACUAAAUAAGACUACGGUAGCUUCUUAUUUACGUGGUUAAAUAUGUAGACCACGACGGUUCGUCAGUCGUUCUAGCGUCGUCUGAAAAUUGACAAAGUUGUUUUUAAAAUUAUAGUCUUUUUUUUAUUUGCUUGUUUAAUUGCAGGUUUGAUUUCUCUGAACAAUGGUUUUUGUUUUUCCCUAAUUUGAUAAAAUAUAAAGAAAAAGAAAGUAGGGUUGGUAUCUAAUAUAGACAACAGUAUCUUAUUGUUUUACGUCGUGUGAAUGUUAAUACCACGACGUCAUAUUAAAAUACCGUCGUCUAUAUAAGAUUCCAAAACUUUCUUUCUUGGCCUUGUAUUUUAUCAAAUUAGAAAACAAAAACCAUGGUUCAGAAAAAUCAAAUCUGCAAUCAAACAUUCACAGAGAAAGAAGGGUUUUGGAUCCUUAUAUAGACGAUGGUAUAUUACUACUGACGUCGUGUGAACAUCAAUACCACGACGUUAUAUAAAUAUUUCGUCGUUUAUAAUUAAUUAUCACGUCGGCCGGUAAAUAUCGACGUAAUAAGUUAUUAUUACGUCUUAUUUUAUAUUAUUUCGUCAUUGUUUAAUUACCUUGGUUUUAAACAUUUAUUACGUCUGAGAUUAUUUCAUUGCGUCGUUUAAAAUCAUAUCAUACGUCGUAUUUUAUUAAUAACCGUCGUUUGUGUUCUUAAUCUUUUCCUGAAAUAUUUUCACUUGCAGUUUUGUCUGUAAAAAUGGUUUCUCACCAAGACCAAAGUAAGGACUCUGGCUCCAAGAAAAAUGGAGGUAAGGAGUUUGGAAUGGUAACUCCUCAAGAGAAGUCUUCGAAGAAGAUGAAGUCUUCGAAGAAGAUGAAGUUUGCUUCAUCAUCUGCUGAGACAGAACCAACCAGCACGACAACAAUCUCUGAUGAUUCAAAGUCUGGUCGAGGUAUGAGCACAAUGCCUCGUGUUGUGAAGAGAAAACUUCAGAAACUCAGGCCAAUUGUUGAGUACAAUAAAAGGGGGAAAGGAAUUGGCCAAGCACAUAGUGAGAUGCAGUCCUACAUUGGUGUGUUGGCACGCUCCAGAGUUCCACUUGUGGACAUGAAAUGGGCACAAAUCCCCAAGGAUAUAAAGGAGCAGAUUUGGGAAGCAGUUGACAUUGCUUUUGUGGUAGGUCAAGGGCAAGAACUCUGUGUUAGCUUCUGCUGCCAAGAAAUGGAAGGAUUUCAAGUCUACACUAACGAGGCAUUAUAUCCUUCCAUACACCAAUGACAGGGAGAGAUUAAGCCAACCCCCUGAAACAUAUAAAUUCAUAGAGAAAGCACAAUGGGAUGCCUUUGUAGCUUCAAGGUUAUCCAAAGAUUUUGAGUCUGUGCAUUCUCAACAUGCACAGAUUAGGGAGAAACUUGAGUACAAUCAUCGAUUGUCUCGAAAAGGAUAUGCUGGUUUGGAGGAUCAAUUGGAGGAAACCAUGCCUGAGGUAGAAAUUGAUCGAUCUACCUUAUGGAAGAGAGCUAGACAGGACAAACAUGGUAACAUCCCGGAUCCAAAGGUGGCAGAGAAAGCAAAAUUAAUUGUAAGCCUACUGACUCUGUUUUAAAUUUUUAUUAAACUGUGAAUAAUUCUUAUUACGUCUUAUGUUAUAUUUUGCGUCGUGUGAAUGAUAUUACCACGUCGAAAUUUUUUAAAAAAUGUCGUUAAAGGUCUAAAUCAGGAAUCACUACUCUGUUUUCUGUAAUUAUAGCAUAAGAUGUCGGUGGUUCAUUUUCGCGUCGUUUGUAUUAAAUUACUACGUCGAAAUGUUUUAAACAAGGUCGUUAAAGGUGUGAAUAUUGAAUCAUCCCUCUGUUAUCUGUAAAUAAAGCAUAAGACGUCGGUGGUUUAUUCAUUUCGUCGUUUUAAAAAACUAACCACGUCGGUAUAACUACCGUCGUGAUAAAUUAAAAUAACGUCGAUUUAUAUGUUAUUGCGUCGUGUGAAAUUAAAUAAUACGUCGUUUGUAUAUAAAUAACCGUCGUGUGUUUUUUGUUCUUACUUUUUUAUAUAUCUUUGUUUUAGGAUGAAUUGCAAAAACAAGUCUCGGAAGGCAAAGUCACUGUAUCUGGCAGCAAUGAUGUGCUGACCAUGGCUUUGGGCCCCGAGCAUCCAGGCAGAGUGAGAGGAGUAGGUGCUGGGAUUUCACCAAGGCAAUAUUUCAAGUUACCCAAACCACAGAGAGUGAGCUUUGACGACCGUUUAAAGGACAGUUUAAGAGUUCUCCUUCAAGAAGAGACUAAAAAGAUGGAAGCUAAGGCAAGGGAAGAGGCUUUAAGGAUGGAGGCUAGAACGAAACAAUUGGUAGAGGCUGAGAGGGAGCAUUUCCUGAGUCAGCUUUCCCAAUUAAUUCCCAAUUUUGAUCCAAGCAUGCUUAAAGCCAGAAUUAGCCAAAGUCCCAAAAAUCCAAUGUCUGACAAAGCAAGCUGCUCUGGAGGUGAUGUGAGAUCCCUACAUUUUGAGGAUGAUACUGCCAAAAAUGGAAAACAUCAGGAAGAAAAGGUAACAUAUUUGAACUUUGAAUUCUCUGUUUUUUUAAAAACUAUUAGACGUCGUUAUUAUUAAUAAAACCGUCGUUUGAAAUACAUACCACGACGUUUUUAAAAAUAAACCGUCGUUUGUAUUUCAAUACCACGUCGUAUUUAGUUUACUUGUUUUACACGCCAUUAAACGUCGUUAUUUUUAAAACUUUGUGGUUUUUAGACGACGGUGUUAGUCAUUCCCGACGUAAUAGAUGAAGAGAAGAAAGAAGAAAAACAAGAUGAAAAGGAGAAAGAAGAUGACGACCAGGUAUAUUCACAUAACUUUGCCUUUUUUAUUUGUUUUUCAAAAUUUCAGACGUCGAUAUUUUUCUUUAAACCGUCGUUUGUUUACAACUUAGACGGCGGAAUUUUUUUCUAAGACGUAAUAAAUUAUUCACCACGACGAUUUUUUCACCGUCGUUUAAAUUCUUUUCAGACGACGUUUUAUUCCUUAAACCGUCGUUUUUAUUGAAUUACCACGUCAUUUUUUUUAUUUCUUUAAACAGGUUAUUAAAGUUGUUGAUUAUUCAAAUAUGGAGGCGCCAUCUUCUUUAAAAUCCCUUUGUCGUUAUGUGAAAACGACACUCGUGCCUCAGGAUAAGACCCUGCACUUCACAAUUGAUAAGGAGGUGUUUGGUCAAGAACGCGAUACCUUCCUCCUGCCUGAAGAUAUUACACAAUUUGCAGGCAUGGAAGAAAUAGGAGCUACUGUCAUUGCUUUAUAUAUGAGGUUUGUCAUUCUAAAAUAAUACGUCGUUGGUUUAUUUAUUGCGUCGUCUUAACUAACUAACCAUGUCGUUAGUAGUACCGUCGUGAUAAAUAUAUUAUAACGUCGUUGUCUAUUUCAGUACGUCGUAUGAAAUUUUAUAAUACGUCGUUUUGUUAUACAUAACCGUCGUGUGUUUUUUUGUGCUGACUUGUUUAUAUUAUUUUAUAUAUUUAGGUACUUACACGAUGUUUUGAAACAAGCAAAUAUGUGCAGCAUGGUUGGCUUUAUCGACCCUGCUACAGUUAGUGCCAACUCUGGCACAAUAGCUGACAGAUCACGACUGGUAGCAGCUCGACUUCAGAGGACUGACGGUGAACAGAUUUUCAUGAUGCCUUACAAUCCAGGGUUAGUCUCCUUAACAGAAUUUUGUUUUUAUGAUUUUCAAUAAAUGACAGCGUAUAAACUAACCACGUCGGUGUUUUAUUUUAUUGAGUCGUUUGAAACUACUAACCACGUCGGUAGUUAUUUAUCGUCGUGAUAAAUAUAUAAUGUCGUCGAUUGCUACUUUAUUUCGUCGUGUGAAAUAUUAUAAUACGUCGUUUUUGUAAAUAACCGUCGUUUUUAUAUUAAUUUUGUGCAGCCGUCAUUGGAUCUUGCUGAUUGUAAGAGCAAAGAGAGAAACCGUCUAUUUUCUGGAUUCUCUGCCAGGAAAUCGUGUGGUCGAUGAAGAGGCCAAAAACAUCGUGAACAGUGCUAUAAAAAUUUAUAAUUCUCAUAUAGCCAGAACAGGCCGUAAGGCAGUAAUUUAGAAAACUCUGUCAGGCACACCAAAGCAACCCAGCAGUGUCGAAUGCGGGUAUUAUGUGAUGCGCUUCAUGAGGGACAUCAUCAUGGAUCCUUCCUUGGCGUUUGAGAAGAAGGUAAGAAGAAAUUACAUUCAUACAUUUUACGUCGUUUUUUGUAUUAUCAACGACGGUCAUGUAAAAUUACCGUCGUUGAAUAGAUAUACUACGUCGGUUAUGGUCGUCUGUGAUUGAAUUUUAUUUUAUUUAUAAACCCUAAUAGUCAUUGUUUAUGCAGUAUGCCAAGGGAAAACAGGAAGCGCCAUACCCCCAAGAAGAAAUUGAUGAAGUCCGGAAUGAAUGGGCAGAGUUUGUUUGCCUUCACCUGGAAUAGGGGAAUUAUUGAACACUUGAUAUUUAUGUAUAAUGUACAAAUUUUGUCUAUAAUAUAUAAUGUACAAAUUUGUUGAGGUUUUCUUAAAUUAAAAAAAAAUAAACAUACAAAUUGCGUAACCGACGUGUAAUACUUUUCCAACGACCUAAUAAAGUCAAAAAUUGUCGUUUUUUGUUGUUUCGUUUUAAACAAAUCCGACAUAAAAGGAUAUUUAGACGACAUUCUUUGAACAAUUGAGUCGUUUAUGGUUUACAACGUCUUCAAUUUCUUAAGGGUUCAGGGUAGUACUUUAUAACGACAGCGGUUAAGUCGUGGAAUAUAUAUUUUACGUCGGAUAGUUAAAUAUCCGUCAUGGUUUCUCAUUUAAACGACGUCAUUUUAACAACUUAGUCGUCUAUUGCAAUUUACAACGUCUACAAUUUAUUAACACCGACGUGGUUUGUUGUUGUGAUAAGAAUAUUUUAUUUUUUUUAUAUCAAAAUAUUCAAAAUAAAUUUAAAAUAAAUCAGAAAAAUGCAAAGUCAACUCCUAUGAAGUCAUUGAUAUAUUUUCUUCCCCCUAAACCUUGAAAAAAUUCAUUUUGAAUAACAAAAAUUUAAAAUGACCAUCCAAAACAAAAUUGUUUUGAUGAGUCAUAAAAUCACUUCUAGUUUUAUGGUUUAGGGUUUAGAGUCUAGGGUUUAGAGAUUAGGGUUGUAAUUUAUUGGGGUUUAUUUUUAAAGUAUAAUUUUUGGGUAGUCUAGGGUAUAUAUUAGGCUGUAAAACCAUAAACCCUUUUAUAAACUUAAUUUUUAAAAUUAUAUAAUUUAGUUUUAAGGGUUUAGGGUAUUAAUUGUUAACGACGGUGGUUGAGUCGUGGAAUACAUAUGUUACGUCGUGCAGUAAAAUAUCCGACAUGGUUUCUACUUUAAACGACGUCAUUUUAAUAUGUAAGUCGUCUAUUAUAAUUUACAACGUUUUCAAUUUCUUAACCCCGACGUGGUUUUUCAAUCGUCUUUAUAUCAAAAUAUUCAAAAUAAAUUUAAAAUUAAUCCGAAAAAUGAAGCGUCAAAAUAAACGGCGUUACGUUCAGUGUUUCCGUCGUGGAAUAUUACAUUUACGUCGGUUCUUGUAGAACUUUCGCCAUGGUUUUUCUUUCGACGUUUUAAAGAGCGCGCGCUUUAAAAAUUUUCGCGCCCCCUAAAUUUUUUUAUAUUUGGCUCUUAUUCUUAUACUUCUAACCCUGAACCCUAAAAUUUUCAGAUUUCGCGCAACAUAACAUUUCGCUCUCUCACUUCUGCUCUAAUUAAAAGUUGCACUCUCCAAGCUCCGUCGAAUCUGUGAGCUCGUCCAACCUGUAAGUACAAACCCUAUCUUCCCCUUGUAAAUUCAUUGAAUGAUAUUAGGUUGUUUUGUUAAAGGGUUUGAGGUAUAUGCUUUGCGAUCUGUUAAUAAUGUGCUUAUAGGUAUGGGUUCAUGGAUUUUCUGUUUAAUGGGUUCAUGGAUUACAUUAUCUGUUAUGUUGAAUUGGGAAUGGAUUUAAUUUUGUCGGAUCUUUUAAUCACCCUAUGUUAUGUUGAAUUGGGAAUGGAUUUAUUGUUUUCAUGCUUGGUUUCAUGUAUAUGUUGGUUUCUUGCUUGGUUUCAUAUAUAUGUUGUGUUCUUAAUGGGUUUUGGGUUCUUGAAAAUAAACUGAGACACGACGCAUUUUUAGGCAUCCGACGACGAUUACACGACGGUUUAUGAAAAACCGUCGUUGUAUUACUUAUACACGACGGUUUUUUCAUAAACCGUCGUUUGUAUUACUUAUAUUAGACGACGUCUGUUGAAAAUCCGUCGUCUAUAUAUGCCAAAUACGUCUGUUUUUGUUUAAAACCCGUCGUCUCUGUUAUGUAUUACUUGCUAUUAGAUCUUUGUAUAAUCUGCUGUAGUGAUGGUCAUUGCCUGUAUUUUCACUUUAUUAUAGAUAAUAGGUUAUAGUGUCGGAGAUGGAUAAGUCAUGGAUGCACUCGGAUAGAAGAUCGAAGGCAUAUGAGUUUGGGGUGGAAGCAUUUUUGAACUUUGCUGUAGAAAAUCUUCUAACUACAACACAUAUUCGUUGUCCAUGUGUUAAAUGUGUUAAUUUGAAGUUGUUUGGGGUUGGAAUUAUAAGGGAUCACUUAUACUUUAAUGGAAUUGACCAAAGCUAUAAGAAUUGGACAUUUCACGGAGAACCUUGGGAAGCAACUACUAAUGCUAGUAGAAAUGUUGAAGAAGAUGAUGGCCAUAGUAGGUACAGUUUUGUGUCUGAAGAAAUUGAUAUGGAUGAUAAUGAUUUUGGUGAUUUUGGUUCCGAUCCGUAUGAGUUUGCCAAUGUGAUUGGGGAUGGAGAUCAACCAGUGUACCCUGGUUGUAGAAAGUACACGAAGUUAUCGGCAUUAGUGAAGUUGUAUAAUUUGAAGGCAAAACAUGGGAUGAGUGAUGUCUAUUUUACAGAAUUAUUGAUACUUCAAGGCGAUUUGCUUCCAGAAGGAAAUACAAUACCAACCUCUAUGUAUGAGGCUAAAAAGACUUUGUGUGCAUUGGGGCUGAGUUAUGAGAAAAUGCACACAUGCCCCAAUGAUUGCAUCUGUAUAGGAAGGAGUAUGAGGAUUCUACUAAUUGUCCUACUUGUGGUAUCUCAAGGUGGAAGGAAGGCAAAGAUUUAAUCUUGAAAGAGGGUGUGCCAGCGAAGGUGGUGUGGUAUUUUCCUCCAAUUCCAAGGUUUAAAAGGAUGUUUCAAUCACAUGAGACAGCUAAGAGUUUGACUUGGCAUGCUGCUAGAAAAUCAAUUGACGGUCAGAUGUCUCAUCCGGCGGAUUCCCCGUCUUGGAAACUUCUUGAUGAUAAAUGGCCUGAGUUUGGUAAUGAGCCGAGAAACUUGAGAUUGGCUCUUUCAUCUGAUGGAUUCAAUCCCCACAGUUCUCUAAGUAGCAUAUAUAGUUGUUGGCCGGUUAUCUUAGUUACAUAUAAUCUCCCUCCAUGGCUGUGCAUGAAACGAAAGUUCAUGAUGUUAACCUUAUUGAUUUCCGGUCCUAAACAACCCGGAAAUGAUAUAGACGUCUACUUGGAGCCUUUGAUUGAUGAUUUAAAAUCUUUGUGGGAUGGGAUUAGAGGAGUGUAUAAUGCACAUAAUGGAGAAUACUUUACACUCAGAGCUGCAUUAAUGUGGACAAUUAAUGAUUUCCCCGCCUAUGGAAACUUAUCUGGUUGUGUUGUUAAAGGAUAUAAAGCUUGUCCAAUAUGCGGCGAUGAUACACCUAGUCACAGGUUGAAAAAUGGCCACAAAAUUUGUUACAUUGGGCAUAGAAAAUGGUUACCAAUCAAUCAUCCAUAUAGGAGGCAACGUGCAGCUUUUAAUGGGAAACCUGAAUAUGGCAUACCUCCCGAGCCAUUAACCGGAGAAGAAGUGCUGCAUAUGGUUGAAAAUGGUGACAGAGUUUGUUGGAAGAAGAAAUCAAUAUUCUUUGAUCUCGAGUAUUGGAAAUACCUUCCUGUGAGGCAUGCCCUAGAUGUUAUGCACAUUGAGAAGAAUGUUUACGAUAGUAUCAUUGGUACAUUGCUGGAGAUCCCUGGAAAAAAUAAAGAUGGGAUUGCUGCUCGAUUAGAUUUAUUGAACAUGGGGGUCAAAACUGAUUUGCAACCCGAGUAUGGAGAAAGACGUACUCGUUUGCCUCCUGGGCCUUGGAAUUUGUCAAGAGCAGAGAAGAGAAAGGUUUGCAAUUCUUUCUAUGGUAUGAAGGUCCCUGAAGGUUAUUCUUCAAAUAUUAAAAAUCUUGUAUCUUUACAAGAUUCAAGACGUCUUGGCCUUAAAUCACAUGAUUGUCAUACCUUAAUGCAACAAUUGCUCCCUGUGGCAAUUCGUUCUGUUUUGGAGAAGCCUGCAAGGUAUGCAAUAACUCGUUUGUGCUUCUUCUUCAAUGCUAUAUGUGCAAAGACUGUUGAUGUUUCCAAGCUAGAUAAGUUGGAAGAAGAUGUAGUAGUUACUCUGUGUUUGCUUGAGAAGUACUUUCCCCCUUCAUUCUUUGAUAUCAUGGUUCAUCUAGUAGUACAUCUUGUCGGAGAAGUUCGUCUAUGUGGGCCAGUAUAUUUUAGGUGGAUGUAUCCGUUUGAAAGAUAUAUGAAAGUGCUGAAGGGGUAUGUUCAGAAUCGUACUCGUCCCGAAGGUUGCAUUGCUGAGCGGUAUAUAGCUGAAGAAGCGGUAGAGUUUUGUACUCAGCAUUUAUCUGAUGUUAGUACAGUUGGAGUGCCUUCAAGCCAAAAGAUGGGACUUUCAAAGCCAUUAUCAGGUUGCACAGUGAGCGUAGUUGAUCAGGACCUGUUGAAUCAAGCACAUCUAUAUGUCUUGGAGAAUACGGAGGAAGUCAUACCUUAUAUCGAGUACGUAUGAGUUUUAUUCUUUAAGUUUCCAUUUUAAAUUAUUUCUUAUGUUUAUCUUCUGUAUUUGGGACCAUAAUGCUUGAAUUUUUCGUGUCAUGUAGGCAACAUAUGAUCCACAUCAAGACUGCUUAUCCAAAAUUUAGAAAGAGAACAAAGUGGCUGCAGGAUAAGCACAAUAGCACUUUCAUUCAAUGGCUACGCUUCAAGGUAUAUGUUGUUGAAUAACAUAUUUCUCUUUUAAUUUUCUUCUUAUUUCUAUGUUAGAUUGAAUUAAGAUAUGAUUAAUUUGCAGGUUCAAAGUGAACUUGAGGAAGACAAUCAUGGCGUAUCAGAAAAUUUAAGGUGGCUAGCAGCUGGUCCAAACAUGGCAGUGCCAUUAUAUAGGAGCUAUCUUAUUAAAGGUAUUAAAUUCAAUAUCAAGGCACAAGAUGAUGUGCGGACAACUCAAAAUAGUGGAGUUUAUUUACUUGCACAUACCAUGCAAGUUGCUAGUGCCAAGGAUAAAAACCUAAUUCUCUCAAAUAUGGGUUUCUAUGGUGUCAUUCAAGAAAUUUGGGACCUUGACUACCAAAAGUUUACAAUCCCAGUCUUUAGGUGUGAUUGGAUAGAUAGUUCUGGUCUUGUAGUCGACGAACUUGGAUUUACCCUUGUAGAUUUGAGUAAAAUUGGACAUAGGAAUGACCAAUUUGUUUUGGCUUGUCAAGUCAAACAAAUAUUUUUUGUUGACGACCCGAUGCAUCGUGGUUGGUCGGUAGUGUUAUCAAUGCCUAAUAGAGAAUAUAAUGAUGUUAUUGGUGAUGAAGUCUUAGGUGAUGUGAUAAUUGAGUGUGAGCCAUUUACUAGAGGGAUGCCAAAUGUUGACACAUUUGAUGAACUGGUGGGUGAGUUAGGUGGUCAAAAUAUUCGAGAUGGGUGUGAAGAUAUAUGGAUUGAAUGAUGCUUAUGUAAUUGGCAGUGUAUGACAUUAAUUUUGUAAUAUAUUGUAAUGUGAUUUCUUCACUUUCUACGUUCAAAUAAAACACGACGUUAUUGUGAACCAGUUAUUCAGCAUAUUUACCGACGUCUUAAAGCAACGUAACAAUGAAGAACCACGACGCUAUUGUGAAGCAAUUAUUCAGGAUAUCACGUCGGGGAAGGAUUAAGAACCGCCAUAUAAUUCAAAAUAACACGACUCCAAUCCCAUAAUACCGACGUCUAAAAAACGAGAUAUAUAAUCUGAACGUUAAAAAAUACGACGUCAUCAUACAUUUUCCACGUCGCAAGUUCUUUUAUAAACGAAGAGGAACGAAAUGAAUUCCGACGGUAAUUCAUUAUAACCGCCGUCUAAUAUCAAUUAAACGACGUUAUUUGUAAUACGGCUCUCAUCAUAAUCAACGCCGUCUAUAUGUUCUGUAAUACGGCUCUCAUUUAUUUGGAACCGACGUUGUUUAGAAGUUCAACGUCGUCUAUAUUAAUAAGUGCGUCGUGAGUAAUGAAUACAUAUAAAUACAACGUCGACUAUAUAAAUACCACCGACGUUGUUUCGCAUUUCAACGUCAACUAUAUAAAUACAUACGUCGUAAAUAAUGACACUGACAACUAUUUCCACGUCAUCUUUUUUAGAAAAAUCGAAGUGGAAAAUUUAUUUCACGACGGUUGUUUGUAAAUAAGAGACGUAGUAGAUUUCAAUAACGUCGUCUUCUCAUGUAUUUAAAGACAUCAUAUUUUUUCUUGUCGUGAAAAUUAUAUUUAACGGCGUAGUGUUUUAGUUGUCGUCGUUGUAUGUCUAUCUUGCGGCCUUGUUCUUUUAAUAUGUGUCAUAUUUUUCCUUUUUAACGACGGUGAUUUGUUUGAGUUGGUCGUCUAUUCUCAUCCUCGACUAUUUUUUAGAACUUUAGCAGACUAAACACGUCUGUUUUUAUUUUUUUUCGACGUUGUUUUAUUUAACAACGUCUAAUAUUUAUCGUCGUUGUUUGUUUCUGAAAAUAGGACGUAUAAAUUUUGUAAUACGACUCUCAUAUAUUUGUAACCGACGUUGUUUCGUUGUUCAACGUCUACUCUAUAAAUACAUACGUCGUAAAUAAUGACACUGACAACUAUUUCCACGUCAUCUUUUAUAGAAAAAUCGAAGUGGAAAAUUUAUUUUACGACGACUGUUUUUAUAUAGGCGACGUAGUAGGUAUCAAUAACGUCGUCUUCUAAUGUAUUUAAAGACGUCAUAUUUUUUAUUGUCAUGAAAAUGAUAUUUAACGGCGUCUUAUUUUAAUUUUCGUCGUUGUAUGUCUAUCUUGCGGCCUUGUUCUGUUAAUAUGUGUCAUAUUUUUCCUUUUUAACGACGGUUUUUUUAGAGAGUUGGUCGUCUAUUCUCAUCCUCGACUGCUUUUUUAGAUCUUUUUGCAGUACAAAGACGUCGUUUUGUAUUUGUUGAUAACGUUGUAUAUUUUAACAACGACGGUGAUUUAGCGUCGUGGUUUAUGAGGGAAAAGAUGACGGUGGAUUCCACGACCAUUGAAAAACAGAAUACACGACGGUGAUUUACCGUCGUCUUUUUGCUUUUUUGUAGUAGCUCAUUAUAGCAUCAAUGGUUUUGUUUAUACUGAAGCGUGUGCUGACUUACCACUUCAGAAAAGAUGUCAUUGCUAUUGCAAAUUAUGGUUUACGCAUUGAUUUUUUGUACUUAUGCUGAAGUGAAAAACAACAAAUAGUUUGACUUUCUACAAAUAUUUUUGACCUUUCAAAUUAUAGGCUUCAGUUCCCAGAUAGUGCUGAUGUUGUUUUUAAUUUUUAACUUAAGUUGUUAUGGCAAAACUGAGGUUGUUAUACACAAUAGACAUCCUUGUUACUAAUAAAGUGUAAGCAAUUUCCACAUUUCACAUAAUAUUUUACUUAGUUUCUGUCUCAAAAUAUAGAGGCAUCUCAUCCAUUUCAUAUAUAUUGCCAUUGUAACAUCAAAAAACAUCCCUAUAUAAGGUGCACAGAUGAGUUCUGCAAGUAAACCAAAAUCCAUACGUCAUCCAUACAUAAAUAAGCAAAUACUACAAAAACAAGGAGAAUGUUCAAACUCAAAUCCACUCUAGCACUCGACAAGCCCAUUCAUCUCGAACCUCGUCAAAUUCCAUUUAGGUGUAAAAUGCCUUCUUUUUCCCACUUCUCGCAUACUGAAAUGAAAUGAAAAGACCAUAUAAGAUUAAGAAAAACUAUAUAAAAUAUUUACCAAGAAGCUAUGCACAAUGUUUAACAAGAAGAUAAAGAAAAACUAUACAAAAUCUUUAACAAGAAGCGAUGCACAAUAAGGUUUUAUAUUUAACAUUAAUCCACACAAAAAAAAAAAAAAGAAAAAAAAAAGUCACCUCAAAGCUGGAAAUAUUGCCAGAGCCGAAAAGGAACAACAUCAAACAAAGGAAUAAAUUUUUUUUGGUAUUUCAGCUGAACCCAAUCAUCCAAUCCUUAACAAAGACUCAAAAAAACUGAAGGUAGGCUACAAUAGAAUUAGGGGCUACUCUUAAGUGUUUUUUUAACUAUAAAGUUAAUCUGAUCCGAAAGUAAUGAUUAAUUGGCUAGAACAAGCAUAAUCUAACAAGGUAAGUUGGUUACCUUGGAUUUGUACUAAAUAAUUUAUUUUAGAGCUUGAAUUUCGGCUUUUAAUAUUGGUGGCUGAACCUAAAACAGAAUAAUGGGCACAAAAUCUUUGAAAACUAUACCAUUGUGAUGCAUUUAUCAACCAACUACUGGAUUCUCUAUUUGAGAAUAUGAAUCACGCAGAGUAAAAAACCAUGCAGACACAAAAAGCUCCAAACAAACAGCAUCAAAUUUACACUCUAAGCCAUCCAUUGCAAUGGAAAUUACAAGCACAACAUUGACAUUCCAUCAUUCAAAUAAAAUUGCAUCACAAUAUUUCCCACAGUUGCCAACAAAGAACCAAAGUUUUUUUACUAACUCUCAAAGACGACCAAACCAGAGUAUUCAAACAGUUUUAAACAGAAUGGUAUCCAAAUAGAAAUAGUAAGAGCAUAAAUGGAAGCAUAUGAAACUCAAAACUCAAAUAGUGAGAAACAAAUACACUCAAGAUUGAAGAGGAAGAUGUUUUGUCUUACCCGUAGUUAUCAAGAUUCAGUACAGGCAGAGAUAAGAGACUCCACCAAAGCCAGCUGCGCGAGCUUCAAAGGGAAUGCAAAGUUCGGACUUCAACUGACCUCUAAAUGAGUUGUUGAAGGUUAUUGCGGUGCCCUUACCCAGUCUUUGAAAGAAGGCACCCAUUUUCAGUAAAAAAUGUCAAAAAACCACAACCCUUAAUAAACUUAAAAAUAAGCUUCAAAUUGCAACAUGCAACAUCUAUGAAAAAUAAUAGAACUCAGAUGAACCUAAACUUAAAAAUUAUAUAUAUAACAAAUUACCCAAAUCAAAAAAUGCGAUCUGCCAAACUAUGACUUUAACUUUACUAAAAUUUAGAAAAUAGAAAGUAAUUCACAAUACAGAGAACAUGAGCAAUCUUAGAUCCAUAAAAAAGAACAGGGCCUAACAAAUAUUGAAGUACAAGAUACAAAAACAAAAAAAUCAGUAAUAUGGUCAAUCUAGCACAAUUCAGCUCCUAGAUGCGUAGACAACAACAAUAACAUAUAAUUCACCCAAAACUAGAAAAUAACAAAUGAAAAACCAACAUGCUUUCACUUCAUUUAGAAAUUAAACUAGCUGUAGACAACAAACCUUAUUUGUCCGAGGAGAACUAGGAAUCUCAAUGUUCUGUAAGCAACUUUUGGGGAAAACUUCCUCCUGGAUGUUUUUUACAGCUGCAUAUAUUAAUGGCAAGGACACACCAACUGCAUCCUUCAUAUCACUUUCAUAACUUACAUCUUUCUUCCUAAUAAAAUCAAAGACAAAAGCACAAAUCCAAAUUAAACCAAACUAUGAGAUUAUGUUAGUCCAAGCGCCAACCCGUUUAGUUAUUUUUUUCCUAUAGGAUCAAAAAACAUAUCUCAAAUAUGAGCACAUUGAUUGACUUUCUACCAAGGAUUCUAUCCAAAUACAUACAUGUCAAGCAACCUGUACUUUGUUCGAGAUAGAGAUUUGCAUAAACUUAUACAUGCAAAAAAACAUAAAGUCACUUAUACUAAUUUAGAGUAUUCAAACAUAGGCUUGGAUUGUUUUGAGGAAAAGGAAAUGGUAAGAGGCAGGGAGUGAGAGGGAAAGGCUAUCCACAUGAUCGAGAUUCCUCAUGACUACAAGGACUAAAUUGGCUAUUAAAAACAAAUCUCCAUACAAAUUAAAAAAACCUACAUUUUGACCACAUGUUAUGGAAUUCAACUAGAAAACAAUAACACUUAGUUAGCAAUAACACUUGCCAAUGGUUCAACCAAAAUAUCAAACAAAGCAAAAGAAAAAUGGUGAAUGAAUCUAUAGACUAGAAAGAAAUAGAGAACCAGUAUAACAAAUUAAAGAAACUAACAGAGGCUUUUAUAGUUUGGUUGUUAAGUAGCUUUCAUUAAACCCCCAAAAAAGAGGCAACCUUCACAAGCAUUUAGUAGAAUACUGACAAGAAGGAAAAAAAUAAAUCAUAACAAGCUUCCAAAAUCAAUCUCAAUAAAGUAGGUUUCCUAAUUAAAGAAAAUACCUUAGAGUAAUAUUAACAUAUUCUUCUCAUCAAGCAAAGUUGUGCGCCCCAGCAAGCAAAGUUAUGCAUUUAAACUUAAAUGUAAAAUGUGAUCCAUAGGUUACCAAGAAAAGAAAAAUAGAAAGGCUUACUUAAACCACGAGAUUACAGUAGCUGGUGCUUGUAGAGCAAAUUAUGGAACAAGAAAAUGAUUUUUGAACAGCAGUCCCUUUUGCAAGCAAUAGAACCCUGGAUACAUAAAAAAAUUGAACACCCGUAAACAUCGAAUUCAAUCAGUGAAUGAAAGUAGACCAAACAUUUCAAGUGCUCUUCCAAUUCGGUAUAAGAGUCCUCAAAAAUUAGAAAUUAUGAAAAGAACUUGAUGUAUACAAAUUCAGAUGAGUAAAAGAUAGAGCAAAGGCUAGAUAAGUGUAAAUGGCUUCAUCUAAAACUGGAUGACUGAGAAAAGAAUAACAAGCAUCACCAUUACCACACUCUUCAACUUAAAAUCCAUAAUAAUUAAAAAAUUUAAACCUAAACAACAAAUCAUAUUCCUAGAAAAAGACCUAGAAAUUCUUUUUUCAGAAACUUCCCCAAUUUCUGUAUAAUUCGAAAAUAGAUAUUGCAAAAAACAUAAUUAAGGCUUACAAUCGAGGAAGAGAGACUGAGCGAGGGGUGAGCGAGCCACUGAGAGAGAGAUUACCAGAGACUUCAAAAGACGUGGCGCUGUUGAUUUGAGAAGAAGACACAGAAAUUGUCUCACGAACAGUUAUAGAGUCACCGGUGACAGAUCUAUCUCUGUAGCAGCCAAAAAAUUAAAAUUUUUAUAAUGACCUCCGUCUGUUUGAUCGGUGAGAAAGUGGAAGAAAAUACAUGAGAAGGUGUGUUCCUAGAGAGAGAAACUAACAAUUAAGGAGGGCAGAAGCAGAUGUCAAGGCGAACAAAUAUUAGCCACAACAAACAAAACCCAUUAAAUAUUAGCUCCAAAAAUCAUGGAACAUAGAAAAAGACAGAGUAAGAUUAGAGAAAUUACCCAACAAAUUGAAACCCUAGCUGAAAUAAUCUCACAUGGAGCACGAUGACGACAGAAGUAAACGAAGGGAGUCCGAUGGCUCUUCUAGACGAGGAGGAGGAUGUCUAUGGCUCUCUCUUUUAGGGUUUAGGAAUAGAUGAUGGUAGAGAUAGGGGACAGAGAAGAGAGAAAUGAAGAAGAGAGAUGCUGAAGGUGAGAGGGAUGAGAGAGUGACUGUGACUGUGGGUAUAGCCACAGAGGGUUUAGACUGACUGUGGGUAUCGCGAGAGAGAAGAGAGGGAGCUUGUAGGUGAGAAGGAUGAGAGAGACUCUGACUGGGUAUUGCAAGAGAGAAGAGAGGGACUUUAGUUUUUCGCCAAAAAUAUGAGAGGGAGUCUGAAAUAUUAACAAGGGACUGAAAAUUUUUAGCGAAAAAUUAUUGUAGCGGUCAACAAUGCUUUUGGCGUCUGUGCAAAAUGUUAUGCUUAAAUUUGUUUUGGGCAGAACCAUUUUACGCAUCAAUAUAUUCACAUUAUAGAGUCUAAGUAAAAUCAAUAGCAUGGGUAGGAAAAAUAAAAAAUUUGUGUUGAUGCCUUUAUACACUGUAGUCUUAUUAUUUAUAAAAUCAAUGCCUAAUAUACUAAUAGCAUCGGUUUUUCAUUUCACCAAUGCCUAUGUAGUGUUGCGGAAAGUGAAAUUUGAUGUAGUGACUUGACGUUUAGACUUUUGUGCCUACGUGGGUGGCUAUUUAUUGAAGCAAGACGCCACGUGGUAGAAAUGCAGCAGGCGUGCUUGCUCAUCAUGGUAGUACCCUUUGGUGAACUAAGAUGAACCAUACGAGCCUUCAAUAUUUAAGAGAGUGGCUCAUGUUUGAGAUAAAACUUUGCAUUUUGAACAAAAUUUGCAGCGAUUUAGAUUAUGAAACAUAGGUGUUAAAGACCUUAGAGCCCUUAGUUUGAUCCAAGCAUGACCCUUUGUUUUUCUUUGUUUUUCUUUGUAGAUGUCACAGAGUGAUUCAGAAUAUGAACAAAGUUCCCCUGCAUUCGAUGAGGAAUCAUCAGAUGAUAAGUAGGGUACCGAUUUGGAGGUGCCUGCUGACAAUGGAAUGGCAGUUGAAGAUGGUCAUACUGGGGGUCUGCUGAUGAUGUCGUGGCAACCGAAGACAGUCCCAAUGAGGAUGCCUAAAGCGUCUGCCCUUUGAGAUUGGUGUUGAUGCAAGCCAAUGAUGUAGUUCUGGGCAUGUGGAGGUUGUCGAAUUGUCAUCUACGACAUGUGAGCCUAGCAAUUCCAUUGUGGUUGUAGAAGGGGGAUUGUAUGGGUGCCAUUUGCUUAGCUCGAAGAACCACAAUUUAGUGUGGAUGGUUCGAGUCAUAACCAUUAAACAUCGAAGGGUUUGGCUGAGCUUCUGCAGAAGCAUGACAUCGCAGAUUCGAUAGGGUUGAGGUUACCAAAGCCAACCAAAUCAUUAAGUUGUCCUUGGAAAGGGCAUGUGGUCAUCUUCACCAAUGUCUUCAAGUAUGGGUUUAGAUUUUUGUUGUGCCCUUAUGUGCAACAGAUUCAGAAACAUAUCGGUUGUGCGUCGAGGUAAUUUAAUCCUAAUUUUUGGAUUACCUUGUUGGGGAACAUUUGGGCUACGUUAAGUCUUCUAUUACUAUUAGUGUGUACUUAUGUCCUAUGAACUAUAAACAUGCACUUUAUCAUUAAGUUUUUCAGAAUGUGAGAAAACUAAGGCAUCAAAUAGGGUUUGAGCCAAAGGUGAGGAGAAAAGUGAGCUAGGGUUUGUGAGAGAGCAAAGGGGGUUCUUCAUUACUAGUGAAUUUCUUGAGAAUCACCUGAGGGGACGUAGGCCUAACAUCAAAACUCCAUGAAUUUUUGCGUUCUUUAUGCUCGUUUACUUUACGGUUGGUGUGUGUACUCUUUCUUUGCGUGGCUUGUGUGUGGUAGUUGCAUAGUCCAUCAGCGACAAGGUCUUGGAGUGUUUUAGCACAACAUUUCGCAUUACUAUUUCUAUUACAAUUAUGGAUAUCUCUUGUCAUAAUUGAUAUGCAUAUAUACUUCUAUGCAGUCCACAUUUUUCAUAUCCCAUCAUGUUCCUAUGUUCAUAUUCAUCCUCAUAUCCUCUUUCAUAUCCGCUUUCCUUUGUCUUCCCACUCGUCCAACAGACCCCUUACAAUAAUAAAAACAGGUUAAUUUCAUUUUUUAUCACUGGGUUUGGCUCGAAAACAAAUUUGGUCACCCUGAUUUUAAUUUUCCAGAUUUCAUCACUGUACUUGCAAUCGUUGACAAAUCAAGUCCAGUGUCUUAAAUAUGUUAGUUUGAAGAUACGUGCUAGUUUCAUCAAUGGCUUUAUUGUCAACACAAUAAUACUUAAGAAAAUAGAAAAAAUAAACUAUUAAAAAUAAAAAUUUAAAAUUUAAAAAAAAUUAACCCUACCUGGGCCCAACUCUCCCUGAGCCGCCCCCUUAGCCCUCAGCCCUCUCUCUCUCUCUCCCUCAACCUUGCACUCUAUACCCCUCAGUAGUGUGAUAGCCAAAUGCAACUCAUUCCCCAACCUUAGUUUUCACACAACUUCGAAAAUAAUACCAAGCACAAAUGUAACUUCAAAUCUCACCAAAGUUGUCCUCUCAUAAAUGAAUCAUUCAGAAGAGUGCUGCAAUGCAUCAUUCAGUUAAAAACAUGAGAAUAAAGUUGAACCAUAAUGGAUUCAACUCACAAUAGAGAGAUGAAUAACAUGCAUGAAUAUGAUCUCAAGUAGGAUGCCAGGCACUUAAGAACAAAAAAAUGGAUGCAAUUCAACAACAUAACAUUUAUGAUCAAUUUAGGUCUUUAGCAUAGGUUGUAAUGGGGCUAAGGGUGUAAGGUGAGUGAGAAAUGAAGGGUGAGGAUAAUACAAAGUCCAAGGAACUCACAACGUAAGAGCAUUCAACAAUUGGUUACAAAACUUUGAAUCACCAUGCUUAGAUAUAUAUAUAUAUUUUUUUCACAUGAUCAAUUAAGCCAUAAACCCUCAUACCUUCAUUUAUUUUUAUUCACAUUCCUCUCUUCCAUUUGAACGACCACCAAUUUAUUUUUAAGGCCAAUAAAGAAAAUCCGAACUUGAAUUCUAAAUCAAUCACCACUAAACCACAACUUUUCUCUUUUAAAAAAAAAAAAAUUAUCAAAAGGUAUAAUUUCAUUAAAACAAAAGAAUGAAACAAUACAUCAACUUCAAACAGGUAGAGGGGUUAUAUUGUGGCCUCAUUAAAACCUUGCCUUUAAAAACCCCCAAAGAAGAAAAAUUUGGUCAAGGAAAAAGAGUACCACGACUCCUCCCAUAAAGACAAAACAAAACACUAGGUGUUCUCGCAAUCUGUCGUCAAAGACGACCCCAACCAAGUUGGAGCCACAUCCUCCCACACAAAUCUAAUCCUUUCUUGUAAUCCAAGUUUUGCCAACAAAUGCGCCACUUGAUUUCCUUGUCAUGGCUGGAAUACAACGUACAAAACUGCAGCAUCUGCCAUUAGUCGUCGCACAUCCUCCACUAUAUUCCCAACAUUACUCCACCAUCCAUCCAUUCCUUUAAGCAUAGACACCGCUUCCUGAGAGUCAGAAGCCAGAAUAAAAACUAGCAUGCCCAUAAGCAAUAUGAGGGCAUGUCAAUGAUAAAUAUAUCAAUCCCCCAACCAACCUUUGGUAUCUUUUGUUGUUAUUGGGACUUGAUCCUUGAUCCACAUAAACCCCAAGUUUAUGAUUCUCUACAAUAUGUGUAUCUACUGGUUUACAAUCAAGCAUCCCAGUAUUUGCUAGUAGGCCCAUGACAUACUUCCUUUGUUUAGAUCGAGUGACUUCCUCUCCUAGAAAAUAUUUAUGAUUGUCUAGAUCUUUCAUAUGAAAUUCAGAUGCUAAACGCUUUUGCAGUUCCUCGAUUUCUACAGUAUCAUCACCAGUCACAAUCAUAUCAUCAACAUAAAUAAUCAACAGAGUCACUUUAUCAGCCGUAUGUUUAAUGAAUAGAGUAUGAUCAAUAUUGGCCUAUUGAUAACCAAAAUUCUUCGUAGUUGCGGUAAAUUUGCCAAACCAUACCUGAGGAGACUACUUUAAUCCAUACAUCACUAGCCCCUUGCUCAUUCCUUAUCCAACACACCAUCACAAUUUAAGAUGGAAGAGUUAUCGGGUGAUUUGAUCCACCGUACGUGGUGGGGACUUGAUCUAUUUCAGGCUUUAAAUUGCGUUUGCCACUCCAAUGUUUUAAACACAAGAUCCUCUAUAAUGCCCAAUGGUUUCCGAUGUGCAAGAUACGCAGCUGCCAAACUCUUCGUAACCAACAAGCAAAAAUUUCCAGGUCGUGGGAAGUGAGAAUCCCAGCUGUCAGCUCCAAGAAAUCAGCAAAAGAGCAAUGCACCUUACCCAAGCAUACUAAGAAUGAUGUACAUGGCCGAAACUUACAGUUGUAUUUACACUCCCAAAGGGCAUGCCAAGUACCUUUCUCAACCUGACCACACAGCAAACAUAUUGGAGUAUAGGCAAUUCUCCGUCGGAAUAAGUUUUGGGCAGUCGACAAAAUAUUAGAACAUGCCCGCCAAAGCAACAACUUCACUUUAUUGGGCAGCCCCAAUUUCCAAAUAGCCUUCCAAAACUCACGUCGACGCUCCGAAUUUGAAGCUCCCACACCAUCACCAUCUGAUCUCCUAACACUGGCGAAGAGCCACAUGAUACCCGGACUUCACUGUAUAUUUACCAUUUUUUGAAAAGAACCAGUAACUACCAUCUACCAAAGGGACUAUGGAACCAAGACCAAAACUUGCAAUAGCAUCAUAAUCCUCCUUACAAAAAGAAGUAUCUUACGUAGGUAGAUUCCAGCUUCCUAAAGAAGUAAAUAAAUUUGCAACCUUCACAUCCCAGUUUAAUUCGUUGUUCAUCAACAGCUUGAAAGUAAACGGUUGGUGUCCAUUUAUCUUGAAAAACUCUUAUCGAAUUUCCAUUCCCUACCUGCCACACCAAACCAUCAUGAAGCACAUCCCUGCCCCAUAAGAGAGCCCUCCAAAUUAGAGAAGGAGAAGACUCCAAUUCAGCUUGUAGGAAAGAACCAAUAGGAAAAUAUCUUGCUUUCAUCAUCCGUGCGAGAAGAGAGGAAGCAUGCUCUAGUAUUCCCCAAGACUGCUUGGCCACCAUUGCUUUAUUAAUUGCUUCGAAAUUCUUGAAACCAAGACCCCAAAAACACUUGGGUUGACAGAGUUUGCGCCAACCCAGCAAGUGAAUACUCCUCUUCCCCUAUUUUUCCCACUAAUACCGAUUGAUCAUAGCUGACAAAUAAUGGCAAAGUUGUUGGGGUAGUUUGUAAACACUCAUAAUAUAUGUAGGUAGAGCUUGCACCACAGCCUUAAUAAGCACCUUCUUUCAUGCUGCAAAUAACAAUUUCCCAUUCCAAGCAGCAAGUUUUCUCCACAGAUUCUCCCAAACAAAUUGGAACAUCUGGGUUUUAUUCCUCCUUGUCAUGGUUGGCAGCCCUAAAUAUUUUUCAUGGCAAGCUACAAUCUUUACUCCAAGCAAAUUCGAAAUCAACUGUUUCAUAAUCGAAUCAAUGUUAAGGCUAAAACUAGUGCAGACUUAUCAAAGUUUAUCUUCAGACCUAAUGCCCUUUCAUAUAAUUUGAGGAUAUGCAAUGGAUUAGAGAAAUCAGAUAAAUGAGUGUUACAAAAAAGAAGGCUAUCAUCUACAAAAAAAUGAAUGAGAAAGAGUAGGCACUCCCUGGGCAAUAGACAGACCUUUUAUAUGUUUUGCCUAUAAGGCACAGGUAAGCAAAGCCAAUAGCCCUUCAGCACAAAUUAAAAAUUAAUAUGGUGAAAGAGGGUCUCCUUGCCUCAACCCUAGAGACGGGGUGUUCAUCCCUGAAGUAACACCUCUUACUUGGACGUAAUACAUAACAGUGGUUAUACAACCCAUUAUUAACGCCACCCAUCUAACAUUGAAACCCAAAUGUUGCAUCAUUCUUUCCAGAAAUAACCACUCCACAUGAUCAUAAGCGUUUGACAUGUCCAAUUUUAGCACCAUCUACUUCAGUCCACUCCCACCCCGACAUUUAAUUGCAUGGAUACUUUCAAAAGCCGCAAUUAUGUUAUUUGUUAUCAACUGAGCUGGAACAAAAGCACUGUGGUAUUCAUAAGUAAUUGCUGGCAUAAUUUGUUUCAUUCGGUUCACCAGAGUCUUUGAAAUUAUCUUAUACAACACCGCACAUAAGCUGAUCGGUCUAUACUCAGCCACCUGUGUCGGACACUCAGUCUUGGGGAUAAGAGUUAGCAAGGUAUGGUUUAUUUUCUGCACACUACCCCUUCUAUUAAGUAUACUCAAAUAGAAAUCAAUAACAUCAUCGCCAACUACCCUCCAAAUUUUUUGAUAAAAUCAUGCUAGCAUACCAUCCACCCUCAGGGACUUGGUGGGAAAUAUUUUCCCCAAUGCCUUCUCAAGCUCCUCUCAUCUAAAAGGUAAAAGAAGCCAAGCAUUCAUCUUAGUAGUUGCAGAUGGUUGUACGGCCUCCAGUAUAUCAUCAAAGCCACAUGAACCCAUUGUCAUGAACUAACCGUGAAAAUAAUCACAAAAAACAUCUCCAAUAUCCUCCCUCGUUGUACGCCACACCCUGCCCUCAUCAAGAAUUCCUUUGAUCCGAUUAAUACGUCCUCACUGUUUGGCUUGCUCAUGGAAAAACUUUAUAUUUCAAUCUCCAAAUUUUAACUAGGGUAUUCUUGAUUUUUGCAUCCACAUGACCACCUCCUCCUCCAACACAAAAUCCAACUCUCGAGAUAAAAAUCGUUGUUGAUUAUUAGUAUAAGAAUCAAAACUUCUUCAUUGUAGAUCAUCAAUUUGACCUUGUACAAGACAAAUGUGUGAAGGGAGAUACCCCACACUAUCUUUAUUCCACUGUUGUAGAAACCCUUGACAAUCUUUCAACUUUUCCACCACCGUCCCUGUAUUUCGUGCCCAUGCACUUGUAAUGGUUUCCUCACAACCUUCAACAGCAGACCACAUCUCCUCAAACAUAAAAUGUCGCUUUCCCAACCUCGACUUGAAAGCUUCGAAAAAAGUGAGAAUAAGGAGGUGAUAAGAAACAAUAGAGUUCAAGUGAUGAGUAUUGAUCUCCGAAAAUUGCAACCACAAUUCUGCAUUAGCUACCAUUCGAUCUAACCGAAGUUGAACCAACCAUCUCUCUUUCACCGGUUUGACCAAGUAUACUUAUUUCCUUUAAAACCUACUGUCGAUAGACCACAGUCACCGAGCACUUCCCCAAAAUCCCGCAUCUGAGCCAUUGGCCUAUAACGACGGCCUUUCAUGAUCUUCAAGAAUCUCAUUGAAAUCACCUCCUACCAAUCGCAAACCCACACCAUCGUCUGCCAACCUUUUUAGUAGUUCUCAAGAAUACUUCCUCAAACCAAUUUCUGGAUUUUCAUAAAAACCUGUAAAACAAAAACUAACUCGUUCCAUACCACCAAUGUAAAUAUCAAUGUGUCAAACUGAAAAGGAUCACAUGGUCACACCCAACCCAUGCUGCCACAAUAGAGAUAAACUACCGGAUCGCCCAUCUCGACUAACACUGAAACAACCUCCCAAACCUAACUGUAGUCGCGCCACCUACAUCUGACAAAUUAUCUUCUUAGUUUCAUAUAAGAACACAGCCUAGGGCUUUUUAUCUCUGAGAAGGAAUCUCAAAGCAUGGAGUGUUCUUGGAUUGGCUAACCCACGAACAUUCUAGCAUAACAACGUCAUUGCUCGUGACGGGCCGGUAAUUCGGGACACAUUACUGUUUGUCCAGUUGUACGAGAUGCACUGAUCAAACUACCCACUCCACUUUUUUGCGAACCUCCUCUUUCUUUAUGGCUACCCCUAGCUUGAGCCUCUUCCACAUGAAGCCCCUAACCCUUCCAUUUAUCCAGAAGUGGAUGCAUAUCAGAACCCACCUCCACCUCCACCAUCUUCCUAAUAACCACCUGCUUACCUUUAUUUCCAGAUCCCCCAUCUACGUCUUCUUGACAUUUGUCCAACAUCUCAUAGCUGGCAAUAACUGCUACAAUAGAUACUUCAGGGGCUACAUUAACCACAACCUCAGUCCCUUUACCGUCUGCCCUUCUCCGUUUCUUUGAUAAUUGUCUUUCAAAAAAAUCCUUCAUAUCAACUUUAUUGUUUUUGGAUUCAGGUGCACUAAAAUCGAUUCAGCUGCAUCCUGCACUUGUGAUAGUUACAAGUGCACAAGCCAUUUGGUAGUAUAACAUAUGUAAGUGCGAGGUCGAUCCCACGAGGAUUGAUGAUAGAUUGAUUCAAUUUGAUUCCCUGCACAAAACAUAAAAAAAAAAGAAAAAAAGAAUAGAAGACAAGAAAGAAAGAAAAGAACUAACUCAAUGAAAUCAGUUAACAAGUUCAAUUCAGAUUCACGAAUUGAUUCUAGCUAAAGUAUGAUUAAGUCAUGGUGUCUGGUCCUAACUUUGUAUUCCUAAUUCCUUAAUUUGAUCCUUUGUUGUCGAACCUAAAUUAAGCAUUAGAAAUUCAUUAAACAUAGAAGAAUAUUUUAAAUAACCAAGCAUGUAUCUAAUCCCUGUCAUCGAAUAUCCAUACAUACUCUUCCUAUUCAUAGUUAAUUUGAAUUAAGGCAUAUGGUGUCUGCUCUUCAUUCCAACCAAGAUAGCUAACAUACAAGUUUUAAUAGUGAUCAAUCAUUCAAACAAACAUAUUAACUUAUAAGCAUAAUGAAUAAGAACAAGAACCAUAAUUGAAACUUGGAAACUAAUCAAACUUGGAAACUUAAAAUAAGAAAUUACAUGAUAAUGAAAAAGAAAGUACAACUAAGAAAAACAUAAAGGAAAAUUUAGUAAAAGGGAUUUAUUACAACAGUUGAGAACUUAAAAAGAAAACUAAAAGAAUUGGAGGGAGAGAAGGGAGAUGAGCUCUAGAGAGAUGUUUGAGAGCUCUCCCCCUUGGGGUGUGUUUGAGAACUUAGAGCAUUUGAGGAAGAGAAGGGAAAGGAGCUCUAGAGAGAUAUUUGAGGGCUCCCUCCAAUUCUUUUAGUUUUCUUUUUAAGUUCUCAACUGUUGUAAUAAAUCCCUUUUACUAAAUUUUCCUUUAUGUUUUUCUUAGUUGUACUUUCUUUUUCAUUAUCAUGUAAUUUCUUAUUUUAAGUUUCCAAGUUUGAUUAGUUUCCAAGUUUCAAUUAUGGUUCUUGUUCUUAUUCAUUAUGCUUAUAAGUUAAUAUGUUUGUUUGAAUGAUUGAUCACUAUUAAAACUUGUAUGUUAGCUAUCUUGGUUGGAAUGAAGAGCAGACACCAUAUGCCNNNNNNNNNNNNNNNNNNNNNNNNNNNNNNNNNNNNNNNNNNNNNNNNNNNNNNNNNNNNNNNNNNNNNNNNNNNNNNNNNNNNNNNNNNNNNNNNNNNNCGAUGAAGAAAAAAGGUCAAGGAUACAAAACGGCAGUAGAGAGAAGGUCAAGGAUUACCAGCAUAAAGUAGGAACGGAGAUAGUGCAUCAAGGCAGCUUAAUUAUUUGUUUGAAAUUGAGAAUGUUAGUGCUCGAAGUCUUAACUUUAAGAUUAAAUUGAUCCAGCUGCCGUCCAUGUACGAUCCAUUUAGAUCUGCCCCCCUGCAAAUUAGCUAAUUAGGGGCUAUAUCUGUGGUGGCAUAUAGUAGAUUUACAAUAAAUUGCAGUUCAGAGUGAUCUUGGAGGAUGUAUUCCCCCCCCCCCCCCCCCCCCCCCCCCCCCCCCCUUGGGGUGUGUUUGUAACCUUGGAGAACCUCACGGUUUAUAAGCCUAAGGGAAGUAAAAAUCUGAUUUGAGUAUUGCCUCUACCAACAACACCCACUUCACCACCUUUACCUAGCUUCCCCACCAUAAAUAAUUAGCUCAUGCAUGACAAUGCAUUGUAGUCUGCUUGUAGGCUUGUUUUGGACUUGUUCCUCCAUUCAUAAAAUUCUAGAAAACUAUAGAUCUUGAAGUUCUUUGUCUUAUCUUUCCAACGAUAUGUAACCCAGCUCAAGGAAAAAUUGGAAAGGCCUUCAAAUAUCAUUGUUGGCACAGUAACGCAAAUGCUGCCAACUUUCACCUUGAGCUGCCAAAACUUGCAUAACUUCCUCUAGAAGACUCGGAAUCAUGAACCAUAAAAUGCUCUAGAAACUAGACUUCCACAUCUUAACAAUGAUCUAUGAAUCAUUAUCUGGUUCUUGAUUAAUACCACUUUGCAAAACCCAAGGGAAGGGUUCUUGAUUAAUACCACUUUGCAAAACCCAAGGGAAGGUGUCGUAUAGCAGUGUAGCUCGGAAGUCCGAGUGUCGUAUCCAUAGAGAGCGGUGUACAGAAAAGAACAAAGCUGAAAAAGAACAAUUGUGUUUGAGAUGUAUAUUUAUGCAAGAUUCGAUUUAAAGAAAAUUUAAUUGAUUAAAACACUAAGACAUUGGGGUUCCACUUUUAACAUAAGCAUGCAACUCUUAUUAAUUUGACCCACAAAAUAUUUUCCAUUGUAAUUGUUCAAAAUAAUUAAAGAUUUUUUUAAUUUCUUUUAGAAGUAUUCUAAGCAUAACUUGUACCAUUGGCAACAAACUAUCAAAAACAUAAUCUUUAUCAAAAUUCUAUUAAUCUUUAGUAAUUCUCUUCUCUUUUAAAAGCAUGAAAGUUUUUACUACACAAUGAGAAAAACAUGAUUGAACCCAUGAAAUAGAUUAUCAAACAUUCAUCAAUUAAUUAAAAAGAAAACUACAAAUUCCAUUUGAACAAAAACUACAAAUUCACAUUAAAGCUUAAGUUUAGAUCAAACUAAUAAAAUUACACACUCAUAUUAAAAGCUUUCUCUCUAGCCUUAGCUAGGGACACUACUACAUUUUACGAUUUGCACGACGAAGACAAUUUCGUCGCGCAAAGUUACAUUUAGUCGCACAAAUUCGUCGCACGACAAAAAAUUUGUCGCGCAAAGAGCGUGAAGAAAGACUUUGCGCGACCAAUUUUUUUUAUUCGUCGUGCAAAAUUGUGCGACAGUUACCCUUCCUUGCACAAAAGGUUCAAGGACGACACAACAGUUCCUCGCACGAACUUAUGCGCGACGAAAGAAGGUUCGUCGCCACAACAAUGCAUUGCGGAUAAUAUUCGUCACGCGAUACGUCUCGUAGACAUUUGUGGCACCAACAGUUCUUCGUCACGCAAUUCGUGUCUACAAAUUUUGCGCGACGAAAAACCGUUGUCGCGCAUAUCCUUUUUGCGUGACGAAACACUUCGUCGUGCAAGAAUAAAUUAUAUGUAUUUUAAAAAAAUGUAUCAAUUUUAUUUUGUAAAAUGUGAAUUUGCGCGACGAGAAAGGUUUCGUCGCGCAAAAUUAAUAUAUAUAAAUAUUAUUUAAUUUUAAUAUUACGUUUGUUUUUUUAUUUGAUAAAAAAAUAAAUUUGGUUUUUUUUUGUUGGUAAUAAAAUGAAAUUCCAAUAAAAAAAAUGAAUUGUGAAGAGCACAUUUAUUAUAUAAAAUAAAAUAAAUGUAUGCUGCAAGAGAAAUAUUUAAAAAAUAAUUAUGAAAAUAAAAAAACUAAUCAAAUAAUGUUCCAAAAUCUACAUUGUCGUCUGGCACAUGCGGUUCAGAGGUCUGGGGGUCUACAGGGGCCGUCAUCUGGUGGGGAUGCUCGGGAUGGACGGGCUCGGAGGUCGGUGCAUCAAAAUGUGGGAUUGGAAUGCCGGACUGUGCGAGGGACUACAGAAUGACCGACAUCCGACUCUGAAGAGUGGCCACCUGUGCUGUCAAAGCAGUGACCUGACUGUUUGACUGCGCUGAUGAAUGGGGUCUGGGUUCCCUCCGCCUGGCAUUCCCCAUCCCUCGACAAUAUGUCCCCAGUCUCCUCCCUAGAGUCUGAUCCAAUGUCUCCGUUAAGAUCUGAAACCCAACAUCUUGUGGAGGAUCCACAGACUCGAUCGGAGUAUCGGGAGGAAGUUGGGAGGCGGACUCCUAAAGAACCAACUGGCUCCUCUCCACCAUCGUCGUCUGUUUAGCAUAACAUAAAAUAUAAAUUAAAACAUUCAUAUAAUAACCUUUAAACUUGAAUGCGUAACAUAAGAAUUAAAAUGAAAUAAAACUUACAUGAAGGGACUCGGCCAACUCAUUCCCAGGUCGAACAUAAACGUCGCCAAAGACGUCGAUCUCUGGGAAUUUGGACCCCCCCUAAAUUGAACAAGAGAAGAAAAAUAUUAGUACGAAAAAAUAAAUUAAGAAUAAUGAAAUAUUAAAAAUUAAAUAAAAAUUAUUUUUUUAUUACCUGCCGCCGUGCAUCCAUCCUAUUGGAGAAAGGCCUGGAACCUGAAUGAUGGAGAAGAGUCUUCUUCUUCCCAUUGCCCUUAUUGACUUUGGCUUUAUUCUGUUAUACGAAAAAUAAAACGUAUUAGUUGAAAUUGAAAUGAAAUAUAAAAAAUUAAAAAAACAUUAGUAAGAAAAAUAUAAUAAAUUUGAAAUUCAUAUUACAAAUUACCACAAAAGCGGGUGCCUGAAAAUGAAUGCAGAGCCACGCCCAACUAUCCUCCCGCCCCUCAAGCUCCUUCGGGCAACCCUCCUGAAGAGCUACUUGCGGAUCAUCAAACGCCUCAAAAUAGUGGUGCAAGUCGCUCUUCCAUUGUUUGUACCUCUUAAAGAAGAGUCUGUUCACGUACGCCAACGACUCGUCGUCGAGGUCCUCCAAGUUGUAGUUCGUCUGUAAUAAAUUAAUUACAUACAUUUAAAUAAUAGAAAUAUAAAGUUUGAAAGAAAAAGAAUUAAAAGGCCUACAUACUGACAAUUGGCCGCGAACCUCCGUCUUGAUCUCGUCAGCCAUGACCUUCCAAGACUUCCAUUUCAUCGGGCAAUGGCUUCGAACGACAUGACCAAUGUCGUGGGCCAAGGAGCUAUGCAACUCCGCCGUCGGUGCAGCCCGAUGUCGCUCGUCGUAUCCGAUGUUGAUACGACUGUUGGUCACCCGGGUGACCUUCGCCAUCUUCAACUGCCGACACGGCCCUCGGGUGUUCUUCUUGGCUGCAAAGAAAGAUGACAUUAAUGUUAAAUAAAUAACAAAUUUAACUAUAAAAUGCACACACAAAAACAAAAACAAAAAUAAAAAGAACUGGAGUUUAAGGAAAUCUAUACCUGGCUGUGACCCCGACGCAUCAGUCGAUGUGGUGUCGGUGGUGCUGGCAGGCCGAUGACAUCGCCUGGUGCUAACAGGCUGCGCCACUGAUGAAGCCGAUGAAGCAAGCGCCUGGGACCCCGCGGGACUAACUGCCAAGUGGUCCAUCAGUGCUGGCGCAGUGGCAGCAAAUGUCGGCUGAGCCGGGGGCUCCGAACUCUGUGUAGUCGUUACCGCCCUACGAUGUCUAAUUAGGUCUGACAUCUGCACAAUUUCAUUAAUACACAUACAAAUUAAUAAAAUAUACGAAUAUUUGAAAGCACAUACAAUUUUAUUAAGAUUCUUAACCUAGGGUUUGCGAGUUCGGAGUAGCCGAGACUCCGAUCCACGAUCCGUUGAAUCCUAGACGAUCCUAGAAAUACAAGGUACAACAUACGUGAGUUUGAGUUCGAUCCAACGGUCCGAACAUAACAAACCCGAAAAUCAUACAAUAGGCAAAAUCCGUUCGAGACUCAAACGGUAACCAAAUUCCAAUCCAAAAAGACCUACGCGCUCGUGACAACUAGGGGAUUGCACUGGGACCCAAUGCAUGAAUGCUACAGAAUCCCACGCGCCACCACACGCGCCGACAACGCGUGGGUGUCCAAAGCGAGACCAAUCGCCGAAAAAUUAUAAAAACUAAGGGCCAAGGUUCCUACCCCGAAAAAUGGCCAGAAGUGGCCGGAAUUGAAAUUCAAAAACCGGUCAAAACUUAGGGUUUAAAAUCGAUUGCCCUAUGCAACGAUUACUGAAAUCCUACCCAACCAUCAGCUAAAGCAUCAAAAAUAGUCCAGGAACCAUACCUCAGGUGUCGGAUUUGGUCGCCGGAGGAGAGAGAACGAGGGCGGCAAAGAUUCAGUGAAAACCGACCAAAUUCCGGCGGCUGGCUCGACGGUGACAGCGGGGAAGCUCCGGGUUACCAAGGUUGUGGCGGCACGGUCCAAAUUCCAGUGGGGUAGGGGCUGAGGUGAAGGCCGAGAGAGAGAGAGAGAGAGAGAGAGUUAGGGCAAAAAUCAGAAACUGGGGAAGAAGGAGGCCAUCGCGUUGUUUCUGAAAUUUUAUUCGAUUUUGUGCCACGAAUAAAUAAAAGCAUCGCGCAAAAUAUUUUAAAUGACUUUUGCGCGACGAAAUACGUAUAACUUCCCUCGCGCAAUGUUCUGAGUUCGCCAAAAUUUGGUAUCAGGGUAGGGUUGCGUGGUUUUGCGCGACACGUAGAUAUGUAUUUCGUCGCGCAAUGUUGUCAUUCCGCCAAAAUUUUGGGAUUUAGGGUUUAGCAGGAGAGAGAAAAGUGAAAACUUUGCAUGACGCUGUUCCGUAUUCGUCGCGCAAUGUUGUUAUUCUGCCAAAAUUUAGGGUUUAGGGUUUAUUGGGGCAGAGAGAUUGCGCGACAAAUAUGGGACAACGUCGCGCAAGUCUGCUUUCUGUACACUCGAAAAAAAUUUGGACCAAGUGUUCAAGGGGGGAAGAGGGUGAAAGGGCUGACUGAGAUUGCGCGACGACGAAGUAAUAAGUUCGUAGCGCAAGACUGUUUUCUGCACACUUUGCGCGACUAAUCAACGUUAUUCGUCGCUCAAUGUUGUAAUUCGCCAAAAUUUGGGGUUUAGGGUUUAGGGUUUAUUGGGGCAGAGAGAUUGCGCGACGAAUAUGGGACAGCGUCGCGCAAGUCUGGUUUCUGUACACUCGAAAAAAAUUUGGACCAAGUGUUCAAGGGGGAAGAGGGUGAAAGGGCUGACUGAGAUUGCGCGACGACGAAGUAAUAAGUUCGUCGCGCAAGACUGUUUUCUGCACACUUUGUGCGACCAAUCAACGUUAUUCGUCGCUCAAACCCUAAACCCUAAACCCUAAACCGCGGAAACCCUAAACCCGAAACUAGUUUCAAUGAUCCAACCGGCAAACUUGUUUUUUUAUACUUCGAGAUCGUAUACGCCGAAAAUCGGAAAAAACAAACAUUAAGAGAUCAAGUAACGGGACAAAACUUUUCGACGGUUCUAAAUGAAAAGUCAUGAUUUAGCGGUUAUUUUAACUCCGAUUUUGAUGGUUUUUUACAGCUACAUUUCUUGACCCUAUAUGAAUACAAUUACUGAAUUUGAUCUUCAAUUUAAGAUGUUUACAGUAGGGAGAUACCACAUAAUCUUAUGUUAUAUUUAACGAAAGUAUAAAUAAACUCUUCAUUGUUGGUGAAUAUAUGGUUUUGAUUGCAUGCGCAUUCUACCAAACUAGUUUCAGUAAUCCAGCCGUCAAACUUGUUUGUUUAUACUUCGAGAUCUUAGACCCCAAAAAUCAGAAAAAAAAAAAAAACAUUCAGAGAUCCAGUAUCGGGGCAAAACUUUUCAACGGUUAGAAAUGAAAAGUCAUGAUUUAACGGUUAUUUUAACUCCGAUUUUUAUGAUUUUUUUUACAGCUACACUCCUUGACCCUAUAUGAAUACAAUGAACUAACUCGAUCGUCAAUUUCAAAUAUAUAUGUGUAUAUAUAUUAUAUUAUAAAAUAAUAUAUAUUUGCGCGACGAGAGGUAUCCUGUCGUCACGCAAAAUUUCAUCGCGUGACGGAUGUUAGGUUGUCGCGCAAUAUUUUAACUUUACGCGACGAGUGUAUUGUGGGUCGCGCAAACUAUGCGCGACGAGGAUUAAUUCGUCGCACAAGGAUUUCGCGCCAUUUACUUAUUUAGGUCAAAUUGUGUAUCAUUUUCAUGUUUUUAAAAUGUUUUGUGUCAAUAAUUUUCAAACUUUGUAUGAAAAGGGUUUGGAUAUAUUUAUUUAUCAUUGUUUUAUAACAAAUUUUUUUUUUCAUUUUUCAUUUUUUUGUGUAUGUCAAUUUAUUUAAUAAUGUCUCACGCGGUUGUUGUUGCGUUGACCUAACUCGCUUGUUCUUUUUCUUUUAUAAAGUGAAGUGAUAAACUUUCAUAAACUCAUGAAAAGUCAAUCAAAGUUAGAAUUGGAUACAACCCCCUUAGGUUAGAUUGUUUAUCAUUUUAAUUUUGUAAAAGUGUUUUGUCAAAAUAAAUUUAAAAAUUAUUAUUAAAAGGGUUUGGAUAUAUUGAUUUACCAAUGUUUUAUAACUAAAUUUAUUUUAAUAAUGUUUCAUUUCUCCACAUAUAUAAGGUUUGGAUAUAACAACUACAUAUAUUCAAACAUUUGUAUUACACAAAAUCUGUACACUAGCAUAAUAAAAUUACAAAAAAAUUCAUUAUUCAUCAUCUGAACUAUAAUAACUUUCGUUAUCGUCGCUAUCAUCACUUUCGGACUCCCAAUCCUCCUCCUCCUCCUCUAUAACUACAUCAUCGUCGUUGCUCGGGCCCACUGCAACAUCGAAUCUCGGAAGAUCACCGAGGUCAAUUGUAAUUGACUGAAUCGGUAUUUCGAUUGAAGACAGUCCUUGUAUUUGAAACGGUUCUUGUAUAACAUGUGUAUCUCGAAGUGUUUCCGCAUCAUUUUCCAUUGAAGAUUCUAAGUGUUGGUCAGCCACGUUGUCGACGUCAUUGUCAGUUGGGUCUAGUUCUGGUAUAGCAUACACGUUCCUAUAAUCCAUCUUCUGAACAACUUUCCAACUGCUCCCGGCUUUAGGGUCAUCUAGAUACACAAUUUGUGUUGCCAUGUUUGCCAAAAUGUAAGGGUCGUCAUCAUACCAAGUUCUGUUAAUGUUCACAGAUAGUAAGCCAUGGUCGAUUUUAACACUUCUCGGCCUAUUUGGGUUGCUAUCAAACCAUCGACACUUAAACAUGAUCACUUGGUAUCGAUCUUUGUAAAACAAUUGAACGACAGUUGUGAGUUUGCCAUAGAAAUCAAUGUUCGUACUUUCGCCUCCACUUGGGACAUGGACACCGCAGUUUUGCGUACACAACUUGUCAUCUCGUGCAGCCCCCAAAAAUUUGACGCCGUUAAUAUAACAACCCGAAAACAAUUCAGCACGAAUCGGGCCGAACGCCAAGUUAUAUAACUCAUCACUGUAAGUGGGGGAAUUCGAUGAUUUCAACUUAUUCACCUAAUAUAAUACAAAACCAUUCACAUGUUAGUCUGACAAAAUUAAAUACUACAAUUUAUAUUUGUCAAAUACAAAACACUUAUAACUUACAGAAUCCAAAAACCAUUGUGGAAACAAUAUACGGUGUUUCUGGGCAACUAAAUGUGAUGGAUGUUCUUGCUUCAUCAUCUCUUCAUGCUCAUCUAAGUAUGCCAUUAUCUCAUCACAAUUGUUCAGUACGAACCAAUGCGCUACCUCCAUGUCAUUUCUUGAAAAUGACUCUCCUUGUCCAGGAUCUCCAAAGGGUCGUGCGCUUUGGGCAAAAACAGAAAGUUUUUCCUUUUUCAUACCUCCGUCAUUAUUGCGCUAAGGACGAUUGAAAGCCGUCUCCACAUCUUUUAAAUACAUUCCACAGAAAGUAAGCGACUCAUAUUGAACCCAAGCCUCUAUAAUUGAUCAUUCGGGCUUCGCCCUGUUGCGUACACUUUUUUUCAGCUCUCCGAGAAGCCUGUCAAAAUAAAACGAUAUGAUACAAAUUAGCAAGCCAGUGAUAAUGAUGCAUACACAAACGAUAAGGAUUAUAUACCUUUCUAUUGGAUACAUCCAGUGAUAGUUGACAGGACCAGCAAGCAAUGCCUUUUCUGGCAAGUGAACCAUCACGUGCAUCAUACUUGUGAAGAAAGCUGGAGAAAAUAUCAUCUCAAACUUGCAUAGGACUUGGAGAGUGUCUUGGCGCAAUUGAAUUAUGUCUGUCUUUCGCAAUGUUUUUGCCGUCAGUUGGGAAAAAAAUCUGGAUAACAACAUAAUUGGCUCACAACAUCUUCCGGCAAUAGAUGUCAAAUACCCACAGGAAGUAGGCGUUGCAUAAACACAUGACAGUCAUGGCUCUUCAGUCUAGUAAAUUUACCCCCGUCAACAUUCACGCAACGUGCGAUAUUAGAAGCAUACCCAUCAGGAAACUUUAUAGACGAUACAAACUUUAGAAACUCUUUUUUGUCAUUCGGUUUCAUAGAAAAGAAUGCAAGAUCCCUUCUAGCUUUAUCACUGUCCCUGUUCAUCCGUAAACCCCUUCGUAUGCCCAUUCUUUCUAAAUCAAGACGGGCUUUGAUUGUGUCCUUUAUCUUGCCCUCGAUAUCUAGAAUCGUGUCCACCAAUGUGUCAAAUACAUUUUUCUCAACAUGCAUCACAUCUGGAUUGUGCCUCAAUUUGAGUUUCGACCAAUAUGGGAGCUUUAAAAACAUAAGCUUGUGCGUCCAGUUCAUAUGUGUAGAAGGUCUGGUCCGACUAACUGUUUUUUCGAACGGAGCAAAAUCCAAACGGUUAAGUUGUUCCAAGAUCUCAUCACCGGACCAUUCUCUAGGUCUGAGGCGACGCUCUGUGUUCCCGUCGAACUCUUUAUCUUUUUUCUGCCACUUGUGGUCCCAUGGCAACCAUCUCUGAUGACCAAGGUAACAAACUUUUUCCGUGUGCCAACCAGAAGUUACAUCUUCCUUGCAUACAGGACAUGCCAUAUAACCCUUUGUGCUCCACCCAGAAACCAUUGCAUAUGCUGGAAAAUCAUUCACAGUCCACAUAACUGCUGCCCACAAAGUGAACAUCUUCCCAGUUGAUUUAUCGUACGUGCGAACACCGUUUGUCCAUAAAUCCUUCAGCUCAUCAACCAGCGGCCUUAAGUAAACAUCCAUUGACCUCCCAGGAUCCUCAAUUAUCAAAACAGUCAUCAUCAUGUAUUCUUUUUUCAUGCAUUUCCAAGGUGGCAAAUUAUAUGGGAAUACGAAAAUCGGCAAAGUGCUGUGGUGUUGGUUUAGAACCCCAUUCGGAUUGAAUCCGUCAGUGGCAAGUCCCAAUCUCACAUUUCGGGGAUCAGCAGCAAACUCAGGGAAUGUUCGAUCGAACUCUUUCCAUGCCUCCCCAUCUGCAGGAUGUCGCAUCACAUCAUCGUCUACCUGUUUUUCCUUAUGCCAUCUCAUGUCUGUGGCAGUAUGCAUCGACAUAUACAAUCGCUGCGACCUAGGUUUCAGGGGCAGAUAACGCAUGACUUUUUGUGGGAUCUUAGUCGUUCUAUUCUAAGAUGUCAUUUUGAACCUCGACUCAUUGCAUAUAGGGCAUGUAUCCAACGUUUCAUGCUCCUUGUAGAAUAACAUGCAAUUAUUUUUGCAAGCAUGAAUUUUUUCAUAACCCAAUCUAAGACCAUUCAACACCUUCUGCGCGUGUUUAUGGUCUUUCGGCAAACAAUUGUCCGUCGGAAGCAUUCUCUUGAAAACCCCCAAAAAGUAAUCGAAACACAGGUUCGACAUACGAUACUUUAUUUUUCCGUGCAUUAGCUCUACAAUGGCCAUGAGAACGGAAAAGCUCUCGCACCCCGGGUAUAACUCUUGGUUGACAUUUUUUAACAGUUUUUCAUAUUGUUCAAACUCCGCACUGUCUAUUGGUGUAGGCACGUCAUCUUCCCUUUCGUGAUUGAUGUUGGUCGAUGCAAAUGGAAAAGCAUCCUAUAUAAUAUCCAUGACUUGAUCAUUAGGAUCCACAAUAAGUUCAACAUUGUCCAUUCUUGUGGCAUUUGAAGACGAAGCAUGGUCUAAUUGUUCCCCAUGAAGGUUCCAAAUGCUAUAUGUCUCAAUCAUUCCAUUCCUUCCUAAAUGAAAUCCAACAUUUUCAAUUGUCUCCCACAACGUGUUAUUACACCUCCUACAAGGACAACGGAUUCUAGUUGCACCCGGGUUGUGUCUAUGUACAAACUCAAUAAAAUCCUCGAUUCCAUCCAAGUAUUCGUCUGCGCAUCUAUUCGGGUUUUGUAUCCACCUUCUGCUCAUAAUUCCUGAAACCACAAUCACAAUACAACAAUCAUACAACUUCAUACGAAGUUAUAAUGUCACCUUAUGCCUCUGGUAUGGGCCCUAUCCCAUUCGGGAAUGCAUAGUCCUGUCACGUAACCUACGGCUACAUGAGAUUAGAUUUUGACAUGGAUUAAUUUCGACAGCAUCUCGAUACAGUUCUUGAGGUGGGCAUAGGUAUAAAUACUUACGUACCACCCAAAGAACGUACCGCGAUGACACCGAAAUCUCCACAAUCGAAACCUAAUCCUAUAGCCGUAGAUUACGUGACAACACUAUGUAUUACCAAACUGUCCAAAUAGUGGGACAAUUCAAGAAUUAAUUAGACCGCAGUCAUGCUUUAUGCAUCCAUGUACGAAAUCCAACUAAUCUCGAACGGGAAACUAAGUGUUACUAAACAUACAAAUAAAAGUACGAAGUUAAUUUCAAUUAACUUCGUACAUCACAACACAUUGCGCUACGUCACGCACAAUUUAACAACAUAAUUGUAACACCCCGACCCCAAAUUUUCCCAAAUUUUACCCUUAUUUAAUUAUUUAAUUAUUUAAGGGUAUUUUAGUCAUAUUUUUAACCGGAGAGAGUUUGGGACCGUGACUUGUAUUUUUGGAUAGGUCGUACUGAGACGAGUUCAUAGACAUUUAGUGGGCUCGAAUCGGAGUUGUAACGAGAGAGAUAUGGUCAAUAGAAACUCAGUGGCACAAUCGUAAAUAUUUCGAAAUGAGAUUUUUUUAAAAAUCUGGUUUUCUCUCUCUCUCUCUCUCUCUCUCUCUCUCUCGCGACCUCUCUCUCUCUCCCGUCGGUCUCUCCUUUCUCUCUCCUCGUAACUCCGGCCACCGGCCGCGGCUGCGGACGGGGCAGGUGCCAAAAGAACCGGCUCGACCUCGGCGUCACGACCCAGCCCAUCCCCGACAUCGGCCGCCGCUCCAGCUGCCGGAAAAUGGCGAUUUUCGCCCGGAUGUCGCCGGAUCUUCACGGCCGCCGAUCUCCCUCCUUCGGCCGCCAUUUCUGGCGAUCAAGGUAUGGAAAUUCAUCCCUUCUGCAUGCUCUAGCUGAUGGUUGGGUAGGAUUAGAUCGAUUCUUAGCGUAGAUCACUCGAUUUUCGAAUUGAAAAUCGGCCGAAACUUCGGCCGCCGUGAUCGGCCAUUUCCGGCCACUUUUUGGGGUAGGUUCAAGAACAAAAGUGGCUCCAAAUAGGGUGUUAUACCUAGGGUAGGAGUUUGGAGCCGUGGUUUUGAGAUUUUCCGGCGAAGCUUUAUUGCUUUGGGCACCCACGCGCUGCCGGCGCGUGCGGCGGUGCGUGGGCACUGUAGAAAAAUAGCACUGUGUUCCAAUGAGAUCCUUAGGUUGUCACGAGUGCGUAGGAUUUCGCGGAUCUCAAUUCGGACGUCGUUUGACUAUCGAACGGAUAAUCGCAUAUUAUGCGUUAUCCGAGUUCGAUAGGUUGGGACCGUUGGAUGGUCCCAAAUUUAAUAUAUGUUGAUCUAGGUAUUUCUAGGAUUGUGUAGGAUUUCACGGAUCGUGAAUCGGAGCCCCGGAUGUUCCGAAUAAUAAUUUUAAAGUUUAUAUUUUAUAUUAACUGUCAGAUCGUGCGAUCGUGAGCGAUCCGACCGUCUGAUCUGAACCAAACUUGUAGGACAAGUGUCCUAUACCUGGUAGAACCCAUAGGGACUUCCGGAUCGGAAAUUGGAGGUCGUGGGUUCCGCAGGUCCGUUUGACCAGGGUUAGAGUAGUUUGACCCUUGGUUGACCGUGAGUCACCCGGAGUAAUCUCACCUUUCCAGGGGAGAUUAUCGGGAGCUAGACUAUUGUGGAGGGUUACACAAUAUUAGAAUUAUUAUAUAAUUAUAUAAGUUUGUAUAAGAGUACAAAAGAGUCUAGAAUGUCAGUUUGGAGUGCUAUACGCACUACUUUAAGUACCUCCCCGGAUUUUGGAUUCACUACAAGCACCACCAAGUGAAAGUGAGGUCCCGCGUGGCGUAGGUUAUCCGGCGUUGGGACAGACCCCAUACGUGGCGUUGGUCGUACCGGCGUAUGGGGAGAUUUGCAAUAUGAUGUUCAGGUCUCACGUGGCGUAGGUUAUCCGGCGUUGAGACAGGCCCCAUACGUGGCGUUGGUUGUACCGGCGUAUGGGGAGUUAUGUGAUAUUGUGUUGAGGUCGCACGUGGCGUAGGUUAUCCGGCGUGUCGACAGACCCCAUACGUGGCGUUGGUCGUACCGGCGUAUGGGGAGAUUUGCAAUACGAUGUUCAGGUCUCACGUGGCGUAGGUUAUCCGGCGUUGAGACAGACCCCAUACGUGGCGUUGGUUGUACCGGCGUAUGGGGAGUUAUGUGAUAUUGUAUUGAGGUCGCACGUGGCGUAGGUUAUUCGGCGUGUCGACAGACCCCAUAAGUGGCGUUGGUUGUACCGGCGUAUGGGGAGAUUUGUGAUAUGAUAGUGAGGUCCCGCGUGGCGUAGGUUAUCCGGCGUUGGGACAGGCCCCAUACGUGGCGUUGGUUGUACCGGCGUAUGGGGAGUUAUGUGAUAUGAUGUGCAGGUCUCACGUGGCGUAGGUUAUCCGGCGUUGAGACAUACCCCAUACGUGGCGUUGGUUGUACCGGCAUAUGGGGAGAUAUGAUGAUAGUAUGGCAUGGUCGCACGUGGGGUAGGUUAUCCGGCGUGUUGACAGGCCCCAUAUGUGGCGUUGGUUGUACCGGCGUAUGGGGAGAUUAUGUGAAAUACAAAGAGAUGAAAUAAGGUAUCGCCUAUGUGUGGAAUUGAGUUUUAUGGAAGAACUACGUGUGGCUUGAUCCCUCAAGGAGGGUACGUAGGCAGCCUAAGGUUAUUAGGCGCAGCCGCAGACUAAAUGUUAGUCAUAAUUUAUGUUUGAAUUGUUUGGUAGCUAGUUAAGAAUUAUUGGAAGGCCGAAGGCCAUUUGUGUGAAUUGCAUGAAAUUAUAUUGUGCAUGCUGCCAGUUGGGAAUAUUAAAUGCUUUUUCGUGCAGGUAUAAAUUUUGGGAAAUGUCCAAAUUAUAGGGGAGACUCUGCCGAAAUUUCGGCAGGAAGUCUCGGUUUUUUUAGUAAGUGGGCCUGGCAUCGGGGUGAUGUCAGGACUUCCAAAGGGUUCGUCUCGGGUUUUGAGAAAAUUCGGGGCGGGUCCUUAAAAUAAUAUAAAUAUAACUUCACAAAAAAAAAUAUAAACAUAACAAACUAACUUUAACAUUUUUAAUAUAUAAAACGAAUAACAUACCUUCUCAAUUGUUCUCCACCAAUCGCUAAUUACAAAUAUCCCUAACGAGAACAAAAUUAAUAGCGUUAGUACGAAUUUACAUUAAUACUUAUAAACUAACGACAAAAAAUACUUACCCAAUGAACGUACUGAAUUUCCAGCAAAGGUAGAGGCAGAGAGGUUGAGAGAGAGGCAGAAACAAAAUUUUUUUUGUAUUCUGCCUCUGCAAUGGCAGAAUUCUGAUAUGAAGAAGAAGGACUUUGCGCGACGAACCAUUAAUUUCGUCGCGCAAACUGCCGUCGCGAAAAACCAUUUUUCCGUCGCUCAAAACGAUUUUUUUCGUCGCGCAAAAACUUGUCGACAAAAAACUUUUGCGCCACGCAUGACAUUUUCGUCGCACAAACUUUCGUCACGCAAAUUCUAACUAUCGUCGCGCAAAAACAACAUUCCGUCGCGUAACCGUCGCGCAAGAAUGUACCGACAUCAAACUUUACGUGACGAAAACUACUUCCGUCGCGCAAAAAAAAUAUCCCCCCUCAAUUAUUUUGGCGCCAAAAUAAAAUAUCCCUCGUUUUCUUACGCGACGAUAAACGAUUUCGUCGCGCUAAGCUGUUUUUUGCAAUAAAACCUGUCGUCGCACAAGUUUUCGCAGCCAAUUAACGGAAUCCACUGUUUUGUGUUCACCUUUACUCGACGAAGUGUCCCAUCGUCGCGCUAGGUUUUCUUACGCGACGAUUCUUCUCGCCGCGCAAGUGUUUGGCGCAACAAUAAACCUGGAUUUUUUUUUCGCUCACUUUGAGCGACGAAGUUAAAUUUCUGUCGCGCUAAGAGGUUUUGCGCUUCGAAAAAUUUGGUCGAGCAAGUUUUCAAUUUUUUGUGCGACGAACCUUUUUUUCCGUCGCUGUAGUGCAUUUUGCGCGACGAACUUUUAUUCGUCGCGCAAAAUCUUAUCGCGCAAAUAGCAAAACGUAGUAGUAGGAGUUAGUUCCCCAUAAAAUAAAAUAAAACUAAAACAUAAAUUUAGAACUAUAAAGACGGUGGAAAGAGAGAAAGCUCAAGAGUUGUGGAGCUUGGUGUGUUUACAAUGCCGUAUCUCCUCUUAUUUAUAGGAGAAUGUGAGCAGCACCUCAUGGACAAUUCCAACAUCAUGUGAAUAAAUAAUUUCUCCACCUUUGCAGCCAAGCCAAUCCAAUUUCUUUUCUUUAUGCAAUUUCAUCUCUUUUAUUGGAAUACACAUCAACAUAUGUAAUCAAUUCAAUUGGUUUUUAUGGUGCUGUAACCAAAUUCUUCAUUCUAUAACUCUUUCCUUGGCAAAAUGGAAAUUGGACCUCAAUUCUUUCGCGGAUCCCAAAUCUUCUUCUUUAUAUGCUUGGCUGCUUCACUUUGUUGGUUGCACCACUCAAUUUCUUUUCUUUAUUUAUAAAAUUCAAUCUUUUGAGUGGGACACUUCUAGGCAUGCAAAAUUUAGUUGGUUCUUCUCACAACACACACACUUACAAAAAUAGGAAAUCAUUGAUCAAAGUUAAUAAAAUAACAUUAAAUUACUUUAACUAAUUAAAAAUAUAAUUGCCCAAUAUUAUUUAAUUACCCAUUACAUUUGUUUUGAAAUUAAAUGUUAAGGGCAAUAAGCAUGUGUUAUUGUGUUAUUAUCAGUUAUUUCUGAGCACGUAAAGUCCAAUCCGUGAAGUUGACUAAUUUAUAAACACAAUUUUGAGCUAACUUGAUUCCAAAAUGCAUUAAAUGAGUCCCAAAGCUUAAUACACUGAAACAAAGAUAAAAGAGGGUUAAACGCACAAGUUUAACUUAAAAACAUGACCAAAUCAUACGCUAGAAUGGUACAAAAUGAUAUAUAAUUAUACAUUGAUCAAAUACCCCCAAACCUAGAUUUUGCUAGUUCUCGAGCAAAAGAAAAGGAAAACAAACAAAAAAACCAAACAAGAAGUUAACUAGACCACUUUCGCAGGUAACUAGAUUGCAUUGAACGUAUGCAACAAGUCUUUAAACCUCUAGGCAUCCCUAGUAGAAGAAGUUGUAUCUCCUGAGGGUUUAACAGAUACGAUACCUACAAACGUUUUACUGACUCUACAAAACAAAGUGGUUAGAAAACUUAUUAGAUUUUGUUAGUCAUUUAGCAAAACAAAAAAAAAAAACAAAAAUAAAGACUCAAAACAAUCUUUCUAAACAUUUUCCGAAGAAAAUGACUCAUGCACAUGACUCAAAAGUUUUAACAAUAAAAGCUCAGUUUUAGACAUCAUUCAUAUGGCAGCAAAGUUAAAAACACAAUUUCGAAAGUGUAGUAGUGUGAUAGUCAAAUGCAACAAAUUCUCCAAUCGCAGUUUUCACACAAUUUUGAAAAUCAUGCAAAACACAUAUGCAGCUUCAAAUCUCACCAAAGUUGUCCACUCACAAAUGAAUCACUCAGAAGAGGGCUACAAUGCAUCACUCAGUUAUAAACAUGAGAUUAGAGUUAAACUAUAGGGACUUAACUCGCAAUAGAAAGAUGAAGAACUUGCAUUAAUAUGACCUGAAGACGGGUGCCAAACACUUAAAAGUAGGAAAAUUGAUGCAAUUCAAUCACAUGACAUUUUAAGAUCAUUUAGGAAUUUUACGAAGGUUGUAAUGGGGCCAAGGGUGAAAGGUGAGUGAGAAAUGAAAGGUAUGGAUAAUAGAAAGUCUAAGGAACUCACAAUGUAAGAGCAUAAAACAAUUGUUUUCAAGACUUCGCUCCUUUCUUUUGAUUGAACAAUCACCAAUUCACUUUUAAGGCCAAUAAGGAAACCCAAAAAUGAAUUUUAAAUCAACUACCUUUUAACCACAACUUUUCUCUUUUCUUUCACCGAUUGAGUGAAUAUAUAUAUAUUUUCAAAAUGUAAUAACCCCUUGCCAAACUUAGCAUGAAAAACACAUCCAAAUUAAAGCUCAUGAGUUCAUAGAAAGGUAAAUACUUGUUUUUCAGGCUAAGGCGAGGAAAUAAAAUUGGUAAUUUGAAAGAAAAGGCUUACAUGUAGGCUCAAAAUGGUUAACAAUGGAAAAUCAUAUUUAAGCAUGCAUAAGGUUAGCUUGAAAGGCACAAACGAUCCAAAGAGGUCCUUCAUAUCAUUUCUUAAAUGUCAUGUAAUCAAAUUGCAUAAGAAUGAAUGACUUUUAAGUGUUCAACCAAAUCAAUGAAUAAUGAGAUCAAACAACAACUUUGAUGAUAAGAAAAUAAGAGUAUGUGUAUAAUACUCAUGAAAUGAAGCACAAGGCUCAAAAGCUCCCAUUAUAUGGUUAUGCAGGUUUAAUUUAUGCUUGAUACAGUUCUUUAAUUCAAAAGCAUAACCAAAUCAUAAGCUAGAUGGGUACAAAAUGAUAUAUAAUUAUGCACUGAUCAAUCUUCCCUCACAACAAACCCCUCCCUCAUCAUCAUGGAAAGUGAAGGCAGUCUGAAAGGCAUAACAACAUUGAAUACCCCUCCCGUGCCUCUUGUGCUUGAGACUACACCCCUUGUGGGUGAGCCACCUAACUCGAGUUAUCGUCACCCAAACCAAAAUGUCUACCUUUCAUUCCAUUCUCAGUAAAAAUACUAUAAACCUCAUUCACUACUGUUUUCCACCUCCCCUAUUGCUCAACCUUCAGCCCCCCGAUUUCAAUGCACAAUUGGUUCCCACAUGGUCAAGUCUUCCACAAAAAAGACAGAAAAAAGGAAGCCAUUCAUACUCAAUUUCGUAUUGUUUUGCAGGUACGUCUGGGCCAAGAUAGAGUGUCAUACAUCGCUUCAACAGUUCAUUUAUUGGCAAACUGACUCAGAUACGAAUGAAGAAUCCUAAACAGUCCCCAUUGAGCUACCGAUCAACAGUAGUAUGGGUGCCCAGAAAAUUCCUUAUCUUUUCUUCCAUUUCCGGUGUCAGAAAGAGUGGUGGAAUCUGCCGAACCCUAACCCAGAAACACUGAGUAUCCAACGGUACCGAAACAGGAUCCACCCUACCAUUUGUAGCCGCGAGUACAAAUAAAGCCAGGAAUAACAAUUCAUGAUUGUUGAUGGAUCAUAAUGAAAAGGGCAGAAGAAAAGGCAACCAUUGUGGCAGCAAUAGAGAAGAAUAGUGUGGAAAGUCCUAUUAUCAUCUUUGUUGGUAAGGAUUUGAAGAAAUCAUCUUCCACAUAACGUGAUGUAAGGAUUCCCAAAACCAUCAACCUUGAAGUUGUGGAAGAAAAGAGUGAUACAACAUCUGAAACUAUAAAAACCAUAAUAUCUUUUUAUUCAAGAAUAUGGGAAUGCAUGUUUUUUCGUUGUUUCCACUAGAAACUGUGAAUACCGAAGCAAACAUGAUGGUAAAAAUCAGAGCACCUACAACUGUACAAGAAGUUGUAGUUUCUUUCAUCCAGAUUUCUCCUUCCUUCACCAAUUCCUUGUGGUUCUUGGUAAAGACAUCAGAUGGUGCCAAAACCCCGCAUUUAAAGCUUCUCUGCUCCUGGGAAAUGUAAGUCUCCACCUCCUACAUUUUGUUGAUCCACGUGACUUCAAUGUUAUUAAUAUUUCUCUAUUUUUCUUACAAACCCUUAAAUCUUUGAACUUUGAGAGGCCAUAUAAACUCAAACCAUUAAGGGCAGAAGUACAAGAAUACUUGCAUGAUGACCAUAUGAAUAUUUAUUAAUAUUGGAAACCGUUUAACCAUUUCAAUAUUUACGAAAAACAAUAUGUCUGAUUUAGCUUAUUUUUUUCCCUGCGCUGAUGACCCAACGGUAACUGAAGAAGUAGAACAUUGUGAUUCUCACUUUUUACAUAAAAGAAAAGGUCUUCAGAAGGAUAGUUCAUAAUAAAAUAAAAAGAUAGUUGUCAAUUAUAUGGAACAAUUUAUUCUGACCUUAAACCAUUGCAAUUGUCUCUGCAUUUGCAAAGCUGCACCUGAGAUAUUAUCCAACUUUGCUAACGGGGAUAACAUCCCUGCCACAUGUAGCAUGCCAUUCUUAGAAGUAUCUACAAGAUUUGCAAUCGAACUUCUUUUUCUUUUAUCAAGUUUAUAAAUCAGGGUAUAACUUUUUCUUCACUACAUUCAAUGGCAAAUUGAAAUGCAUUCCUUCUCAUUCGAUUAUAGCUCCACACGAGAUUUGGACUUGCUUGGAAUAUACGAUCAAUAAACUCAAAAAUCCCUCAUUCAACAGCUCGGAAAAUUGCUUCAUGUACAUCUUCCAUUUCUUUACCAUCUGAAUGUGUUAAAACUUCACACAUGCGAUCUAGAAUUUCAUGGGAUUGAAUAUGGAUCAAUUUCAUUUCACGUAUGCGGUUGAUUCCUAGGUUGGCAUUGUAAAGAAAAAUGUCAGAUAACUACUUUUAAAAAAACAAAUGGAAAAAGAUGGCAACAUGAAAAGGAUGUGGCAUACCCAAAAGUUUAAGGAGAUUCGAGAUCAGUCCUUGCAACAAACCAAGCACUGCAAUGAAAAUUCAAAAUCCAAAUAUGAUGGGAAAGCUGUUUAUCUAUUAAAUAUUAUGUAUGAUAUAAUAAUGUAAAAGAAAACAGAAGUUGCACUUGUUUACAUAUAAUGUUAUAGUAUUAAUUAAUUCAUGAAAAGUUUCAUAAGGAAUAUUUUCAAACAUAAACAAACGUGAACAUCAAUUAAUUAAUGGCCAAGGAUAUGAUUAAUUGAUUUCUAUUCUAAUAUCUAAUUACUAAGGAGCAGCUUAUCCUCAAAUCAAAUGGAAUUUUGAUACUUGGCAAAUUCCAAAACAAAGAAAGUUAAAAGAAUUUGAAAAAAAAAAGAAAAGGAAAAGUUAAAUAAAGUCGACAAGUGUUAAAAUCCCAUUUGUUCUAAGGAGGGGCUCUGCCUUAAUUUUAACAUGCCAAAUUUUUUGGUUAAUUUCUAGAGACUGUGAUAACAUCUCCAAGAUCUACAUAACCUUUUGACUGGCAUUAAACGUGACACUUCCAUCAUUUUUGACAUUGUUGAUUAUUGUAUGGUAAUAAUGACCCUUUAGAACUUCAACUUUAGAACCUAAAACGUAAGGGAUUAACACAAAGUUUUGAAAAAUUUACAGUUUGGUUGAGAGCGGGAUACUGUAUGUUGAAGUUGGCUCUCCCUAAUAGAUACAAGAUUAAAGAGGAAGCAAGGAGCAGGUCGGGUUUGGGAAGGAUUCCUAGUGGCUGCAGGGUUUUUAACUUAUUUUUAAUAGGGAUGUUUCUUUCCUAUUACUUGUUUUACCCAAAGCCUAUUAGUAUAAAUAGGACUUUUGGGGUCUAGGUCAAUGUCAGAGAUCACAAGGGCAUCAAAUUGGAUUGGAGCAAGGGUGUGAGAGAAAUUAAGACCUAGGGUACUUAAGAAUGAAGAGGGUUUUCUUGUAAACCAAAGAUGUUCUUAUUACUAGUUAAAUUUCUCAGGAUGAUCACCAAACAUGACAUAGGCACAACACCGAAUCUUUAUAAAUAUUCUUUGUGUUCUUUGUUUGUUUGCUUUAUCAUUUUGGUGUGUGUGUGUGUGUUGAGUGUUUGUUUGCUUUAUCGUUUUGGUGUGUUUGCAUGUGUUGAGUGUUUGUUUGCUUUAUCGUUUUUCUUUAUCAUUUGACAAUAAGGUCUUGAGUGUUUCCCACAACAAGUGGUAUCAUUGCAUCGUUAGCAAUGGGUGUUUGUCUAUGCCCAAGUGCUCUUAUAGCUUUCAAAGCGCUAGCACGUUUGAGAUGGCGGUCAACAAGCGUGUUGAAGAAAAGAAGCCGAAACAACCACAGACCACUAACAUGAAGAUUGAGUUGAAGUCGUUCAUUGGCAAAGAGAACUUCACACUAUGGCAAAGAAUGAUGAAAUAUGCCCAAGCUCAGCAGGGUCUCAAUGUUGUCUUUGUAGGUGAGAACAAGCUGGAAACCAUGACCUCAGAGGAAUAGGAAACGCUUGACGAGUUAGCUAGGGGAGCAUCGAGAAGUAUAUUUCUGUGAAGGUGAUGUUCAAUGUGAUGGAAGACACCGCAAAGAAAACAUGGGAAAAGCUCGACGAGAUGUUUGCAAGAAAGUCACUAUCAAACACACUAUUCUUGAAGCAAGAACUCCUAAAUAUUUAGAUGGAGGAAAUCUUAUGAAGCAUCUUAGUACCUUCAAUAUGUGUAUUGCGGCCUUGCAGAGGAUUGAAGUUAUAUAUAGUAUAGAGGAUAAGGUUUAUGUUGCUGACAUCCUUAUUUCCAUCAUAUAGACAAUUUCGAAUAAUGCUUAUGUUAGGCAAGAGUACUCUCAAGUUUGAGGAGGUGGUACAAGGCAUUCUCAACCACCAUUGGAUGUCUCAACAUGUUAAAGAGAGCUAUCAAGGUGAAGUUCUAGUUGCAAAGACUGAAGAAAGGGGUCAUUCAAACAAGCAUGAUGGCAAAAAGGGCAAUAGGGAAUAUCAAAAUUGAAGGCCAAAGACGGUUGUUUUUGAGUGUUAGUCAAAGUUGUUUUUGCUUCUCGUACAUUUUCUUCCAACCAUGGUUGUUUGGAAGGCUACAGUGGUUUUGUAUCAUAAUUAUAACUUCAAUUCAAUUUACAGGUGUUUCCCUUUUUUCGGCCGGGUAGGCCAAUUGAUGGAGUUUUUGGACCUUCUUUAAUUGAGUGCGGGGUGUGCCACUACCAAGCCACGAAUUAGGCUUGAAUGGAAUGUGAGUAGAUGAUGCGUUCGAAAUUUGACUUUAAUCAAAUGAUUGUUCAGCCAAGGAAGAAACCUCCUCACGGCCUAGGUUCUUUCACUACCUAUGAGUCAAGGCUUCAUGUAUGAGCAACCAAAUGAUGUGGAGUGGGUGGAGAUGAAGAUUGAAGGUGAAAUGUAAUGAAACGAAGAACACGUGCGUAAAGUAAAAGGUGCUUGAAUUUAAAUAUAAUUGAAAGAUAAAUACGGAAAGUAAAGUGUGUAAAAUAAAUAAUUUAAAGAUGAAUGUGUAAAAGAAGAUUAAUUAAUAGGGAUAAUAUCUUAAUUAAUAGGAUAUUAUCUUAAUGCCGUCUCCAAUCACAGCACGCCAUGUGGAAAAGAAGAUUAUCUCUUAAAUUAAUUAAUUGAACCAGUUUAUAUGGCCAAUUAAUUAAUAGGGAUAAAUAUCUUAAUUAAUAGGAUAUUAUCUUAAAUAAGAUAAUAUCCUAUUAAUUCAGAUAUUAUCCUAAUAAAGAGAAGAUAAUAUCGUUAAUUUAGAUAUUAUCCUAAUAAAGAGAAGAUAAUAUCAUUAAAUUAGAUAUUAUCUUCAAUAAAGAGAUAUAAUCAAGUCCAACUCGAUCCCUACGAAUUUGGAUAGAGAAUAAACUCAUCAUAUUCUCUACGAAACCCUAGCCCCGAGGCUCCUAUAAAUAUACGACCUUAUUCAUCAUUCAAUGUACCUCUAAACCUACUCCACUCUCCACUCUCCACUCUCCAUAUUUUCUCCACACGGCUCCGGCCGCCCGGUUCACACCAUACAUAAACUCCGUACCCUUCGCUUAGCUAUUGUUUUCCUACAAACACUCGAACUAACUUAAGCAUCGGAGGGCCUUUGGCCAACACCCCCCGGGUGUGGUCUAUUUACUCCAAUCUUUUUUACAGGAAUCGAGGAAGAGAGAGAAGCAAGAUCGAAGGUUGAAGGAUCUAGAAGCGAAUAUUCUCCCGCGAGAUUAUUUGUACAAACAUUUGGUGCUUUCGUUGAGAGCAUGAGUUAUACUCAACACGUGCUCAAGGAAUCCAUUCCUCCUAUUUUCCAAUCAACUGAAGCCUUUCAAACAACCAUCGUUGGAAGCAAGCGCACGAUGAGCAAAACCGCCUCGAUGGCUCAGUCCGUGACGGCCCAAAGCUACUCCUCCCACGAUCCCGCGAUCGACAUGGCGGCUCCACCGCUUCCUGCCACCAUGAACCCACAACAAACCCUAGCUGCCGCACCACAACAGCCACCCCGUGUGACUGGAACCACCACAUCGGCCUCUGCAGUCGUCGUACCAUAUCAAGGCCAUGUGGCCGGAUCUAGCCACCUUCAUAGCACCGUUGUCGAGCAUGGUGGAACCUCCUAUCAAGGUGGGCUUACUACCACUGCCGACUUUGGCCCAAUCUUGGUGCAACUUCAAGCAUUCCCUCCAUUGCCUCCAUGCUCGACGCACGCUUCCGCAUACACAUCUAAUGAAACCCUAGCCCGUGUGCAAUUGGGCUCCAUACACUUCUCUCCUCCCGAUCCACGAAGCCAGUAGACCUUAAUCUGAGAGUUGACUAGCUAACUCAGAGAAUGGACGACCAAAAUAAUUUGAUGAGGCAGCUCCUCAACCAAAUAAACUUGGCUCAAAACCUUGGCCUUGGACAACAGGGCGAAGAGAGAAGGAUGGAUGAACGCUCCGAUGGGCAGUUCAAUGGGAACCAAGCAGGUCGAGCAGGAGUAAGCAGACAAGGAGAUGCACAACAACGUGAUUAGCUUGCCGACAUGUCGCAAGCAUCAGCAAGCCACAUUCAGAGCAGACGAAGUCUCCCGUCCAUAUUGAAUUUAAGGACCAACGUGCGUCGUAGGUUGGGCCCACAACUUGGCAUUCACGCCGGGCUGGGCCAUCAAGAAAAUGUUCAUGAAAGGCUAGGCUCCUAGGGAGGUCAAGUUGACAAUCGCCGCAAUGAGGAUCGUGAAGAGAGGCACUUUGCUGCCCGCUCGCAGAGAAAUAUUCACGAAAGGGUAGGCCCCUAGGGAGGUCAACCUGGUAACCCUCACAAUGAGGACCAUGAAGAAAGGCACUCCACUACCCACUCUUGGAGAACCAAUUGUCGUCGCUAAGCUACAAAAAAUCCCUUGCAAGCGCAGUCCACCAACACGCCGCCUAGGCAGCGCAACUGAGAAGGUUGACCCUCACGAACCAAUGAGGAAGUCAAUCAGCAACACCCAAAUCGUGAAGGCCAUCAACGUGAUCAACCAGCCAUUUGUGCAAAAAACGUUGAGAAGCUUGUGAAUAACCGACUGCGAGACUUAAAGAUUGGAGGAAAUUUCGAAGAUGCACUACGUGUUGAGGUAGACCGAGCAAACUCCUCACCUUUAACCGCUGAAAUCAAGCAGGCUGCUCCCCCGAAACGAUUCUCAACGCCCUCUUUCACAUGCUUCAAAGGGGAUUCCGAUCUCGAAAGUCAUCUGAAGCAUUUCAAGAGCCUUAUGAUCCUCUACAAAGCCGAAGACGCGCUAAUGUGCAAAGUGUUUGCGAUGACUUUGAAGGGAGCAGCUCAGGAUUGGUUCCAUACCCUGCCAUCCGGGUCGAUCAGCAGCUUCAAGGAGCUUGCUUAUGUCUUCACCAAAGAGUAUACUUCUUACCGGACGAUCAAGAAGAACCCUGACCACUUGUACAACCUGGGCAAGAAGCCCAACGAAUCCAUUUGAGAUUACAUCAAGAGAUUCAAGGCAGAAAAGGCCAACAUCGUGGGGUGCGAUGAUCGAAUCCCAUCCUCUGCAUUCAAGAAAGGUCUUCCCGCUAAACACGACUUAUAUCGCGAGCUGACUAUCACUCCCAGCCAGACUCUGGCAGAGGUCUUCGCGACCGCGGAAUGCUAUGGGCUUUGGGAUGACGAUCGAAUCGCCGCAAAGAAGUCUACCGAGCAGGAAGAUCGGCCGACCAAGCUGGCAGAUCAAAGAAGCGACAGGCUUGGCAACAGGGACAAAGAUAAAUGCAGGUCACGCCCAUAAGGAGAUGCUACGACAAAAGAGAACUACACCAAGUUCUCCAUCUGUAUACAUCAAAUUUUAGCCCAAGUGAAGGACAAACCUUGGGUAAAAAGACCGCCACCCUUGAAAGGAGAUCCAAACAAGAGGGAUACCAAAAAAUAUUGUGCUUUCCAUGCGACACAUGUGCAUAAUACGAACAAUUGCUUUGCUUGGAAAGCACACCUCGAAGAACUCGUGAGAGAAGGUCACUGCAUGGAGUUCAUCGCGUAGCAGGCCAUCCAGCAGAUAGAGGAACGCGAUACCACCAAAGAGCCACCCCAUAAGGUCAUAAGGAUUAACACAAUCAUAGCCGACUCCAAGGAGUUCAGACUGACCAACAAAGAAAAGAAGAGAAAGAUUAAGCAGGCCACCAUGAUCUCCCAAGUCUCUACAAAUCUCCCACUGGCAGAAGACGAUCCCAUGAUCGACUUCCAAAAGAAAGAUUUAAUCGGCCUUGAUUUACCACACAUCGACGCCCUUGUCAUCAGCAUUCAAAUUGCUCAGGCUAUGGUCGACUGAAUCCAUGCAGACGAGGGCAGUGCAGCCAACAUCCUACAAUUAGUGGUCAUCCAACAGAUGAGCUUAGAGACAAAAAUCAAUAAGUCAGCCAAGUCACUGACUGGCUUCAAUGGCGCAACAACAGUUACUGUGGGCGCGAUAGAUCUCGACGUCUACUCUCCACCAGUAAUCAGCUCGCAAACGUUCAUGGUCAUUGAUCAAGUCUCACCCUAUAAUGGCAUUCUGGAUAGACCAUGGAUUGGUAAGAUCAGCGCCAUCACCUCUGCCAUACAUCAGAAGAUCCGCUACCUAAUUCCUAGUGGCAGUAUCGGCCAGGUCAAUAGCGAUCAGGCAAUGGUGAGGAAAUGCUCAGCUCAAGGACUGAAGAAAGGUAAUCAAACACAGUUCCUCCCAGUGAUUAGGCAGAUAUAAAGGGAGUAGAACAAGCAGAGGAGAAAACAGAUCUCGUUCCUGACGGCCGAGCAAACCAGAAAGGAAAGGGAAUAACUACUCCCCCAUAGCAAUCAAAGAAUUAGGACCAAGUUGAGGGAAUCCGUCCGGAGGUCUCUCUUGAAGAAGGAUGGAAGCCCGAGGAGGACGUGGAGCUAGUACCCCUUGAUCCUGACAAGCUAGAGAGAAUAGCGCGGCUCGGCUCGUGCCUUAGCCUGAAGGAAAAGGCAGAGCUUGCAGCCUUCCUCCAGAACAACAAAGACGUAUUUGCAUGGUCACCAUCUGACAUGCCUGGCAUUGAUCCCCAGAUCAUCUGCCAUCGCCUACACGUCAACCCAGCUAUCAAACCUGUAGUGCAAAAAAGACACAACUUCGCCCCCGAGAUUGACAAGCUUCUAGCUAUUGAUUUCAUUGAAGCUGAGAUCGACAAGCUUCUAGCUAUUGAUUUCAUUGAAGAUGUCUCCUACGCAGAAUGGCUGGCGAACGUUGUUCUAGUAGCAAAGAAAGAUAAAGGCCUGUGUAAAGUGUGCGUCGACUACACCGACCUAAAAAAGGCAUGCCCUAAAGACAACUUUCCACUACCAAGAAUUGAUCAGCUUGUCGAUUCAACUUCCGGCAAUCAACUGCUAAGCUUCAUGGACGCCUACUCUGGCUACAACUAAAUCAUGAUGCAUGAAGACGACAGGGCAAAGACCUCAUUCAUCAUCGAAAGAGGUACAUACUGCUACAAAGUCAUGCUCUUUGAGCUGAAGAACACUGGAGCAACCUACCAAAGGCUAGUGAACAAAAUUUUUGAGGAGCAAAUCGGCAAGACUAUGGAGGUCUACAUAGACGACAUGUUAGUCAAAGCUCCGGAGUGAGCAGACCACAUCAAGAACCUUGCCAAGGCAUUCAGCCUACUUCGAAAAUACAACAUGAAGUUGAACCCGAGCAAAUGCACGUUUGGAGUCUCGUCCGGCCGAUUCCUGGGAUAAUUAGUCACCCAUAGGGGAAUUGAGGCACAUCCAAAUCAAAUCAAGGCUAUACUCAACAUGAAGUCACCUGCCACAAAAAUGAGAUACAAAGUCUAACGGGUAGAGUGGUAGCUCUUAACCGAUUCCUCUCAAGAUCUACCGACAAGUGCAGGCCAUUUUUCAAAGCCUUGAAGAAAGGAUACAAAGAUAAGUGGGAUGACGAGUGUGAAGUAGCUUUUCAAAACUUGAAAGCCUACCUCACUUCACCUCCCUUACUCUCAAAAUCAAUACCAGGCGAAGACUUGUACAUCUACCUGGCGGUGUCUGACUCAGCUGUCAGCUCAGCUCUCAUCCAAGAAGAGUUGUGGGAACAACAUCCGAUAUUCUACACUUCAAAAAAGCCCUCCUCGAUGCAGAGACUCGCUAUCCGAAAAUGGAGAAGCUCAUUUUUACGCUUGUGGUUUCUGGGAGAAAACUAAGGCCCUACUAUCAAGCACACUGGAUAAUUGUCAUGAUAGAAUUUUCUUUGAGAUCGAUCCUCCACAGCCCCAACGCUUCUCAGCGACUUAUGAAAUGGGCUAUCGAACUCAGUCAAUACGACCUCCUCUACCGGCUGAAGAUUGCUACAAAAGCCCAAGCUUUAGCAGAUUUUAUUGUAGAGUUUACUCCGACAGCCGAAGAAGAGAAGACGGUCACGAAAAGCAUGGAAAAAGCAGAAGACACCUCCCCCACCGAUUCGAACCUACCUGACGACAUGUGGCAGUUGCAUGUAGACGAAGCAUCAAAUCACAAAGGAGCGGGGGCAGGCGUCGUCAUAAUCACCCCAGACAUAACUUUGUUGGAGCAAGAUAUCACACUAGGCUUUUCUACUUCAAACAACGAGGCAGAAUAUGAGCCAUUGCUUGCAGGAUUGAGCCUAGUAAAAGAACUGUCGAUCAAGAGAUUGGCCAUCUACUCAAACUCCCAGCUAAUCACGAAUCAAGCCUCAGGCGAGUACAUGGCAAAAACAUCCAAGAAUGGUCCAAUACCUCGACAAAGUCCAGGGACUUUUGAAAUAAUUCCAUACUUUCACCAUCCAACAAGUUCCACGGGCAGAGAACACUCAUGCAGAAGCAUUGGCAAGCCUAGGAUUAGCACUGGACACCCUGUUCAAACGCUCCAUCCCGGUUGAACACCUUGACCGAUCAAGCAUCGAAGAAAUAGAGCCAAUCAACUCAAUGUAGAUAGAUGAAGACCCCAGCUGGCAAGACCCUAUCAUCGACAACUUUGUGAAUGGAAAUCUGCGAACGGAUAAGUCCGAAGCUAGGAAGGUCCAGCAGAAAGCCGCGAGAUAUUACAUGCAAGGCGACAAGCUCAUUCGCAGAUCAUACUCCGGCCCUUAUCUCACUUGCUUAAAAUACCCUCAAACACUUGAGGUCCUCUGCAAAAUUCACGACGGUGAGUGUGGCAACCACUCUAGAGGCAGGUCACUCGCCCAGAAGGCUCUAAACGUAGGCUACUUCUGGCCUACUAUGCACCAUGACUCCACUGAAUAUGUCAAAAGAUGUGAUCACUGCCAACGGUACAAACCGGUUCUUAACCUGCCUGCUGAAACUUACCAUCUGCAGAACAAUCCGUGGCCUUUCAUGCAAUGGGCAAUCGACUUAGUAGGGCCCAUGUCAACGACACCUGCCAAGAAAGAAAUGAUGAUUGUCGCCACUGAUUACUUUACUAUAUGGAUCAAGGCCGAAGCUCUAUCCUCUACUAAAGAAGCCGAUGUGGAACGAUUUAUUUGGAGAAACAUUAUAUGCCAGUUUGGCUGCCCACAAUUACUAGUUACCGACAAUGGCUCACAAUUAAUCGGCAAGCAGAUCACCGCCUUUUUCAAAAAGUAUGGUAUCAAGAAGCAUCUAUCUAUCCCGAGAUAUCUUCAGGGCAACGGCCAGGCCGAGGCAUCCAAUAAAAUAAUAUUGGAUUGUCUAAAGAAGAGAUUAGAAGGCGUCGAAGGAAAAUGGGUAGAUGAGCUCCCUGGAGUACUAUGAGCUUAUCGCACCACCAAGCGAAGAUCAACUUGUGAAACCCCGUUUUCCCUCGCCUAUGGAACUGAAGUGAUCAUUCCUCCUCACGUCAUUGUCCCCUCUAUAGGCAUUGAAGUGGGCAGCAUUGAGCAAAACUCCAAGCAGAUGAGGCUCAACCUUGACUUACUUGAAGGUGAGCUUGAAAAAACCAUUGUUCGAGUCACCUUAUAUCAACAGCGGUUCUUACUACGACAAAAGAGCCAAGUUCAGACGAUUUCAACCAUGCGACCUUGUGCUAAGAAAAGCCUUCAUCACUGCACAAAGACAAGGGUCUAAAAAGAUGAAACCCAAUUGGGAAGGCCCUUGCGUAAUCAGCCAGUUCGGGGGUAGAGGAAGCUAUAUGCUUGACACCAUGGAAGGGAAGGAGAUUCCACGAUAAUGGAAUGCCUGCCACCUCCAAAGAUAUUAUCUAUGAAACUUUUCCCUACCUGCUCAAUCCCCAACAGAUGACUGAGCACUACAUAUUUCUGAAGAAGAGAAGCAACUACUGCAAAUUCCAAAAUAUGCCACAACAAAAGAUGGUUGCCUAUGCAGCGUCCUUCGGGAGACACAGCUUGCAAAGAAGCGUCCUAAGGGAAACACAGGGUGGGCCAAGAAUUCCCUAAGGGAAGUAUCCAGAUUCCUAUCCAUUUCCUAAGGAGAGCAGGAUAUUCAUACAAUUGCCCAUAAAAGGCGUCCUAAGGGAGACGCAGGGCGACGACUAGAAGCGUCCUUCGGGAGACAUAGCCCGCAAAGCAGCAUCCUAAGGUAGACGCAAGGUGCACCAGGAAUUUCUUAAAAGGAGGUCACCAUACUUCCUGCGGAAAAUAUCCAGGUUCCUAUACGUUUCCUAAGAGGGGCAGGAUAGUCAAACAGUUGCCCAUAAAAAGCGUCCUAAGGGAUACGCAGGGCAAUGACCAGAAGCGUCCUUCGGGACACGCAGCCAGCAAAGCAGCAUCCAAAAAGAGCCGCAGGGUGCGCCAGGAAUUUCCUAAGAGAAGUAUCCAGGUUCCUAUCCAUUUCCUAAGGGGGCAGGAUAGUCAUGCAAUUGUCCAUAAGCAGCGUCCUAAGGGAGACGUAGGGCAACGACCAGCAGCGUUCUAAGCGUUCUCCAAAAAAUGCAGAAUACACUCGGAGUCCCUUAAGGGGAACCCUGGCUUUUGUUCAAAUCCUAAGGGAAAGGCACAACUAAGACACUAGCCAGUUACACAAGCAGUUCACAAAACAACAUGCAAUUGAAGUUGAAAAAAUAACUGAAAUUUCCAUAGUAAAGUGACCAGCUGGCCAAGUUCAACAAAAAGAAGAUGGUCAAGCAAGAUCAAUUAUUCUGAACAAAUAGCAGACUAUAAAAGCUAAAAAGAAAUAAAGGAGUCGUCAUCUACUUUGAGACGCCAGUAGGAGAUCCCUGAUCUGCAUAAUCUUCAGCAUUCGCCUUAUCAGCCACACUCUCAGCAGCUCCACCUGCCUGAUCCGCCACGUCUGCCACCACUUUUUUUUUUUGAAGGAGAUGAAAUGUUGCUUCCCUUUGUUUUUCCAAGGAAAGACUUGAGAAAGUACCAAGAUCGUCAGCCUGAUGGAUUUGAUCAACCAGCUCAGCACAAGUGGAUGGACUUGACAAAAAGUUCAUCUUGAGCAGAUCAGACAUGCUUGCAUCCUCUGUAGGGGUGGACUUGUCCACCUUGGGAUCAACUGCUGACAUUGCAGAAGAGCUCGCUCGGGCAAAUGACUCUCUUGCUUUCCUAGCCUCUGCCAACCUCACUUCCAAAGGAAUUGGCGAUGACGAAUCCACUCCACGCUUGACUGCUCGUGACUCAGCAGCUGAAACAUGAUGGAUGGAUGGAUGAGCAGACCGCCCAGAUCGACUUCCACUUUUCAACUGAUGCAGAUUACCCGAACUUCGAAGACGAGCAUCUGCACCUCUUUGCUUCUCAACGGGUGAGCUAGACCGUGCACGAACUAUUUCACGGAGCAGAUCAUCUCCAAACUCAUCAGCAAGAGGCCUAAAGGAUGUCCCUAAUGUUGCGCAUACCACCAAUCUUUUUGUUAUCUGCACCAACAAGAUGUUUGACCCUGGUAGAUGACGCGGGAAUAGCUCCUACUUGGGUCUUCUCAGUAGAAGGGAGCUUUAGUUUCUUACUCAAUGAAGACGCAUUCCUCGCCCGUGAAGAAGUAGCUUGAGUUCUCGAAGACUUGACACCAGCCUUCCUCUUUGAGGGCGGUUUAGCAGAGCACUCCACUUGUGUAGCAGGCAGAUCAUCAGGAUUCGGACCAUCCUGCUUCUCUCUCUCGACAUCCUUAGCAGGGGCAGUCUACCAACUUCCUCCUGAUCGUCGCUCAGCAGCCACCAGUGGCCACCGCAGCUCCAAUCGUCUUUGGCCGCCAAUCACGACGACAACCAGCUUGGUCCCACCCAGCUGGUCCUCGCCGCAAAAAAGGGAAGAUGAAGAAAAAAUUUACGUGCUUGACUUACUUCGGGAUGCACGGCAACUCCUCUCUUCGACAAGCAGUACAAAAUUCUCCAAGAUCUUUCUCAAGCUAGAAAGUAGAUAAGUUAAGUUUGCAAUGUGAGUAAGAGUGAAGAGAAACCCUGUAUUUAUACAAGUUGGACAACCCGGGUCGAGGAGGAAUCACAAGCUCAUUCCUACUGGGAAUCCAACUCCAACAACUGUCAGAAGCCUACACCAAUCGGGAAUCCGAUUUGCAAAAGGAGUCCAACUCACAGAAUAAAGCCCAAACACAGUUGGAGAGCCCGAAAAAAAUAAUUUCAUCUCCUACAUGCCACACAAGUGCCAUGCAGAAGCUGGGGGGCAUUUGUGGGACCAAAUAUUUCCGUCUCCAAUCACAGCACGCCAUGUGAAAAAGAAGAUUAUCUCUUAAAUUAAUUAAUUGAAUCAAUUUAUCCUAAUAAAGAGAAGAUAAUAUCAUUAAAUCAGAUAUUAUCUUCAAUAAAGAGAUAUAAUCAAGUCCGACUCGAUCCCUACGAAUUUGGAUAGAGAAUAAACUCGUCAUAUUCUCUACGAAACCCUAGCUCCGAGGCUCCUAUAAAUAGACGACCUCAUUCAUCAUUCAAGGUACAUCUAUACCUACUCCUAAUAGCCCAGAAAAAUACCGAAGCUCUCUCUCCCUCUCCACUCUCCACUUUCCAUAUUUUCUCCACACAGCUCCAGUCACCACACACGGCUCCGGCCGCCCAAUUCACACCAUACAUAAACUCCUUACCCUUCGCUUAGCUAUUGUUUUCCUACAAACACUUGAACUAACUUAGGCAUCAGAGGGCCUUUGGCCAACACCCCCCGGGUGUGGUCUAUUUACUCCAAUCUUUUUUACAGGAAUCGAGGAAGAGAGAGAAGGAAGAUCGAAGGUGGAAGUAUCUAGAAGCGAAUAUUCUCUUGCGAGAUUAUUUGCACAAACAGAUAUUGAACUUCAAAUUUUUAUUAUAGGAUGCCAAACACAUACAAGAUUCAAAGAAGUGACAACAUCAUACUAAAGUUAUACAAUAUCACGUAUACAUACCAUCAAGAAUUUAUGUACAUAGUUUGACGUUCCUAUCAAAUAUUCCUCUUCCAUAAGUAGAAAUGAAAAUCUCUAUAAGAAGAGGAAAUUGUAUCCAAAUAAAUAAGGUGACUGGAACACUAGCAAGAAAAAUAAUUGGAAUAACAAUCCAUGAUUGUUCAUGAAUCAUAUAAUGAAAAAGCCAGAUGAAAAGGCAACCAUUAUGGCAGGGAUAGAUAUGAAUAGGGAGGAAAGGCCUAUUAUCAUCUUUGUUGGCAAGGAUUUGAGGAAAUCAUUUUCUACAUAACGUGAUGUAAGGAUUCUCAGAAACAUCAACACUAAAUUUGUGGAAGAAAAGAGUGAUAUAGCAUCUGACACUAUAAAAACCAUAAAAACCUUUUUAUUCAAGAAUAUGGGAAUGCCUGUUUCUCCAUUGUUUCCACCAGCAGGGACUGUGAAUGCUGAAGCAAACAUAGUGGUAAUAAUGAGAGCACCUACAAGGCGGCCCUGAGCAUGUGCAAGUGGUGCCACCCCACAGGGCCCCGAAAUUUUUUGACAUGUAUAUUAUAUAGAUUAAUAUUACAAGUAUUAUAUAUAUUUAAGCGUGUAGAAAAAUAACACAACUGUGUAUUUGGUUUUGUUGGUCUUUAUUGCCUCAAUGAUAUCAUAAAAUAAAAUAAAAAUUAUUGUCUUCUUCCUCUUCUUUUUUCUCAAAUUGAAACAUUAGAACUUUUAUAAAUUUAAUUUAUGAUAUCAUUGUAUGCUAAUUAAUGAUGAAUUUUAAUUGUUAAAAAAGUUGUUUUAAGGUAUCAAGUCAUGGCAAAUUUUCUAUUUUCUUUAGUAUUUUCAUAUUAUAUUAUGUGAGGUCCCCGUUUAAGUUCGCACAGGGCCUUCAAAAUAUCAAGACCAACCCUGCUACAUCUAUACAAGAAGUUGCAGUUUCUUUCAUCCAUCUUUCCCCUUCCUUCACCAAUUCCUUGUGGUUCUUGGUAAGCAAGAACUUAUGAAGGCUAUUAUGAGAGGAAACUCUUCAAAUAGUAACAUUGGCUUUACAAGAUUCUUCAAAUUCCAUGACUGCAUCUUGAAAUAAAAAAUACAGCCAGGCAAGCGCGAGAUGUUGAGGGUAGGGACCACUCUUUGGUGGGCAGGGGAUAGAAAAACAAAAGGUCAGAUGGGUGAAUGACAAAAUCAAAGAUGUCAAACAACCUUUUAAAUGGAGACUGCAAUUGACCAAAAAAAAAAUGGAGAUUGCAGAAAAUUUAAGGGGGAGGAUGGGGGAGAAAUAUGGGUGGAAGGAAGACAAUGAAUGGAACUAUGUAUCCCUCAUUUAUUUUUUAAUUUUUGCGGAUUAAAAUAGUUAAAAGAUUGUUUUGGUAAAGUAAGGAGUAUGACAAGGGUUUAAAUUACAAGCUAUUAGUGCCAUUAGAUUAAUCCAAUGCUUUUUAUUAAAGAGUUGUUCAUAGGUCCUAUUUUUAGGUCCUUAAGCCAUCUCCAGUCAUAGGGCUAAAUGUAGUCUAAGGCUAAAAAUUUAGCCCUCCAAAAUAUUAAUUUUUUAAAGAAUAGUGCAGGGCUAAAUUUUUCCAUCUCCAGCUAUACAGGGUUAUAUUUUAUAGUCCUUCAUAUUUUAUUAUUUUGAAAAAAACUAUGAUACAAUACUCAUACAUUCUACAACUAUAUAUUGUUUAAUUUAAUUAUAAUUUUUUUAAAACAACACUUGAAAACAUUUAAAAAGGUGAUCACUUGUAAAUUAUAAAUAAAAUUAAAUUAAAAAAAAGGAUGGGUUUCAAUGAAAUAGUAACCGACUUAUGUAAGUAGGCUUUAUAUAGUUAACCGACCUUGACAAAACAUCCCAGCCACAUGUUCAACCGACCUUGAAAAUAUGUUGAAGGUUGUGGGCUGGGGUUGAUAUUUUUUAACACUAAUCUUCUUAAUUACGGAAAAAGCAUCAGGCCUGCACGAAAUUUGGAUUGCGUGUAAAGACCUGGAAGUCUUCUUCCUCCAAGCCUCGAACUGACAAGCGUUUUCUGGUUUAGGACGUUCAGCUGUACCCUACACUACAUCUAGGGGUGGUUGCGGUUCGGUAACCGCGAAUUUUUACUCAAACCGCAAACCGACCGACUAUUUGCGGUUUGGUGAUUUUUGAAACCGCAAACCGACCGCGUUUUGCGGUUUAAAACCGCAAAUUCUCAAGCAUUCACAAAAAUAUAAAUUUACAACCUAAAUAAAUAAAUACACAACCUCAAUUUCUCAAGCAUAUAUAAAUUCACAAUCGAUUCCAAUUCUCAAGCAUUCACAACCUAAGAAAAUUAAAGUUACAAUUCCAAACAUUCCAAUUAAAGUUAAACUUCUCAAGCAUUCCAAUUCCAAAUCCUUUAAAUUUACAAACCAAAAGCAAAAUGAAUUAAAGUUACAACCAAAAAGAAAAAUCCAAUUCACAGUUAAUUAAAGUUACAAACUAAAAGGAAAAAUGCAAUACACCAAUGUUACAAACUCAAGUGUUGGUGGUGAGUGGAUUUGAAGAACCCCUUUGUGUUGUUUGAGCACCAAUGCUAUCUACAAAUAAAACAACAUAGUUUAGUACAUUUUAUUAUAAGAAGAAGCAUAAAUAACAUUAGCAUAAAUAAACUAAUUACUUACAAGUUGUCAUAUCUUCCAUUUCCUUGUAGAAUUCAACCUCGUCAUCUGUUGGUUCCUUGUAAAAGGAAAAUUCGUCCGCUCUAAGCCAAUCACUAGUACACACUAAUGCCUCUACCAUUUUAGGAUGCAAAGAGCUUCUAAAAGGAUCCACAAUCCUCUUGCCUAUACUAAAAGUAUUUUCACUAGCAACCGUAGAACUUGGAAUUGCAAAGAUAUCCUUGGCAACUUGUGAAAGAAUAGGAUAUCUUGUUUGGUUCCCUUUCCACCAAUUCAAGAGAAGAGAAGGGUUUACAAUUUUACUUAAUUAUUCAUAGAGUAUAGCCAUGCGGCUAUACUUUGCGGUUUGCGGUAACCGCAAAUUUUGAAAAUCAAAUACCGCAACCGCAACCGUAAAUGCGGUUCGGUUCUUAAUACCGCGAUUGCGGUUCGGUUUAUCGCGAUUGCGGUUUUAUUGCGGUAAAAUAUCGGUUGGUUUUUGCGGUUUUUCGGUUUUUCGGUUUAAAAUGCCACCCCUAACUACAUCCCAAAGGCCUCUAGCCAACAAGUAAUUUUUAACCAAUGCACUCCAGUACUCAGUUAUCUUCGUUAAGAACUUCCACAACAAUUGCAUCGGCAGGAACCACAGGUUUCACCACUCUUACUGAUACUAGCGGCUGAAAGCUGACCCGGCUUGCUAUUUUUGUUGUUUUUAUAUUUAGGUCUCAGAUCAAAGUUUACAACUCAGAAGAGUAAAGGAUCUCAUCUUAGUGACCGUUUGGCAUUGCUUAUUUGGGGUAAUAAGUGAUUUUUAAACAAAUUUGGAAAGCUCAACCCAUUUGGUAAACUGUGAAAAAAUCACUUAUUGUUAAAAAUUGCUGUGAGCACUGGCGGACCCAGAAUUUUUUUAGCGGAGGUGCAAUAUUGACUAAGUAUGAAAAAUGGUUUUUCAGAAUAAUCAUUUUCUCAACAUAAUUUUUGGCGGCUUUUAUUCCUUAUACAUCAAAUAAGAAAACUUGAUUUUAUGGGAUUUUAAUAUAAAGUAUAUAUUGAUUUAAUGAGCCAUCAUUUUUAGCCUAAAUCGUAUUUUGCACUAAAACCGAAUUUUCAUAUUUUGAUUUGGUGGGAAUUUGAUUUUCUAGUAUUUUUAUUUGAAUCCAAAUGCGGGGUACUUCCUUAUUUACAUUAUAAACUUAAGUAAAUGGAGUAAUAUAAAAAUAAAAAUAAGGUAAUCUGUAUACCAGUUAAGCAAAGGGGCAAUUUGAAGCAUCUACAAUGAUUUUUCCGACAAGGGGAGGUGCAGUGCACCUCCUUGCGCCUUAGUAGGUCCGCCCCUGGCUGUGAGAGAAAGCUAUAAGGGAAAACAGCUAAUGAGGUGCUUUCAUUUUCUAAUUAUGCAGGAAUCAGUUUCGAAGAGGCGCUUGGUUUCAUUUUUUGAUUAUGCAGAAAUCAAUACCAACAACACUUUUUACAAAAAUUUUACCAAACGCCAAACUGUUUUAUCUCACAGCAAAUCUAACAGCGAUUAUUUUCACAGCAUAGCAAUGCCAAACUGGCCCUUAAAGUAGUGUUGGGGGUUGAGUGCAUUAAGAAUGAGGCCUUUUCUUUUCAAGCAUUCUUUAAGUACUUACAUUUGUUCUUUUUCUUUAUCUGGAAGUACCACGCCAGUAUACCAAUAUUCCAUCUAGUACUUAUAUACCCAAAAAAAUUAAAAGAGAAAAAGAAAAAAUUCCAAAGGAAUUGAGAUUACGAAUCAUGAAAACUUCAACGACUAAAUAAAUAAAUAAACCAUGUAGCUUAUGUACACCAUGUAGUUUAUGUUUUUUAUUUCAGCAUUCAUCACCAAUAAAUAAAUAAACCAGUGUUUUGUUUGUUUCAAUACUAACAGAAGUGUUGAAGUAUAACCCUUCGAGCUGAAGGUCUUGGCGCCAAAGCUGGUUCUAAUUUGAAUGUUUUGCUUAGUUCAGUUUUUUUUAUUAGUUUUGUUUAAAAUCUUCAGGUUGUAAUAUGAGCCCUUAGAUCAUAGUCCAAGUGGCCUCUUAUCUAGCCUAGGAUUUAUUCUGUUAGAUUAUGACAAGUGGCUUCAUCUCAUAAGAUGAUAGCAUCAAUGGCUAGGAUUAGAUCUAUGUGCAAAUAAUCUGUUAAGAGAAGAAUCUCUCUUCUCUCUCCUCUAACGGUUAUAUUGCUCACUGUAAUGAAAGCUCUGUAGCAGCUCAUGUUUUGAAAUACAGAAGUCGUUUCAGCUCAACAUCUUCUUCUUCUCCAUUCUCCAAUAAAUCUAAAACCUCCAGAAAACUAAAUCAUCAAAACCACAAACUCUAAUAUGGCCUCAGAGCCAGGUUGGAUUGCUUAAAAACUGGGAGUGAAUCUGUGAAAAGAGUAUCAGACUUGAUUCAAGCUAUUUUUUGAGCUACUCUUGAAGUUUGAAGCUGUAAUCAUCUGAAUCAAGUGCCUAAUAUGGCAGGAUCAGGAACAGCUGAGCUUCGCACACUGAUUUUCAAUGGAGAAAAUUAUGAAUUCUGGAGUAUUAGGAUGAAAACCAUUCUGAAAUCCCAUGGACUGUGGGACCUGGUCGAAAAUGGGCUCACUGAGUCAGACUUGAAGAAGGAGAAAGAGGAUGCUUCCAUUUCUGAAAAGUCUCCAACGACUCAAACUCUAAUGAGAGAUGCUCGAGCACUUGGAUAGAUUCAAAGUGCUGUCUCAGAUCAGCUCUUUCCCAGAAUCGUUAAUGAGGAGACCUCAAAGGGUGCUUGGGAUAUUCUGAAGCUGGAGUUCAGAGGUGACAAACAAGUAAGAAAUGUUAAAUUGCAAGGUUUGCGUAGAGAAUUUGAAUAUGCUCGCAUGAAGGAUUGUGAGACUCCAUCUGUAUAUCUUGUUAGGCUGUUUGAUAUGAUGAAUCAAAUGAAAAGUUAUGGAGAGGAAUUAUCUAGAGAGAGGGUUGUGCAGAAACUGUUGUUUAGUCUGCCGAAAUCCUAUGAUCUUAUUUGUUCUGUGAUUGAGCAUUCUAAGGAUCUAGAAACUCUGGAAGUGCAAGAGGUGGUUGCCUCCUUGAAGAGCUUUGAGCUCAGAUUGGAUCGCCAUACUGAAAAUUCUACAGAAAGGGCCGUUGCUAGCCUGAAUAUUGAGGAGAAAAAUCCUAAGAGUGGCAGUUUUUCUGGAGACCAAAAAUCUCAGAAAAACUGGAUUAUGGCAAGUGCUGGUUUGAAGGCAAACCUAAAUGCCAUGGAUGUGGAAAAUUUGGGCAUAUGAUCCGAGAGUGCAAUGGAAAUAAAAAUGCACAUAAGGUGAACUAUGCAAAUCAGGUGGAGGAAACAGGUACUUUGUUUUAUAUGUGCAAUGCUGCAACAGGUGUGAAAAAGAAUCACUCAUGGUAUAUUGAUAGUGGUUGUAGUAACCACAUGACAGGAGAUGAGGGACUCUUAGUGAAUAUUCAAAGGAAUUUGACUUCUAAAGUCAAGAUGGGGACUGGAGAGGUAGUUCCAGUGGCAGGAAAAGGAACUCUUGUGAUAAAAACCAAGCUGGGGAAGAAGCACAUUCAAGAAGUAAUGCUUGUACCUGGUCUGGAAGAAAAUCUACUCAGUGUUGGGCAAAUGAUGGAGCAUGGUUAUUAUCUUGUGUUUGGAGGGAAUAUGGUGAAUGUUUAUGAUGAUCAGUCACUAGGAAAUCUGAUUGUGAGGGUUCAAAUGACCAAUAACAAAUGUUUUCCACUUACAAUGAUGCCUGCAAGUGAGUUGGCUUUAAGAGCAAGUGUUUCUCACUGCCAGCAGACAUGGCACAAGAGGUUAGGACACUUAAAUGAGAGAAGCAUAAAACUGCUUGAGAAUCAGGGCAUGGUUCAUGGCCUACCUCAUUUGGAGCAAGUCUCAGUGGUUUGUGAAGGCUGCAUGCUAGGAAAGCAACACAGAGAUUCCUUCCCCUUGGAGUCUACUUGGAGAGCAACAUACCCUUUGGAAUUGGUUCACACAAAUAUUUGUGGACCAAUGAAAACAUACUCAAUCUCUGGAAAUAAAUACUUCCUGCUAUUCACUGAUGACUGCACUAGAAUGUCAUGGGUGUACUUUAUUAGAAACAAGUCAAGUGCAUUGGAGUGUUUUAGAAAAUCCAUGACUGAGCUGCAAAGUGGGUAUAAGAUAAAAGGCUUGAGAAGUGACAGGGGUGGGGAGUUUCUGUCAAGUGAAUUUAACAGUUUCUGUGCAGAGGUUGGCAUUCAAAGGCAGUUAACAGUGGCAUACUCCCCUCAGCAAAAUGGAGUAGCCGAGAGGAAGAAUAGAACAGUAGUUGAAAUGGCAAAGGCCAUGCUGCAUGAAAAGAGUAUCCCCUAUGAAUUUUGGGCAGAGGCUGUAAAUACUGCAGUUUAUCUAUUAAAUAGAUGUCCUACUAAGUCUCUAAACAAAGUAACACCUUUUGAAGCCUACACUGGGAGAAAACCAGGAAUUGCACACUUAAAGAUUUUUGGAUCACCUUGUCAUGUGCUAAUUCCUUCAGCAUUAAGGCGCAAGCUUGAGGAAAACAGUCAUAAGUGUAUUCUUGUAGGCUGUGGACUGUGUGAAAAAGGUUACAGGCUAUUUGAUCCAAGCACUAGGAAGAUAAUUCUGUCCAGAGAUGUGCAGUUUGAUGAGGAUGGUUUAUGGAAGUGGGAUAAUGCACAAGAGGGAGAAAUAACAGUUCCUAUGCCUGCUGAAAAUCAGAACUGUGAACCAAGUCUAGACUUGGACACACCACUGCAAAUGGAUGCAGGAACCACAGUGCAAGAUGAACCAAGUCAAGACUUGGACAUAUCAACUCAAAUGGUUGAAAACACUAUCCUGCAAGAUGGGAGAAUAAGUGGAAGCUCACAAGCCAUUGACCACACACCAAAGAAAUGGAGAAGUGUAAAUGAAAUCAUGGCUCAGUGCAACAUCUGCAUUGUUGAACCUGAAAGUUUUGAAGAAGCAAACCUUGAUGAGUCAUGGAGAAAUGCAAUGAAGGCUGAACUGGAAAUGAUUGAGAAAAAUAACACAUGGACACUAGUGGACAGACCAUUUGGUAAACCAAUCAUUGGUGUCAAAUGGGUCUACAAGACGAAACUAAACCUAGAUGGAUCUGUGCAGAAGAACAAGGCCAGAUUAGUGGCAAAAGGCUACUCAUAGAAACCUAGAAUAGACUACAAUGAAACAUUUGCUCCUGUAGCAAGGUUGGACACCAUUAGGACCUUGAUUGCUCUUGCUGCACAGAAGGAAUGGAAUUUGUACCAAUUGGAUGUAAAGUUUGCAUUUCUAAAUGGAGUGUUAAAAGAAGAAGUUUAUGUGGAGCAGCCACAAGGGUUUGUUAAAGACAAUGAAGAAAUCAGGGUGUACAAACUGAACAAGGCUCUGUAUGGACUAAAACAGGCUCCAAGAGCCUGGUAUGAUGAGAUAGAUUCGUAUUUCAACAGGGCAUGAUUCAAGAAAAGUCCUAGUGAGGCAACACUUUAUGUCAAAACAAAUGACACUUCAGGUAUCCUUAUUGUUUCACUCUAUGUGGAUGACAUUAUCUAUACUGGAAGUUGUCCAGAGUUACUUGAAAAGUUCAAGAUUGAUAUGAUGCAACAUUAUGAAAUGACUAACCUUGGCCUACUCUACCACUUUCUUGGCAUGGGAGUAGUGCAAAAGGAUAAAUACAUCUUUCUUCAUCAAAAGAAAUAUGCAUUGAAGGUGAUAGAGAAGUUUGGUUUGAAGGAUUGUAAAUCUGUGACAACUCCACUAGUUGCAAAUGAAAGGUUGUGCAAGGAAGAUGGUAGUGAGGCAGCAAAUGAGAGUGAAUAUAGACAGAUUGUAGGCAGCCUGCUGUAUCUGACAGCUACAAGACCAGACAUCAUGUUUGCCUCAAGUCUGCUUGCUAGAUUUAUGCAUAAUCCUACUAGAAAGCACAUGGGAACAGCCAAGAGAGUAUUGAGAUACAUCCAGGGCACACUGGAUUUUGGAAUUGAGUUCAUAAAAGGGAAGUCAGCUACUUUGAUAGGGUACUGUGACAGUGACUAGGCAGGAAGUGAAGAUGAUAGAAGAAGUACCUCAGGCUAUGCAUUUACACUAGGAUCUGGUAUGUUCUCAUGGGCAUCCAUUAAGCAAAAUACAGUAGCCUUGUCUACUGCAGAGGCAGAAUACGUUAGUGCUGCUGAAGCAACAUCACAGGCUAAGUGGCUAAGGUUUGUUCUUGAAGAUUUUGGAGAAGAGCAAGUGGAAGGUACACCAAUCUUGUGUGAUAACACCUCUGCUAUUGCAAUGGCUAAGAAUCCAGUUUUCCACCAGAAAACUAGACAUAUUAGCCGAAAGUUUCAUUUCAUCCGAGAAGCUAUUCAAGCAAAGGAGAUUGACCUAAUCUACUGCAAGUCAGAGGAUCAAAUUGCAGACAUUCUAACUAAGGCACUGUCCAAGGAUCGGUUUGUGUAUCUCAGAAAUCUACUUGGUGUGAAAUCACUCAAAGGGUUAGAAGGGAGUGUUGAAGUAUAACCCUUCGAGCUGAAGGUCUUGGCUCCAAAGCUGGUUCUAAUUUGAAUGUUUUGCUUAUUUCAGUUUUUUUUAUUAGUUUUGUUUAAAAUCUUCAGGUUGUAAUAUGAGCCCUUAGAUCAUAGUCCAAGUGGCCUCUUAUCUAGCCUAGGAUUUAUUCUGUUAGAUUAUGACAAGUGGCUUCAUCUCAUAGGAUGAUAGCAUCAAUGGCUAGGAUUAGAUCUAUGUGCAAAUAAUCUGUUAAGAGAAGAAUCUCUCUUCUCUCUCCUCUAACGGUUAUAUUGCUCACUGUAAUGAAAGCUCUGUAGCAGCUCAUGUUUUGAAAUACAGAAGUCGUUUCAGCUCAACAUCUUCUUCUUCUCCAUUCUCCAAUAAAUCUAAAACCUCCAGAAAACUAAAUCAUCAAAACCACAAACUCUAAUAAGAAGCCAACUCUAUGGAUCAAAUAUAUUGAAAAACUUAAGCUGAUUCUGAUUUGUUAUUUUUCCUACUAAUAAACAAAAACGUGCACCUGAGUUAAGAUAAUCUUCUAGUUCUGAGAUCCAGUCAAGCAUUUUUUACUAUUGCUAGGGUACAGAGGCUUUCACCUUGUUCUUUUCGUUGCUCGAUCUUCGUAUGUAACAGGCAGAGCUCAAAACAAAGUCAAACAACUUUAAGACUUGAUCCCAAAUUAUUUUCUCACACGCUUAUCUUCACCAAGAAUCAACAACAUAUUAUCAGGGUGGGGAGGGGAGCGAAGCAAAAGCUUAUCCAACAAUUAUAUCUUCACAAGAACAAAUAAAAUAGAUAUUGAACUUUUAGUUUUAUUAUAGGAUGCCAAACACAUACAUGGCAUGGACAAUGCAUACAAGCUUCUUAGAAGUUACAACAUUACGAAAGUUAUACAUUACCACUUAUACGUACCAUCAAGAAAUUAUGUCCAUGAUUUCACUUUCCUAUCAAAUAUUGCUCUUCCAAGUAGAAGAAUUUAUGCCCUCGAUUUCACUUUCCUGUCAAAUAUUCCUCCUCCAUAAGUAGAAAUGUACAUCUCAACUAGAAGAGGAAAUUGCAUCCAAAUAAAUAAGGUGAUUGGAAUACUAGCAAGGAAAAUCAUUGGAAUAACAAUCCACGACUGUUCAUGGACCAUAAUGAAAAGGGCAGAAGAAAAGGCAACCAUCAUGGCGGCAAUAGAGAAGAAUAGUGUGGAAAGCCCUAUUAUCAUCUUUGUUGGUAAGGAUUUGAGGAAAUCAUCUUCUGCAUAACGUGAUGUAAGGAUUCCCAAGAACAUCAACACUGAAGUUGUGGAAGAAAAGAGAGAUAUAGCAUCUGAAACUAUAAAAGCCAUAAACAACUUUUUAUGCAGGAAUAUUGGGAAGCCUGUUUCUCCAUUGUUUCCACCGGGAAUUGUGAAUGCUGCAGCAAACAUGAUGGUAAUAAUGAGAGCACCUACAACUGUACAUGAAGAUGCAGUUCCUUUCAUCCAUCUUUCUCCUUCCUUCACCAAUUCUUUGUGGUUCUUAGUAAACAGCUUACGUGGCGUCAUACCGUCGUUAUUAGUAGAGUCUUUCGUCCGGGGUAAUACAAUAGUCUCGACCUCCUACAUUUUUGUUGAACACAAAUAUUCAUAUGAGUAAAAGAUUAUUACUCUAUUUUUCCAAUAAUUCCCCCUUGAAUCUUUGAAAUUUGAGAGAAGCCAUACAAACCCAAACCAUUGGAGAGCAGAGGUAACAAGAAGACUAGCAUGCUGACCAUAAAGUAAGUUGAAUAAGACAUCUUAGGGCCGACCUUUAUUCCAAUUUUUCUUUUCAUUCUGCAUUUGACGUUUCUAUUAAAGGUUAUAGUUUAACUCGUGCUAUUUUGCUCUAGUUUUCGAUUAGAAAAUGCGUUUGAAGCAUUAGUUUUCAAUAUUGGAAUGAAUAAACUACUAAUCGUAACUGUGCUGACCACCUUUCUAGAGCAUCUACAACGGGCUCCCUAAAUGACCUCCUUAAACAAAUUUUAGGGAGGAAUUGGAAAAAUACAACUCCAACCAUACUCCCUAUCCACCUCCUAAAAUAGGGAGACUUCUAGGAGCUCCUAAAUUUGAGAAAAGAGAAAGGACUCCUUGUGGCAUCCUAUAAUUUAAUGAUGCUUUAUUUUAUGAAUAUUUUAAACCUUUAAUUAAUGAUAACUAUUUUGUAUGUUAUUAUUUUUAUAGAGAUAGACCAAUUAAAAGAUAGUUAUAGCAUAAUUGGAGUUAAAAUUUUAUAGAGAGCUUCUAAAAUAAUGUUUAUAUGUGUUUAGCUAAAUUUUAACUAAAAAAUAGAGAGCAUGAUUGUCGAUUCUUUUACACUUUUUGUAACGAAAACAUGCUCUCAAUACACAGCAUGAUUCUAAAAUAAUGUUUAAUGACUCAUUUCAGCCCAAACAAUUUAUUUUCAUCUAUGUUACAAUUUGUAUAAGUUGAAAAAGUAUAAAGUAACUCCGAUUUUCUUUAAUUUUUUUAAGACAGCAUCCGUCUAUCUGCUGAUGCAAUGUAAUGCAAACGUUGGAAAAGCCACAAUUUGACAAAUGAAUAUUGAUGAAUGAUGUAGAGAACAAAGAUGAACCCAUAUGCUUAGUGGAUAAUGCUUUUAUUGAUUGCGUGCAGGCCUUCAUUUGAAUAUGCGCAUAAAGCUCGAGGGCAGUUUGAAAUUGGUUUGGUUAGACUUAGAGCACUUCGUUUAUACCAAAACAAGUUUGACACCUUCAUGAACAAACCAAUAGCAAACCAAAAACAAAGAGAAAAAGUUCGAAUAAUAUUAGGGAGAUUCACUAUUAUACCCAAUAUGGGGGCCCAAAUUAUAAAAAUACCCUACAUAAAAUGGACUUUAGAAACACACCCAAAGCCCAUUUACAACAUAACAAAAAAGCUUUUAACUUCUUAUAAAUUACAAAACUGCCAUCAAUUUCUUAAAACAAGCCCAACCCCAAAAUCUCAUAAAAAUACCCAAAGCACUCAAUAGGGCAUCAAAGUAAUUUAAUAAUCAAUAUUAAAUUCAAUAAGGCCAGCUAUCAUUUUUUGGGUUUUUUUUGGGUUUGUUUAUAGGAAUUCAAUUGUGUAGAGUUUAUUUAUAAUAUUAGUGCUAGAAAUGGGUAUAUCACUAAAUAUCUCAUAAUAUUAUAUUUUACACACCAAGGCGGAGCCAGAAACAUAGAUCAUGGGGAAUAGUAUAUAAAAAUUUGAAAUCAGUUAUUUUUGUCUUUUAUAAGCAUAUGACAUGUAAUGUUAGAUGCCUUUGUGAUUUAUUAUUUUAGCUAGUUUGUAGCAGAAUGACCUUUGAACUGUAAUUGAAAGCAGAUCAUGCCUAUUAAUAAAUUACUAUAGAGUGCCCACGGCCGAUUCCCACAAUUUACAAACAAAAAAGGGUCUUUAAAAGGGCAUAUAUAUGAAAGCUAAUUCAUAAGAGAGAAGAAAAAAAAUAACUAUGAAUUAUAUAGAAUAUGUUCUGACCUUAAACCAUUGCAGUUCUCUCUGCAUUUGCAAAGCUGCACCUGAGAUAUUAUCGAGCUUUGCCAAUGGGGAUAGCAUCCCGGUCAUAUGUAGCGAGCAAUUGCCAUAGUUAUCUCCAAAAGUUCCAAUCAAUGUUCUUUUUCUUUUAUUGAGUCUAUAAAUAAGGCUAUAAAUUUUUUCUUGGCGACAUUCAAUUGCAAACUGAAAGGGGUCCCUUCCCAUUUGGUUCUGGAUCCACACGAGAUCUGGUCUUGCUUGCAAUACACUGUCAGUAAACUCAAACAUCCCUUUCUCGAUAGCUCUGAAAAUUGCUUUACGUACAUAAUCUUUGCUACGUGAAUGUUUUAUCAAUUCACACAUGUGAUGUAGGAGUUCAAGUGAUUGAAUAUGCCCCUGUUUUAUUUGGCGUAUGCGGUUGAUUCCUAGGUUGGCAUUUAAAAAAAAAACAUGUCAUACCACUAAUUCAUGAAAAAAUUUAUUGCUAAAACAAUUAAUGGAGAAUAAAGAAAAGAUGAAAAAAAAAAAAUUGUAGCAUACCCAAACGUUCAAGGAGAUUUGAUUUCAAACCUUGCAAGAGACCUACCACUGCAAUGGAAAUUCAAAAUCUAAAUAUAAGAUGGUGAAAGCUGUAUGUAUCUCUGUUAAUUAGAUGAUGACAAAAUGUAUAAAAAGGAAGAAGUAUUAGUUCACUUGAAUAUUUAGAUCCAUACAUGGAUGCGAACAUGUAUAGUGGGCUGGGCUGAACCCUUAUCCCCACUGGUUGUUGCAUCCGGAAAAACAAGCGGGCGACGUGAUGCUGUUCUGGGACUCCAACCCUCGCAAAAUAUGUGCGGCUUUUCGCCUACUCGCCGAUAUUCGGAGCAUGAGCACGCACACAACUUUUCAGUUAUUUUUUCUAAAUGAUUGUUCAUCCACACGUCUUUUAUAUAGGUGUUGAUGUAACAGCUUUCAAAAUUAGAUGACUAGGUUUUGAAUAAUUCUAUAUAUGUUUUUUUUUUUCUCCAAAUCAAUGUAAAAUAAAUUUCAACAGCUAGUUUUCCAAUUAUCCAAAAUUGCAACUCCUUUUUUGUUUUAAUCUAAUUAUAUUUUCCCUAUAAACACCCAAUUAAUUGCAAUAAAAAAAUUCACCACUCUUUUUCCAUUUGCUCAAAUUUCAAGGACAUUUAAAUUUAGUUAAUUAAAUUCUUGAAAACAGAAAACUCAAUUCAGCUCCAUAUUUCGCUACAUGUGUCUAAUAAUAUCAUUUCAGACGGUAAUGUGGGCAAAUGGACAUAUGAAUGAUUGGUGUGUGUCUGGAGGAAGUUCACGUUUCACCCCAAAAUUAAUUUGCAAUGAGGAGGAGUAGCCCAAUACCUUAUAAGUCCUUAUAAAGUUUUCUAACUUUCCAAUGUAGGACAUUUUCAUAUUCACAUUCUCAUAGUGUCUCAUUCAGGCUCGAUAAAAGCUUCCUCCAUAUAAUAUGCAUGUGAUGUGGAAAAUUAUACAAGCAAUAUAAUAUUUAUAAUGUCCCAAAUAAAUUCUUAAUGCCAUUUCCAGGCAGGACCCUUGAUAAACGCAAACCAAGUUUGAAGGAUGUUGAGAAGGUCUCUCAAUAUCCUUCCGAUACUUCUUGCAUUUUGGACAUAAUUGGUGAGUUUGCUCGAGUGUAAAGCCCAACGACCACACCCGCUCCAUGUUACCGAAUAUGUAUUGUCUACGUGUUUAGCUAGAAAAUUCUCCGCACAUGCCAGAGCAUGUGAGAAUGUGAAAGUGGAAAUGUCCUAGAAAGCUUAAAAACCUAGCAAGAACUUAUGAGGAGUUUGGUGCAAAUGUCCCAUCAAAUGGUAAUACAAAAUGAGUACGAUAUGAUAGGAGUGCAGCUAACGAUGAAGGGAAUAAACUUAUGCAUCAAGAAGAGAUAAAGGCUAGUUAGAUGAAAAGAUGAGGAAGCUUUCAACAUUUUCAAAAUAUGCAAAGCAAAAGAACCAAUGGGAAAUGAUGGGCUAGCUGCUAUAAAAAGGGAAGUAGCUAGAGUCUCUAAACAUAUGAGAGAGUAAGCAAGAAAGAAAUGAAGGAGAAGUAGGAAACUAUGCACCAUAACAGCCCCUUGUGGCUCAUUCAUUGAUAAAAGGGAUAUUCAUUGAAAUGUCACCUGAACUUAUACCUUAGUUUUAAUUUGUCACCUGAAAAAAAAAAUUUAAGUGAAAUGUCACCUGAAUUUUUCAAAAUCCAAUAUUUGUCACCUGACUUUAACAUCAUCCAAUUUUCCAACUAUUUUCAAGGGUAUUUUAGUCUUUUUAUUUUCAAAAGUAUUUUAAAAAUGGAAAAUUCAUUAUAAAAAAAUUAUGAAAAGACCCUUGAAAAUUAUAAAAAUUAUAUAUCGUUUCACAUUCAACCCCCAGCCAUUUUUACAUUUAAGCUUUAUUUUUUUAAUAAUAAUUUUUUCCAUUUUUAAAAUAUCCUUCAAAAUGAAAAGACUAAAAUACCCUUCAAAAUAGAUGGAAAAUUGGAUGAUGUUAAACUCAGGUGACAAAUCAUGGAUUUUGAAAUAGGUGACAUUUCACUUAAGUUUUUUUUUCAUGUGACAAAUUGAAACUAAGGUAUAAGUUCAGGUGAUAUUUCAACAAAUAUCCUUUGAUAAAAAAAUCUGUAAAAUUAUAUCUUCAUUAUGUUUAUGUUACCAUUUUUAUUUUCAGUUAGUAUGAGGAACUAAACCUCUAAGCCCUAGGAUAGAGAUUGAAGCACUAACAUAAUUUUCAAAUUUUCAAAUUACUCCGUUCCAUGCUAUUAUGGUUCUUGUGAUGCCAUGCUCUCUUCAAUGUUAAUGGAUUCCUUUAUGUUUAAUCGAAGUAAACACUCUCUCAUAUAUAUAUAUAUAUAUAUAUAUUUCUUCAAGAGUAUGGUUUCUUGAAGAAAUUGGUCAUUCUCCCUUUGAAUCUAAAUUUCGUUCUUGUUUGAGUUGGAGCUAGCCAGCUGGUGCCAUGGGAUGAAAGACCUGAAGAAGGAGUUGCCAUUGCCAUGAAGACCUAAGCUACUGGUUUUGCUAAGCUGGAGAAGAAGAUUGCACAAAUGAGGUAAAGCUCAUCUUCCUAAAUAUACUUAGGAAUUUUUUGAGCUUGCUAGUGUUUCUUUGUAAGAAUCUUUUUGCUUAGUGGAUUGCUUGAUCGGUUGAUGACCCCCAGUUUUUCCCAAUGGUGGGUUUCUGGGUGAACAAUUUCUGGUUUCCAUCUCUAUAAAUUUUCUAGAUUUGUGUUCUUGAUAGUUGACUAGUCAUCGCAUGAAGUUCAUGUGUUUCUGGAUUUGUGUUCUUGUGGUUAACUAGUCAUCAUUUUCUGCUGUUUGGUGUUUACUUGAUUGUGUUGCCUUCACACACUUUCACCGUAGUUGUUGCUAGCACAGGGGAUGCCUAGAUUGACGGGUCCUUCUGAGUGCCUAGGUUGUCACAAGUAACUCUCUAGGCUUGCAGGUACAUCUUGAUAUGCUCUGUGUAUGUUAUUAUUUGGUAUAAUUCAUAUAUGACAGUUGACUAGUCAUAAGAGUAUUUGGUCAAGGUCUAGAGUGUGAAGUUUGUUGUGUUUUUGGUUGAAUAUCAUUUAAAUAUACUUUUCGUCACCUAAGUACGUAUUACAGAGAUGACUAGGAAGUUUAUUCCGAAAGGUGUGGUGAGCCAAAGGGAUCCUUUGCCCCCAUAUCAUCUUGUUUUAUGCCUUGAGUAGUUAGCUCAUAUUCUACAACAUCAUGUCACUAGUAAAAAAAAACCCUUGCGCGACCAAAUUUUGCGCGACGAAAAACUAUUCGUCGCUCAAAGUCACUUUGCGCAACGAAACUUGAAACUUCGUCGCUCAAAGUCUUGUGCGACCAAAUUUUGUGCAACGAAAAAUAAUUCGUCGCGCAAAGUCACUUCGCGCGACAAAUUUUUGCGCGACGACAAUACAUCGUCGCUCAAAGUCUUGCGCGACCAAUUUUGCGCGACGAAAAGUAAACUUCGUCGCGCAAAGUCCUUAUAAAAAUAAAUAAAAUAAAAAAAUUAUUUUUUAAAAUCUUUGCAUGACGUAAUCCAAACAUUUUGUCACCUAAACCAAUUUAUUUUUGUUUCUUAUUUUGUAUGCAUAACACUUAAGAAAUUAAACGGUAUAUAUAUUUAUUAAGUAGCUUUAAAUUUAUUAUUUUAGAUCGGAUCGGAUUUUUGUUAGAAAAAUAUAUUAUUGUUGUUCGGAUUGGGUUUUUGUUAGAAAAUAUAUAUUUUAAAUUGACGAUUGAAUUAGUUCAUUGUAUUCAUAUAGGGUCAAGGAGUGUAGCUGUAAAAAAUCAUCAAAAUCGGAGUUAAAAUAACCGUUAAAUCAAGAUUUUUCAUUAUAACUGUCGAUAAGUUUUGUCACAUUACUUGAUCUCUGAAUGUUUAUUUUUUUCGAUUUUUGGAGUAUAUGAUCUCGAAGUAUAAACAAACAAGUUUGACAGUUGGAUCGUUGAAACUAGUUUUUUUGAAUGCAUAUGCCAUCAAAACAAUAUAUUCACUAACAAUUAAGAGUUUAUUUAUACUUUCGUUAAAUAUAACAUAAGAUUUUGCGGUAUCCUCUAGUGUAAAUAUUUUAAAUUGAAGAUCAAAUUCAGUCAUUGUAUUCAUAUAGGGUCAAGGAGUGUAGCUGUAAAAAAUCAUCAAAAUCGGAGUUAAAAUAACCGUUAAAUAAGAUUUUUCACUUAUAACCGUCGAAAAGUUUUAUCCCGUGACUUGAUCUAUGAAUGUUUAUUUUUUUCGAUUUUUGGCGUAUAUGAUCUCAAAGUAUAAACAAACAAGUUUGAUGGUUGGAUCGUUGAAACUAGUUUCGUAGAAUGUGUAUGCCAUCAAAACAAUAUAUUCACUAACAAUUAAGAGUUUAUUUAUAUUUUCGUUAAAUAUAACAUAAGAUUUUGUGGUAUCCACUAGUGUAAACAUUUUAAAUUGAAGAUCAAAUUCAGUCAUUGUAUUCAUAUAGGGUCAAGGAGUGUAGCUGUAAAAAAUCAUCAAAAUCGGAGUUAAAAUAACUGUUAAAUCAUGAUUUUUCAUUUAUAACCGUUGAAAAGUUUUGUCCCUUUACUUGAUCUCUGAAUGUUUAUUUUUUCCGAUUUUUGGCGUAUAUGAUCUCGAAGUAUAAACAAACAAGUUUGACGGUUGGAUCGUUGAAACUAGUUUCGUAGAAUGCGUAUGUCAUCAAAACAAUAUAUUCACUAACAAUUAAGAGUUUAUUUAUACUUUCGUUAGAUAUAACAUAAGAUUUUGUGGUAUCCACUAGUACAAAUAUUUUAAAUUGAAGAUCAAAUUCAGUCAUUGUAUUCAUAUAAGGUCAAGGAGUGUAGCUGUAAAAAAUCAUCAAAAUCGGAGUUAAAAUAACCAUUAAAUCAUGAUUUUUCAUUUAUAACAGUCGAAAAGUUUUGUCCCGUUACUUGAUCUAUGAAUGUUUAUUUUUUCCGAUUUUUGGCGUAUAUGAUCUCGAAGUAUAAAAAAAAAGUUUGACGGUUGGAUCGUUGAAACUAGUUUCGUAGAAUGCAUAUGCCAUCAAAACAAUAUAUUCACUAACAAUUAAGAGUUUAUUUAUACUUUCGUUAAAUAUAACAUAAGAUUUUGUGGUAUCCACUAGUGCAAAUGUUUUAAAUUGAAGAUCAAACUCAGUCAUUGUAUUCCUAUAGGGUCAAGGAGUGUAGCUGUAAAAAAAUUCAUCAAAAUCGGAGUUAAAAUAACCGUUAAAUCGUGAUUUUUCAUUUAUAACUAUCGAAAAAUUUUGUCCCGUUACUAGAUCUCUGAAUAUUUGUUUUUUGCGAUUUUUGGGGUAUACGAUCUUGAAGUAUAUACAAACAAGUCUUAUGGUUGGAUCGUUGAAUGGUGUGUGUAUAUAUAUAUAUUUAUUUAUUAAGUAGCUUUAAAUUUAUUUAUUUUGUACGUAUAACACUUAAGAAAUUGAAUAGUAUAUACAUUUAUUAAGUAGCUUUCACCUUAAUUAUAUUUUAAAUCAUAAAAUAUUUUUUUUUUAUUUUUUAUUAUUCAAAAAAAUUAUUUUUAUAAAUAUUGUGCUACGAACCAAUUUUUCGUCUCUCAAAAGUUUGCGCGACCAACAGUUCGUCGUGCAAAACUCAAAAAAUUUGGGCGAGUACCAAAAAUGGGACGCGGGUUUUUAAAAUUGAAAAAAAAAACUUUAGACUUUGCGCGACCAAUAUUUUUUGUCGCUCAAAACUUUGCGCGACCAAUAUAUAUUUUUCGUCGCGCAAAAAUUUGGGCGGGUACCAAAAGUGGGACGCGGGACUUUUUUUAUAUAAUUAUUUUAGACUUUGCGCGACCAAUAUGUACUUUUCGUCACGCAAAAAUUUAAAAAUUUAGGCGGGUACCAAAAAUGGGAUGCGGGAAAUUUUUUUUUUUAAAAUAAUUUUUUUUGACUUUGCGCGACCAAUAUUCCUAUGUUCGUUGCGCAAAGUUAAAUUUUGGCGGGUACCAAAAAUGGGAUGCGGGAAUUUUUUUUAGACUUUGCGCGACCAAUAUGUAUUUUUUGUCGCGCAAAGUUAAAUUUUGGCGGGUACCAAAAUGGGAUGAGGGAAUUUUGUGAAAAAAGAAAUAUUUUUUUUAGACUUAGCGCGACCAAUAUUCCUUUAUUCGUCGCGCAAAACUUUGCGAGACCAAUAUGUUUCGUCGCGCAAAACUUUGCGCGACCAACAAUAUUUUUCGUCGCGCAAAGUGAUACGAUUUUUAAAACCGAAAUAACUCCUCCACUAUUUUCUCAAUGUCUUUCUCUACUCUUACCUCUCCUCUCUCUUUCCCUCUCCCCAAAUCCCACCGUUUCUCUCACACUCACUCCUCUCACUUAAUCUCUCAUCUCUCUCUUCACUAUCUCUCACUCUCACUCACUCUCUCAUCUAUCUUUUCAUUAUCUGUCACUCUCUCAUCUCUCUAUCACUAUCUUAUCUAAUUCUCUCACACUCACUUCUCCCUCUCAUUCUCACUCACUCUCAAUCUUGCCAAAAGGUAUAUUCUCUCCAAAUUUUAAAUUUUUUUCAUUAAUAUGUGUUUUUGGAGUUAGUUUUGAGUUUGUGUGGAGUUUGGGGUUGAGUAAAGGGGAGAGAUUGGAGUUUGGGUUGGAUUUGUGGUAUAACAAUUUUAGGGGAGAUUAUGUAUUCUUUUUUUUGUUGUUGUUGUUAUUUGACCAUAUUUAUUUUUUUGUAGGUAAUCAUCGAGACUUUGAUGGCUAAAGUUGAGGAUUAGGAAGCUAUCAAAACAUAUCAUCCACCACUACCACCACAAUACGCUUGUAUUAGAAUUUUAUUAUUGUACUUUGUUAAUUUAUGUGUACAUUUUGAAUAUUAUAUAUAUAUAUAUAUUGGAUAAUUUGAUCACUAUUUUUCAUGUGUAAUUUUAUUUUGAAUAUGUCAAUUUAAAUUAAAGUAAUUAAGAAAAAUCUUACAAUUAAAUUAAAUUUAAAAAGUAAAAAUUCGAAAAAAUUAAUAUAAUUAAAUUAAUAUCAAUUUAAAUUAAAGUGAUUUAAAAAAAAUCAUACAAUUAAAUUAAAUUUAAAAAGUAAAAAUUUGAAUAAAUUAAUAUAAAUAAAUUAAUAUUAAAGAAAUAAUAAAACAAAAGUCAAAAAUCUUGCGCGACAAAUUAUUUUGUAGCUCAAACUAUUAAAUUAGUUUAUUUUAAUUAAAAAAAUUUAAAACACAAAAAAUAUUUCGUCAUGCAAAUAUUUGCGCGACGUUAGUAUUCGUCGCGCAAAACUCUAAAAAUGUAGGCGGCUACCAAAAAUGGGACGCGGGAAUUUGCUAACAAUGUGUUUCGUCGCGCAAACCUUUGCGCGACCAAUGUGUUUCGUCGCGCAAACCUUUGCGCGACUAAUGUGUUUCGUCGCGCAAACCUUUGCGCAACCAAUAUUUUUCGUCGCGCAAACCUUCACUAGUACGAUUUACUAUUUGCGCGACGAAUACGUUUUCGUAGCGCAAACAACACAAUUGCGAUGAAAAAAAAUUUCCGUCGCGCAAACAACCAAAAAAUAGCGCGACAAAAAUAAUCGUCGCGCAAACAAUCUAUGCGCGACCAAAAUUAAUUUCAUCGCGCAAAGGUAAUAGAAAAAAACCCGGGUUUUUUGGUUGGCGCCAAAACCUUGCGCAACGACACAAAUCGUCGCGCAUGACAAUAUUGCGCGACAAACACAAGCGUCGUCGCGUAAAGAUGGACAGAAAAUUGGCGCCUUUUUUUUGGCUGUAAAAAAAUUUGCGCGACGAGAGUUUUCGUCUCAAAAGACAACUUAGCGCGACGGAAAAAUGUACCAUCGCGUAAGAAAACGAGGGAUACUUUUUUUUGGCGCCAAAAUGAAGGGCGGAUAAAAUGUUGUUUGCGCGACGGAUAUUCUUCGUCGCGAAAAGUUAAACGCCGGUGAGUUCUUGCGCGACGAAAUUAAUAUGUUGCGCGACGAAACUUUAACCUUGCGCGAUGAAAGAUAUAAUUUGCGCAACGAAUGUUUGUGCGACGAACAGUAUUCUUCGUCGCGCAAAAAAGCAGAUGUCGGCACGUAUUUGCGCGACGGAAAUGUUGUUUUGUGCGACGGAAAAGUGCCCUUUUGCGACGGCAGUUUGCGCGACGAAUUCCAUUGUUCGUCGCACAAAGUCCUUCUUCUUCAUAUUAGUAUCUGCCAUUGCAGAGGCAGAAUGCAGAAAUUGCAUUCUGCCUCUCUCUCCUCUCUCUCACUCCUCCUGCCGCUGUUCUGCUGUCAAUUCAAUACGUUCAUUGGGUAUGUAUUUUUUGUCGUUAGUUUAAUUGUAUUAACGUAAAUUCGUACUAACGCUAUUAAUUUUGUUCUCGUUAGGGAUAUCUGUGAUCAGUGGAGAACAAUUGAGAAGGUAUGUUAUUGUAAAAGUUUGUUUGUUAUGUUUGUAAUUUUUUUGUGAAGUUAUAUGUAUAUAAUGUUGUGAAAUUAUGCGUGACGUAGCACAAUGUAUUUGUGAUGUACGAAGUUAAUUAAAAUUAACUUCGUACUUUUAUUUUUAUGUUUAGUAACACGUAGUUUCCCGUUCAAGAUUAGUUGGAUUUCGUGCAUGGAUGCGUAAGGCAUGACUGCGGUCCAAUUAAUUCUUGAAUUGUCCCAUUAUUUGGACAGUUUGGUAAUGCAUAGUGUUGUCACAUAAUCUUCGGCUACAGGAUUAGGUUUCGAUUGUGGAGAUUUCGGUGUCAUCUCGGUACGUUCUUCGGGUGGUACGUAGGUAUUUAUACCUAUGCCCACUUCAAGAACUGUGUCGAGAUGCUGUCGAAAUUAAUCCACGUCGAAAUCUAAUCUCAUGUAGCCGUAGGUUACGUGACAGGACUAUGCAUUCCCGAAUGGGAUAGGGCCCUUACCGGAGGCAUAAGGUGACAUUAUAACUUCGUAUGAAGUUGUUGUAAUUGUUGUGUCGUGAUUGUGGUUUCAGGAAUUAUGAGCAGAAGGUGGAUACAGAACCCGAAUAGAUGCGCAGAUGAAUACUUGGAUGGAAUCGAGGAUUUUAUUAAGUUUGCACGUAGACACAACCCGGGUGCAACUAGAAUCCGUUGCCCUCGUAGGAGGUGUAACAACACGUUGUGGGAGACAAUUGAAAAUGUUGGAUUUCAUUUAGUAAGGAAUGGAAUGAUUGAAACAUAUAGCAUUUGGAAUCUUCACGGCGAACAAGUAGACCAUGCUUCGUCUUCAAAUGCCCCAAGAGUGGACAAUGUUGAACCUAUUGUGGAUCCUAAUGAUCAAGUCAUGGGUAUUAUACAGGAUGCUUUUCCAUUCGCAUCGACCAACAUCAAUCAGGAAGGGGAAGAUGACGUGCCUACAGCAAUAGACAGUGCGGAGUUUGAACAGUAUGAAAAACUGUUAAAAAAUGCCAACCAAGAGUUAUACCCGGGGUGCGAGAGCUUUUCCGUUCUCACUGCCAUUGUGGAGCUAAUGCACGGAAAAAUAAAGUAUCGUAUGUCGAACUUGUGUUUCGAUUACUUUUUGGGGGUUUUCAAGAGAAUGCUUCCGACGGACAAUUGUUUGCCGAAAGAUCAUAAACAUGCACAGAAGGUGUUGCAUGGUCUUGGAUUGGGUUAUGAAAAAAUCCACGCUUGCAAAAACAAUUGCAUGUUAUUCUACAAAGAGCAUGAAACGUUUGCUGCUGAUCCCCGAAAUGUUAGAUUGGCACUUGCCACUGACGGAUUCAAUCCGUAUGGGGUUCUAAACUAACACCACAGCACUUGGCCGAUUUUCGCAUUCCCAUAUAAUUUGCCGCCUUGGAAAUGCAUGAAAAAAGAAUACAUGAUGAUGACUGUUUUGAUAACUGAGGAUCCUGGCAGGUCAAUUGAUGUGUACUUAAGGCCUCUGGUUGAUGAGCUGAAGGAUUUAUGGACAAACGGUGUUCGCACGUACGAUAAAUCAACUGGGAGGAUGUUCACUUUACGAGCAGCAGUUAUGUGGACUGUGAAUGAUUUUCCAGCAUAUGCAAUGGUUUCUGGGUGGAGCACAAAAGGUUAUAUGGCAUGUCCUGUAUGCAAGGAAGAUGUAACUUCUAGUUGGCACGUGGGAAAAGUUUGUUACCUUGGUCAUCGGAGAUGGUUGCCAUGGGACCACGAGUGGCGAGAAAAAGAUAAAGAGUUCGACGGGAACACAGAGCGUCGCCUCAGACCUAGAGAAUGGUCCGGUGAUGAGAUCUUGGAACAGCUGAACCGUUUGGAUUUUACUCCGUUCGAGAAAACAGUUAGUCGGACCAGAUCUUCUACACAUUUGAACUGGACACACAAGCCUAUGUUUUUUGAGCUCCCAUAUUGGUCGAAACUGAAAUUGAGGCACAAUCUAGAUGUGAUGCAUGUUGAGAAAAAUGUAUUCGACACAUUGGUGGGCACGAUUCUAGAUAUUAAGGGGAAGACGAAGGACACGAUCAAAGCUCGUCUUGAUUUGGAAAGAAUGGGCAUCCGAAGGGGUUUAUGGAUGAAUAGGGACAGUGAUAAAGCUAGAAGGGAUCUUGCAUUCUUCUCUAUGAAACCGAAUGACAAAAAAGAGUUUCUAAAGUUUGUAUCGUCUGUAAAGUUUCCUGAUGGGUAUGCUUCUAAUAUCGCUCGUUGCGUGAAUGUUGACGGGGGUAAAUUUACUGGACUUAAGAGCCAUGACUGCCAUGUGUUUAUGCAACGCCUACUUCCUAUGGGUAUUCGACAUCUAUUGCCGGAAGAUGUUGUGAAGCCAAUCAUGUUGUUGUCCAGAUUUUUUUCCCAACUGACGGCAAAAACAUUGCGAAAGACAGACAUAUUGCAGUUGCGCCAUGACAUUGUCCAAGUCCUAUGCAAGUUUGAGAUGAUAUUUCCUCCAGCUUUCUUCACAAGUAUGAUGCACGUGAUGGUUCACUUGCCAGAAGAGGCAUUGCUUGCUGGUCCUGUCAACUAUCGCUGGAUGUAUCCAAUAGAAAGGUAUAUAAUCCUUUUCGUUUGUGUAUGCAUCAUUAUCACAGGCUUGCUAUAUUGUAUCAUAUCUUUUUAUUUUGACAGGCUUCUUGGAGAGCUGAAAAAAAGUGUACGCAACCGGGCGAAGCCCGAAGGAUCAAUUAUAGAGGCUUGGGUUCAAUAUGAGUCGCUUACUUUCUGUGGAAUGUAUUUAAAAGAUGUGGAGACGGCUUUCAAUCGUCCUCAGCGUAAUAACGACGGAGGUAUGAGAAAGGAAAAACUUUCUGUUUUUGCCCAAAGCGCACGGCCCUUUGGAGAUCCUGGACGAGGAGAGUCGUUUUCUCCAAAUGACAUGGAAGUAGCGCAUUGGUUCGUACUGAACAAUUGUGAUGAGAUAAUGGCAUACUUAGAUGAGCAUGAAGAGAUGAUGAAACGAGAACAUCCAUCACAUUUAGUUGCCCAGAAACAACGUGAAUUGUUUCCACAAUGGUUUUUGGAAUCUGUAAGUUAUAAGUUUUUUGUAUUUGACAAAUAUAAAUUUUAGUAUUUAAUUUUAUCAGACUAACAUGUGAAUGGUUUUCUAUUAAAUUAGGUGAAUAAGUUGAAAUCAUCGAAUUCCCCCACUUACAGUGAUGAGUUAUAUAACUUGGCCUUCGGCCCUAUUCGCGCUGAAUUGUUUUAGGGUUGUUAUAUUAACGGUGUUAAAUUUUUGGGGGCUGCACGAGAUGACAAGUUGUGUACGCAAAACAGCGGUGUCCAUGUCCCAUGUGGAGGCAAAAGUACGAACAUUGAUUUCUAUGGGAAACUCACAAAUGUCGUUCAAUUGCUUUGCAAAGAUCGAUACCAAGUGAUCAUGUUUAAGUGUCGAUGGUUUGAUAGCAACCCAAAUAGGUCGGGAAGUGUUAAAAUCGACCAUGGCUUACUAUUUGUGAACAUUAACAGAACUUGGUAUGAUGACGACCCUUACAUUUUGGCGAACAUGGCAACACAAAUUGUGUAUCUAGAUGACCCUAAAGCCGGGAGCAGUUGGAAAGUUGUUCAGAAGAUGGAUCAUAGGAACGUGUAUGCUAUACCAGAAUUAGACGGGAACACUGACAACGACGUCGACAAUGUGGCUGACCAACGUUUAGAAUCAUCAAUGGAAAAUGAUGCGGAUACACUUCGAGAUACACAUGUUAUACAAGAACCGUUUCAAAUUCAAGGAGUGUCUUCAAUCGAAGUACCGAUUCAGUCAAUUACAAUUGACCUCGGGGAUCUCCCAAGAUUCGAUGUUGCAGUGGGCUCGAGCAGCGAAGAUGAUGUAGUUAUAGCAGACGAGGAGGAGGAGGAUUGGGAGACCGAAAGUGAUGAUAGCGACGAUAACGAAAGUUAUUAUAGUUCAGAUGAUGAAUAAUUCAAUUUUUUAUAAUUUUAUUAUGUUUGUGUACAGACUUUGUGUAAUACAAAUGUUCGAAUAUAUGUAGUACAAAUAUCCAAAUCUUAUAUAUGUGGACAACUGAAACAUUAUUCAAAUACAUUUAGUUACAAAACAUUGGUACAUCAAUCUAUCCAAACCCUUUUAAUAACAAUUUGUAAUUUUUUUUUUUCACAACACACAUUUACAAAAUGAAAAUGAUACAAAAUUUGUUAUAAAACAUUGAUAACUAAUUAUAUCCAAACAUUUUUAUACAAAGUUUGAAAAUUAUUGACAAUAAACAUUUUUCAAAUCUGAAAACCCAUGCGCGACGAAGAACGCAAUUUUUGCGCGACGAAUAAAUAUCGUCGUUCAUAAGUUUGCGCGACAAAGAUAAUCUAUUGCGCGACAAAGUGUCAUGCGUCACGCGAUGAACUUUUGCGCGACGUAAAACAUUUCUUCGUCGCGCAAAUAUUAUAUGAUUUUACAAUAUAUAUUAUAUAUACACAUAUAUAUUUGAAAUUGACGAUCGAGUUAGUUCAUUGUAUUCAUAUUGGGUCAUGGAGUGUAGGUGUAAAAAUUCAUAUAAAUCGGAGUUAAAAUAACCGUUAAAUAAUGAGUUUUCAUUUAUAACCGUUCAAAAGUUUUGACCCGUUACUUGAUCUCCGAAUGUUUUUUUUUUUCCAAUUUUUGGGGUCUAAGAUCUUGAAGUACAAAUAAACAAGUUUGACGGUUCGAUUGCUGAAACUACUUUCGUAGAAUGCGUUUGCCAUAGCAAUCAUAUAUUCACGAACAAUGAAUCGUUUACUUAUACUUUCGUUAAAUAUAACAUAACAUUUUGUCGUAUCACCCUAGUGUAAACAUCUGAAAUUCAUGAUCAAAUUCACUAAUUGUAUUCACAUAGGGUAAAGAAAAGUAGCAGUAAAAAAUCUUACAAAUCAGAGCUAAAUUAACCGUUAAAUCAUGACUUUUCAUUUACAACCGUCGAAAAGUUUCGUCCUGUUACUUGAUCUCUUAAUGUUUGUUUGUUUCGAUUUUCGGCAUAUAUGAUUUGAAGUAUAAAAAAACAAGUUUACCGGUCGGAUCAUGAAAACUAGUUUCGGGUGUAGGGUUUCUGUGGUUUAGGGUUUAGGGUUUAGGGUUUAGGGUUUAGGGUACAGGGUUUGCGCGACGAACACACGUGUUUAAUCGCGCAAAGCCUUGCCAGGACGGGAUUGCGCGACGGAAAAUGUUAGGUUCGUCGCGCAAUAUCACCAGAACUUUCGCCUCCCACUCUUCCUCCCUCUGGACACUUAGUGAAAAUUUUUUGGGUGUUUUUGCGCGACGCUGCACUUGUUCGUCGCGCAAUCGCAGCCAUCCUUUCUCUUCGGGCGGUUUUCCAUACAUUUGGGUUGCGAGUUUUUAAGGACAUUGCGCGACGAACAAACGUGUUUAGAACUUUCAGCCCCGCUCUUCCUCCGUCUGGACACUUAGUGAAAAUUUUGUGGGUGUUUUUGCGCGACGAUGUAACUUGAUUCGUCGCGCAAUACCCUAUUAAAAUUUCUUGCGCGACGUAACGUUAUCAGUGCGUCGCGCAAGAUUUCAAUAUCGCCCGCUAAACCCUACAUCCCAAAUUUGGGCGGUCUGCCAACAUUGCGCGACGAACUGACGUGAUUCGUCGCGCAAUACCCUAUUAAAAUUUGUUGCGCGACGUAACGCUUAUCACUGCGUCGCACAAGAUUUCAAUAUCUCCCGCUAAACCCUAAAUCCCAAAUUUGGGCGGACUGCCAACAUUGCGCGACGCAAGAAUAAACUCGUCUUUCGUCGCGCAAUACCCUUUUAACUUUCUUGCACAACGUAUCUUUUAUCACUGCGUCGCGCAAGAUUUCAAUAUCGCCCGCUAAACCCUAAAUCCCAAAUUUAGGCGGACUGCCAACAUUGCGCGAUGGAAUAAACCUUUGUUUCGUCGCGCAAUACCCAUUUAAAAUUUCUUGCGCGACGUGUGGAUAUAUUCGUCGCGCAAAAACGAAUAAAAUUUCAGAAACCACGCGAUGGCCUCCUUCUUCCCCAGUUUCCUGGUUUUCUUCCACUCCGCCGUCUCUCUCCCCAAAUUUCGAUGGAUUUGGACCGCGCCCGCCACACUGCUGUUACCCCGGAGCUCCCCCGCCGUCACCGUCGAGCCAGCCGCCGCGAUUUCUUCGAUUUUCACCGAAUCGGCUCCGCCGUGAUUCUCCCUCCUCCGGCAACCAAUUCCUACACCUGAGGUAUGGUUUCUGUCCUAUUUUUCAUGCUUUAGCUGAUGGUUGGGUAGGAAUUGGUUGAUUGUUGCUCUAGGCCGCUUAAUUUAAAACCCUAAGUUUCGGCUGGAUUUUGAAUUUCAAUUCCGGCCACUUCCGGCCAUUUUUCGGGCUAUGUCCGAGAACAAAAGUGGCCCGAAAUGAUGUAUUCAACCUAGGGUAGGAACCUUGGCCCUUAGUUUUACGAAUUUUUCGGCGAUUGGUAUCGCUUUGGGGCGGCGCGUGGGGCGGCGCGUGGGGUACUGUAGCAGCCUGAAUUAGGUCCCAGUGCAAUCGUGUGGUUGUCACGAGCGCAUAGGUGUUUUCGGAUUGGAAUUUGGUUGCCGUUUGCGUCUCGAACGGAUUUUGCCUAUUGUGCGAUUUCCGGGGUUGUUAUGUUCGGACCGUUGGAUCGAACUCAAACUCACGUAUGGUGUAGGUUGUAUUUGUUGGAUCGUCUACGAUUCGACGGAUCGUGGAUCAGAGUCCCGGAUACUCCGAACUCGUAAACCCUAGGUCAAUAAUCUGAAUUGUAUAAUAUUAAUAUCGGAUAUUCGUAUAUUUUAUUAAUUCGUUUCUGUAUUUAUGAAAUUGUGUAGAUGUCAGACCAGAUUACACGUCGUACGGCGGUGACGACCACGCAGAGUUCGGAGCCCCCGACUCAGCCGACAUCUGCUGCCACUGCGCCAGCACUGAUGGAGCACUUGGCAGUUGGACCUGCGGGGUCCCAGGCGCCUGCCUCAUCAGCGUCAUCAGUGGCGCAGCCUGUUAGCGCCAGGCGGCGUCAUCGGCCCGUCAGCACCACCGACACCACAUCCACGGAUGCGUCGGGUAUAGCCAUCACAUUUAUCCAGUUCAUUUUAUGUUUUAUUUCUUCUUGUUGUUUUUUAAUUUUUGUGUGUAUUUGAUUGUUAAAUUUAUUUUUUAUUUAACAUUCAUGUCAUCUUUCUUUGCAGCAAAGAAGAACACCCGAGGGCCGUGUCGGCAAUUGAAGACGGCGAAGGUCACCCGGGUGACCAACAGUCGUAUCAACAUCGGAUACGACGAGCGACAUCGGGCUGCACCGACGGCGGAGUUGCAUAGCUCCUUGGCCCACGACAUUGGUCAUGUCAUUCGGAGCUAUUGCCCGAUGCAAUGGAUGUCUUGGAAGGUGAUGCCUGACGAGACCAAGACUGCGGUUCGCGGCCAGUUGUCGGUAUGCAGGCCUUUUCAUUCUUUUUCUUUCAAACGUAGUUUUUAUAUUAUUUAAAUGUAUGUAAUUAAUUUAUUGCAGACGAACUACAACUUGGAGGAUCUUGACGAAGAGUCGUUGGCGUACGUCAACAGACUCUUCUCUGAGAGGUACAAGCAGUGGAAGAGCGACUUGCACCACCAUUUUGAGGCGUUCGAUGAUCCGCAAGUCGCUCUUCAAGAGGGUUGCCCGAAAGAGCUUGAGGGGCGGGAGGAUAGUUGGGCGUGGCUCUGCGCUCAUUUUCAGGCGCCCGCUUUUGUGGUAAUUUUGUAUAUUUUAUUUUAUUUUAUUACAAAUAUUUUUUUAAUUUUUUAUAUUUAAUUUCAAUUUCAACUAAUACGUUUUAUUUUUUGUAUAACAGAAUAAAGCCAAAGUCAAUAAGGGCAAUAGGAAGAAGAAGACUCUUCUCCAUCAUUCGGGUUCCAGGCCCUUCUCCUAUCGGAUGGAUGCACGGCGUCAGGUAAUAAUAGAAUAAUUUUUAUUUAAUUUUUCACUUUUUCAUUAUUCUUAAUUUAUUUUGUCGUUCUAAUAUUUGUCUUCUUUUGUUCAAUUUAGGGGGGGUCCAAAUUCCCAGAGAUCGACGUGUUUGGCGACGUUUAUGUUCGGCCUGGGAAUGAGUUGGCCGAGUCCCUUCAUGUAAGUAUUAUUUAAUUUUAGUUCUUAUGUUACGAUUCAACUUUAAAGUUCAUUAUAUGAGUGUUUGAAUUUAUAUUUUAUGUUAUGCUAAACAGACGACGAUGGUGGAGAGGAGCCAGUUGGUUCUUCAGGAGUCUGUCUCCCAACUUCCUCCCGAUACUCCGAUCGAGUCUGUGGAUCCUCCACAGGAUGCUGGGUUUCAAAUCUUGACGGAGACAUUGGAUCAGACUCUAGGGAGGAGACCGGGGACAUAUUGUCGAGGGAUGGGGAAUGCCAGGCGGAGGGAACCCAGACCCCGUUCAUCAGCGCAGUCGAACAGUCAGGUCACUGCUUUGACAGCACAGGUGGCCACUCUUCAGAGCCAGAUGUCGGUCAUCUGCAGUCCCUCGCACAGUCCGGCAUUCCAGUCCCGCGUUUUGAUGUGCCGACCUCCCAGCCCGUCCACCCAGAGCAUGCCCACCAGACCACUGCCCCGGUGGACGCCCAGACCUCCGAGCCGCAUACUGGCGACGAUCCGGUUGAUUUUGCUUCAUUAUUUGAUUAGUGUAUUUAUUUUCAUCAUAAACAUUUAUUUUAUUUGUAAUACAUUUAUUUUAUUUUAUAACAAAAAUUUAUUCUAAUUUAUUUUUAUUGCAAUUUCAUUGUUUAAUCAAUAAAAAAAACCAAUUUUUUUUUUUUAAAAAAAAUUGUAAUAUUAUUUUUGCGCGAUGGAAAACAUGUCGUCGCGCAAACUUGUAACAAAAAAAAUUAAAAAAUCAACUUUUUUGAUUGCUUUUCAUUCUUGCGCGACGAACACAUACGUCUCGCAAACACGUUUUGCGCGACGAAAGGUUUCGUCGCGCAUCUAUUUCUGCGCGACGACAAUGAUGUUCCUCGCGCAAAGAUAUGAGCGACGAAAACAUUCUCAUCGCGCGAAUGGUUCUGUGACGAACAUAUACGUCUCCCGAACAAGUUUUGCGCGACGAAUUAAAUUUCGUCGCGCUAUUCCUGUUGUCGCGCAAAUAUACGUGCGGCGAAUACUUGGUCGUCGCGCAAAGAUUUAUGCGACGAACAGUUGUUCCGUCUCCACACUGUUGGUGCAAUGAUGGUUUCCCCGUCGCACUGUUUUGCGCGACGAAGAAUUAUACCUCGUCGCGCAAAGGCUUUCUUCACGAUCUUCGCGCAACGGAAUAUGCACAACGAAUGUUUUGUCGCGCUGAAAUUAGUGCGACUAAAUCAGACUUUGCGCGACGUUUUGUUAUUCGUCGCGCAAAGAGUAAAAUGUAGUAGUGCUUUGCGCGACCAAUGUGUCUCGUCGCGCAAAGUUUUGCGCCACCAAUAUUUUUUCGUCGCGCAAAGUUACUUUGCGCUACCAAUAUUUUUUCGUCGCGCAAAGUCACUUUGCGCGACCAAUGAAAAAACUUGGUCGCGCAAAGUCUUUCUUCUCAAUCUCUGCGCGACGAAGUUUCUGUCGCAUUAAAAUUUGUGCGACUACAAUGUAUUUUGCGCGACGAAAUUCUCUUCGUCGCGCAAAGUGUAAAAUGUAGUAGUGGUGUCAUAAUGAAACUUCGGAAACCAGUUUUGGCAGCUAAGAAGCGGACCCAUAUUUCCCACCUAGAUGAUGUGAUUCUCUUCGCAGAAGCUUCUCCAAAACAGUUCAAGAUUAUGAGCAAGGGUAGUAUUGAUUAUUUCUAUAAGAUGUCCGAGCAGUUAGUGGAUUUUGAGAAGAUUGUGGAGUAUUACUCUCCUAAUAUUGAGAAAGUUAAAGCGAUGGAGAUUUCCCAAUGAUGUGGUUCCCCCUUAACCAGUGACUUGGGAAGAUACUUGGGUGUUCCACUAAUUCAUGGAAGGAAGACUAGCGACAUAAAUAAAAGACUGAAUCCCUUUCUAUGGUUGGCAGAGUGGCUUUGGUUCAGUCUGUUACUUCUACUAUCCCGAUCUAUAUACUAUGCAAACGGUUAAACUGCCUAUGACAGUUUGUAGGGAGUUGGAUAGGUUGAAUAAGAACUUUAUUUGGAGAUCAACUGAUAGGAGAAGGAAAGUGCAUCUUGUCAGUUGGAGUACUAUUUGUCCUAAGAAUAGAGGUGGUCUGGGGUUGAAAAAUACGGAGCAUGUUAAUCAAGAUCUCCUUGCAAUAACUUGAUAGAGACUGGUGAAGAAAGAUAAUGGUUUAUGGGUCCAUUGAGCUUGCUCUAACAUUGAAGAGAAUCCGGUAGAGAGCUAGAUACCAUACACCUUGUGGGAUUGAUUUUCCUCCCUAGAGAAUAUUCGUCUAGUAAUCCCUUUUUCCUCCUUACAGAGUUGUAGACGUACCUCGUGCUUUGUCUGUGGCCACAUAUUUAUAGGGGCCUUGGUGGCUAGAGUUUCGGAAGAAUAAUCCCUCACAUGGAAAAGAAUUAUUUUUCCCUAAUUUAGAGAGAUUGAACCAAUUAGGAAUUUUAUUAGAAUCAAAUUCCUCAUUAUUACAAGAAUCCCCAAAUUGAUAGGACUAAUUAUUUGACCUAGGAUCUUCAAAUAUUUGCUUCCACCAACCUAAAUAUCAUAAUUCUUGUCUCGACACAUAUUAGCACAAAUUGGUUUCCUUCCAUUGCCUUCCCAACUGUGCAAUGACAGAUUCUUAUUUGCUCAUGAACAUUAGUUAUUCUUCUUCAGUAUUCUUAAUGCAAAAACAAAGUGCGAAGAGUUCAAUAACAUAAGAAGAAAUUAUUUAAAUUUUAUCAGAUAAAACCAUAAUCGCAACAUACCUGACCAAGUGAUCUUCAUUCGAUUACAUUCUUCUUUUCCUUCAUUUUGAACACUUACACGAAUAUCACUGAUGGCACGCUCUAUGUGUAUACCUUUCAAAAAAUAACAGUAAUUAACCUCAAUCAAUAUAUUUCGAAUUACUAUUUCUAUUACAAUUAUGGAUAUGUGAGAGAAUGUGAAGGUAAAUAGUCCUAUAUUGGAAAGUUGAGAAACCUAGCAAGGGCUUAUAAGGAGUUGGGUUACUCUCCCCAUUGCCAAUUGGUUUGGGGUGGAACCUCAAUAUCCUUCAUGGUAUCAGAGCGGGUUGCCCACGUGUGAAAGCCCAACGGCCACACGUGCUCCACGUCACCCAAAAUGUAUUGCCACGUGUUAGGCUUGAAAAUUCCACAUUGGAUAGUUGAGAAACCUAGAAGGGGCUUAUAAAAAGUUGGGUUACUCCCCCAUUGCCAAUUAGUUUGGGUUGAAACCUCAACAUCCUUCAAUCUUUUCAUAAUUGAUUUACGUAUAUAUGUUUUGUGUGUUGUCAACUUUUUCCAUGUCCCCUCAUGUUCCUAUGUUAAUAUUCUGUCACAUGUGCUCUUAGAUAACAGUGUGAAAAUACCUUUAACUCUUAAUUAAAAAUAGAAUAAUAAAAAGAAAAUAACAGUUCUGAUCCUUCAUCUUCUUCCUUUGUCUUCCCAAACCUCGCAGCCAACAGACCCCUUCCAAUUCUUUGAGAUAAGAAGUUAAAACAAUAAUUAAAAAAACCAAUUCAGCAUUUCCACAUCUCUCAUCUGGGUGCUCCAUUUCCUUCUUAGUCUGAUGUUUUGAACCCCUCCCUCCGAUAAAGUCACUGAAGUUGUCAUUUCUUAGCCAUUAAGAUCAAUAACUAUAUUAUUUUGAAGUUUCAAGGCUCAAAUUCAAAAGCGCAGUCAAUUUUGAAGUGUCAGGUUCAUUACAGUCAAUGUAAAAUUGAAAAUAUAUAAUUGUAAUUGUAAGAGGGAAGAGAAUGUGGAUACUAACAAUUAUAGAUCCAUAUUUGCCAUAAUUUGAGGCGUGUUCCACUCGGGAAUGCAGAAGGCAUAAAUGCUUCCAUCGGGAAUGCCCCAUCUUGGCCCUUGGUAAAGACCAAUUGUGGACAACGCUGAAUUAAUUCCCGAGCAAUACCUGUAGUAGGGAAAAACAAGUUUUUAUAAUUAAGGAAAAAAAGGAGUAAUCAAUUUCAUUGUUAUAAGAUUACAACUCUUACCAAAUUUCAUGCCCAUAAUAAAGGUGCAAAGAAGUCCAGCCCCGUAUGGUCCUUUUUCUGGCAUUAGAUCUUGGAAGGGAGUGACGGAGUAAAGAUAAUCAACGAUAUCCCAUUGUUCAUUCAUAGAAGCCAAGACAACUGGAGUCACAUUAUUGCUGUCCCAAGUGGGAAUACUAAGUAUUUUCUUGCUCUUUCUAACCAUGCAUUCAACCAUUUUUAUAUUUCCUCUACUUGCAGCAAGAGCAAGAGCUGUCCAACCAUCAUUACCUGUUAUUUCUAAGUCUUCCUCGGACAUCAACUGCACCAACUCUUCCACAAUAUGCUCGUGCUCUAGAUCUGUUGCCAUGUGAAGAGCUAUCUCGUUUGUAGAUGGAAGUCUUGUUCUUAUUGCAUUGGGAUGUAGGGUAAGAAACUGCUUUGCUUCAUCCCAAUCCCCACUCCACACAGCAUCGAACAACGGCUGACAUUGAUGGAAGUCAUUGUAAUAUCCUGCGCAAAGUUUGUUAAUUAAUUUUAUUAAUAAUUUCAGAUAACAUAAUCCAUUUAUUUUUUGUCUUAAUAAUUGAAUGGAUUGUACCCAUGCAUAUAAUAUGUAUGUAGCUCUUUCUUUUUUUCAGUCAGAUCAAGAAUAUGUAGCUAGAAGUGUAAAUGAAUCAUAUAUACACUGACAGUUUAUUUAAGGAGAUUCACUAUUAUACCCAAUAUAAGGGCCAAAAUUAUAUAAUAAAAAAACAAUAUAUGAAAUGAACUUUAGAAACAUACUUAAAGUCCAUUUACAACAUAACAAAAAGGCUUCGAACUUCCUAUAAAUUACAAAAUUGUUGUCGAUUUCUUAAAACUAGCCCAAACCUAAAACCUCAUAAAAAAAAAAUCCAAAACACUCAAUAGGGCAUCAAAGUAAUUUAAUAAUAAAAAUUAAAUUUAAUAGGGUCAGCUGUCAUUUUUUGUGUUUUUUUUUGUUUGUUUAUUUAUAGAAAUUAAAUAGUGUAAGGUUUAUCGGUAGUGCUAAAAAUGAGUAUAUAACUAAAUAUCUCAAUUAUUUAUUAGUUUUUAUUUUUAGCUAUCAUUCCCAACAUUUUGAUCCAAGAAGAAAAACAAGUUUAUCAUAUGCAAAAUGGGCCUACAAAGUGUCUCCUCAAUAAUGUGAUUGGAGGGAUAUACCUCAAUAGGGGUGGCCCUGAGGGUGUGCAAGUGGUGCCACCGCACAGGGCCCCUAAAUUUUAGGGGCCCCAAUUUUUUUUCAUGUGUAUAAUAUAUGUAGAGUGCUGCUAUUUUCACCCACCUCAUAUUUUUCCACCCACCUUAUUUUAAAAAAUUUAAAGACAAAUUUAUCCCUAUGUAAAAUGACUUCUAAAACUCUAAAAAUAAAACAAAUUUUAAAAAGAAAAUAAAUUUUUUCUUUUACUCUCCAUAUUCUUUCCAUCUUCCUGACCUCAACAAAUUCAGCGAGCAUUGAUCUACCCAUCCUAAUCCUUUGAAAAGUUUAAAAAAAAAAAAUCAAAUCAAAUUCUCAACUCCACCUUUAAUAUUGUGUCAGGGUUGGUAGGUGAGGCCAAAUUGUCCUUUAAUUUUAUUCCAAUUUUAAAGAUUUUUUAGUCUGAUUAACACACAUAUGGGUCCUUAUUCCAUAUAACAUCACUUCAAUUAAAAAUCCAUUGUAGUCUUGUUGGUUGUAUGUUGUUGUGGUGGUGGUGUCGCGGUCGUGAAGCCACCAGUAUUGCUAAGGGGUUGAUGAGAAUAUUAAUAUGGUAGGGUAAGGUCGUGAUGUUGAAAACACAUGAAGAAGAUGAAGAUUUUUUUUUUUUUUUUUUUGGGUUAAAAUUUUUAUGUUUUUAACUUGGAGUUGAUGGUGUUUGGUCGAAUUAAUAAUUAAAGGGUAUUUUAUGAAUAAUGGUGGGUGAAAAAGUAGGAUUUUAAUUUUUCAAAUUUACACAGUGAGUGAGAAAAUAGGACAAGUGGGUGGGAAUAGCAGCACUCUAUAUGUAUAACAAAUGUUAUAUAUAUACAGAGUGAGCAAAUUGUUGACACAAAGACGUUUCUAGUUGUGUUGGUUUGUAGGGCCUCAACUUCUAUUUAGGACUCGACUUCAAAACCUGCUUGUGUUAAAGGCUUGUCCAAUGUCAACACCAACAUUCAAUAUCCCAUCUACUUUCACAACCACAAACUGAAAUAAUAAAUACCCGAACGAAUUAGUCAGUAAUUAUGCUUAGAUAUUCAAUUUCGCAAAAAUAAUGCAUCCAACUAAGUCAACCAAAAUAAUUGCAUCGAAUUAAUGAUGUUCUUGGAAUAUUGAUGCAAAAUAAAUUAGGUGUUAAAAAAUAUUUAAUAUCUGAGUAUGACCUAUGAUGACAAAGACUCAUCGUCACAAUCAUGGUGAUUAUUCAAAAAGUGUAACAUCUCUGACCCAAUGUUAUCGAUUUAAUCCAAUUUAAUUCUUUUGUGAAAUUUCAAUUUUGUCCUUGGGAGUAGGGGUACUUUGAUCACUUGAAGAAAAAAAAAAUAUUUAUUGUAUGACAUUACAUAAUGGUGUAAGUUUGUGUUAGCUUAUGUGAGGUCCCAAUUUAAGGUUUGCACAGGGCCUUCAAAAUUUCAAGACCGGUAACCUCAAUUGAAGGGGAUGGCUGAAGUUAAAACUUCCACUCUUUUUUUGGGAGUAGAACCUCCAAUUUUUGCAGCACGUUUGUUACAUUAAUAUAUGAUUACGAUUUGAAGUAUACUUCGUUUUCCCUCCCUCAUGAAUUAUAUAUAGAUUGUGUCAAUCUACCCCCAAACUUUCAUUUCAACCAAAUUUUCCUAUAAAAUAUACAAAACUAGUCGAUGUACCCAACUCGAAUUCUUAUCAAUUACAUCAACCAUAUAUCGUCAAUUAAAGUCACGUUUUAAGAGACUCAUUAUCGUUUGACAUCAUAUUCUUUACAAAAAGUGGCACUAAUUGUCAUUUUGCAAAGUUAGGUGCUUAGCAAUUGACUAACUUUUGAAGACUUUCAAGGCAACUUUUGUGUAAAGAAUAUGGCGUGGUAUGUGCAUUUGUUUUGCCUGACAUCUUGAAUGGAAUUGCUCGGAAUAUGAGCAUGGGGUAUAAAUUGGGUAGUUUCGUGAUUCAUGGGGAAAUUAGCUAUUUUAAAAUAAAUAAGUAAAGCCAAAGGGGUAAAUUGACACCGUUAAAUUUAAUUUCCAUAUUGUUACACAUGUAAUUUGCAUAAGUAGGGAGAUCAAAAUGUAAAAGAACAAAACGUAAAUUGAUCAGUCCUUAAUUAUAUAUGUGUUAGUAUAAUAAGAAACAUAAAUAGUGGUCUUGUGGUUAAUCAAUUAAAUGUUUAGGUUAUAUAUAAUAUGUAUAUAAAUAUAUAUUUCUGGUUUAAGUCGAAUAUUUACUUCUCACAGAUUUGUUGAGAUUCAAGAUUUGAACUGAGGACUUACUUGGUUUUGGCUUGAAGUUUUCUGCCAAAGUAUCCCAAGCGCGUUUGGCUGAACUGGUGUUUCUAAUGAGGGAAGAAGCUUCCCGCCCGCAAGAAAUUUGGAUUGUAUGUAAAGCCGUGGCAUUCUUCUCCCUCCAAGCUUUGAACUUAUCAUCAGCUUCUUCUUCUUCUUCUUCUUCUUCGUCUUGUUCCACUACAUCCCAAAGGUCUUGAGCCAGCAAGUAAGUUUUAACCCAUACACUCCAAUCCACAUAGUUACUGCUAUCAAGAAGUUCCACAACAGCUGCAUCUACGGAGACGGCCAUUCUUACCAGGGGCUUACUUAGGAGAGGCUUUGCAAUUUCUGUUUUAUUUACUAUACCCAAUUGAGUGAAGAACCACUUGUUAAGGCAAUGGGGGUCUGCGAAGGGUGGUGAGGAUUAUGUGAUUAUGUAAUUUAUUGUGAUAUAUAUAUAUCAGUCCUGUUCUCUUGGACUACAAGGGUCCAAGAGAUUUGUGGUCACUCAUUAUUAGAUGUAAAUUCAACGGUUCACUCACUCUUGUAUUUCUUUUUAAAAACUUUUUUGAACCAUUGGAUUAAUAUCUAACGGUGAGUGACCACAAUCUUUUGAACUCCUGUGGUCCAAGAGAUCGGAACUAUAUAUAUAUAUAUAUAUAUAUAUAUAUAUAUAUAUAUACACGCAUGCUACUGCCACCCGUUACUGCUGGUUCGUUUCUGCCUGUGUUUGAUACUGGCAGGGUCUUUUUUAAUUGACAUUUUCUUUUGUCCGACCUCAUUAUGAAUUGACCAAUAGAAACGCAGAAUUUCACUUAGACCGUCUGAAGCUAACUCCACUUAGGACACUUUUUCUCUCUCUUCUUUUUUUUAAUUAUAUAUAUAUAUAUAUAUAAAUCUUUUCUCCUCCGUCUUCUUUUUGUCUCUUUGAUGUGUCCUUUUUCUUUUAAUUGUCAGUUUUUUUUUUUUCACUUUUAUUAUGCUGGCAACUAUUGUAAUCUCUCAAAAGUAUUUUUUUUCCCACUUUUAUUUUUCUCAACUGAAUUUUUUUUAGUUUUUAUUUUUCUUUAUGAGUUAAAAUUUGAAGUUUUUGUGGCCCUUCCCAACUCUAACUUCAAUAAUCUCCCUACCAUCAAAGUUGUCACUGACAACACUGUUAGAUUUUCUUGCUUAAACAGGUGCAAUCCCUUAUCACCAUUAACUUGCAUUGCAAUUAACAAAUUAAACCAAACCAUCGUAAUUAUAAAUUCAAUUUAUAAUGAAGUUGGCCAUGUGCACGCACAAUUUAACAAAGGGUAAUUUAUAUUAACACACUUGAGGUUUUUAAGGUUUUUAUAUAACUCCUCCAGAUCAUGAAAACUUGCAUUGCAAUUCCUCAUCACAAUUAACUUGCAUUGCAAUUAACAAAUUUAACCAAACCAUUAUAAUUAUAAAUUCAAUUCAAUUUACAGGGGCUUACUCAGGAGAGGCUUUGCAAUUUCUGUUUUAUUUACUAUACCCAAUUGAGUAAUCACUUGUUAAAGCAACCGGGACCGCGAAGGGUGAGGAUUAUGUGAUUUACCAUUUCAACGAAGAGUAAUUUACCCUUGAGGUUUUUAGGGUUUUUAUAUAAAUCCUUCAUAUCAUGAUAAUUACACAAACACCUUUUCAAGUUUCAACACUCCAUGAACAGCCAAAACACUCUUAUCCAAAUCGUAAUUUUUUUUUUUUUCGGUCAAACCAAAUCGUAAUAUACCCUUGGUUGAAUACGGUCGAAUGCCAUCUCAAAUCUUACACAUUAUUGCUAAACAGGUCUAGCCAAGUGAAUUGCCAAAAAAUAAAAAACUAAAAAAGCCUAUUCCAAUGGAAAAUGACUUUAAUUUGUUGACUAAUAUAGUCUGGGUUCAAACUCCCCUGACAUCUUGGUGGUGUGUGUGUGAGAAACCCCCCUCACAUUUAAGUUUUGACAAUCGCUUGUACUAAAAAAGGGUUAUAAAAUCUCCACCCUAGAACUUGUUUUCCUGCCAGUUUAGCCCUUAUACUAAAUUUUCUUGCCAAUUUACUCCCCACCAUUAGUUUUGGCAAUUUUCAUCCAAAUCUCUGUUUUAAAAAAAUCACAUGUUAGGCACAUACCUCUUACUGGGUUUUGGGUUUAGGUGGUGGUUUGAAAUUACAAAUAUGGAAGGAGGAUUCCUGCAAUGCAGAGGAUUUCUAUAAUGGAAGAAGGGCCUAACGGCCAUGAGUUUAUUGUGUGAUAUUCCCCUGAAACUGGACGGCGGACCUCGACGGACGAGUUUUUCAGAGAGUUGAAGAUGACAACUUUUGUGAAGACUUUUUGUGAGGAGGUCAGCAACUUGAUUAGUGGAAGGAACAAAUUGAACAGGAUGAUUGCCAAGGGCAACUUUCUCAGGAACAAAAUGGUAAUCCAAUUCAAUAUGCUGUGUGUGAACGUGACGAACUGGAUUCGUAGUUAGAUAGGUGGUAUUGAUUUUGUCACAGUAGAUGAGAGUAGGAAAUGUAUCCGGGCAGCCAAGCUCAUGGAGAAGACAACUAACCCAGACGGUUUCAACGCAGGCAUGAACUAAAGAACAGUACUCGGAUUCAACACUGGAGUGAGCAAUGGUUGGUUGCUUCUUGGAACACCAAGAGAUGAGAGUGGUAACCAAAAAGAUGAGAUAACCGGAGGUAGAGCAAUGGGUGUCUAGGCAGCCAGCCCAGUCAGCAUUAGAGUAGGCACGAAUAGUCAGUGGUGAAGGAGAGGGACGUAUAUGCCAACCAGCAGGGGCGGCCCUGGGGUGGCGCAAGUGGUGCCACCGCACAGGGCCUCCGAUUCUUAAGGGCCCCAAAAAAAAAUUUCUUUAUAUUAUAUAUAUUAAUAUUAUAGGAAAUGUAUAUAUAGUAUAGCGUGCUAGACAUUUGCACAAGGGCGUGUCUGGUGGAGUUGGCUCUAGCGCUUUUCCAUUUAACGUAGCGCCAGAUUUCGAUUCUUGCUGAAGUCGGUCUAUAUGCUGUUUUAUAUAUAUAUCCCCCAAACACUUUCUACUCUGAUCAUUCUUUUAAAAAAAAAUUCUCAUCUAAGAAAAGUACUUUUUUCAUUCAAAACAAAAUAAAAAAAACUUCAUGGCUUCUUCUUUUCUUUUAAACUCUGAUUUUCUGGUAAGUAAUCAUCAUCAUUCAUCAAUAUCUCUUUGGUUCUUUUUUCAAUCCUUUGACAAUUUUAGUUAUUCUUUCAAUUUCAGGAAUUUCAACACCAAAAAGAGAAAACCAUAAUUCCUAUAUUCAUAAAGAAUAGUCAAAUUCAAAUUUCAGGAAUUUGUGUGCAACUACUCUUUAAUUUGUGAUUGCUAAUUUUUUUUUCCUAUUAAACACAAAUUGCUUAUUGGAGGCAGCAAAGGACCUUGUAGGGGCACAAUGAGCUUAUUUUUGUACCAAACAUUUAAUUUUAUCAAAUAGAAACAUUUAAAUUUUUAUGAAUUUGAUUUCUGAUUGUCAUUACAUAUUUAUUCAUGACUUUUAGUUAUAAAAAAAAUUGUUUAUGACAUUAAGUUAUGCCAAAUUUUUAUUUAUAGUAUUUCGUAUUAGAUUAUGUGAAGCUCUAAUUUAAGUUCGCACAGGGCCCUCAAAAUCUCAGGGACGGCCCUGCCAACCAGUAGGGAGACCCCCAGCCAGGUUUAAAAGUAGGUAGCAAAAUAUUAAAUAUAGCCCAGGCAUGGUUUAUCUUAAAAUUAAAAUCAUAAUGCACAACAACAUAAAAGAAAUAUUUCACUUACUUCCCAUUAAACCGGGAUGUCAAGAUAAAACAUGGAUGCUCAUACAACUUUUUAAACUGGGAGUUCAAAAAUUUUCUUUUUCACGCAGAUCGCUCCAACUAAAAAUACAAAUUUUUCCAGGGGCUCAUAGAGGGAUCCCUUAAAUAAGUUUACAGCGAGCUUCAAUUGAGGGACCCACUCUGCAUUUUAUUUCACUAAUCCAAACUGUCUAUUUUGUAGAAUCAUUCAAAGAUUAUUUCUAUGCAAAAUCACUUGAAUUUGGAUUCAUUUGAUCACUCAAUUAGAAGAUUAUUGAUACAUACUUUUUCUUGUAGCACUGUGUUAAGAUUCUUCCUCUUCAUCUUUAAGAGAUUCAGUAACGUUUGUUAAGAACUUCCACAACAAUUGCACACAUAAUUAAAAGGGACUAAAUGUACCAUACAAGUGUUUAAAAAAUUAAAAAAUAUAAUGAAAGGAUAAUAAUGAUAUUUCACACAUCAUUCAAAUUUAAAAAUAUUACAGUUGCCCGUUUUGGAAUUUUUCUUCAAUUUAAAGGUUUAUGUGUAAAUUCAAUGCAAGAAAUGAGUUUUAUUAUAAAUAUGUUUUUUUCGACUAAUAUAUUGUAAAUGUUGAAAUACAUUAAGGAACACACGUAGAACCACACUUUUUAAUACACCAUUUAAAUUAUCGAAUUAAGUUAGUUUCAACCUUUAAAAUUGUAUUUGUUUAAUGGGCAAUCCUUUUCUUUCACACAUCAUUCAAAUUUAAAAAUAAUUAAACAUUGGGGACAAUAUAGUAGCCCAACUUUUAAGACUAUUCAUUAUUUUAUUAUAUUUUCUCUCCCCUCUCUUCCUUUUUUUGUUUAAUGGGCAAACUUUUUCUUUCAUCUUCUAUCUUCUUCACCCUCAAAAAGUUUCCAACGAAUUCCUUAUUGUAAAGAGUUUUGUAGUUUAUUUUCCUUCUUCAUAACAUUUGGUCAUUGUUGCUGUAAAAAUGCUAAUGAUAUUAGUGUCCAUGAAAUUCAAUGAUUUCAAACGGUGAAGGAAAUAUAGAUUAAUAAUCAUUUUGUCAGUCUUUGUUUAAUAAAUUUAAUGAAUUAGACUUGCAGUAAAGACUGACUUGUUAGCAUGUUGGUAAUUGUUAGUCUUUGUUUAAUAAACAUUUUGUCUAAGUCUUUGUUUACAUGUUGAUAUCAGAAAUCUCAGCGAAGAUUUUUAGUAACAAAACAUAUUUUUAAAAUCCGAAUUGAUACACAAUAUUCAAAAAGUACUUGACGCAAAAAAGCAAACAAAAGACUGAAAUUUCAAAUUAUUCAAAAAGUAUCAUUGUCGACAACGGUAGGUACUAGGUAAGAAUUUAUCUUACAAACCAGAUGUCUCAGGUUCGAAUUACCAUGACAUCCUAAUUGUGUGUGUGAAUUUAUACUAUUUCUUGUACUACAAAAUAUAUAUAACAUGUUAAGUAUUGGCGAAACAAGGACGGUGCUUUUUCAUUCCAAGCAUUCCUUAAUACAAGCCUGGGUGAGGAAAGGAACAAAAACAGAAACUGGAUCGGUGUAUGUGUGUGAAUGCUGUAUUGUCAUGGUCUUUGUUUAGUUAGCAUAUUGUCUAGUUCUUGUUUUUACUUGUAUAGUCUUUGUUCACACAUGUGAAUCUGUGACUAAAAAAUAAAAAUUUAAAAAUAGCCCACCGAGUAUGUCUACUAAUAGUGUUUGUUUGUAUUAACAUCUAGAUGGUCACAAUUAAAAAAGAAAAGUAAUAGAAAGUGAGGAGAAACUAAAGGACAAUACUCAAAAAGUACUUGACGCAAAAAGCAAACAAAAGACUGAAAUUUGAAAUUAUUAUAUAAUUGUCGAUGAUGGAAGGUGCUAGGUAAGGUCCAGCAAAAUAAAAUUUUGAAAAUUAUUAAGGUAUAAUUGUUGAUGAUGGUAGGUAUUACAAUUAUGCAGGAAUCAUUGUUGAUGAUGGUAGGUAUUAGGUAAGGUCCAAUAAAAUAAAAGGAUUCGUUAAUUUAUGGGACUAACCAUGGCCAAUAUGUAGUUGUUUAAUAGAAACUUGUUAAACUAAUAAUAUCUCCAAAAGCCUGAGGACAAAACCGAGUUUGUAGUUAUUUGCAUCAUAAUUUCAUUAAAAACAUAUCAGUGUGAGUGCAUUGAUGUUUGUGUAAAUGGUUGGGACGUGUUAGAUAAAUGCAAAACCGAGAGACAUUUGACAGAAUUAUUGUCUUUUAUUUAUUAAAGAAAUUGUUACAAAGGAGGAACAGCAUUUGGAUCUGGGUUUUGGAAAUAGUAUUCGGCAAUGGUGAGGUUGAAGGCAGUGGUGGGAUUUAGAAAAUCUACAUAUUGACGAAAUAUUGGAGAUAUUAUCGUUUUUUCUAGUUACGGAUAUUUCAGAAUGUAUCCAUACACAUAUCGUAUAAAUAUCAAUAAUAUCAGAAAAUAUCAAUGUCGAUAAUUUCACUCACACUUCAGCAAUAUUUUGUUAAAAUAUAUAUCGCUAUAAUAUUUGAAUGAUAAUGGUGUGUUUAAUCUUUUUUCAUUAAUUACUACAUAUUUUCUACACUCACAAUAUUUGUCAAUUCUCUAUAUAAUCAACUUAAAUCAGUUAAACCCAUCAUGCAUUGCAUUUCCUUCCAAUUUUUUGUGAUAAAAUAAUAGAUAAUUGACUAAAUAAACAUCCUCCAAAGUUUCAAUAAAAAUUUUCAAGUUUUUCUUACAAUUUCCAUGGUUUUUAUUCAAUUUUUAUUGAUAUCGAUAAUAUCCCAAUAUUUCCAUUGAAAUUUCGGUGUUUUUGGACUAUCGAUAUUGCCGAUAUCAUCGAUAUUUUAGACCUUGGUUUAGACCACGUGUUGUAAUUUUUGUUGUUGAGCUUUGUGAUUCCUCCAACUACGUGAAGAUCACCCAUUGUGUCAGCAAAAUUCUGGUUGUACCGAACAAGCUUGAUUUAAAGAUGCAAACUUAUAGGAACAAACUCGUUACCACUCAAGGAAGCUCCUGCAAAAUCAGUCCCUGACUGUUCCACUCUCAUACUAAUUGUUGAGAAAAUUAGAGUACACAACUCUAAUAUAGACUUGUUGGAGACAAAACAAGUAAACAAAUUACUUGUAUUAGACUCACAAAAUAUUCCAACAAGACAACUCUUAAGGAAAAACACACUUUUUAGAAGCUGAAACUCUUUCUCACUUAGUAAAGACAAACUCUAAAAUACUGACACUCCUCAAUGGGGUCAUCAUUAGGCGUGCAAGCCCAUAGGCCGUGGGGGGCAUAUCCGGCCCAUUGAGAAAAUGCCCGGCCUGUUGUUGAGUGGGCGGGGCUUGGCUUAGGUGUCUAAAGCCCAGCCCUUUUGAGUCCAAGAAAGCCCGACCGGCCUAUAAAAGUCUGGCCCACAGGCUCACAUACAUAAAAUAUAUAUAAAAAACCCAAGUUAAAUGAAAUAUGGAGAAAAUCAUUAUCUAUUAUCAUUGUAAGAACUGAAAAAAAAAGAAAAAAAAGUAUGAGAUAAAAUAUGAUUUUAUUAAUAUGGGAUUGUAUAACUAUAUCUUUAUAUUUAUGAGGAAAAAAAAAACAGAACUAUGAAGUUAUGAACAAAGAAAAAAAAUGGAGACAUAAAUAUAUAACAAAUGUCAAUAUAGAACUAUGAAAAAAAGAGGAAACAUAGAAACACACCAAAACAUAGAAAAAAAAAUAUAUAUUAUAAAAAAGACAAAAUGAAGUAGGCCCAUUUAGGCCCAGCCGGCCCGAUGGGCUUUUUCAAGCCCGAGCCAUGGGCAAGGUUUGGACUUUGAAUUUUCCAAAAAAACCCGGCCCAGUUCAUUAUUUUCUCUCUCCUCUUUAAAGCCCGACCCGACUCGGCCCAUUGACAAAGCCUACUCCUCACAAGAACUUCUUACUGUCACUUAACUUCAUGACUUCUUAAUUGAUUACAUUAAUAAGCUUCAUGCCCACUUAUAAAAGUAGUACCGACUUAUGUAAGUCGUCUUUAUAUAGUUAACCCGCCUUGAAAAAACAUCCCAGCCACAAGUUCAACCGACCUUGAAAAUAUCUUAAAGGUUCUAGGAAUUGUUUAGGCUGUUUGGUGUUGCUUACUUUGCUGGGUAGACUUCACUUGAGCAUUCUAGAUUUUUCUAGUUUUAUUUGUGCAUUAUUAUUUCUGUGGGCUUGAAUUUUACUUUUCUUGGGCUAAUUAAUAUGUUUGUGGGUUGGGGUUGAUAUUUUAACACUAAUCUCUUUAAUCACGGAAAAAGUGACGAGGAGUAAAUUUAAAAGAUAUUCAACCAAGAAUGCAACAAACUUCACGCACUCUAGACCUUGACUAAAUACUCCUAUGACUAGUUAACUGUCAGAUAUGAAUUAUACCAAACAAUAACAUACACAGAGCAUACCAAGAUGUACCUGCAAGCCUAGAAAAUUACUAGUGACAACCUAUGCACUCAGAAGGACCCGUCAAUCUAGGCAUCCUCUGUGCUAGCAACAACUAUGGUGAAAGUUGUGAAGACAGCAUAAUCAAGCAAACACCAAACAGCAGAAAAAGAUGACCAGUCAACUGCAAGAACACAAACCCAGAUGACUAGUCAACUAUCAAGAAUACAAACCCAGAUAAUUUACAGAGAUGAAAACCAAAAAUUGUUCACCCAGAAACUAACCAUUGGGAAAAACUGGGGGUCAUCAACCGACCAGGCAAUCCACUAAGCAAAAAGAUUCUUACAAAGAACACUAACAAGCUCAAGAAAUUCAUAGGUCUAUUUAGGAAGAUGAGCUAUACCUCCUUUGUGCAAUCUUCUUCUCCAACUUAGCAAAGCUUGAAGCUCAGUUCUUCAUGGCAAUGGCAGCUUCUUCUCCAACUCUUUCAUCCCAUGGCACUAGCUUGCAAGCUCUAACUCAGAUAGAAAUGAAAUUUGGAUUCAUGGAGAAAAUGACCAAUUUCUUCAAGAAACAGUACUCUUGAAGAAAUCAAUCUUGAAUCUGACCUAAAUAUAUAUAUGAUAGAGUGUUUGAUCUAGCAAGAUGAAGUUUUCAUAUUUCAAAUGCAGUUUUCAAAAAGAAACAAUUUGGAAAACUCAAAGAUGAAAAAUAUGAAGGUUACUCUUGAGGAAGAAGAAGAUAAAGUUUGCUUUGAAACUUUCCAAAACUUGUCCCCCAAAGUGACGGCUGUCAAAUGAGGAAUCCUUUGGCCUUUAACGCCAAAAAUUCCCUAGGUCAGAAUCAACACAUAUCAGUAGAGAGAGAAAGGAGAAUAGGACAAAAUAGUUGGUUAUCCAGUUGAAAAUCCUACAGAGCAAGGAUGACUAGUCAUACGAGAGACAGAUGACUAGUCAUCAUUUUAUGAAAUCAAUUUAAUGCAAUGUGAUGCAAUGCAAAAUUUACCUUUGUCAAUUUGCUUGAACCUCCAUAGGAUAUUUGUUAGUUAAGAACACCUAGAGAAGCUAUUCUUAAUCUAAACUUGAGCUUGAUAAAAACAAUAAAAUCCUAUUACAAAAUUGUUAAGGAAAGCCAAAAGAAACACUCAAAAUGCAUACAUUAAUAAGGCCCGCACGAAAUUUGGAUUGCGUGUAAAGCCUUGGAAGUCUUCUUUCUCCAAGCCUCGAACUGACAAGCGUUUACUGGUUUAGGAAGUUCAGCUGUACCCUACACUACACCCCAAAGGCAGGGCCGGUCCUGAGUUUUCAAAGGCCCAGGGCGAAAAUCUAAAGUGUGCCCUCCUACACACAUUAAUCACUAAAACUAGUAUACUUGUUUUAUCAACUAAGCAUUGGUUUUUUUGAGUAAGUAUAUAUUCCAAAAUAUUUUUAGAUUUUGAGCAAUGUCUUCCAUAUUCCUAAAUAAUGAAAACAAAUGUCCAACUAUAGAUACCAUAUCAGUGAGUCAAAGAAUUUCAAGAAUGCAAGUCAAGCCAAUAUCAAAGAAUUUCUUUUAAAACUCUCGUCAUGGAUCCUUUGUUCCAAAAUUUCAUAUUCAUCUCAAUAUCCUAUUCCUAAAUUAUGAAAAACAAUAUCUAUUUAAUUUUGAUUCAUCUUACAAGAAAAAUAGGAAAUCACCCAGGUUAUUUUUGCAGAGGAACAAUUCCAAGAGGAAAGCAAGGUUUCUAUUUGAAAAGAAAACCCCAAAAGAAUAGUACAAAUAUUAGUGAUUCAAAGAAUUCAAAUGAAUAAAUCCAAGAAAACCCCAUAAUGUAAAUGACUUAGAAGAGGAAUCGAUAGAGAAAAAAAGCAAAUCACACAUGGUAAUUUUUUGUAGAGGAGGAAACCGAAGAGUAAAACAUAAAUGAACUUAUCAUCAUCGGCAUCAGGGAGAAAUUCGAUAAGAGUUCAUGUCACUGACAGAUUGGGAGGAGAUAGGAUAGGAGGAGGUCAAACGAUGUGAAACUACAAACAAAUAAAUAAAUAAAAUCAAUUUUUCCUUUUCAUUUGAUGUCAAAUCAUGAAAAAUUACCUUCAAUUGAUUUCUACAAGGACCAAUUUUGCACUGAACAAAAUCCCACAUUUUGGAUUUUGGAAUCUCCCCAAUCCAUCAAUAGAAAAAUUAAUUUAGGGAUUCAUAAUUCUGGAACUAGUAUGAGAGGCUUAGAUGAGAUGAGAUGAAGAAGAAGAAGAAGAAUAGAAGAGAUCGUCGUUUUGAAUGCCAUUUUUUGUUCUUCUCUCAAAAAUAUUAAAUUAAUUUAUAAUAAUAUAAUAUAACACUUAUUAUACAAAUAAAAAAUUUGAGGCCCCCUUGAAUAAUGGGCCCAGGGCAGUCGCACUGACUGUCCUGAUCAGGGCCGGGACUGUAAUGACCCAAACCUAAAAUUCAUAUUUAAUGAGUAAUUUAUUAUGAGGAAAGACAAUUUUGCCAUUGGAAUAAAUUAUGAACUCAAAGUUGACUUUUUGACCGAAAAGGAAUUUGACAAUUUCACAUACACCGUUGCGUAGAGCACGACGAAACGAGUUCGUAGACACGAAGUGAGCUCGAAUUGGAGUUUUAACGAAGAAAAUACGAUUAAAAUAUCACGAAGGGCAAAACGGUAAAUUGGAAAAUCAGAUUUAAACCUCACUUCUCUCUCUUCUCCCUCAGUUUUCCUCUCUCUCCCUCUCUCUUUCUCUCUCUCUCUCUCUCUCUCUCUCUCUCUCUCUCUCUCUCUCUCUCUCUCUUUCUCCUCCAACCGUCACCUUCCAAGCACCAUAACUCCCGCCACCGACCACCUCUGCCCCUGCCGUCGGCGCCAACAGAACCAGCUCGGUUCCAUCUUCAAGCCCCGACCACUCUCCGCUGCCAGCCGUCGCUGUAGUCGCCAGAUUCCGUCCAAAAACGAGCCGGUUUUGCAUAGUUUUGCAACCGUUCAUUCUCCUUCAAUUCUCUUCCAAAUUUGUCGAGUAAGGUAUGGAUUUCUACUUAUUUUCCAUGCUCUAGCUGAUGGUUGGGUAGGUUUCCAUUGAUUUUCACCGUAGCUAGCUCAGUUUUCAAAUUGGAAUUCGGUUGGUUUUCGGCCUCUGUGUUUGGCCACUUCCGGUCAGUUUUUGGGGUAGGUCCAAGAACAAAAGUGGUCCCAAAUAUGGUGUUUAUACCUAGGAUAGGAGUUUGGAACCUUGGUUUUGAGAUUUUCCGGCGAUGCGUAAUCGCUUUGGACACCCAUCGCUGCCGGCGGUGUGUGGCGGCGCGUGGGCGAGUGUAGUGCGGUGGGACAGUGUUCUGAUGCGAUCCUUAGGUUGUCACGAGCGCAUAGGAAUUCGCAUAUCUCAAUUUGGAUACCGUUUGAGCCUCGAACGGAUUUUCCAUAUUGUGCGAUUAUCGGGUUCAAUACUGUUGAGCCGUUGGAUCGUAAUCAAUUUCAGAUAUGUUGUUCUAGAUAAUUUUAGAAACGUGUAGGAUUCGACGGAUCGUGAAUCGGAGUCCCGGAUACUCCGAAAACGCGAACCCUAGGGCUAGGGUUUAGAAAUUAUGCGAUUACAGGAUUGUGAUCAAUCCGACUGUCCGAUCGACAUCAAUACCCUCGGGACAUGUGUCCUAGAUAUAUUGGACCUUCUAGCGGCAUCCAGAUCAUAUUGUGAGGUCAUGGACCCGUGGGGUUCCGGAUUGACUUUUUGGACUUUAGCGCUAGUUGAGUCCCAAGAUACCGCUAAACUACCCCACGUAGAAGGAAAGCUUUUAUGGGCGUAGGGAUCACUUUAAAUUGAUGCACGUACUUUUAGGAGCCGGGGGUAGGGUUUUUAAUUUAAUACUAUAUUGUAUGAAUAGAAUAUUAUGGUCAUUGAAUCAGGCACCCGGGCACCAGUUGACCCGCAGGAGGGACCUUCAAGAGGUCCAGCGAGCUCAAACUAUCAGUGAGUGGACUCUUUGUUUUUAUAAAUGAAUUUAAGCAGUUCAGUUUCAGUUAAGCAGUUCAGUUUCAGUUAUAAGUUGUUUAUUCUGUUAAAUAUUUUGUGUAGCAUGCUGUCGAGUGAAAUCUCCUUUAAAGAAUAUAGAAAAAGGUAUUCUCGUUAAUUAUCAAAUAAAUGGCAGCAGAAUCUUAAAAGUUACAGAAAGUUAAUUAUUCAACAGUUUUGCUUUAGAAACUUUAUAUUUUCUUAAACCACCUUGUACCCAGAUAUUAAAUGUUGCCUUCGGACUAUAUUUGUUGCCUUCGGUUUAGUCCGCAUGCUUGACAGUUACCCCACGAGUUCCUUGGUACUCGAACUCGUGUGGAGCAAGUAAUGUGGAUAAAGGUGGACUACGGUCCCCUGAAUCCUGCGAGUGCAGCUCGGACUGACUUCGUGUCACUGAGACCUGCGAGUAUGCGUCACCCAUGGUGAUGCAAGGAAUUGACGGAUAUAAGGAUUUGACGGAAAUAAGGGUACACCUAGGUGAUAGUUUUAAACUGUUUUCAAAUGUAUAAUUAGAUACAUGCAUUGAUUUCAGAAAUAAAGAGAAUAAGUUAGUUUGUAUAACUGUUUUUACAGUGGGGUUAGUAUGUUCAUAUACUAUUUUCUAAAUUUUGUUUUGGGUCCACUCACCCUUACUGUUGUUUUGCACCCCCAGGCAGUAGAUGUGCACAGGAAUCCACCACCGGGCCAUUUCCCAUCUUCCGCGCCUUUCUUUUGAUGUAGGAUUUUUGUUUUGUAAAGGGAUUCACUCCUUUAUAAAUUCUUAGUAGUCGCUCUGAUGUUUUGCCCUAGACUGAGAUUUGAACUGUUGGAAUGUGUAUAUACGUAUACUGGCAGUUGGUUGUAUAUAUGUAUACUUGUUUGGCAGGUGAAAAUAUUUUGGUAUUGAGCCAGUUACAAGGGAAACUCUGCCGAUUUUUCGGUAGAAGUCAACCUUGUUUAUUUGAUCAUGUUUUGUGUUGAGGGGCAAAUAGGUCAUUUGUGCCCGACAUUCGCCAGGUGUCGGACACACACAGGGUCUGGUUUGGAUUCCAAAGCGGAAUUUGGAUCGGAUUCUGUCAGGGACUGCCCAAAGGCCUCUGGCCAACAAGUAAUUUUUAACCAAUGCACUCCAGUACUCAUAGUUAUCUUCGUUAAGAACUUCCAUAACAAUUGCGUCGACAAGAACCAUAGGUUUCACCAUUCUUACUGAUAUGAGUUGCUGAAAGCUGACCCGGCUUGCUAUUUUUGUUGUUUUUAUAUUUAGGUCUCAGAUAAAAGUUUACAACUCAGAAGAGUAAAGGAUCUCAUCUAAAGUAGUGUUGGAAGUAUCAUGCGAGUAUACUAAUAUUCCAUCUAUUACUUAUACCUGUUUACUCUCUUUUUUAUAUUUGUUUUGUUGAAGACUAAGUAAAAUUCCCCACUAACCAUUUAACCAUUUAAUGGUUUCCGAAUUAAUUUUCUUUAUACGCGCAUGCCACUGUUGGCAGAUGAUAAAAUACUGUUGGGGGUUGAGUGCAUUGGUGUAUUAAGAAUCAGGCCUUUUCUUGCAAGUAUUCUUUAAGUACUUACAUUCCUUAUUCUUUUUCUUUUUCUUUUAUAUAUAUCUAGAAGUACCACGCCAGUAUACCAAUAGGAAAAAUAACAAAUCAGAAUCAGCUUAACUUUUUCAAGUUUUUCAAUAGGAAGAUUAUACAUUACCAAUAGGGUACAGAGGUUUUACCAUGGUGGUGCCUUUUGACAGAAGCCGACCCAAAUUCCGUUUUGGAAUUCGAGCCGGACCCUGUCCGUGUUCGACACUUGGUAGAUGUCGGGCACGAAUGACCCUAUUUCUCUUCUAUACAAAGCACCAAGGUUGACUCCUACCGAAAAAUCGGCAGAGUCUCCCUUGUAACUGGAUCAAUACCAAGGCAGUUACACCUGCCAAACAAGUAUAUAUAUAUAUACAACCAACUGCCAGCAUACAUAUAUAUACAUUCCAACAGUUACAUUCUAAGUCUAGGGCAAAUUAUCAGAGCAACUACUAAGAAUUUACAAAGGAGUCAAUCUUUUUACAAAACAAAAAGUCCUACAUCAAAAGAAAUGCGCGGAAGGUGGAAAACGGCCCGAUGGUGGAUCCCUGUGCACGCCUACUGCCUGGGGGCGCAAAACAUUAAAAAGGGUGAGUGGACCCAAAAAAACAAAGUUUAGAAAAUAGGAUAUGAACAUACUAACCCCACUAUAAAAACAGUUAUACAAACUAAAUUAUUCUAUUUAUUUCUGAAAUCAAUGCACUCAUAUAAUUAUACAUAUAUAUGCCAAUCCUACUCAUGGUUAAUAUUAAUUUCUUAAAGCAUUGAAAACAGUUUAAAAUAACCACCUAGGUGUACCCCUUAUUUCCGUCAAUUCCUUGCAUCACCAUGGGUGAUAUGUACUCGCAGGUCUCAAUGACACAAGGUUAGUCCGAGCCGCAACUCGCAAGAUUCAGGAGACCAUAGUCCACCUGAUCCGCAUUACUCGCUCCACACGAGUUCGAGUACCAAAAAACUCGUGGGGCAACUGUCAAGCAUGCUGACUAAACCGAAGGCUACCAAUAAAAUCCGAAGGCAACAUUUGAUCUGAAGGCAACUUAUUUACCGAAGGCAACAUUUAAUAUCUGGGUACAAGGUAGUUUAGGAAAAUAUAAAGUUUCUGUAACCUUUCAAAUUCUGCUGCCAUUUAUCUGAUAAUUAACUAGUAUUUCUUUUCCUAUAUCCUUUAAAGGGUAUUCCACUCGGCAGUAUGCCAAAUAAAAUAUUCAAAAGCAUAGAACAGCUUAUAACACUAAUCUUUGAAUAAAAUUUAUUCAAGAUCAAAUACUGUAACUGAAACUGAACUGCUUAAAUUCAUUUGUAAAAACAAAGAGUCCACUCACUGGUAGUCUGUGCUCGCUGGACCUCUUGAAGGUCCCUCCUGCGGGUCAACUAGUGCCCGGGUGCCUGAUUCAAUGACCAUAAUGUUCUAUUAAUAUAAUAUAAUUUUAAUUUAAAAACCUUGACCCCCGGCUCCUAGAAGUACAUGCGUCAAAUUAAAAUUGGUCAUAUGACCAUAAAAGCUUGGAAUAGUUUAGCAGUAUCUUGGGACUCAAAAAGUGCUAAAAUCGCAAAAAGUCAACCCGGGACCCUGCGGGUCCAUGACCUCACAAAAUGACCCAGAAGCCUCUAAAAGUUCCAAUAUAUCUAGGACACAUGUCUCGAGGGUUUGGUCUCGAUCGGACGGUUGGAUUGAUCACGAUUGUACAAUGGCACGAUUUCUAAACCCUAGCCUUAGGGUUCGCGAUUUCAGAGCAUCCGUGACUCCGAUUCACGAUCCGUCGAAUCCUAAACGAUUCUGAAAUUGUCUAGAGUAAUAUAUUUGAAAAUGAUUACGAUCCAACGGCUCAACCAUAUUGAACCCGAAAAUCGCACAAUAUGCAAUAAUCCGUUCGAGGCUCAAACGGUAUCCAAAUUGAGAUCCGCGAAUUUCUACGCGCUCGUGACAACUUAAGGAUCUCAUGGAAACAUAGUGCUAUGUCACUACCCUCGCCCAUGCGCGGGCAGCGCUGGGUGUCCAAUGCGAUUACGUAUCGCCUGCAAAUCUCAAAACCACGGCUCCAAACUCCUACCCUAUGUAUAACACCCUAUUUGGAGCCACUUUUGUUCUUGGACCUACCCCAAAAACUGACCGGGAGUGGCCGGAAUCGAGAUCCCAAAAUCGGCCGAAUUUCAAUUCGAAAAUCAAGCUACCUACAUUCAAAAUCGAUGCAAUCCUACCUAACCAUCAGCUAGAGCAUGAAAAAUAGGUAGAAAUCCAUACCUUACUCGUCAAAUUUGGAGGAGAAAUGAGGGAGAACGAGCGGUUUGAAGUUUUGGAAAAACCGGUGCGAUUUUUUGCAGAUUCCGGCGGCUGGAGUGGCUGACGGCGACAGAGACCGGAUGGAAUGAGAAGAGGAGGAAGUGGUGGUUCGAACAAGACCGGUCUCGAGGCCGGUCACUGGCGGUGGCGGUGGCGGUGACUCUUGGAAGCCACGGCUGAGCAGAAAAAAAAAGAAGAGGGAGGGCGCUGCGCGCAUGGAGAGAGAGAGAGAGAGAGAGAGAGAGAGAGAGAGAAACUGAGGGAGAAGAGAGAGAAGUGAGUUUUUUGUAAAAUCUGAUUUUUUGAAUUACCGUUUUGCCCCUCGGAGUAUUUUAACCGUAUUUUCUUCCUUAAAGCUCCGAUUCGAGUCCACUUUGUGUCUACGAACUAGUUUCGUCGUGCUCUACGCAACGGUGUGUGUGGAAUUGUCAAAUUCCUUCUCAGUCAAAAAGUCAACUUUUCUUUAAUAAAUUAUUCCAAGGGCAAAAUUGUCUUUUCUUGUUAAUAAAUUAAUAAUUAACUAUUAAUUUAGGUUUGGGUUAUUACACCUUUCACUUGUUCUUUUUGUUGCUCGAUUUGUAUGUAGCAGGCAGGGCUCAAAACAAAGUCAAACAACUUCAAGACUUGAUCCCAAAUUCUUUUCUCACACGCUUAUCUUCACCAAGAAUCACAACAUAUUAUCAGGGAUACAAGCUUCUUAGAAGUUACAACAGUUCGAAAGUUUUAUUAUAGGAUGCCAAACACAUACAUGGCAUGGAAAAUGCGUACAAUCUUCUUAGAAGUUACAACAUUACGAAAUUAUACAUUACCACUUACACGUACCAUCGAGAAGUUAAGUCCAUGAUUUCACUUUCCUAUCAAAUAUUCCACUCCCACGUAGAUGACUUUAUGCCUUUGAUUUCACUUUCCUGUCAAAUAUUCCUCGUCCAUAAGUAGAAAUGCACAUCUCAACUAGAAGAGGAAAUUGCAUCCAAAUAAAUAAGGUGACUGGAAUAAUAGCAACAACAAUCAUUGGAAUAACAAUCCACAAUUGUUCAUGGAUCAUAAUGAAAAGGGCGGAAGAAAAGGCAACCAUCAUGGUGGCAAUAGAGAUGAAUAAGGUGGAAAGGCCUAUUAUCAUCUUUGUUGGCAAGGAUGUAAGGAAAUCAUCUUCCGCAUAACGUGAUGUAAGGAUUCCCAAAAACAUCAACACCGAAGUUGUGGAAGAAAAGAGGGAUAUAGCAUCUGAAACUAUAAAAGCCGUAAACAACUUUUUAUGCAGGAAUAUUGGGAAGCCUGUUUGUCCAUUGUUUCCACCGGGAAUUGUGAAUGCUGCAGCAAACAUGAUGGUAAUAAUGAGAGCACCUACAACUGUACAUGAAGAUGCAGUUUCUUUCAUCCAUUUUUCUCCUUCCUUCACCAAUUGGUUGUGAUUCUUGGUAAACAUCUCACGUGGGAUCUUAUGCUCCAUAUUUAAAGAUUCUUUAACCAAGGGUAAUACAAUAUUCUCGACCUCCUACGUGUUGUUGAACAAAAGAUUCAUAUGAGUAUAAGAGGUUAUUAUUCUAAUUUUCCAACUAACCCUUGAAUUUUUUUUCAAUUUGAUAGGCCAUAUAAACCUAAACCAUUAGAGAACGGAGAAGACAAUGUUGACCAUAGAGAGUACUACCUUUAUUUCUAUUUUAUUUGUCAUUCUAUAUUUUUAGUUUCCAUAGGUUAUUUAACUCCUUCCAUGUUGCAUUGGUUUUCGACUAGAAAAUGCGUUCGAUGCUCCUUUAAAUUACAUAAAUUGAAACAUUAGUUUUCAAUAUUGGAAUGAAUAAAUUUAACAAAAAAUGACUCAUUUUAGCCUCAACAAUUUAUGUUAGAAAUUAAUUCCCACAAUUUCCAAACAAAAAAUACAUAUAUAUUGGAAACUAAUUAAUAAGAGGGAGAAAAAAAAAACUACCACUGAAUUAUAUGUUCUGACCUUGAACCAUUGUAGUUCUCUCUGCAUUUUCAAAGCUGCACCUGAGAUAUUAUCGAGCCUUGCUAAUGGUGAAAGCGUCCCUGCCACAUGUAGCGCGCAAUUGUUAUCCCGAUCCGCAAUAUUUCCAAUCGCAAUUCUUUGUCUUUUACUGAGUUUAUAAUAAAAAAGGUUAUAAACUUUUUCUUGACGACAUUCAAUGGCAAACUGAAAGAGGUUCCUUCUCAUUGAAUUACACGCCCACACGAGAUUUGGUCUUGCUUGCAACACACGGUCAAUAAACUCAAACAUUCCUAGCUCGGUAGCUCGGAAAACUGCUGGAAUGAGAAAGUCAUUGCCAUCUGAAGGUUUUAUCACUUCACACAUAUUAUCUAGGAGUUCAAGGGCUUUCAAUAUGGGCCAAUUUCAUUUCUCGUAGGCGUUUGAUUCCUAAGUUGGCAUUGGAAAAACAUGUCAUAUGACUAAUUCAAAGAAAAAAUAAAUAAAAAACUGUUAAAACAAUUAAUGGAGAACAAAGGAAAUAUGGAAACAAUGUAGCAUACCCAAAAUUUCAAGGAGAUUUGUGUUCAGACCUUGCAAGAAACCUAGCACUGCAAUGGAAAUUCAAAAUUCAAACACAUGAUGGGGAUAGCUGUAUAUGUCUCUGUUAAUUAGAUGACAAAACGGGUGCAGAGCAACGUUCAGAUAGUAAUAGAAUCGUUAUGAUCAACUAGUGAUUCAAAAUGAACAUUACCUAUUCUUCCAUUUUGUUUUCUUACUUAAUGCAAGAAAACAAAAAAAAUUGGGUGUAUUAUUAGAAACUAUAAGAACAGUUUGAUAACAUAUGAAAAAAUGAUUUCUAUUUUGCCAGAUAAAACCCAAGUCUUACAUUUAAGUCGCAACAUACCUGACCAAGCGAUCUUUGUUCGAUUAUGUUCUUCAUUUCCUUCAUUUUGAACACUUACACGAAUAUCAUUGAUGGUGCAAUCUAUGUGUAUACCUUUCGAAAAAAUUACAGUAAUUAACCUCAAUCAAUAUAUUUCGAAUAACUAUUUAUAUUACAAUUAUGGAUAUCUCUUGUCAUAAUCUAUUUGCACAUAUAUGUUGUAUAGGCAUGUUCCCUCAUGGGGUUGAGAUCUAAUGUCCCCAAGUUUCAUGUACCCUGUAUAGAAUUUUGACCCUUGUCCAAACACUUACCUGAACUUUAAUUUUGUUAAGCUUUAUUACUUUUAAACAGGGCUGCUAUUUACACUCACCUGUCCAAAUACUCAUCAAUCUAAGGCCCAGUUAGGAAUUUCUGUCACUUUCAAAAAAAAGUUGCUUAUGUUGUGCUUUCAAAAUAAUUAGCUGUAAAGUAAAGCAGCUCCAUGUUUGGGACCUAAGUGAAGGGCCAUUAGCCUAGAGUUAUCAACUAGGUGAAGUAGCCAACAGCUACACCACUAAGAGGCCAAUUAGCCUAAUUCUAUGUACCUAAAGCGUUGUACCAUUGUUCCACUUUUUCUAAACACAUAAACCAAUAAUAGUAUCAGAGUAUCACAUUACAUUCUAAAUUGUAAUUGUAAGAGGAAAAGAAAAUGUGGAUACUAACUAUCAUAGAUCCAUUGUUGCCAGAAUUUGAGGCGUGUUCCACUCAGAAAUGUAGAAGGCCUAAAUGCUUCUAUUGGAAUUACCCCAUAGUGGUCUUUAGUAAGGACCAAUUGAGGGCAACACAGAAUUAAUUCCCGAGCCAUACCUGUAGUAGAGAAAAAUAAAUUUUAUUAUAAGGAAAAAAACGAGUUAUCAAAUUAGUUGUUAUAAGAUUAAAAUUUUUACCAAAUUUCCUUUUAGCUAUACAGUAGUAAAGAAGUCCCGCGCCGUAUGGGCCUUUUUCUGGCAAUAGAUCCUCGAUGGGAGUGACGGAGUAAAGAUAAUGAACGACGUCCCAUUGGUCAUAGAUAGAAGCCAAGAGAAUGGGAGUCAAAUUCUGGUUAGUGGUAAUACCAAGUAUUUUCUUGCUUUUUCCAACCAUGCAUUCAACCAUUUUGAUAUUUCCUCUUUGUGCAGCAAGAGCAAGAGCUGUCCAACCAUCAUGAUCUGUUAUUUCCAAGUCUUCCUCGGACAUCAACUGCACCAGCUCUUCCACAAUAUUCUCGUGCUCUAGUUCUGUUGCCAUGUAAAGAGCUGUCUUGUUUGAGUACGGAUGUCUUGCUCUUAUUGCAUCUGGAUGUAGGGUAAGAAACUCCUUUGCUUCAUUCCAAUCCCCAAACCACACAGCAUCGAACAACGGCUUAUACAGACUCUUGUCAUAUCCUGCACCAAGUUUGUGUUAAUUAAUUAAUUAUUUCAUAUAGCAUAAUCCACUUAUUUUUUGUUUUAAUAAUUGAAAAUAUUGUACCCAUGCAAGCAUAAUCCUUUUUUUUUUUUUUUUUUUUUUUGACUUUGAGGGCCACUAUUUGCCAACAUCUUGAAUGGAAUGGAAAUAUGAUUGUGGGUAGUUUUAUGAUAUUUAAAAAUAAAUAAAUAAAGUUAAAAGGGUAAAUUGACACAGUUAGAUUUAAUUUCCACAUUGUUGCACAUGUAAUUUGCAUAAGGAUAUAAAUUUCUUUUCGUAUACAGUAACAGGGAGACCAAAAUGUAAAAGAAAUAAAAGUAAAAUGAUUAGGAGUCCUUAAUAUAAGCAGCAGAAAUUGUGGUCUUGGUAUAUAAUAUAUAUUGUAUUUGAGUGACACCUUAGGAUUUUUUUUUCAACAAUUCAAACUGUGUAUUUUUCAAGUCUUCAUUCUUAGAUCAUUCUUGAAAAAAUCAGAGAAAUUAAAAAUCAUUAAGGCAUGUAAUUGAGACCGAUAAAAUCAAGGAACACGAUACUUCAAAAAAGUACUUAAAUUUCAAUAAUUUGAAUGGUCAAAUGAUAUUAAAUGAAUAUCUACAAAAUAGGUGGUUUAGAUGAGUGAAAUACAAUGCGGAGUGGUCCCUACAAAAAAUGUCCCUCAAAUAAGCUUAUUUGAGAGAUCCCUUAUAUAUAUAUAUAUAUAUAUAUUUCUUGUUUAAGUAGAAUAUUUACUUCUCACAGAAAGAGAACCAAGUACACCCGGGGGGUUGUUUGAUGAGGUUCAAGAUUUGAACUGGUGACUUACUUGGAAGAAAUGGUUUUGGCUUGCACUUUUCUGCCAAAGUAUCCCAAGCGCGUUUGGCUGAAGCGGCGUUUCUAAUGAAGGAAAAAGCUUUCCGCUGCACGAAAUUUGGAUUUUAUUAAAGCCGUGGCAUUCUUCUUCCUCCAAGCUUUGAACUUAUCAUCAGCUUCUUCUUCUUCUUCUUCGUCGUCAUCUUCAUAUUCUUCUUCUUCAUCUUCUUCAUCUUCUUCCACUACAUCCCAAAGGUCUUGAGCCAACACGUAAUUUUUAACCAAUACACUCCAAUCCACAUAGUUACUGCUAUCAAGAAGUUCCACAACAGCUGCAUCUGCGGAGACGGCCAUUCUUAGAAUGGAGAACAGUUUAAGAAAUUGCUAAAAGUAAACUGGAAAUCAUACCAUCCUUGUUCUAUCACCCUUAAAAUGAUACCAUCUUUGUUUUACUAUAUGUUAAGUUGGCACUUGAUAUUGUCUAAUAAACUACUACUAGUAUUUUAACAAUAUACCUGGGCUGGAUGAUGAGCUUGCAGGCUGAACAAAUGAAUUAUUUAGGAGUGAUGGUUGCGGUGUGAAUUUUUCGGCCGAAGUAUCCCAAGCAAUUUUGGCUGAACUAAUCUCCUUAAUCACUGAAAAAGCAUCAGGUCCGCACGAAACUUGGAUCACAUGUAAAGCUGUUGCAUUCUUCUUCCUCCAGGCCUUGAACUGAUCAUCAGCUUCUGCUUCUUCUUCUGGUUUAGGAGGUUCAGCUGUAGCCUCUACUACUUCCCAAAGGUAGUUAUCUUUGUUAAGAACUUUGACAACAAUUGAAAGGACCCGCCCCGAAUUUCCCAAAAUCCGAGGCGAAUCUUGUGGAAAUUCCGACAUCACCCCGAUACCAGGCCCACUUACUAAAGACCGAGACUUUCUGCCGAAAUUUCGGCAGAGUCUCCCUUAUAAAUUGGACAUUUCCCAAAAUUACAACCUACAUAAAACACAAUUUAAUAUCCACAACUGGCAGCAUGCACAAUAUAAUUUCAUGCAAUUCACAUAAUCGGCCUUCGGCCUUCAAAUAAUUCGAAACGAAACCACCAAGUACGCUGUCAAUUCAAUUACUACUUUAAACAAGGCAAACAAUAAAUUCAAUCACACUUAAGAAUAUCAAAGCAAUCCAUCACAUUUAAUUUUCUCAACAGCCAACAUACGAGGUUUUAACCUCCUAACACAAUUACAUCUAUGUCCGCGGCUGCACCUAAUAACCUUAGGCUGCCUACGUACCCUCUCUGAGGGAUUAAGCCACACGUAGUUCUUCCAUAAAAUCCAAUUCCACACAUAGGCAAUACCUUAUUUUAUUUCUCUGUAUUUCACAUAAUCUCCCCAUACGCCGGUACAACCAACGCCACGUAUGGGGCCUGUCAACACGCUGGAUUAACCUACGCCACGUGCGACCUCAACAUAUUAUCACGUAAUCUCCCUAUACGCCGAUACUACCAAUGCCACGUAUGGGGCCUGUCCGCAAGCCGGAUAACCUACGUCACAUGGGACCUAACUUUCACAGGGUGGUACGUGUAGUGUAACCAAACUCCGGGGAUGUGCCUAAGGUAGUGCGUAUAACACUUCAAACUGACAUUCUAGACUCUUUUUAUACCCUUACAAACAUAUAUAAAUAUAUAAUUUAAUUCUAAUAUUGUGUAAACCUCAACAACAGUCUAGCACCCGAUAAUCCCCCUGGAAAGGUGAGACUACUCCGGAAGACUCACGGUCAACUAAGGGUCAAACUACCCUAACCCUGGUCAAACGGGCCUACGGGGCCCACGACCUCCAAAUUCCGAUCUGAAAGUUCCUAUGGGUUCUACAAGGUAUAGGACACUCGUCCUGCAAGUUUGGUCCAGAUCGGACUGUCGGAUCGCUCACGAUCGCACGAUCUGACGAUUAUUAUAAAACAUAAACUUUAUAUUAUUUAAUUGGAACAUCCGGGGCUCCGAUUCACAAUUCGUGAAUUCCUACAAGAUCCUAGAUAUACCUAGAUUAACAUAUAUUAAAUUUGAGACCAUGCAACAGUCUCAACCUAUCGAACCCGGAUAACGCGCAAUAGGCGAUAUCCGUUCGAUAGUCAAACGAUGUCCGAAUUGAGAUCCGCAAAAUCCUACGCACUCGUGACAACCUAAGGAUCUCAUCGAGACACAGUGCAACUUCGCUACCCUCACCCACGUGCCGUCACACGUGCCGGCAGCGUUGGGUGUCCAAAGCGAUUACGCAUCGCCGGAAAAUCUCAAAACCACGGCUCCAAACUCCUACCCUAGGUAUAACACUCUAUUUGGAGCCACUUUUGUUCUUGAACCUACCCCAAAAAAUUGACUGAAAAUGGCCAGAAUCACGAUCCCAAAACCGGCCGAAUUUCAAUUCGAAAUCGAAUUGCCUACGCUAAGAAUCGAUCCAAUCCUACCCAACAGGCAGCUAGAGCAUGAAGAAUGGAUGAAUUUCCAUACCUUGAUCUCCAGAAAUGGCGGCCGGAGGAGGGAGAUUGGAGCCGACGAAGUUCGAGCGAAAACCGGGCGAAAAUCGCCUUUUUUCAGCGGCUGGAGCGGCGGCCGAUGUCCGGGGAGGGUCGGGUCGUGACGCCGUGGCCUAGCAAGUCCUUUUGGCACCGGUCCCGUCCCGAAGCCGCGGCCGGUGGCUGGAGAUACGAGGAGAGAGAGAAAGACCGACGGGGAGAAAGGGAUAGGGCACGCUGGAGGAGAGAGAGAGAGGGAGAGAGAGAAAAAUCUGAUUUUUAUAAAAAUCCCAUUUUAAAUAAUUACGAUUGUGCCACUGAGUUUCUUUUGACCAUAUAUCUCUCGUUACAACUCCGAUUCGAGCCCACUACGUGUCUUUGAACUCGUCUCAGUAUGACCUAUCCAAAAAUAGUAGUCACUGCCCCAAACUCUCUCUGGGUAAUAAAAUGACCAAAAUACCCCUAUCUCAAGGGUAAAUUUGUAGUUUCCCUUAAAUAAUUAAAUAAGGGAUUAAAUUUGGAGUCGGGGUGUUACAACAAUUGCAUCUGCAGGAACCACAGUUUUCACCGUUCUUACUCCUAUUCACAACCAGAUAUGAGGGGCCGAAAGCUGACCAGGCUUGCUAUUUUUGUUGUUUUAUAUUUAGGUCUCAGAUAAAAUUUUACAACUCAGCUAGAAAAGUGUGUGUCAUUUUGCAAAGUUAGGUGCUUAGCAGUUGACUAACUUAAGACUUUCAAGGCAACUUUUUUGUAAAGAAUAUGGAGUGAGAUGAGCAUUUGUUUUGUUUACAUCUUUGAAAGGAAUUGCUUGGAAUAUGAGCAUGGGGUAUAAAUUGGGUAGUUUCGGGAUUUAUGGGAAAUCAGCUACUUUUCCUCUCUCUUCUUUUCUUUAUAUUUUCUCCUCCCUCUUGUUUGCGUCUCUUUGAUAUGUGUCCUUUUUCUUAAACUGGCGCAAUCCAUUGCAAUUAACAAAGUAAACAAAACCAUUAAAUUAUAAAUUCAAUUCAAUUUACAGGCGUUCGCGAAGGGUGAGGAUUAUGUGAUUUACCAUUUCCAUUCGUUGACGUAAUUAAACAAAUUCAACGAAGAGUGAUUUACCCUUGAGGUUUUUAAGGUUUUUAUAUAACUCCUUCAUAUCAUGAUAAUUACACAAACACCUUUUCAAGUUUCAACACUCCAUGAACAGCCAAAACACUUUUAUCCAAAUCGUAAUAUACCCUCAGUUGAAUACGGUUGAAUACCAUCUCAAAUCUUACACAUUAUUGCCAAAUAGGUCUAGCCAAGUGAAUUGUCAAAAAAUAAAAAAAAUAAAAAAGCCUAUCCCAGUGGAAAAUGACUUUAAUUUGUUGACUAAUAUAGUCUGGGUUCAAAUUCCCCUGACAUCUUGGUGGUGUGUGUGUGAGAAACCCCCUUCUCAUGUAAGUUUCAACAAUCGCUUAGACUAAAAAAGGGUUAUCUACUAAAAAACACUACAAACUAUCACGCUUGUCGAAAUCUCCACCCUGAACUUGUUUUCCUGCCAGUUUAGCCUUCAUACUAAAUUUUCUUGCUAAUUUACUCUCCACCAUUAGUUUUUGGAAAUUUUCAUUCAAAUCUCUAUUUGAAAAAUCACAUCUUAGGCACAUGCUUCACUACUUAAUUAAAAUUUGAUUUUUUUUUUUCUUUGCUUCUUCAAAGAGCUCAAAUUUCUUUUCCUUCCUCCUACUGGGUUUUGGGUUUAGGUGGUGGUUUGAAAUUUACAUCCUUGUCCUCUUCGUUAUAAAGGUUGAGAUCGAUCUAACGAUGGAGAGAUUAGGGUGUAGUGGAGGGUUAGUGGGCUACGGCGCAUAAGAUGAUUGGGGAGAGAGAGAGAGAGAGAGAGGUGUAAAUUUUGUAUUUUGGAUUGAUUUGAUAAGUGUGAUACAUGAGAGAUUUAUACAUAGUUGAAAACCCUAGUAGAGAUAUACAAGGAAACUGAAUCAACAAUACAAGGAAGGUAAAUCCAUAUUAACACGUAUAGAAAUAUGGAAGGAGGAUUCUUGCAAUGCAGAGGAUUCCUAUAAUAGAAGAAGGGCCUAACGGCCAUGAGUUGAUUGUCUGAUAUUCCCUUGAAACUAGACGGCGGACCUUGACGGACGAGUUUUUUAGAGAGCUGGAGAUGACGACUUUUGUGAAGACUUUUUGUGAGAAGGUCAGCAACUUGAUCAGUGGAAGGAACAAAUUGAACACAAUGACUACCAAGGGCAACUUUCUGAAGAACAAAAUGGUAAUCCAAUUCAAUAUGUUGUGUGUGAGUGUGACGAAUUGGAUUCGUAGUUAGAUAGGUGGUAUUGAUUUUGUGACAGUAGAUGAGAGUAGGAAAUGUAACUGGGCAGCCAAGCUCAUGGAGAAGACAACUAACCCAGACAGUUUCGGUGUAGGCACGAGCGAAAGAACAGUACUCGGAUUCAACACUGGAGCGAGCAAUGGUUGGUUGUUUCUUGGAACACCAAGAGAUGAGAGUGGUAACCAAAAAGAUGAGAUAACCGAAGGUAGAGCAAUGGGUGUCUAGGUAGCCAGCCCAGUCAGCAUUAGAGUUGACGUAUAGUCGGUGGUAACCAAAAAGAUGAGAUAACCGAAUAGUCAGUGGUGAAGGAGAGGGACGUAUAUGCCAACUAGUAGGGAGACCCCCAGCCUGGUUUAAAAGUAGGUAGCAAAAUAUAUUUAUUAAAUAUAACCCAGGCAUGGUUUAUCUUAAAACCAAAAUCAUAAUGCACAACAGCAUAAAAGAAAUAUUUCACUUACUUCCCAUUAAACUAGGAUGUCAAGAUAAAACAUGGAUGCUCAUACAAAUUUUUAAAACCAAGUUUUCGGAUAUUCAGUAGCAUUCUUUUGAUAUCGAUCCUCGUGUGCCAACUACCCAUAUCACAAAUUUAUUCAGCUCAAGUUGCACGGUAGUGAGAGUGUCCAUUCCAUGGCUAUACCUCAUUGAACUAUCCUCACAGCCGCACGGACUGCAGGACUAGUCGAUCCAUAUAACCCCUGCCCAGGUUUAAGGUAUCGAAUCCCAAGGUGGUCCCUAUGCUCCCUUCACUCUCAUAUCAACUCGGAACACUGUCAAUGGAGUUGAUGCUUAAAGUAUGAUUAAAUCCAUACAAUAGAUAUGUGAACCAAAAGCAAUGUGGAGUUCUCAUGCAAUCAUAUUUAUUACUUCAUACAUACAGUAAAAUACAAGCCUGGUUUAGUGGUCUCCUACCCGGAGUCCAAUGCUGAUGCCUGGUCCCACACACUUUACUUGCCAAGUCGGAAAUAAGCUCUUAACGUGCCAAGGUUAGGUCGAGUCACAUUUUACGAACCCUAAGUCGAAUACAAACCCUAGUUCAGAACCCUACGUUGUUGUCAGAAACUUAAUGUGAAAACCCUAGGUCGGGUUAUGUGGCAAAUACUAAUCGCAUUUUAGAAAAUUUAGGAAAGCUCAAAAAUAAAUUUGGAUCCUUAAGAUAAGGUUGGGAACAGUUUAUAGGUGGUCCAAAGCUUUAGGAUUUUGAUUUGGGACUUGAAAAUAUUUGUCGGAGGUUCAAAAUAAAUUUUUAAUAAUUAAAAUAAAUUUUGGAAAUUUAAAACUCAUUUCCAAAAGUCCAAAAUUCAUUUACACUAAUUAAAAGUAAUUUUUGAAAUUAAAAACUAAUUAAAAAUAAUUUUCAAAUUUUAAUUACUAAUUUUAAAACUCCACAAAAUAAUUUAAAAUAAUUAACCACAACUAUUUACUAAUUAUUAAGUAAUUUCAGAAAUAAAAUAAAAUAAUUAAACACUAAUUAAACAUUACAUAAAGAUUAAUUAAAGUCCAAUUAAUAAUAGAGUAAUUAAUAAAAUAUAAAAUAAUAAUUAAAUGCAAAAUUAAACUAAUUAAACUAAAUUAGGAGAUUAAAAAAACUAAUUUGCGAAAUAAUUAGUUAUUUUCGGAAUAAUUAAAUAAAUAAAUUAAAACUACUUAAUUAAUCUAAAACAAUAAUAAAAACUAGUUAACUAAUUUUAAAAAGCAAAACUAAUAACUAAGCCAAAGUAAGAUAAUUAAACUAAACUAAACCACAAUGAAAAAUAAUUAAAACAACUCAAAAGGAGAAACUUACCAAGGAUGGAAUGAGAAGCUUCAAGGGAGGAAAUCAACUUCCAAAGGAAAUUUGAGGAGAUGGGAGUGCAACUAGGGCUUUGGAUCUCAACCAAAUAUCUGAUUGGAGGGUCCAUAUUGCAUCAAAAACUGGAGAAAAACGAUGAAGAAUUGGCUGCAGCACGGAGGCACACGACUUGUCAUAUGGGAGGGACGGUCCAGAUUGUUUGACAACAUCAGAUAAACGACUGAAAACAAACCAAGUCAGCACGACCCGUUUGACAAACACGCGGAUCAUCAAACUAGUCGGCUUUUUAUGUGGGUAAUUAACGUUGUGCCACGUUAGUGUACAGUCAAGGUCUACCUCCAAUCGCGUAACAAAAUGUUAGCACCUGUCAGAACACGUCAGUAUCCUGUCAGCAUCUCUCAUCUGUCUAAUCAGCUACAUUAGCACGCCAUCGACACUCUAGAUCACGCCAUGUGUCCAGUUGAAAUAAUUUUUCUUUUCCAAUUUUCUUAUUUUCCAGAACUUCUAAAAUCCACCAAAAAUAGCUUCGAGCUCCGACCAAUUCCUUGAAAAUUCCAACGACCUCGUCUCCACCUCUACUAUUUUUUGUACUUCACUUCUCCAAAAUCCUUCAAAAUAUUUCAUGGAAAAUUCUCCAACACUUAAUAUAAAUCCAAAUAAAGUCCAAAAAUUCAAAUUUAAUUUCCAAAAAUUCCAAUCUUCACCAAUUUGAGUCCAAAAAUUUUCUUUUUCACUCAAAUCGCUCCAACUAAAAAUACAAAUUUUUCCAAGGGCUCAUAGAGGGAUCCCUUAAAUAAAUUCACGGAGAGCUUCCAUUGAGGGAACCAACACCCCUGUAGGGCCCACUCCGCAUUGUAUUUCACUAAUCCAAACCGUCUAUUUUGUAGAAUCAUUCAAAGAUCAUUUGUACAAAAAAUCACUUGAAUUUGGAUUCAUUUGAUCACUCAAUUAGAAGAUUAUUGAUAUGUACUUUUUCUUGUAGCACCAUUUUAAGAUUCUUCCUCUUUAUCUUUAAGAGAUUCAGUUACGUUUGUUAAGAACUUCUACAACAAUUGCACACAUCAUUUAAAGAGACUAUAUGUACCAUACAAGUGUUCAAAAAACUAAAAAACAUAAUGCAACGAUAAUAAUGGUAUUUCACACAUCAUUCAAAUUUAAAAAUAUUAGAGCUGGCCCUUUUGGAAUUUUUCUUCAAUUUAAAGGUUUAUGUGUAAAUUUAAUGCAAGAAAUGAGUUUUAUUAUAAAUCUAUUUUUUUAGACUGAUAUUUUGUAAAUGUUGAAAUAUAUUAGGGGACACACGUAGAACCACACUGUUUAACACACCAUUUAAAUUAUCGAAUUAAGUAAGUUUCAACCUUUAGAAUUGUAUUUGUUUAAUAGGCAAUUCUUUCACACAUCAUUCAAAUUUAAAAAUAAUUAAACAUUGGGGACAACAUAGCAGCCCAACUUUUAAGACUAUUCAUUAUUUUAUUAUAUUCUCUCUCCCCUCUCUUCCGUUUUUUUGUUUAAUGGGCAAACCUUUUCUUUCAUCUUCUAUCUUCUUUCCCGCUGCUUUCUCUGGCUUUAUUGUACAUGAGUUUACACUCAUACACACCCUCAAAAAGUUUCCAACGAAUUCCUUAUUGAAAAGAGUUUUGUAGUUUAUUUUCCUUCUUCAUAACAUUUGGUCAUUGUUGCUGUAAAAAUGCUAAUGAUAUUAGUGUCCAUGAAAUUUAAUGAUUUUAAACAGUGAAGGAAAUAUAGAUUUAUAAGCAUUUUGUCAGUCUUUGUUUAAUAAAUUUAAUAAAUUAGACCAGGAGUAAAGAAUGAAUUGUUAAAGUAGUUGGGGUUGUUAAUUGUCGGUCUUUGUUUAAUAAGCACUUUGUCUAAGUCUUUGUUCACAUGUGGAUACCAGAAAUCUCAGCAAAGAUUUUUCGUAACAAAACAUAUUUUUAAAAUCCGAAUUGAUACACAAUACUCAAAAAAGUACUCGACGCAAAAAAGCAAACAAAAGACUGAAAUUUCAAAUUAUUCAAAAAGUAUCAUUGUCGAUGACGGUAGGUACUAGGCAGUAAAUGUCUUUGUCCUUCUAUUUUUAUUUAUUUUUAUAUUACUCCAUUUACUUAAGUUUACAAUGUAAAUAAGGAAGUACCCCCCAUUUGGAUUCAAAUAAAAAUACUAGAAAAUCAAAUUCCCACCAAAUCAAAAUAUGAAAAUUUGAUUUUAGUGCAAAAUACGAUUUAGGCUAAAAAUGAUGGCUCAUUAAGUCAAUAUAUACUUCAUACUAAAAUCCCAUAAAAUCAAGUUUUCUUAUUUGAUGUAUAAGGAAUAAAAGCCGCCAAAAAUUAUCUUGAGAAAAUGAUUAUUCCGAAAAACCAUUUUUCAUACUUAGUCAAUAUUGCACCUCCGCUAAAAAAAUUAUGGGUCCGUCAGUGGUACUAGGUAAGGUCCAGCAUUUGGAUCUGGGUUUUGGAAAUAUUCCGAUGCGGCAAUGGUGAGGUUGAAGGUGGUGGCGGGAUUUCGACCAAAAAAAAAAAUGGUGGUGGUUGGAUUAAUUAAGAACAUCUACAAUUAUGCUUUUUAUUUUUAUUUUUUGCUAAUAACACUUGAAUCCUAUUGGAUUAGUUUAGUUUUGAUUUGGUUUUGGGACUGUGGAUCCGCUCCCAUCUCUAUAUCUUUUCUCCAUCAGUAAAAUUGGUCGUAUUGGACACAUUUAAAAAAAAUUUAAAAAUUUAAAAUAAAAAAAAACCUGGUCAAACGGCAAGGGACACAUAAUUUGAGUCCUAAUGAUGAGUCACACGCAUGUCAAUCCCAACAGGCUCUUAUAUAUAGUUGAGGAGAAUUUAUUUUACAGACCAGAUGUUUUAGGUUCGAAUCACCAUGACAUCCUAGUUGUGUGUGUGAGUUUAGACUAUUUCUUGUCACUACUACAUUUUACCCUUUGCGCGACGAAUAACAAAACGUCGCGCAAAGUCCCAUUUAGUCGCACUAACUUUAGCGCGACAAAAAAUUCGUCGCGCAUAUUCCGUCGCGCGAAGAUCGUGAAGAAAGCCUUUGCGCGACGAGGUAAAACCAUUCGUCGCGCAAACAUGUGCGACGAGUAAACCAUCGUUGCACCAACGGUAUGGAGACGAAACAACUGUUCGUCGCAUAAAAUUUGCGCGACGAACAAGUAUUCGGCGUACGUAUAUUUGCGCGACGACAAGACUAGGGCGACGAAAAACCAUUCGUCGCGUAAAACUUGUUUGGGAGACGUAGAUGUUCGCCGCAGAACCAUUCGCGCGAUGAGAAAGUCUUCGUCGCUCAUAUAUUUGCGCGACGAAAUUUCUGUCGUCGCGCCGACUAUAUGCGCGACGAACACAUUCGUCGCGCAAAACUUGUUUGCGAGACGCAUGUAUUCGUCGCGCAAGAAUUAAAAGUAAUUAAAAAGUUGAAUUUUUAUUUUUUGUGUGGGUUUGCGCGACGAAACAUUUGCCGUCGCGCAAAAAUAAUAUUACAUUUUUUUUAUUUUUUUUAUUUUUUAUUUUAAAUAAAAUUGGUUUUUUUUUAUUGAUUAAACAAUGAAAUUGCAAUAAAAAUAAAUUAGAAUAAAAUUUUUUUAUAAAAUAAGAUAAAUGUAUUACAAACAUAUAAAUGUUUAUGAUGAAAAUAAAUACACUAAUCAAAUAAUGAAUCAAAAUCAACCGUGUCGUCGCCAGUAUGCGGCUCGGAGGUCUGGGCAUUCACCGGGGCAGUGGUCUGAUGGGGCUGCGCGGGAUGGACGGGCUCGGAGGUCGGCGCAUCAAAAUGCGGGACUGGAAUGCCGGACUGUGCGAGGGACUGCAGAAUGACCGACAUCUGGCUCUGAAGAGUGGCCACCUGUGCUGUCAAAGCAGUGACCUGACUGUUUGACUGCGCCGAUGAACGAGGUCUAGGCUCCCUCCUCCGGGCAUUCCCCAUCCCUCGACAAUAUGUCCCCGGCCUCCUCCCGAGAGUCUGAUCCAACGUCUCCGUCAAGAUCUGAAAUCCAGCAUCCUGUGGAGGAGCCACAGACUCGAUCGGGGUCUCGGGAGGAAGCUGGGAGGCGGACUCCUGAAGAACCAACUGGCUCCUCUCCACCAUCGUCGUCUGUUGAACAUAACAUAAAAUAUAAAUUAAAACAUGCAUAUAAAUUGAAUGCGUAACAUAAGAAUUAAAAUUAAAUAAUACUUACAUGAAGGGACUCGGCCAACUCAUUCCCGGGUCGAACAUAAACGUCACCAAAGACGUCGAUCUCUGGGAACUUGGACCCCUCCUAAAUUGAACAAGAGAAGAAAAAUAUUAGUAUGAAAAAAAUAAAUUAAUAAAAAUGACAUUAAAAAUGAAAUAUAAAUUUUGUGAUUAUUACCCGACGCCGUGCAUCCAUCCUAUACGAAAAGGGUCUGGAGCCGGAAUGGUGGAGAAGGGUGUUCUUCUUCCUAUUACCCUUAUUCACUUGGGCUUUAUUCUGUUAUACAAAAAAUGAAACAUAUUAGUUAAAAUAUAAAAAAUUAAAUAAUAAUGAAAUAAAAAAAUAAAAUAAACAUUAAUAAGUAAUAAGUAAUAAUUAAACAAAUAUAAUUAAAAAAAAUACCGCAAAUUCGGGCGCUUGAAAAUGAGCGCAGAGCCACUCCCAACUAUCCUCCCGCCCCUCAAGCUCCUUCGGGCAACCCUCAUGAAGAGCGACUUGCGGAUCAUCAUAGGCCUGAAAAUGGUGGUGCAAGUCGCUCUUCCAUUGCUUGUACCUCUCAGCGAAGAGUCUGUUGACGUACGUCAACGACUCUUCGUCGAGAUCCUCCAAGUUAUAGUUCGUCUGCAAUCAAUUAAUUAGAUACGUUAAGUAAUAGAAAUAUACACAAUUUUAAAGAAAAAUAUUGAAAAUGUAAGGUACAUACCGACAACUGGCCGCGAACCUCCGCCUUGAUCUCGUCAGGCAUGACCCUCCAAGACUUCCAUUGCAUCGGGCAAUGGGUUCGCAUGACGUGGCCAAUGUCGUGGGCCAAGGAGCUAUGCAACUCCGCCGUCGGUGCAGCCCGAUGGCGCUCGUCGUACCCGAUGCUGAUACGACUGUUGGUCACCCGAGUGACCUUCGCCGUCUUCAGCUGACGACACGGUCCUCGGGUGUUCUUCUUCGCUGCAAAGAAAAAAGGUAUUACUGUUAAAUAAAAAAAUAUUGUUAAAUUUCAAUAUAAAAUUAACAAUACAAAAGUGUAGUUAUACCUGGCUGUGAUCCCGAGGCACCAGUACCGUCGGUCGAUGUCGUGUCGAUGGAGUCGGUGGGCCGGUGCCGCCGCCUUGCACUAGCUGGCUGCGCCACGGAUGACGCAGAUGACGCAGGCGCCUGGGGCGACUGGGACGCCCCGAGACCAACCACCACGUGGUCCAUCAAAGCUGGAGCAGUGGCAGCAGAUGCCGACUGAGCCGGGGGAUCCGAACUCGGUGCAGUCGUCAUCGUCCUACCACGUCUAAUCAAGUCUGACAUCUACACAUUUAAUUUCAUUCAGAAUUUAAACUAAUUAAUUAAAAGCAUAGCAUGACCUAGGGUUUGGAAUUUCGGAGUAUCCGGGACUCCGAUCAACGAUCGGUCGAAUCCUAAACGACCCUAGAAACACAAACGUACAACUACAUGAGUUUCAGUUCGAUCCAACGGUCCGAACAUAUCAAACCUGGAGAUCGCACAAUAGGCGAAAUCCGAUCAAGACUCAAACGGCAACCAAAUUCAAACCGGCCAAAACCUAGGGUUUUAAUUCCUAUUUCCUAUAGCGAAAAUUCACAAAAUCCUAACCAACCAUCAGCUAACCAGUAACAUAUCCAUCCAGCCAAUCAAUCAUAACAAACAUACAGAAAUCAUAACACAAAUACAAAAUCAAAAUCAAAAUCAAAACUGACAGAAAUCAUCAUAACACAAAUACAAAAAUAAAAACUGAAUUAACACAUACUUCAAUGGACACAGAGUCGAUAGAGGCUUACAGUGGCGCAGAGAAAACAGACCCAGAGAAAAGAGAAUCGGCAGUGGCUACGGUGGUGAAGGCAGGGAGGCUACGGUUGCGAGGGCGACGGCAAGGAGGCUACGGUGGCGACGGCGACGGCAAGGACGCCACGGAACGAGCGGAGGUGGCUGAGGUGACGGCGGAGAGAGAGGGCUGAGGGAAGGAGGAAAAACCAGAGAAAUGGGGAAGAAGGAGCCCUCGGGUCGUUUCUGCAGAUUUAAUUGAGUUUGCGCGACGCAGGACCUAAUUCGUCGCGCAAAAUCGUUUUAAUGAACCUUGCGCGACGACAAUUCUGUCGCGCAAAACAACAUUAAUGAAUCUUGCGCGACGACCCUCAUUUAUUCGUCGCGCAAAGUUUUUGUUCACCGCCAAAAUUUUGGGAUUUAAGGUUUAGGGCGAGGCGGAAAUUGAAGGGUCUGCGCCUUUUGCUCGACGAAGUUAAUAAGCGUCGCGCAAAGGACGAUAUUGCGCGACGGAAACAUUAUAUUCGUCGCGCAAACACAUUCUCGGCGCCUAAAAAUUGAGAUUUAGGGAGAGGUAUCUGUCUUUUGCGCGACGAAACAAGUAACCGUCGCGCAAUGUUACCUUUGGGGUUUAGGGUUUGGCUGGAGCUGAAGGGCCAUUGCCUUUUGCGCGACGAAGACGUGUUAUUCGUCGCGCAAGUUCAAGAUUGUGAUUCGGUUGAAAUUUUCGCUAAGUGUUCAGAGGGUUGAGGGAUUGCGCGACGAAUAAACUAUUGCGCGACGUUUUUGUUUUAUUCGUCGCGCUAGUGUAGAAUUUCAUUGGGUUAAAAUUUUCACUAAGUGUUGAAAGGGGAUGGAGGGGUGGACUUUGUGUCCCAGAUUGCGCGACGAACGAAACCAUAUCCGUCGCGCAAUCAUAAUAUCUUUCACUUUGCGCGACGAUAUUAUGUGUUUCGUCGCGCAAAACCUAAACCCUAAAAUGUAAACCCUAAACCCUAAGCCCUAAGCCCUAAACCCUAAACCCUAAAAUAGUUUCAAUGAUCCAACCGGCAAACUUAUUUUUUUUUUCUUGGAGAUCGUAUACGCCAAAAAUCAAAACGACCAAACAUUCAGAUAUCAGAAAACGGGACAAAAUAUUUCGACGGUUAUAAAUGAAAAGUCAUGAUUUAACGGUUAUUUUAAUACCGAUUCCAAUCAUUUUUUAUAGCAACAUUUGUUGACCCUAUAUGAAUACAAUGACUGAAUUUGAUCUUCAAUUUCAGAUUUUUACACUAGGGGAUACCACAUAAACGUUAAGUUACAUUUUGACAAAUGUAUGAACAAAUUUUUGAUUUUUGGUGAAUAUAUGAUUUUGAUAGCACACGCAGUCUACAAAACUAGUUUCAGUCAUCCAGCCGUCAAACUUGUUUUUUGACAAUUCGAGAUCUUGGACAGCAAAAAUCGGCCAAAAAAAACAUUCAGAGAUUAAGUAACGGGGUAAAACUUUUCGACGGUUCGAAAUAAAAAGUGAUGAUUGAACGGUUAUUUGAACUCCGAUGUUGAUGAUUUUUUGCACCAACAGUCCUACACUCCAUAUGAAUACAAUGAACUACUUCGAUCGCCAAUUUCAAAUAUAUAUGUGUGUAUAUAUUAUACUAUAACGUUACGUAAUAUAUAUUUGCGCGACGAAGUCACUCUCAUCGUCGCGCAAAAGUACCAUACGCGAUGCACAUAUUUUCGUCGCAACACUAGCGUAUGGUGUUUUUGCGCGACGAUAAUGAUACUCCGUCGCGCAAGGAUUUGGCGCCAAAACUCCACCUUUAAUUCAAAUUGUGUAUGCUUUGUAUUUUUUGGAAAGGUUUUGUAUUCAUCAUUUUUUAUGCUUUGUAUUUUUUGGAAAGGCUUUGUAUUUCUUCAUCAAAACAAAGCUAAAUUGAUAAUUAAGAUUUGAAUCGACCGAAUUUAUCGGUUUGACUAGAUUGAUGCCACUAAUCAUGAACCAAAGUCAAGAAAAAUAAGUGGCACACAGCUAAUAUUGGAGAAAUAACUUAAAUUUUCUGUUUAAACAUGAAGAAAUAACUAUAUCUCAAAAGAUAAAAAUAAUAAUUGAAGAGGCCUUAAGGCAUGAAUAAAUAAAUAAAUAAAUAAAAACCAAUCAACAAGCAUGGGGUCGUAAUAAGUACUGACGAAAGUAUUGACUACAGUAUUGACAUUCCAAUGAAGUUUGUGAUGAAAUAUGGAGAAUGAAUACACAACUACAUAUGAACGACUGCAUAUAUUCAAAGAUUUGUAUUACACAAAAUGAAUACACUAACAUAAUAAAUUUACAAAUAAAUUCAUUAUUCAUCAUCUGAACUAUAAUAACUUUCGUUAUCGUCGCUAUCAUCACUCUCGGUCUCCCAAUCUUCUUCCUCCUCCUCCUCUAUAACUGCAUCAUCGGCGUUGCUAGGGCCCACUGAAACAUCGUAUCGGGGAAGAUCACCGAGGUCAAUUGUAAUUGACUGAAUCGGUAUUUCGACUGAAGACACUCCUUCUAUUUGAAACGGUUCUUGUAUAACAUUUGUAUCUCGAAGUGUUUCCGCAUCAUUUUCCAUUGAAGAUUCUAAACGUUGGUCAGCCACAUUGUCGACGGCGUUGUCACUUGGGUCUAGUUCUGGUAUAUCAUACACGUUCCUAUGAUCCAUCUUCUGCACAACUUUCCACCCGUUCCCGGCUUUAGGGUCAUCUAGAUACACAAUUUGGGACGCCAUGUUUGCCAAAAUGUACGGGUCGUCAUCAUACCAAGUUCUGUUAAUGUUCACAGACAGUACUCCAUGGUCGAUUUUAACACUUCCCGCCCUAUUUGGGUUGGUAUCGAACCAUCGACACUUAAACAUGAUGACUUGGUAUCGAUCUUUGUAAAGCAAUUACACGACAGUUGUCAGUUUGCCAUAGAAAUCAAUGUCCGUACUUUCGCCUCCACCUGGGACAUGGACACCGCUAUUUUGCGUACAUAACUUGUCAUCUCGUGCGGCCCCCAAAAAUUUGACGCCGUUAACAUUACAACCCGAGAACAAUUCAGCGCGAAUUGGGCCGAACGCCAAGUUAUAUAACUCAUCACUGUAAGUGGGGGAAUUCGAUGAUUUCAAUUUAUUCACCUAAUAGUAUACAAAACCAUUUACAUGUUAGUCAGACAAAAUUAAAUACUACAAUUUAUAUCUGUCAAUUAUAAAACACUUAUAACUUACAGAAUCCAAAAACCAUUGUGGAAAUAAUUCACGGUGUUUCCGGGCAACCAAAUGUGAUGGAUGUUCUCGCUUCAUCAUCUGUUCAUGCUCAUCUAAGUAGGCCAUUAUCUCAUCACAAUUGUUCAGUACGAACCAAUGCGCUACCUCCAUGUCAUUUCUAGAAAACGACUCUCCUCGUCCAGGAUCUCCAAAUGGUCGUGCGCUUUGGGCAAAAACAGAAAGUUUUUCAUUUCUCAUACCUCCGUCAUUAUUGCGUUGAGGACGAUUGAAAACCGUCUCCACAUCUUUUAAAUACAUUCCACAGAAAGUAAGCGACUCAUAUUGAACCCAAGCCUCUAUAAUUGAUCCUUCGGGCUUUGCCCUAUUGCGUACACUUUUUUUCAGCUCUCCGAGAAGCCUGCCAAAAUAAAACGAUAUGAUACAAAUUAGCAAAUUGUCGAUAAUGAUGCAUACACAAAUGAUAAAGAUUAUAUACCUUUCUAUUGGAUACAUCCAGCGAUAGUUGACAGGACCAGCAAGCAAUGCCUCUUCUGGCAAGUGAACCAUCACGUGCAUCAUACUUGUAAAGAAAGCUGGCGGAAAUAUCAUCUCAAACUUGCAUAGGACUUGGACAAUGUCAUGGCGCAACUGAAACAUGUCUGUCCUUCGCAAUGUUUUUGCCGUCAGUUGGGAAAAAAAUCUGGAUAACAAGAUGAUUGGCUUCACCACAUCUUCCGGCAGUAGGUGUCGAAUACCCACAGGAAGUAGGCGUUGCAUAAACACAUGGCAGUCAUGGCUCUUAAGUCCAGUAAAUUUACCCCCAUCGACAUUCACGCAACGUGCGAUAUUAGAAGCAUACCCAUCGGGAAAUUUGACAGAUGAUACAAACUUUAGAAACUCUUUUUUGUCAUUCGGUUUCAUAGAAAAGAAUGCAAGAUCCCUUCUAGCUUUAUCACUGUAUUUCUUCAUCCAUAAACCCCUUCGUAUGCCCAUUCUUUCCAAAUCAAGACGAGCUUUGAUCGUGUCCUUCGUCUUCCCCUCGAUAUCUAGAAUCGUGCCCACCAAUGUGUCGAAUAUAUUUUUCUCAACAUGCAUCACAUCUAGAUUGUGCCUCAAUUUCAGUUUCGACCAAUAUGGGAGCUCAAAAAACAUAGGCUUGUGCGUCCAGUUCAAAUGUGUAGAAGGUCUGGUCCGACUAACUGUUUUUCCGAACGGAGCAAAAUCCAAACGGUUCAACUGUUCCAAGAUCUCAUCACCGGACCAUUCUCUAGGUCUGAGGCGACGCUCUAUGUUCCCGUCGAACUCUUUAUCUUUUUCCCGCCAUUCGUGGUCCCAUGGCAACCAUCUCCGAUGACCAAGGUAACAAACUUUUCCUGCGUGCCAACCAGAAGUUACAUCUUCCUUGCAUACAGGACAUGCCAUAUAACCCUUUGUGCUCCACCCAGAAACCAUUGCAUAUGCUGGGAAAUCAUUCACAGUCCACAUAACUGCUGCCCGCAAAGUGAACAUCCUCCCAGUUGAUUUAUCGUAUGUGCGAACACCGUUUGUCCAUAAAUCCUUCAGCUCAUCAACCAGAGGCCUUAAGUACACAUCAAUUGACCUGCCAGGAUCCUCAGUUAUCAAAACAGUCAUCAUCAUGUAUUCUUUUUUCAUGCAUUUCCAAGGCGGCAAGUUAUAUGGGAAUGCGAAAAUCGGCCAAGUGCUGUGGUGUUGGUUUAGAACCCCAUACGGAUUGAAUCCGUCAGUGGCAAGUCCCAAUCUAACAUUUCGGGGAUCAGCAGCAAACUCGGGGAACGUUCGAUCGAACUCUUUCCAUGCCUCCCCAUCAGCAGGAUGCCGCAUCACAUCAUCGUCUACCCGUUUUUCCUUAUGCCAUCUCAUGUCUGUGGCAGUAUGCGUCGACAUAUACAAUCUCUGCAACCUAGGUUUAAGGGGCAGAUAACGCAUCACUUUUUGUGGUAUCUUAGUCGUUCUAUUCUGGGAUGUCAUUUUGAACCUCGACUCAUUGCAUAUAGGGCAUGUAUCCAACGUUUCAUGCUCUUUGUAGAAUAACAUGCAAUUGUUUUUGCAAGCGUGGAUUUUUUCAUAACCCAAUCCAAGACCAUGCAACACCUUCUGCGCAUGUUUAUGGUCUUUAGGCAAACAAUUAUCCGUCGGAAGCAUUCUCUUGAAAACCCCCAAAAAGUAAUCGAAACACAAGUUCGACAUACGAUACUUUAUUUUUCCGUGCAUUAGCUCCACAAUGGCAGUGAGAACGGAAAAGCUCUCGCACCCCGGGUAUAACUCUUGGUUGGCAUUUUUUAACAGUUUUUCAUACUGUUCAAACUCCGCACUGUCUAUUGGUGUAGGCACGUCAUCUUCCCCUUCCUGAUUGAUGUUGGUCGAUGCGAAUGGAAAAGCAUCCUGUAUAAUACCCAUGACUUGAUCAUUAGGAUCCACAAUAGGUUCAACAUUGUCCACUCUCGGGGCAUUUGAAGAAGAAGCAUGGUCUACUUGUUCGCCGUGAAGGUUCCAAAUGCUAUAUGUUUCAAUCAUUCCAUUCCUUACUAAAUGAAAUCCAACAUUUUCAAUUGUCUCCCACAACGUGUUGUUACACCUCCUACAAGGACAACGGAUUCUAGUUGCACCCGGGUUGUGUCUACGUGCAAACUCAAUAAAAUCCUCGAUUCCAUCCAAGUAUUCGUCUGCGCAUCUAUUCGGGUUCUGUAUCCACCUUCUGCUCAUAAUUCCUGAAACCACAAUCACGACACAACAAUCACAACAACUUCAUACGAAGUUAUAAUGUCACCUUAUGCCUCCGGUAAGGGCCCUAUCCCAUUCGGGAAUGCAUAGUCCUGUCACGUAACCUACGGCUACAUGAGAUUAGAUUUCGACGUGGAUUAAUUUCGGCAGCAUCUCGACAUAGUUCUUGAAGUGGGCAUAGGUAUAAAUACCUACGUACCACCCGAAGAACGUACCGAGAUGACACCGAAAUCUCCACAAUCGAAACCUAAUCCUGUAGCCGAAGAUUAUGUGACAACACUAUGCAUUACCAAACUGUCCAAAUAAUGGGACAAUUCAAGAAUUAAUUGGACCGCAGUCAUGCAUUACGCAUCCAUGCACGAAAUCCAACUAAUCUCGAACGGGAAACUACGUGUUACUAAAUAUAAAAAUAAAAGUACGAAGUUAAUUUCAAUUAACUUCGUACAUCACAACACAUUGUGCUAUGUCACACACAAUUUCACAACAUUAUACACAUAUAACUUCACAAAAAAAUUACAAACAUAACAAACAAACUUUUACAACAACAUACCUUCUAAAUCGUUCUCCACCAAUCACCAAUCACAAAUAUCCCUAACGAUAACAAAAUUAAUAGCGUUACUAAGAAUUUACAUUAAUACAUUUAAACUAACGACAAAAAAUACAUACCCAAUGAACGUACUGAAUUCACAGCAGAGCAAUGGCAGGGAGAGUGAGAGAGAGGCAGAAUGCAGUGGGAGAGUGAGAGAGAGGCAGAUACUAAAAUGAAGAAGAAGGACUUUGCGCGACGAACAACCCAAUCCGUCGCGCAAAAUGCCGUCGCGAAAACCCACUUUUCCGUCGCGCAAUUACCUGCCGACAUCAGGUUUUUUGCGCGACGAACAAAAGUAUCCGUCGCACAAACAUCCGUCGCGCAAAUAACAUUAUUCGUCGCGCAAGAUUUAUAUUACGUCGCGCAAAUAACAUUUAUUUCGUCGCGCAAGAAAGCAACGGCAUUACACUUUACGCGACGAAGGUAAUUCCGUCGCGCAAAAACAGUUUUUUCCACUCUGCAUUUUGCCGCCAAAAUAAAGUAACCCUCGUUUUCUUACGCGACGGUACUUAUUUCCGUCGCGCUAAGGCCUCUUUUGCGACGAAAAAGUUCGUCGCGCAAAGGUUUUUACAGCAACAAAAAUUAGACAAUUUUCUGUCCAUCUUUACGCGACGAAAUAUUUUUAUUGUCGCGCAAUAUUGUCAUGCGCGACGAUUUUUAUCGUCGCGCAAGAUUCUGGCGCCAAAAAUAAAAACUGGGUUUUUUCCCCGACCUUUGCGCGACGAAAUUAGUUUUGGUCGCGCAUAGAUUGUUUGCGCGAUGACGAUAUUUCGUCGCGCUAGAGUUCUGCUCUUUGCGCUACGGUAUUUUAUUUUCGUCGCAAUAGUGAUUUUUGCGCGACGAAGAUAUUUCGUCGCGCUAGAGUUCUGCUCUUUGCGCUACGGUAUUUUUUUUUCGUCGCAAUAGUGAUUUUUGCGCGACGAAAAUAUGUUCGUCGCGCAAACAGUAAAUCGUAGUAGUGUGUACUACAAAAUAUACAUAACGUAUUAAAGUAUUGGCGAAACAAGGACGGCGCUUUUUCAAUCCAAGCAUUCUUUAAUACAAACCAGGGUGAGGAAAGGAACAAAAACAGAAACUGGAUCGGCGUAUGUGUGAAUGCUGUAUUGUCAUGGUCUUUGUUUAGUUAGCAUAUUGUCUUGUUCUUGUUUUUGCUUGUAUAGUCUUUGUUCACACAUGUGAAUUUGUGAUUUUUUUUUUUAAGACUAUUAAUUAUUUUAUUAUAUUCUCUCUCCCCUCUCUUCCUUUUUUUUGUUUAAUGGGCAAUCCUUUUCUUUCAUCUUCUAUCUUCUUUCCUGCUGCUUUCUCUGGGUUUAUUGUACAGUAGUUUACACACACACUCACACCCUCAAAACGUUUCCAACGAAUUCCUUAUUGAAAAGAGUUUUGUAGUUUAUUUUCCUUCUUCAUAACAUUUGGUCAUGGUGGCUGUAAAAAUGCUAAUAAUAUUAGCGUCCAUGAAAUUUAAUGAUUUCAAACAAUGAAAGAAAUAUAGAUUUGCCCUAAAGUGACUCAACUCAACAAUAGUGAAAGGAGGUCGGGAACCACCAAACACUGAUUUGGGCAUGAAAUGAAUUAGACUUCGAGUAAAGAAUGACUUGUUAAUUGGCAGUCUUUGUUUAAUAAGCAUUUUGUCUAAGUCUUUGUUCACAUGUGGAUAUCAGAAAUCUCAGCAAAGAUUUUUCGUAACAAAACAUAUUUUUAAAAUCCGAAUUGAUACACAAUACUCAAAAAGUACUUGACGCAAAGAGCAAACAAAAGACUGAAAUUUCAAAUUAUUAAGGUAUCAUUGUCGAUGAUGGUAGGUAUUAGGUAAGGUCCAACAAAAUAAAAGGAUUUCUUAAUUUAUAGGACUAACUCGUCAACAACCAUGGCCAAUAUGUAGUUGUUUAGUAGAAACUUGUUGCAUCAUAAUUUCAUUAAAAACGUAUUCGUGUGAGCGCGUUGAUGUUUGUGUAUUCUAUAUAUAUAAAGCAAAAGGUAGAGAAUGGUGAAACAUUCAAAAUACAGAAAAUGCUCUUAGUUAAUACAAACAUUAAGAAUUGAAAUUAUUAAUUAAAUGAGGAUAAUAUGGUAAAUUCAAACUUUUUCAUAUAAAAAAAUUAAAAUUAAAAGAAAAAUCAGAUAAUGGAUCCAAUUUUUAUGGAACACAACUAUCCAAUAUCUUUUUUAAUUCUAAAAUAAAUUUAAUUUUUUUUUAAAAAAGCCUCUUGCAGGCGCCGAAGCUGGUGCAGAGAGGCUAGUUUAUAUAAACGCAAAACCGAGAGACAUUUGAGAUAAUGGUUGUCUUGCAUUGAUUAAAGUAAUUGUUACAAAGGAGUUACAUGAUUUGGAUCUGGUGAGGUUGAAGGUGGUUGUGGGAUUUUGUGAAAGGACCCACCCCGAAUUUCCCGAAACUCGAGACGAAUCCUGUGGAAUUCUCGACAUCACCCCGAUGCCGGGCCCAUAUACUAAAGACCGAGACUUUCUGCCAAAAUUUCGGCAAAGUCUCCCCUAUAAAUUGAACAUUUCCCAAAAUUUCAACCUGCAUAAAAACACAUUUAAUAUCCACAGCUGGCAGCAUGCACAAUAUAAUUUCAUGCCAUUCAUGUAAAUGGCCUUCGGCCUUCUAAUAAUCCGCAAUUUUUACCAACAAACUCUAAACAAUGCAAAUAUAUACUCAAAAAUAUUUAUGAACGUCAAAUGCGAUUUUCAUCCUCUAAAUUCCCAAAUAUUGAACGUACAAAAUUUAAACCUCCUAACAAGACGGCAUCUCAUUUUUACCUAAAUUUCAGGACCAAUGACAAGGUUCGAAACAACCUCAAUAGAACAACCGGACUAUCAUUUAGUCUGCGGCUGCGUCUAGUAACCUUAGGCUGCCUACGUACCCUUACUGAGGGAUCAAGCCACACAUAGUUCUUUCUUAAAACCCAAUCCCACACAUAGGCAAUACCUUUAUUCAUUUCUGUGUAUUUCACAUAAUCUCCCCAUACGCCAGUACUACCAACGCCACGUAUGGGGUCUGUCAACAUGCCGAAUAACCUACGCCACGUGCGACCUCACCAUAUUAUCACAUAAUUUCCCCAUACGCCGGUACUACCAACGCCAUGUAUGGAGCCUGUCAACACGCCUGAUAACCUACGCCACGUGCGACCUCACCAUACUAUCACAAGAUCUCCCCAUACGCCGGUACAACCAACGCCACGUAUGGGGUCUGUCUCAACGCCGGAUAACCUACGCCACGCUAGACUUGAACAUCAUAUCAUAAUAUCUCCCCAUAAGCCAGUACAACUAACGCAACGUAUGGGGUCUGUCGACACUCCGGAUAAUCUACGCCACGUGCGACCUCAACAUACUAUCACAAUAUCUCCCCAUACGCCGGUACAACCAACGUCACGUAUGGGGUCUGUCUCAACGCCGGAUAACCUACGCCACGCGAGACCUCAACAUCAUAUAAUAAUAUCUCCCCAUACGCCGGUACAACCAACGCCACGUAUGGGGUCUGUCGACACGCCGUAUAACCUACGCCACGUGCAACCUCACCAUAUUAUCACAUAAUCUCCCCAUACGCCGGUACUACCAACGCCACGUAUGGGGCCUGUCCGCACGCCAAAUAACCUAUGCCACGUGGGACAUAACUUUCACAGGGUGGUACUUGUAGUGUAACAAAAAUCCGGAGAGGCGCCUAAGGUAGUGCGUAUAGCACUUCAUACUGACAUUCUAGACUCUUUUUAUACCUUUACAAACAUAUAUAAUUAUAUAUAUUAAUUUCUAAUAUUGUGUAAACCUCAACAAUAGUCUAGCACCCGAUAAUCACCCAAUUUAAAACAAUAAAUUAAUAUCAUAAUCCCACAUAAUCAACAUAAUUCAUCUAACACUCAAGACUUGUCUUUACGGUGACUUAAAUCCUCCUGAGAAGGUGAGACUACUUCGGAAGACUCGCGGUCAACCACGAGUCAAACUACCCCAACUCUGGUCAAACGGGCCUACGGGGCCCAAGACCCCCAAAGUCUGAUCCGAUAGUUCCUAUGGGUUUUACAAGGUAUAGGACACUCGUCCUGCAAUUUUAGUCUAGAUCGGACGGUCAGAUCGCUCACGAUUACACGAUCUGACGGUUAAUAUAAAACAAAAACUUUAAAUUAUUAAUUGGAACAUACGGGGCUCCGAUUCAUGAUCCGUGAAUUCCUACACAAUCCUAGAUAUACCUAGAUUAACAUAUAUUAAAUUUGAGACCAUCCAACGGUCCCAACCAAUCGAACCCGGAUAACACGCAAUAGGCGAUAUUUGUUCGAGACUCAAAUGGUAACCAAAUUGACAUUCGAGCACACCUACGCACUCGUGAGAAUUAGGAGAUUACAUCGGGACAUAGUGCCCAUUUAGUGCCCAAAGCGAUUACGCAUCGUCGAAAAAUCUAGGCGGGUUCUAAAGCGAUUGCGCAUCGCCGGAAAAUCUCAAAACCACGGCUCCAAACUCCUACCCUAGGUAUAACACCCUAUUUGGAGCCACUUUUGUUUUGGACCUACCCUAAAAACUGAAUGGAGGUGGCCGGAAUCGCGAUCCCAAAACCGGCCAAAUUUCAAUUCGUAAAUCGAAUUACCUAUGCUAAGAAUCGAUUGAAUCCUACUCAACAUGCAGCUAGAUUAUGAAGAAUGGAUGAAUUUCCAUACCUUGAUCGCCAAAAAUAGCGGCCGGAGGAGGGAGAUCGGAGCUGGCGAAGUUCGAGACAAAAUCGGGCAGAAAUCGCCUUUUUUGGGCGGCUGGAGCAGCGGCCGAGGUUGGGGAAGGGCCGGGUCGUGAUGCCGAGGCUGAGUCGGUCCUUUUGGCACCGAUCCCGUCCGCAGUCGCGGCAGGUGGCCGGAGAUUCGAGGAGAGAGAGAGAGACCGUUGGGGAGAGAGAGAGAGAGAGAUCUGAUUUUUAUAAAAAUUGUCACAUCCCGGGAUCGACUCCGUCGUAACACGAUAUUGUCCGCUUUGGGCCCCCCUCUCUACCCUCACGGUUUUGUUUCUGGGAGCUCAUGAACAACUUCCCAGUGGGUCACCCAUCCUGGGAUUGCUCUGGCCCCCAACUCGCUUAACUUCGGAGUUCCUACGACUCCGAAGCCAGUGAGCUCCCAAAAGGCCUCGUGCUAGAUGAAUGCGGGUGUGCACAUAUAAGGCACAUCACCCCCUCUCCGCUGGUUGAUGUGGGAUCUUACAAUCCACCCACCCUUAAGGGCCCGACAUCCUCGUCGGCACACUCGUACCACACGGCAGAGUGGCUCUGAUACCAAAUUGUCACAUUCCGGGAUCGACUCUGUCGUAGCACGAUAUUGUCCGCUUUGGGCCCCCCUCUCUGCCCUCACGGUUUUGUUUCUAGGAGCUCACGAGCAACUUCCCAGUGGGUCACCCAUCCUGGGAUUGCUCUGGCCCCCAACUCGCUUAACUUCGGAAUUCCUACGACUCCGGAGCCAGUGAGCUCCCAAAAGGCCUCGUGCUAGAUGGAUGCGGGUGUGCACAUAUAAGGCACAUCACCCCCUCUCCGUUGGUUGAUGUGAGAUCUUACAAAAAUUCCAUUUCGAAAUAAUUACGAUUGUACCACUGGGUUUCUUUUGACCAUAUCUCUCUCGUUACAACUCCGAAAUACCAGUCACUACCCCAAACUCUUUUUGGGUAAGAAAGUGACCAAAUUACUCCUACCUCAAGGGUAAAUUUGUAAUUUCACUUAAAUAAUUUAAAUAAUGGGUUAAAUUUGGGGUUGGGGUGUUACAUUUUGAAAAAACAGAAAAAGCAAACGGUGGUGAUAUUAAGAAUAUCUACAAUUAUGCUUUCUAUUUUUUUGUUAAAACGUGUUGGACACAAAUAUAUAUAUAUAUAUAUUAUUUUUUAAAAAAAAUACAAAAACUUGUCAUUAUCCAAUCCAGCUUUUAUUGAACAGUAAUGCAAGGGGCGCAUAAUUUGAGUCACAAGCAUGUCAACCCCAAUAGGCUCUUAUAUAUGGCCGAGGAGAAUUUAUUUGACAGACCAAAGAUUUUAGGUUCGAAUCACCAUGACAUCUUAAUUAUGUAUGUGAGUUUAAACUAUCGUUUAUAUUACAAUAUAUAUACAUAUAUAACGUGUUAAAGUAUUGGCAAAACAAGGACUGCGCUUUUUCAUUCCAAGCAUUCUUUAAUACAAGCCAGGCCGUUCGAGGCUCAAACGGUAUCCAAAUUGAGAUCCGCGAAUUCCUAUGCGCUCGUGACGACCUAAGGAUUGCAUCAGAACACAGUGUCAUGGCACCACACUCGCCCACUCGCCAACAGCGAUGGGUGUCCAAAGUGAUAACGCAUCGCUGGAAAAUCUCAAAACCAAGGCUCCAAACUCCUAUCCUAGGUAUAACACCAUAUUUGGAACCACUUUUGUUCUUGGACCUACCCCAAAAACUGACCGGAAGUGGCCGAACACAGAGGCCGAAAACCGGCCGAAACUUCAAGUUCAAAAAUCCAAUAGCUACACUAAGAACUGAUUAAUUCCUAUCCAACAGGCAGCUAGAACAGUUCGAGAGGUUCAAAAUUCAUACCUGGCUCGACUGAAACGGUGGUCGGAGGAGAGAGAUUGGCGGCUGUGAAGAUCAGGCGACGUCGGCUGCUUCUUCUCCAAAUUCCGGCGAAACCGCGGCGGCUGGAGGCGGGAGCUAGCUGGGGUUGGAAGAGGACGUCGUCCCGGUCAGUUUGGUACCGAUCCCGUCCACAGGCGUGGCCGGUGGCUAGAGUUGCGAAGGAGAGAAGGAGGACGGCGCGGGAGAGGGUCGCGGGAGGGAGAGAGAGAACGAGAUAGAGAGAGAGAGAAACUGAGGUUUUUUAUAAAAUCUGAUUUUUCAAAUUACCAUUUUGCCCCUCGUGAUAUUUUACUCGUAUUUUCUUCGUUAAAGCUCCGAUUCGAGCUCACUUCAUGUCUACGAACUCAUUUCGUCGUGCUUUACGCAACGGUGUAUGUGGUCAAAUUCCUUUUCGGUCAAAAAGUCAACUUUGCGUUCAUAAUUUAGUCAAAGGGCAAAAUUGUCUUUCCGCAUAAUAAAUUACUAAUUAAAUAUGAAUUUUAGGUUUGGGUCAUUACAACCUACCCCCCUUAUACAAAUUUCGUCCUCGAAAUUUACGCACCUGUCACUCGAAAUUUACGCACGUACUUUUAGGAGCCGGGGGUAGGGUUUUUAAUUUAAUACUAUAUUGUAUUAAUAGAAUAUUAUGGUCAUUGAAUCAGGCACCCGGGCACCAGUUGACCUGCAGGAGGGACCUUCAAGAGGUCCAGCGAGCUCGGACUAUCUGUGAGUGGACUCUUUGUUUUAAUAAAUGACUUUUAACAGUUCAGUUUCAGUUAUAAGCUGUUUUAUGCUGUUAACUAUUUUAUGUUGCAUGCUGCCGAGUGAAAUUUCCUUAAAGCUUAUAUGAACAGAUAUUCCCGUUAAUUAUCAGAUAAAUGGCAGCAGAAUUUUAAAGGUUACAGAAAGUUAAUUAUUCAACAGAUUUUCUUCAGAAACUUUAUAUUUUCUUAAAUCACCUGGUACCCAGAUAUUAAAUGUUGCCUUCGGAUUAUAUUUCUUGCCUUCAGUUUAGUUAGCAUGCUUGACAGUUGCCCCAUGAGUUUCUUGGUACUCGAACUCGUGUGGAGCGAGUAAUGCGGAUAAAGGUGGACUACGGUCCCCUGAAUCUUGCGAGUUGCGGCUCGGACUGACUUCGUGUCACUGAGACCUGCGAGUAUGUGUCACCCAUGGUGAUGCAAGGAAUUGACGGAUAUAAGGAAUUGACGGAAAUAAGGGUACACCUAGGUGAUAGUUUAAACUGUUUUCAAAUGUAUAUAAUUAUAUACAUGCAUUGAUGUCAGAAAUAAAGAAAAUAAGCUAGUUUGUAUAAUUGUUUUUACAGUGGGGUUAGUAUGUUCAUAUGGUAUUUUCUAAACUUUGUUUUUGGGUCCACUCACCCUUUUUGUUGUUUUACGCCCCCAGGCAGUUACAAGGGAAACUCUGCCGGUUUUUCGGUAGAAGUCAACCUUGUUAUUUUAUCGUGUUAUGUAUAGAAGGGCAAAUAGAUCAUUUGUGCCUGACAUUUGCCAGGUGUCGGACACGCACAGGGUCUGACUCGGAUUCCAAAGCGGAAUUUGGAUCGGGUCCUGUCAAUGAUUUAAAUAAUUUUAAUUUUGAAAAACUUCUUUCUGCAAAUGCAACAGUAACAGGAAUAGCCAAUAGAAUUCUAUAUGCCAUCAAUGCAUUUGGAAAACAAUUUAUUCUUUUCAAGAAAUUUAAUAUUGCAGUAGCUGUGAUUUUUUCUUUUAGACUGAUAUAUUGUAAAUAUUGAAAUAUAUUAGGGGACACACGUAGAACCACACUUUUUGACACACCAUUAAAAUUAUUGAAUUAAGUAAGUUUCAGUGAUUAGAAUUGCAUUUGUUUAAUGGGCAAUCCUUUUCUUUCACACAUCAUUCAAAUUUAAAAAUAAACAUUGGGGACAACCUAACAGCUCAACUUUUAAGACUAUUAAUUAUUUUAUUAUAUUCUCUCUCCCCUCUCUUCCUUUUUCUGUUUAAUGGGAAAUCCUUUUCUUUCAUCUUCUAUCUUUCCCCGCUACUUUCUCUGGCUUUAUUUUAUAGGAGUUAACACACACACACCCUCAAAAUGUUUCCAGCAUAUUCCUUAUUGAAAAGAGUUUUGUAGUUUAUUUUCCUUCUUCAUAACAUUUGGUCAUUAUUUCUCUAAAAAUGCUAAUAAUAUUAGUGUCCAUGCAAUUUAAUGAUUUCAAACAGUGAAGGAAAUAUAGAUUAAUAAGCAUUUUGUCAAUCUUUGUCUAAUAAAUUUAACAAAUUAGACUUGGACUAAAGAAUGACUUGUUAAAGUAGUUGGGGUUGUUAAUUGUCAGUCUUUAAGUUCAAUUUUUAAUAUUACCAAGUUGAAAAUUAAUCCAAUUUAAUUUAAUUCUAAAACAAAUAAAUACACAAGCAAUAAGACGGGAUUAAAAAAAAACCACGGGUUGGAUUAAUUUUUUCAUCUUUUUCACACUCUUUGUGGGAACGACCUCGCACUUAUACAUCCUAUUGAUUCGUGUGUAUAAAUUUAAAACAACACCUUCGGGUGACAAAUAGUUAAGUACAAGUUAACAUGGCGGCAGUCUAGGUAAAACGUCAUCUUUAAUGUCUACGUUGGUCGCUUUAUACCUACUCUCUUUAUUUAGGGUUAAAUGUUUACAUAACUGAAAAUAACAUGUUUCAUAAGACGAUGUUUUUUAAGUUUGAGGCAUUGUGUUUUAAAAAUGCUCCAACUGAUCUCGAUUUUUAAGGUGUUUAAGUUACUGAUCCACGACGGUUUUCUAUUACCGUCAUCUUUCUAAACACAACGGCAGUAUUUAUUUCUUCCAUCGUUGUUUUACUGUCGUCUUUUUUCAUUUUGUAGUAGUGUUUAACCAUUUAAUGGUUUCUGAAUUAACUUUUUUUUAUGUGAGCAUGCCACUGUUAGCAUAUGAUACCUUUACAGGUUUGAGUAGUUUUUAUACUUGCGUCCUAAGUAAUAGGCUUUGAACAAACAAUUGUGAUUUUGGGUGGGAAAACCUCCCAAGAGAGUUCUUUUCUUUGCCUCAGACUAGUGAGGACUUUAUAAUUUAUCUAGACAAAAAUGGUAAGCAAAGCAAAAUACACAAAUAUAUGGAAAACAUAAUAAACCAAUCCAAGCAGAACUGGCUGAAGAACAAAGUAUCUGAUGAAUCUCUAUAUCUAGGUAGUUCUCAGAGAUGUUGGACUUUGACUUCUGCUUAAGAACAUAGUCACACUUAUGACUUAUGAUCAGGUUUGACUGGACUUUUGUUGAUUGGAUUGAAUGUUUAUGUACUGAAAUUGCACGUUAGCACCUUCAACUAAUAUAGAUUAGCUGGAAAUCCAUACCAAGUUUUAAGUUUGGCAAAGCUAUAAAUGAGUUGAGCCUUGAAGAGGCUGGUAAAGUGAUCAAAACGGCAGACGGGUACUUAUUCUGGUUGAUUCUGAGUGAUCUGGAAGCUAACUAGACGACUUCAAGAUAUUACGAUGUCUUUGAGAAAUUUGUUGAGGUUUUCAUAUAAUGACUACCUCAUUUCUUCUUGUUCUUAUCUAGUUUGCUAAACCAAAAUUGUUAUAGAAAUUAAUCUAUUUUGAAUUCUGCCUAAUUUACCUAGUGUGGAUUGCGAGGGAAAUCUUGUUUCCUUCUUGUUUUUCUAAACUUCUUCUUGAGCUGACGCUUCUGAGGGAAGAUUGCUUGGACUAUCCUUUAUUUAAUGCAUAAGUGACAGAAGUUUUGUCAGUUCAAUGCAUUCAUCACUCUUGGCAUCCGCUCAUCAAUGUUCCUAAAUGCUUCAUGUUCUUUCCUUUUGCAACAACCUAGCUGAAGUGAAUAAUAAUGCCCAACUUCUUCCAACGUUGGUCCCAUAAAUAUCCCAAUAUCUUGGUGGUAGACCAAAAUCCGGCGAUUUGCAAUAAAUAGCCAUGACUUUUGACUAAAGCAAAACUGACCUUACAUUCCAGUUUUUUAAGGUCAUCAAUUUUCUUUGAAUUUUAGCUACCAAACGGUGAGGGUUUACCUGACAAAACCUUAGGUGCUAAGAAACUAUGAUGUUUUGAAUUGAAUUACCAUUGGUGGUAAUUUUCAUUUCUCAACUGUAAAAAUGUGAAUUAGUUAAAAUUAAUUCCCAACAGUUAAAUAGUAUUGGUCAUUCAUAAUUUUUGGUAAACGAAGCCUAAAUAGCGUUUAAAAAUGAGCCCAGUAGCUAAUUAAGUUGGGCUGGCACGCAAAUUCUUGGCCCAAACAACACCCAAAGAAAUUAAAAGAAAAAAGAAAAAAAUUCCAAAGAAAAUUGAGAUCACAAAUGAAAUCAUGAAAACUUCAACGACUAAAUGCAUAUGCCUCUGAAUAUUUUGGAGGUUUGAUCCUCUCAAUAUGUGCAAUUUAUCAUCAAAUUAUAACAUUAUAAGAUUUCUAUCUAAUAAAAUAUUGGAAAGGAAUAAAUAUAUUUAAUGAAAAUUAUAAUUAUUUUGUCAGACCAAGACCACCAUCUCCGGAGACUGAUUUUGCAAGACCAAGACUUAAGUCUUAAGAUGAAACUGGAGUUGCUUGGACUACUAACAGAAGCUAACUCCAAGGAUCAAAUAUAUCGAAAAACUUAAGCUAAUUCUGAUUUGUUAAGAAUCCUAUUAAUAAACAAAAACAUGUAACUGAGUUAAGAUAAUCUUCUAGUUCUAAGAUCCAGUCAAGCAUUUUUUACUACCGCUAGGGUGGUGCCUUUGACUUGUUCUUUUCGUUGCUCAAUCUUUGUAUGUAACACCCCGAUCCUAAUUUAUUUAUCCAAUUAAAUUAUUAAAUUAAAUUAAUUAUGAAUUUACAAUUUUUGCCCUCAAGUUAGGGGUAAAUUGAUCUUUUUUUUAUCCAGAAGGAUUUGGGGUAGUGAGUGGUAUUUUGAUGUAAAUCGUACUGAGAUGAGUCCGUAGACACGUAGUGGGCUUGAAUCGGAGUUGUAACGAAAAAGAUACGAUCAAAUGAAGUUCAGUGGCAUAACCGUAAUUUUUGGGAUGUUGGUUUUUAAAAUCUCUCUCCCUCUCCCCCUGUUGUGACAGAAACCCCCGACCCCAUUUUUUUCAGUUCAGCCGGUGGCUUUCAAGAGCCACCGUGGCCACCACAGGCCACGGUAGGCCACGGGAUCGGACCCAAAGUGACUGCCACCUCUCCGUCUUCCUUUCUCGACUGAUUCAGCCCCGUUUCGCCAUUGGUAUCGCCGGAAAACGUCAAGAAACUACCUGAUUUUACAUGAUUUUUCGGGAGCACGUUUGGACUCCUCCGGCCACCAAAUCUUGCGAUUCAGAUAUGUUUUCUCAUCCUCUCGAGGUGUUCUAUCUUCUGGUUAUGUUAUUUAGGAUCAAUUUCUGCGUUUAAGUUGUCAAAUAAGCGAUGGAAGUUUGGCCGGUUUUCGACCUCCGAUUCCGGCCACUUCCGGUGACUUUUUGGGGUAGGUCCAAGAACAAAAGUUGCUCCACUCUAGGUUCUGAUAAUGUAGGUGGAAGUUUUGCCCCGCGGUUUGGAGAUUUUCUGAUGGCCGAAAUUGCUUUGGGCACUCACAUGCUGCAGCGCGUGUGGCGGCGCGUGGAUCACUAUUUGGCUAGUCUUAGGCUCCUAAAAUACUCUUCAUGUCGUCCCGAGCACGACGGUAUGCUUGGAUAUAAAUUUGGAGAUCGUUUGAUCGUCGAUCGGAUAUCGCAUAUUAGGUGUUAUCCGGGUUCGAUAUGUUCGGACAUUUGGAUCGACUCCAAUUUAAUAUAUGUUUAUCUAGGCAUUCCUAGGAUCGUGUAGGAAUUCGCGAAUCGUGAAUCGGAGCCCUGGAUGUUCUGAUUCAAUAACUUAAAAUUUGCGUUUUACAAUAACCGUCCAAUCGUGUGAUCGUGAGCUAUCCGGACUGAACUUACAGGACGUGUAUCAUAAACCUUGUGGAACCCAUAGAAACUUUCGGAUCGGAAAUCGGAGGUCGUGGGCCCCACGAGCCCAGUUGACCAAGUUUGGGUAGUUAGAUCACUCAGUUGACCAUGAGUCUUCCGAGGUAGUUUUACCCUUCGAGAGGUACUAGAAUGACCAUGUAAGCGAGUCUUGACCAUUAUUUGAGUUGUUCUAAUUAUGUUGGGAUUAGGAGUUUGUUUUAUAGUAUAUUCUAUAAAUUCUUGAAUUUUGUUUUAAAACGUGCAUUAUGUUCAGUAAUUAAAUGAAUAUGCAUGAAAUAUAGUUUGAAUGAAAAUUUGGGAAAUUUAAAUAUAUUUAUAAUAUGUUAGUGUGAUUUUGAUAUAAAUUUUGUUGAUGUUGAGUUUUGAAACCUUGAUUUAUUAUAGUGACAGUAUUAUGUUGAUGAUAUGCAAAUGUUUACUUAUGAUAAAUCUUUGGUUUGAACUAUGGUGACUUGGGAAAAUGAAUAAUGUUGAUAAAUAUGGAAUUAUAUAAUUACACUAUGUUGAGUAUCAUCCCCCGAUUAUUGGACUUCUCACACGUGGCGUUGGAAAUUUUCCUGCAUGUGGGAAGAAUAUGUGAUUAUCUGGUCUCACACGUGGCGUUGGCAUAUUCCGGCGUGUGAGACCCUGUGAUUUGUUAUGGAUUAUCACACGUAGCGUUGGAGAAUUCCGGCAUGUGAUAAUGGAUUUCCCACACGUGGCAUUGGAAAUUUCUGGCGUGUGGGAAAAUAUGUGAUUAUUGGAUCUCAAACGUGGCAUUGGAAUAUUCCGGCCUGUGAGACAUUGUGAUUUGAUAAUGGAUUUCCCACAUGUGGCGUUGGAAAUUUCCGGCGUGUGGGCUAAUUGAAAUAUUGGCUACCUUACCACACAUGACGUUGGAUUAUUCGGCAUGUGGUAAAAGAUCCAUGUACUUGGGUUAUCGUUAUUUUACUACGUGUGGCGUUGAAACUUCCGGUGUAUAGUAAAAUAACAGGGAGAGGAAUAAAGCAUUAUGUAAUUUAAAGAAAAGGGAAAGGGAUAAAUUCUAGAAUUUAUUAUUUUGUAUUGCUGUAAUUUAUUGCAUGUUAUUGGAACCGGGAUUUUGUAGGAAGAACUACGUAUGGCUUUAUCUCUCAAUAAGGGUACAUAGGUCUCUUGGGAUCCCCCCCGGUUGCAGUCGCGAACUAAAGUUAUUUUGGUCUUUGAUGAAUUCGGUUUCGACUUUGUCGAUGGUCAUUAAACUCAUUUGAAAAUGAGGCUUGAUUGAUUUUUGUUUUUUUUUUUUGUUUUCCCAUUUGGCUAAGUGAGUGUUGUUGAAAUGUGGUUGUGAUCAAGACAGUUUUGGAACCUAUUUUGGAUCGUUGUACGAUUUAGAUUGAGUCCUUAAUCUAACUUUCCAGUGGGCCACCCAUCCUGAGAUUGUUCUAACCUCAACUCUGCUUAACUUCGGAGUUUCCAUGAUUCCGAAGCCAGUGAGCUCCUAAAAGGCCUCGUGCUAGAUGGAGGUGGACAUGUACAUAUAAAGCACAUUACCUCUUCUUCGUUGGUCGAUGUGGGAUAUUACAUUGUUGUAACGAGCAGAGCCCAAAACAAAGUCAAAAGCUUAACUUCACCAAGAAUCACAACAUAUUAUCAGGGAUAUGGGGAGGGUAGGUGAAGGGAGCGAAGCAAAAGCUUAUCCAACAAUUAUAAAAGUUUAUCCAACAAUUAUAUCUGAAUUCACAAGAACAAAUAAAAUAGAUAUUGAACUUUCAGUUUUAUUAUGGGAUGCCAAACACAUACAUGGCAUGGACAAUGCAUACAAGCUUCUUAGAAGUUUACAACAUUACGAAAGUUAUACAUUACCACUUACACGUACCAUCAAGAAGUUAAGUCCAUGAUUGCACUUUCCUAUCAAAUAUUCCACUCCCAAGUAGAAGGAUUUAUGCCCUUGAUUUCACUUUUCUGUCAAAUAUUCCUCGUCCAUAAGUAGAAAUGUACAUCUCAACUAGAAGAGGAAAUUGCAUCCAAAUAAAUAAGGUGACUGGAACACUAGCAAGGAAAAUCAUUGGAAUAACAAUCCACGACUGUUCAUGGAUCAUAAUGAAAAGGGCGGAAGAAAAGGCAACCAUCAUGGUGGCAAUAGAGAUGAAUAAGGUGGAAAGGCCUAUUAUCAUCUUUGUUGGUAAGGAUUUAAGGAAAUCAUCUUCCGCAUAACGUGAUGUAAGGAUUCCCAAAAACAUCAACACCGAAGUUGUGGAAGAAAAGAGGGAUAUAGCAUCUGAAACUAUAAAAGCUGUAAACAACUUUUUAUGCAGGAAUAUUGGGAAGCCUGUUUGUCCACUGUUUCCACCGGGAAUUGUGAAUGCUGCAGCAAACAUGAUGGUAAUAAUGAGAGCACCUACAACUGUACAUGAAGAUGCAGUUCCUUUCAUCCAUCUUUCUCCUUCCUUCGCCAAUUCCUUGUGGUUUUUUGUAAACAGCUCACGCGGCUUCAUACCGUCGCAAUUAUUAGAUUCUUUAAUCUGGGGUAUUCCAAUAUCCUCGACCUCCUACAUUUUUGUUGAAAAAAAAUAUUCAUAUGAGUAAAAGAUUAUUACUCUAUUUUUCAAAUAAUCCAAACCAUUGGAGAGCAUGUUGACCGUAAAGUAAGUUGAAUAAGACAUCUUAUGGCCGACCUUUAUUCCAAUUUUUCUUUUCUUUCUGCACUUGAAGUUUCUAUUAUAAGGUUAUAGUUUAACUCGUGCUAUUUUGCUCUAGUUUUUGAUAAGAAAAUGCGUUUGAUGCAUUAGUUUUCAAUAUUGGAAUGAAUAAAUUACUAAAUGUAAUUGUACUGACCGCCUUUUUAGAGCAUUCACAAUGGACUUCCUAAAUGACAUUCUUGCACAAAUUUUAGGGAGGAAUUGGAAAAAUAAAACUCCAACCAUGCUCCCUUUAUCCACUUUCUAAAAUAGAGAGACUUCUAAGAGCUCUUUGAAAUUGGUACUUAGGUGACGAGGGGUAAAUUUAAAGGAUAUUCAAUCAAGAACACAACAACCUUCACACACUCUAGACCUUGGCCAAAUACUCUUAUGACUAGUCAACUGUUAGAUAUGAAUUAUAUCAAACAAUAACAUACACAGAGCAUACCAAGAUGUACCUGCAGGCCUAGAGAAUUAGUAGUGACAACCUAGGCACUCAGAAGGACCCAUCAAUCUAGGCAUCCCCUGUGCUAGCAACAACUAUGGUGAAAGUGUGUGAAGACAGCAUAAUCAAGCAAACACCAAACAGCAGAAAAAGAUGACUAGUCAACCGCACAAAUUCAGAUGACUAGUCAACUAUCAAGAACACAAACCCAGAAAAUUUACAGAGAUGGAAACCAGAAACUGUUCACCCAGAAACCCACCAUUAGGAAAAACUGGGGGUCAUCAACCGACCAGCCAAUCCACUAAGCAAAAAAGAUUCUUACAAAGAACACUAGCAAGCUCAAGAAAUUCCUAGGUCUAUUUAGGAAGAUGAGCUAUACCUCCUUUGUGCAAUCUUCUUCUCUAACUUAGCAAAGCUUGAAGCUCAGUUCUUCAUGGCAAUGGCAGCUCCUUCUCCAGCUCUUUCAUCCCAUGGCACUAGCUUGCAAGCUCUAACUCAGACAGAAAUGAAAUUUGGAUUCAUGGAGAAAAUGACAAAUUUCUUCAAGAAACCAUACUCUUGAAGAAAUCAAUCUUGAAUCUGACCUAGAUGUAUAUAAUAGAGUGUUUGAUCUAGCAAGAUGAAGUUUUCAUAUUUCAAAUGCAGUUUUUAAAAAGAAACAAUUUGGAAAACUCAAAGAUGAAAAAUAUGAAGGUUACUCAUGAGGAAGAAGAAGCGAAAGUUUGCUAUGAAACUUUCCAAAACCUAUCCCCCAAAAGUAACGGCUCCAAAAGAGGAAAUUGAUAGCCUUUAAAGACAAAAAUUCCCUUAGGUCAGAAUACCCACAUGGCAGCAGAGAGAGAAAGGAGAAUAGGACAAAAAGAUUUGUUAUCCAGCUGGAAAUCCUACAGAGUAAGGAUGACUAGUCAUACGAGAAACAGAUGACUAGUCAUCAUUUUAUAAAAACAGUUUUAAUGCCAUGAUAUGCAAUGCAUACUUACCUUUGUCAAAUUGCUUGAAUCUCCAUAGGAUAGUUGUUAGUUAAGAACACCUAGAGAAGCUAUUCUUUAUCUAAGCUUGAGCUUGAUAAAUAACAAUAGAAAUCCUAUUACAAAGUUAUCAAGGGAAGCCAAAAGAAAAACCCAAAAUGCAUACAUUAACACUCUUAAAUAUGAGGAGAGAGAAAGGACUCAUAGUGGCUUCCUAUAAUUUAAUGCUGCGUUAUUUUAUGAAUAUUUUAAACUUUUAAUUAAUGCUAACUAUUUUUUAUGUUAAUUUUUUUUUAUAGAGAUAAACCAAUUAAGAAAUAAUUAUAGCAUUUAUGACUCCCUAAACUAGAGAGUAUAAUUGGAGUUAAAAUUUUUAUAGAGAGCUUAAAUAACUUUUAUAUGUGUUUAGAUAAAUUUUAACUAAAAAAUAAAGAGCAUGAUUGUAGAUGCUCUUACACUUUUUCUAACGAAAACUUGAUCUCCACUCAAUACAUGAAAUGACUCAUUUCAGCCCAAACAAUUUAUUUUCAUUUAUGUUACAAUUUGUAUAAGUUGAAAAAAAGUAUAAAUUAUCUAAGAUUUUCUUUAAUUUUUUAAAGACAGUAUCCGUCUAUUUGCAGAUGCAAUGUAAUGCAAAUACACAGUAUCGGUCUAUUUGUUUUACAACAAAUAAUUUAUGAAAAGUCAUAUUCAGGAUGGAAAAGAAAAACAAAAUGUUCACAGUAUAUAUACAUAUGACAUGUAAUGUUAGAUGCCUUAGUGAUUUAUUAUUUUAGCAGAAUGACCUCCUUUGAGCUGUAAUUGAGUGCGCCCACGGCCGUUUUAGGGUUUAGGGUCUUUAGAAACAAAAAUGGGUCUUUAGAAGGGCAUAUAUAUAGGAAAGCUAAUUCACAAGAGAGAUAGGAAAAAAGAAACAAAAAACUCUGAAUUAUAUAGAACAUGUUCUGACCUUAAACCAUUGCACUUCUCUCUGCAUUUGCAAAGCUGCACCUGAGAUAUUAUCGAGCUUCGCCAAUGAGGAUAGCAUCCCGGCCACAUGUAGCAAGCAAUUGUCAUACGUAUCUGCCAAAGUUGCAAUGAAUGUUCUUUUUCUUUUAUCGAAUCUGUAAAUGAGGCUAUAAAUUUUUUCUUGCCGACAUUCUGUUGCAUACAUAAGGGGGUUCCUUCCCAUUUCAUUAGUUCUCCACACGAUAUCUGGUCUUGCUUGCAAUACACUGUCAGUAAACUCAAACAUCCCUUGCUCGAUAGCUGUGAAAAUUGCUGGAAGUAGAAAAUCAUGCCCAUGUCGAUGUUUUAUCACUUCACACAUGUGAUGUAGGAGUUCAAGUGAUUGAAUGUGGGCCUGUUUUAUUUCGCGUAUGCGGUUGAUUCCUAGGUUGGCAUUGAAAAAAACAUGUCAUACCACUAAUUCAUGAAAAAAUUUAUUGAUAAAACAAUUAAUGGAGAACAAAGGAAAGAUGAAAAAAAAAUGUAGCAUACCCAAAACUUCAAGGAGAUAUGAUUUCAAACCUUGCAAGAAACCUACCACUGCAAUGGAAAUUCAAAAUCUAAAUAUAAGAUGGGUAAAGCUGUAUGUAUCUCUGUUAAUUAGAUGAUGAGAAAUUGUGUAAAAGGGAAGAAGUAUUAGCUAACUUGAAAAGUUCCAUAAAAUGGGAGCAAGGAAUAUUUAGAUACAUACAUGGUAUAAUGAAUACGAUUAAUCAACUCCUAAUUUUACACCAUAGCAACGUGCAAAUAGUAAUUUUUGGAUCAACUAGUGAUUCAAAAUGAAAAGGGGCUAUAUACGCCCCAUUAAUUGCAAUAACAAAAUUUACACCACGAAAAAUAUUCACCGCUCUUCUUUCAUGCUCAAAUUUCUCACCCAAAUUUCUCCUGGAAGUCUAAGGAGCAAAGCAGAAACCACUCUUACUAGAAACCAAAGGCUAAAGAGCAAAAUAGAAAGGGUAUUAUGUAUGUCUGAAGAUAAUAAACCAUGGGACGGGCAGGUAGAUUGAGCUUGUGAGGGUUCCUAUGCAGCUUGUUGCCGUGAGUUGGUUCUCCUUGAGCGGGUUGGCGAGCGUCGGUCGUUGCGUUCAUAAUGCAAAUGUUCAAGAACUUGAGCUCCUUGCGAGCCAAACCUAGAGUGGAUACUUCUUUAUGGGCCUAAACGAGUGUGGACAUCGAAUUGUGGGCCCAGCCUUUCGUGCACGUUGGUCUUGGACCUAACCUCAAACAGAUCGUCGAUCGACUUCGAGUAUGGCUUGCAGAUGUCUAUGUCUCGGCUAGGUGUUGAACAUCACAUUCUCGUUCUCUUGUUUGUCCAUAUCAACUAGCCUGGGACCUCUCGAACUGUGCUCUAGUAUGCCCUUGCGUUCUUCUCUCCUCAUCCUGGGGUCCAAGGUCAAGGCCUCGAAUCAAGUUGAUCUGUCUGAAGAUCUAGUCAACCAAAUUGUUUUGGUCAUCGACUUUUUGUGUGAGUUGAACAAUUCGUAAGUUCAGGUCCACCUAAUUACGUGGAUUGGGAAGAAAGAAGUGCGUAGAGCCCAAAAGCACAUGGGUAUGUACGUCAAGUGUGACGGCAAGGGAGGGAAUGCAAGGAUUUGUUCCAAAACGAAGGUAUGACCCACUGCAAGAGGGGCAAGAGGCAGGUUCAGUCGGCACCACUUGAGGUUAUAGAGCUGUUUCCAUCAUGAAACCUCGGGAUGGAUGGUUUGGGCCUAUCUCAGAUUGCGUCGUCGUGGCGACCUUUCUCCUCGUAUGUUUGCUUCCAACCCUGACUGUUUGGAACGCUUCAGUUGAGGGAAUAAAGUAUGGAAACUGUUUUGGAGCACGCAUUGAGUAUAACUCAUGCUCUCAAUGAAAGCACCAAUUUGUGGGAGUGAUUUUCCUCCCUAGAGAAUAUUUGUCUCGUGAUCCAUUCUUCCUCUUCGUUCGUCUUUCUCCAUGCAAAAUAACACGGAGUGAAUAGACCACACUCGGGGUGCAUUGGCCAAAGCCCCUCCGAUGCCUAAGUCAAUUAAAUGAUUAUGAGAAGAAUGCAGAAAUAAUUGAAAAAUGUAGGUCUUUUCUUAUGGGGAGAACCGGGUGGUCGGAGCCUUGUGUGAAGGCCAAAGGCUUGUGAGAGAGAGGGAGAGAGUGGAUGCAGCAAGAAGGGUGAGAGAGAAUUUUUGCAGAGUUUUAGACGUACCUUGUGUCUUGUGCAUGGCCACAUAUUUAUAGAGGCCUUGGUGGCUAGAGUUUUGGAAGAAUAAUCCCUCACAUGGAAAAGAAUUAUUUUUCCUUAAUUUGGAGAGAUUGAACCAUUUAGGGAUUUGAUUCUUUAUGAAACUAAUUAUUUCACCUAGGAUCUUCAAAUAUUUGCUUCCACACACCUAAAUAUUAUAAUUAUUGUCUCGACACAUAUUAGUACAAAUUGGUUUCCUUCCAUUGCCUUCACAACUAUGCAAUGACAGAUUCUUAUUUGCUCAUGAACAUUAGUUAUUCUUCAGUAUUCUUAUCAGAUAAAACAAACGUAGAAUUACAAAGUGCGAAGAGUUCGAUAACAUAAGAAGAAAUUAUUUAAAUUUUACCAGAUAAAACCAUAAUUGCAACAUACCUGACCAAGUGAUCUUCGUUGGAUUACUUUUUUCAUUUCCCUCAUUUCGAACACUUAUACGGAUAUCACUGAUGGCACGCUCUAUGUGUAUACCUUUCAAAAAAAAUGACAGUAAUUAACCUCAAUCAAUAUAUUUCGAAUUAUUAUUUCUAUUACAGUUAUGGAUAUCUCGUCAUAAUUGAUUUGCACAUAUAUGUCAACUUUUUCCAUGUCCCCUCAUGUUCCUAUGUUAAUAAUCUGUCACAUGUCCUCUUAGAUAACAGAGUGAAAAUACCUUUGACUCUUAAUUGAAAAUAGAAUAUUAAAAAGAAAAGAACAGUUCUGAUCCUUCAUCUUCUUCCUUUGCCUUCCCAAACCUCGCAGCCAACAGACCCACCACCGCUGAACCCCUCCCAAUUCUUUGAGAUGAGAAGUUAAAACAAUAAUUAAAAAAACCAAAUCAGCAUUUCCACAUCUCUCCGAUAAAGUCACUGAAGUUGUCAUUUCUUAGCCAGUAAGAUCAAUAACUAUUAUUUUGAAGUUUCAAGGCUCAAAUUCAAAAGCGCAGUCAAUUUUGAAGUCUUAGGUUCAAUACAGUCAAUGUAACAUUGAAAACCACAUCAAUUAAAAUUAUUUAAUAUAUAUAUAUUUUUAUGAUUUAUUCCAAUAUUUAUUUUUCUAAUUGUCUUAAUUAAAAUACACUUCAUUGAUUUAAUUGAUAUGGUAUAUAAUAUGGACAUGCCACAUCAUGUGGUAUAGAAAUAUGGGAUAAAAAUGUGGUAAGUGUAGCAUUACUCAAUUGUAAUUGUAAGAGGAAAGAGAAUGUGGAUACUAACAAUUAUAGAUCCAUCGUUGCCAGAAUUUGAGGCGUGUUCCACUCAGGAAUGCAGAAGGCAUAAAUCCUUGCAUCGGAAAUUUCCCAUAUUGGUCUUUAGUAAAGACCAAUUGUGGGCAACACUGAAUUAAUUCCCGAGCAAUAUCUGUAGUAGAGAAAAACAAGUUUUUAUAAUUAAGGAGAAAAAAGGAGUAAUCAAUUUCAUUGUUAAAAUAUUAAAACUCUUACCAAAUUUCAUGCCAAUAAUAAAGUAGCGAAGAAGUGUAGCGCCGUAUGGUCCUUUCUCUGGCAUUAGAUCUUGGAGGGGAGUGACGGAGUAAAGAUAAUCAACGACAUCCCAAUGUUCAUUGAUAGAAGCGUGGAGAAUUGGAGUCUUAUUGUCCUCCUCAGUGGGAAUACUAAGUAUUUUCUUGCUCUUUCUAACCAUGCAUUCAACCAUUUUUAUAUUUCCUCUCUGUGCGGCAAGAGCAAGAGCUGUCCAACCCUCAUUAUCUUUUAAUUCCAAGUCUUCCUCUGACAUCAACUGCACCAACUCUUCCACAAUAUGCUCGUGCUCUAAUUCUGUUGCCAUGUGAAGAGCUGUGUUGUUGGUAGAAGGAAUUGUUGCUCUUAUUGCAUUGGGAUGUAAGGUAAGACAUUCCUUUGCUUUAUUCCAAUCCCCACUCAACACAGCAUCGAACAGCGGGUUAUACUGAUUGUAGUCAUUGUAAUAUGCUGCGCAAAGUUUGGUUAAUUAAUUUAUUAAUGAUUUCAGAAAACAUAAUCCAUUUAUUUUUUGUGUUAAUAAUUGAAUGAAUUGUAGCUCUUUUUUGUGUAAACGAAUCAUAUCUAUUAUUUAUUAGUUUUUUUUUUUGGCUAUCAUUCCCAACAAUUUGAUCCAAGGAAUAAAAAAAAAACAAGUUUAUCAUAUGCGAAAUGGCCCUACAAAGUGUCUCUCAAUAAUGUGAUUGGAGGGAUAUACCUCAAUUGAAGGGGAUGGCUGAAGUUAAAACUUCCACUCUUUUCUUUAUUUUUUAUUUUAUUUUUUAUUUAUAGUAAAACCUCCACUCUUUGCAGCACGUUUGUUACAUUAAUACAUGACUAGCCUCUUGGCACAUUCUCAUGCAUGUGCCAAUUGGUUUUCUUUUUUCUUUUUUCUUUUAUUUUUAGAAUUAAGAAAAAAUAACAUAGGUAGUUAUCUAUAUAUAUAAAGCAAAAGGCAGAGAAUGGUGAAACAUUCAAAAUACCAAAAAAUGCCCUUUGUUAAUUCAAACGUUAAAAAUUAAAAAUAUUAAUUAAAUGAGGAUAAUAUGGUAAAUUCACACAUUUUCAUAUUAAAAAAAUUAAAAUUGAAAGAAAAAUCAGAUAAUGAAUCCUAUUUUUAUGGAACACAACUAUCCAUUAUCUUUUUUAAUUCUAAAAUAAAUUUAAUUUUUUUUUUAAAAAAAGCCUCUCGCAGGCGCGAAAGCGUGUGCGAAUAAACUAGUGUUCCAUAAAAGGAGGACCUAUUAUCUGAAUUGGUUUUUAUUUUUAUUUAUUUUAAUAUUAAAAAAUGUGAAUUUACCAUAUUAUCCUCAUUUAAUUAAUAAUUUUAAUUCUUAAUGUUUGAAUAAACUAAGGGCAUUUUCUGGCAUUUUGAAUGUUUCACCAUUCUCUACCUUUUGCUUUAUAUAUAUAGCUAGAUAGAUUACGAUAUGAAGUAUACUUUGUUUUCCCUCCCUCAUGAAUUAUAUAUAUUGUGUCAAUCUACCCCAAAACUUUUAUUUCAACCGAAUUUUCCCAUAAAAUAUACAAAACUGGUUGAGUUACCCAACUGUAAUUCCUACCAAUUACAUCGACUAUGUCGUCAAUUAAAGUAACUCAUGCUCAUUUGACCUCAUAUUCUUUACAAAAGGUGGCACUAACUGUCAUUUUGAAAGUGAGGUGUUUAGUAAUAGACUCACUUUUGAAGACUUUCAAGGCAACUUUUUUUGUAAAGAAUAUGGCGUGAGAUGAGCAUUUGUUUUGCCUGACAUCUUGAAUGGAAUUGCUCAGAAUAUGAGCAUGAGUUAUAAAUUGGGUACUUUUGUGAUUCAUGGAAAAUUAACUAUUUAAAAAUAAAUAAAUAAAGCCAAGAGGGUAAAUUGACACCGUUAGAUUUAAUUUUCAUAUUGUUACACAUGUAACUUGUAUAUGAGGAUGUAUAUUUCUUUUCGGAUACAGUAAGUCUUGGGAUACUAAAAUGUAAAAGAACAAAACGUAAACUGAUCAGUCCUUACUUCCAUGCUAAUAUAAGAACAAAAAUAGUGGUGUUGUGGUUAAUCAAUUAAAUGUUUAGCGUGUAAUUUGGUUAUAUAAUAUAUAUAUAUAUAUAUAUAUUUCUGGUUUAAGUCGAAUAUUUACUUCUCACAGAUUUAUUGAGGUUCAAGAUUUGAACUGGGGACUUACUUGGCUUCGGCUUGAACUUUUCUGCCAAAGUAUCCCAAGCACGUUUGGCUAAAGUGGUGUUCCUAAUGAGGGAAAAAGCUUCCUCCCCGCACGAAAUUUGGAUUGUAUGUAAAGCCUUGGCAUUCUUCUUCCUCCAAGCCUUGAACUUAUCAUCAGCUUCUUCUUCUUCGUCGUCGUCAUAUUCUUCUUCCUCCACCACUACAUCAUCCCAAAGGUCUUGAGCCAACAAGUAAGUUUUAACCAAUACACUCCAAUCCACAUAGUUACUGCUAUCAAGAACUUCCACAACAACUGCACCUGCGGGGACGGCCAUUCUUAGAUGGAUCUGACCAAGGGCUUACUUAGGAGAGGCGGCUUUGCAAUUUCUGUUUUAUUUACUAUACCCAAUUGAGUGAAGAACCACUUGUUAAAGCAAUGGGGUUCCGCGAAGGGUGAGGAUUAUGUGAUUUUCCAUUUGCUCGCAAUCUGCACCACAUAUAUAUUAUAUGUACUGUAUACACACACUCAUAAAAGAGUUUUUUAAUUGGGAUAGGCCCUACUGGCUAUUGCCACCAGCACUGAUGGUAAACCCAAAAACGUGUCUAUUAAGAACUUCCACAACAACUGCACCUGCGGAGACAGCGCUUGUUGCCGUUCUUAGAUGGAUCCGACCAAGGGCAUACUUAAGAGAGGCUUUGCAAUUUUUGUUUUAUUUACUAUACCCAAUUGAGUGAAGAAUCACUUGUUAAAGCUAUCAGCUAUGGGGUUCCGCGAAGGCUGAGGAAUUAUGUAAUUUACCAUUUCCAUUCGUUGACGUAAUUAAACAAAUACUUUGCAGACAUAAGAAAAUUUGUAAUGAAGUUGGCCAUGUGCACAGUGCACGCACAAUUCAACAAAGAGUAAUUUAUAUUGACACCCUUAAGGUUUUUAUAUAACUCCUUCAGAUCAUGAAAAUUACACAAACACCCUUUUAAGUUUCAAAACUUCAUAAACAGCAAAAACACUCUUAUGCAAAUAGUAAUAUAGUCUUGGUAUUAGAAUACGGUUGAAUACCACACUUUAUUGCCAAAGGGGUCUAGUGGAGUGAGUUGUCAAAAAAUAAUAAUUUCUAUCCUAGUGGAAUAAUGACCUUAAUUUGUUGACUAAUAGUCUGAGGUUCAAACUCCCCUUACAUCACUCAAAAGUAAUUAGAUAAUCAAAUUGAGGGCACAAUUUCCUGACUAUCCAAUUAAGACAAUUCAUUUUGAUAAUGCUGGUGAGUUUUCAUCUCAAGCAUUUGAUGAUUAUUGCAUGUCCAUUGGCAUUGGUGUUGAACAUCCGGUUGCACGUAUGCAUACUCAAAAUGGAUUAGCAGAGUCCUUUAUCAAACGCCUUCAAAUGAUUGCUCGGCCUUUACUUUUAAGGUCAAAAUUACCUACUUCUACUUGGGGACAUGCUAUAUUGCAUGCUGCAUCUUUGGUUCGCAUCUGACCAACUGCUUGUCAUCAAUAUUCUCCAUUACAACUUGUUUUGGGCCAACAACCUAAUAUUUCUCAUUUAAAAUUUUUUGGUUGUGCUGCUUAUGUUCUCAUUUCUCCAUCACAACGAACUAAGACGGGCCCUCAAAGACAUCUUGGGAUUUACAUUGGAUUUGAUUCUCCAUCCAUAAUUAGAUAUCUUGAACCCCUGAUUGGUGAUAUGUUUAUAGCACACUUUACAGAUUGCCAUUUUUAUGAGACAAUUUUCCAGUCGUUAGGGGGAGAAAAGGUGCCGCUUCCUUAAGAACGGUGUAAAAUUACAUGGAAUGCAUCAUAUUUGUCUCAUCUGGAUCCGCAUACAAAUCAAAGUGAACGUGAAGUCCAAAGGAUCAUCCAUUUGCAAAGUAUAGCAAAUCAAUUACUGGAUGUCUUUAUUGACAUAAAGAAAAUAACAAAAUCUCAUAUACUGGUUGUAAAUACUCCAGCAUGGAUUGAUGUCGCUGAAGGUUAAUAUGAUAGUAUAUUAAAGGCACACUUGAAGUGUGGUCAUUUUGUUGGUGCUAAAGAUAAAAAUCCUCGAAAGAAAAGGAUACAAGAAGUGCCUAUUCUAGAAGAAGAUAAAAAUCCAAAACAAAUUAGUACUUUUGAUAAGCCAAAAACUGAGCAGUUUAAAAUUGAUGAAGAUAUAGCCCCUGUAGAGGCACAUACACUAGAAGAAGUACAUACAUCAGAAGAGAUCUCUUUGAAUUAUAUGAGUACAAGAUAAAGCUGGGAUAGAAAGAAAACUAUUGUUGAUGAUGUCUUUGCAUACGUGGUUGCUAUAGAAAUUAUAAAAGAUAAUGAGGAUCUUGAACAAAAAACCGUUCAGGAAUGUCGACAUAGAGAGGAUUUGCCAAAAUGGAAAGAUGCGAUCAAAGCAGAAUUAAACUCCUUGGAAAAUCGUAAAGUAUUCGGACCAAUAGUCUGAACACCUAAAGGUGUGAAACCGGUUGGAUAAAAAUGGGUGCUUGUAAGGAAACGUAAUGAGAAAAAUGAAAUUUUAAGAUACAAAGCAUGACUUGUAGCACAAGGUUUCGCGCAGAGACCUGAAAAUCGAUUUUGAGGAGACAUAUUCCCCUGUGAUAGAUGCAAUCACAUUAUGUUUCUUGAUUAGUUUGGUUGUCACAGAAAGACUUGAUAUGAAACUUAUGGAUGUAGUUACUGCAUACCCAUACGGAUCACUUGAGAAUGAUAUCUAUAUGAAAAUCCCCAAAGCAUUUAAAUUACCUGAAGCAAAUGAUCCAAAAUAUAAUGAUAUGUAUUCAAUUAAGUUAUAACGAUCCUUGUAUGGAUUAAAGCAAUCUGGAAGAAUGUGGUAUAACUGCCUUAGUGAAUAUCUUAUACAAGAAGGAUAUGUAAACAAAUUCAAUUUGUCCAUGCGUUUUUAUUGAAAGAUCUGGAAGUGGAUGUGCUAUUGUUGUAGUAUAUGUGGAUGAUUUAAACCUUGUUGGAACUCAUGAAGAGCUUACAAAGACUGCUGCUUAUUUAAUGAAGGAAUUUGAAAUGAAAAAUCUUGAGAAGACUAAAUUUCAUCUCUGUCUGCAGAUCGAGCAUUUACCAACUGGAAUCUUUAUCCAUCAAUCAACAUAUAUAGAAAAAGUUUUAAAACGAUUUUAUAUGGAUAAAGCCCAUCCAUUAAGUAGCCCCAUGGUUGUUCGAUCACUUGAUGUAAAACAAGAUCCUUUUUGCCCACGAGAAGAGAGUGAAGAAUUACUUGGUCCUGACGUACCAUACCUUAGUGCAAUUGGAGCUUUAAUGUAUCUUGCAAAUUGUACACGGCCUCAUAUAGCUUUUUUUGUCAACUUAUUAGCAAGGUAUAACUCUGCACCAACUAAGAGACAUUGGAAUGGUGUUAAACAUAUACUAUGGUAUCUUCGUGGAACAACUGAUAUGGGUUUAUUUUAUUCAAAAGGGUCAAAAUCCCAAAUAGUUGGUUAUGCUGAUGCUGGUUAUCUUUCUGAUCCACACAUAGCUAGAUCACAAACAGGGUAUGUGUUCACUUGUGGUGGUGCUGCUAUGUCAUGGCAGUUUGUAAAGCAAACAUUAGCCGUCACUUCUUCAAACCAUUCUGAAAUAUUAGCAUUGCAUGAAGCAAGCCGGGAAUGUAUAUGGCUGAGAUUUAUGAUACAACAUAUUCGAGAAACAAGUGGGUUGUCUUCAAUGAAAGAUUCUCCUACAUUACUAUAUAAAGAUAAUGCUGCUUGUAUUGCUCAAAUCACAAAUGGAUACACCAAAGGUGACAGAACCAAGCACAUUUCCCCAAAAAUUUUCUACAAGCAUGAACUUCAGAAUUAUGGUGACAUAGAUGUUCAACAAAUACAAUUCAACAACAACUUUGCAGAUUUAUUCAAUAAAGCACUAUCAACUACAACAUUCAGAAAGAUGGUAAACAAUAUUAGAAUGCGUCAACUCAAGGAUCUUUUGCCAGCAUCAAGGGGAGCGUGUCAUAAUUGAGACCUUCACACUGUACUCUUUUUCUUUCGUUAUAGUUUUUAUCCCAUUGGUUUUUUCCAGGCAAGAUUUUAAUGAGGCUGUGUCACACGUUCUAUAUUACACAUGGAUAUGUAUUCUUUUCCCUUCGGCUAUGUGUUGUCCCACCAGGUUUUAUUGGCAAGGUUUUAACGAGGCAUACUCCAUGCAUGGUGGACAUCCAAGGGGGAGUGUUAUAACCUCAAAGGUUAUAGAUGCCCACCAUAAGUCCAUUGUAAUUCCUUCAUUAUACCCAUCAUUGUACCUAUCAUUAUAGGGUUGUAACAUAUACACUAAAUACCAUAUUUAUCAUUGGUUUUUAUGUUUUGUAACCCACUACUUAAGGGUGGUAAAUGGUGAUGUAUUUCCUAUGCCUAUAAAUAGUAGGCACUGAAGAUGAAUAAGACACUUGAGUAUUGAGUUAUUGAGCACUACUGUUACCUUUCAUAUAUUUCUUCUAUUCACUUUUACAACACAAUUCACAUAGUUAUGUUUGUUAAGAACUUCCACAACAAUGGCACACAUCAUUCAAAGAGACUAAAUGUACUAUACAAGUCUUCAAAAAAUUAAAAAUCAUAAUGCAAGAAUAAUAAUGGUAUUUCACACAUCAUUUAAAUUUAAAAAUAUUACAGCGGGCCCUUUUGGAAUUUUUCUUCAAUUUAAAGGUUUAUGUGUAAAUUCAAUGCAAGAAAUAAGUUUUAUUAUAAUUAUUUUUUUAGACUGAUAUAUUGUAAAUGUUGAAAUAUAUUAGGGGACACACGUAGAACCACACUUUUUAACACACCAUUUAAAUUACCGAAGUAAGUAAAUUUCAACGAUUAAAAUUGCAUUUGUUUAAUGGGCAACCCUUUUCUUUCACACAUCAUUCGAAUUUAAAAAUAAACAUUGGGGACAACCAAGCAGCCCAACUUUUUGGUUAUUAUUGCUGUAAAAUUGCUAAUAAUAUUUUGAAAUAUAACGAUUUCAAACAGUGAAGGAAAUAUAGAUUAAUAAGCAUUUUCCCAGUCUUUGUUUAAUAAAUUCAAUGAAUUAGACUUGGAGUAAAGAAUGAAUUAUUAAAGUAGUUGGGGUUGUUAAUUGUCAGUCUUUGUUUAAUAAGCAUUUUGUCUAAGUCUUUGUUCACAUGUGGAUAUCAGAAAUCUCAGCAAAGAUUUUUCGUAACAAAACAUAUUUUUAAAAUCCGAAUUGAUACACAAUACUCAAAAAGUACUUGACGCAAAAAGCAAACAAAAGACUGAAAUUUGAAAUUAUUAAGGUAUAAUUGUUGAUGAUGGAAGGUAUUAGGUAAGGUCCAGCAAAAUAAAAUUUUGAAAUUAUUAACGUAUAAUUGUUGAUGAUGGUAGGUAUUACAAUUAUGCAGGAAUCAUUGUUGAUGAUGGUAGGUAUUAGGUAAGGUCCAAUAAAAUAAAAGGAUUCGUUAAUUUAUAGGACUAACUCGUCAAACCAUGGCCAAUGUGUAGUUGUUUAAUAGAAACUUGUUAAACUAAUAAUAUCUCCAAAAGCCUGAGGACAAAACCGAGUAUGUAGUUAUUUGCAUCAUAAUUUCGUUAAAAACAUAUCCGUGUGAGCGCGUUGAUGUUUGUGUAAAUGGUUGGGACGUGUUAGAUAAAUGCAAAACCGAGAGACAUUUGACAGAAUUAUUGUCUUGUAUUUAUUAAAGAAAUUGUUACCAGGGAGUUACAGCACUUGGAUCUGGGUUUUGGAAAUAGUCCGAUGCGGCAAUGGUGAGGUUGAAGGCGGUGGUGGAUUAAGAACAUCUAUAAUUAUGCUCGUUAUUUUGUAGUUGAAAUUUAGCUACAAACACUAGAAACUUAUUGAAUUAGUUUAGUUUUGAUUUGGUUUGGGGACUGUAGAUCCGCUCCCAUCUCUAUAUCUUUACUCCAUUAGUAAAAUUGGUUGUAUUUGACACACACACACACACAAAAUGGUCAUUAUCCAAUCCAGCUUUUAUUGAACAAUAAUGUAAGGGACACAUUAUUUGAGUCCUAAUGAUGAGUCACACACAUGUCAACCCCAACGGGCUCUUAUAUAUGGCUGAGGAGAAUUUAUCUUAUAGACCAGAGGUCUCAGGUAUUGUGUUUGCUUGCUCUUCUUCAGUCAUUGAGCUGAGCAUAUUCUAGUCAUCGCCUAAUCGCUGUUGAUCUGCUCGACACCGCCCCCACAGAUUAGGUAGUUGUUUUCUGGUGCGUGAUGAAAGUGAUGGCAUUGAUUAUGCCAAUCCAUGGUCUGCCCACGAUGCCAUUGUAGGAGGGGACCUCGUCGAUGAUCAUGAACAUCUGCGUGCUGAUCAGUGGUGGCGAGUAGACAUCGAGCUCUACCAUUCCCAGAGUGAUCGAGAUUGCUCUAUUGAGGCCAGUUAGCAACCUGGCCGACUUGUUGAUCUUGGCCUCCAUGCCCAUCUGCUGGACUACCGAAAGUUGCAAGAUAUUGGUUGUACUGCCCUCGUCCACAUGAAUUCGCUCGAUCAUGGCUUGCGCGAUUUGUUAUGACGAGAGCAUCAUUGUGUGGCAGAUCAAGCCCAAUAAGGUCAACAAGUGGGAGAUCACAGUUGCCUGCUUAAUCUUCCUCUUCUUUUCCUUGCUGGUCAGCUUGGACUCCUCGGAGUCAGCCAGGAUUGUGUUAAUCCUUAUGACCUUCUAGGAGGCUCCUAGGCUGCAUCGUCAUCCUGGAUCUGCUGGUUAGCCUUCUUUACCACGAAAUUCGUACAAUGGCCCUCUCUGACCAGCUCCUUAAUAUGCUUUUUCCAAGCAUAACACUCGUUUGUGUAAUGCCCAAGCAUUCCAUGGCUUAUCUUUUUAGCCAGGGCUUGUCUCUUCAAGGGUGACAGUCUCUUCAGCCAGUGAUUGUCUUUCACUUGCGCUAGGAUCUAAUGUAUCGCGAUAGUGAACUUUGUGCAGCUCUCAUCUGCUGAGGCGCAACCUCGGGAUUGUGCCUUGUGCUUUCAUCCACGGCUCCUACUGCUGGGCUUAUCACUUCUCUGACCUGCUUCAUUGGGUUGUUGUUCAGCUUUCUUAGCAAACUUCUUUGGGGCGAUUUGAUUGUCAUCCCAAAGGGCGUAGGAUUCUGCGAUCGCGAAGACCUCUACUAGAGUCUGGCUGGGAGCGACAGUCACCUCGCAGUACAAGUCUUGCUCGGUUGGCAAGCAUUUCUUGAAAGCAGAGGAUGCGAUUCGAUCAUCGCAUCCUACAAUGUUGGCUUUACAACUCAAGUAGAAGAGUAAAGGAUUUCAACGUAAAGUAGUGUGGUUGGAGUGCAUUGGUGAAUUAGGAAUCAGGCUUUUUCUUUUCAACCAUUCUUUGAGUACUUAUUACAUUCCUUCCUUCUCUUUUAUAUCUGGAGAGUAUCCCAUGUAUACUAAAAUUCCAUCCCUUACGUAUGCCCAAAGAAAUUAAAAGAGAAAACGAAAAAAGUCCAAAGGAAUCAGCAUAACGAAAGAAAUCAUGAAAACUUGGAGGAGUAGUGAUUCUUGCUCCAUAAACCUCUAAUAUUAUCGUGUGUUAAUUAAUAACUAAAUGUAAUACCCCAUCCCAAUGGUCACAUCUGAAAGCCAAAGCGCAUUUGUUCCAAAGAGACAAAUAUUAGAUAAUGUCAUUCUAGCCUUUGAAACAAUCCAUGCCAUGAGAAGUAGAAGGGGGGAAAAAUUCCAAAGAUUGCAUUGAAGUUAGACAUGGCAAAAGCAUAUGAUAGGGUUGAUUGGAAUUUCAUUUGUAAAAUGAGGGAUAAAUUGGGUUUCCUUGGGGAUUUUAUUAAGCUGGUCUUUGAGUGUAUUUCUACUGUUUCAUAUUCAUUGAUAAGGCAUGGAGCUGUUGAAGGUAAUAUUAUCCCACAAAGGGGGAUUAGACAAGGAGAUCCCUUAUCUCCCUAUCUUUUCCUCAUUUGUGCAUAGGGUUUUUCUUCGCUUCUAAAAUAGGCUGAGUUUUCUGGUGAAAUAAAGGGGAUUGAAGUUGCAAGGAGGCCCCCUCAAAUUUCUCAUUUGUUUUUUUGCAAAGCCUACUAUUUCUUGAAGCAAAAUCUCAGGCGUGUAGAACCCUUAAGAGGGUGUUUGAGAUAUGUGAGGUAGCAACGGGGCAAAAAAUAAAUUUGGAGAAGUCAACAAUUGCUUUUAGUCCGAACACUCCUGUGCAUUUAAGGAAUGAGGUUUGCAGCAUUCUAAAGAUCCCAGUUGUUGAGUUUCAUGAGAAAUAUUUGGGAUUGCUAACAGUGAUUAUUGGUAGGAAAAAGAAAGAUUGUUUUAACAUAAUAAAAGAAAGAUUAAGAAAGAAGCUUAAUGGCUGGAAAGGGAAAUUGCUUUCAAAAGCAGUAAAGGCUCUCCUUAUCAAAGCGUUGGCUCACAGUAUUCCAAAUUAUGCUAUGGGAGCCUUAAAACUUCCUGUGACAUUUUGUGCUGAGUUCAAUUCAAUGAUCUCUAAAUUUUGGUGGAAGAAUUCAGAGUAUUGCAAAGGUAUUAGCUGAGCACAGUGGGAGCAUCUGUGUUUUGCAAGGGAUGAAGAUGGAUUGGGUUUUAGAGAUCUAGAGAUUUUUAACAAAGCACUUGUGGCUAAGCAAUGUUGGAGACUUCUUACCAAUGAGUAGUCCAUGAUUCAGAAGGUGUUAAAAGGUUGAUAUUUUCCAAAUUAUAAUUUCUUGGCAGCUGGUAAAGGAAGAGCUUCUUCUUAUGUUUGGAGAUCUUUGAUUUGGGGUUGUGAAUUGCUCUGGAAUGGGAUAAGGAAGAGGAUUGGAGAUGGACAAGAUACUCUAGUCUAUGGAGAUGCAUGGAUUCCUAGACCUAACUAAUUCUUUCCGCCCUUUUCCCCCUCAAGUGCUGGAUCAAGAAACUAACGUAAGUGCUUUAUUUUUCCUAAUGGGAAUUGGAAUGUUGAUAUACUAAAUCUGUGUUUUCAUGUGGAAGAUGUUAAGGCCAUUAGCUCUAUUCUUUUGAGUGUUAAUUAUCACAAAGAUAGAUGAAUUUGGCAUUAUAUGACUAAUGGAAUUUAUUAUGUGAAAAGUGUUUAUAGGCUGGAGAUAUCAGAAAAAAUAAGGGAGUGCAGUCGGGUUGGCUCCUCUUCGGAACCAAGAAUAUGAAAUGCUUUCUGGACAAAAGUUUGGUCCCAAGAGGUACCACAAAAACUCUUAUAUUUUAAUUGAAGAGUUAUUAAAAAUUAUCUUGCUUGUAAAUCUAAUAUAUGCUAAAAAGGAAAAUAAUCUCUGAUGACUCCUGCCCCAUUUAUAAAAGUAGUAACCGAUUUAUAUAGUUAAAACACCUUGAAAAAACAUCCCAGCCACAUGUUCAACCGACUUUGAAAAUAUCUUGAAGGUUCUAGGAAUUGUUUAGGCUGUUUGGUGUUGCUUACUUCGCUGGGUAGACUUCACUUGAGCAUUCUAGAUUUUUCUAGUUUUAUUUUGUGCAUUAUUAUUUCUAUGGGAUUGACUUUUACUUUUCUUGGGCUAAUUAAUAUGUUUGUGGGCUGGGGUUGAUAUUUUAACACUAAACUCCUUAUUGCGUGUAAAGCCCUGGAAGUCUUCUUCCUCCAAGCCUCGAACUGACAAACGUUUUCUGGUUUUGGAAGUUCAGCUGUACCCUGCACUGCAUCCCAAAGGCCUCUAGCCAACAAGUAAUUUUUAACCAAUGCACUCCAGUACUCAUGGUUAUCUUCGUCAAGAACCUCCACAACAAUUGCGUCGGCAGGAACCACAGGUUUCACCAUUCUUACUGCUAUUCACAUCCAGAUAUGAAAGCUGACCCGGCUUGCUAAGUAAAUUUUUUUAUAUUUGUCUUGUUGAAGACAAAGUAAAAUUCCCCACUAACCAUUUAACCAUUUAAUGGUUUCCGAAUUAAUUUUCUUUAUAUGAGCAUGCCACUGUUGGCAGAUGAUAAAAUACUGUUGGGGGUUGAGUGCAUUGGUGUAUUAAAAAUCAGGCCUUUUCUUUUCAAGCAUUCUUUAAGUACUUACAUUCCUUAUUCUUUUUCUUUUUCUUUUAUAUAUAUCUGGAAGUACCACGCCAGUAUACCAAUAGGAAAAAUAACAAAUCAGAAUCAGCUUAAGUUUUUCAAUAGGAAGAUUAUACAUUACCAAUAGGGUACAAAGGUUUUACCAUGGUGGCGCCUUUCACUUGUUCUUUUCGUUGCUCGAUCUUUGUAUGUAGCGGGCAAAGCCCAAAACAAAGUCAAACUAGUUCAAGACUUGAUCCCAAAUUCUUUUCUCACACGCUUAUCUUCACCAAGAAUCACAACAUAUUAUCAGGGAUACAAGCUUCUUAGCAGUUACAACAUUACGAAAGUUUUAUUAUAGGAUGCCAAACACAUACAUGGCAUGGAAAAUGCAUACAAGCUUCUUAGAAGUUACAAACAUUAUGAAAAUUAUACAUUACCACUUACACGUACCAUCAAGAAGUUAAGUCCAUGAUUUCACUUUCCUAUCAAAUAUUUCAUUCCCAAGUAGAAGACUUUAUGCCCUUGAUUUCACUUUCCUGUCAAAUAUUCCUCAUCCAUAAGUAGAAACGUACAUCUAAACUAGAAGGGGUACAUUGUGGCAUGCUCUGUGUGUAUUUUUGAUUGUAAUUGUUCAUGACUAGCAGUUGACUAGUCAUAGUGUAUUUGGUCAAGUCUAAAGUGUGUGAAGAUUGUUGCGUUUUGUUUAAGUGUCUUAAAAGUUACCCCUCGUCACCUAAGUACCAAUUUCAAUUGGUAUAAGAGCGUCAGCUCUUAACACAAAUAGAGAGAUCCUAGGAUUUGUUUUGGUAUUUAGUGUGCUCACUAUGGAAAGGGAUAGAGUUGUUGGAUCUUGCAACUCCCCUCCUUACUUUGACGGAAACAACUACGCUGCAUGGAGAGAAAAAUUUGAGAUAUUCCUUGAUGCUCUUGAUGAGUAUGCAAGUGAGUAUCUCACAAAAGAGUGGGUUGCUCCAGUCAAGACUGUUGAGAGUAAAGUUGUGCCCAAGUCUAGGAUGGAAUGAACUGAAGCUAAGGUGUUUUCUGCACAUUCAAACAAGAAGGCCAAAAAUGCCUUAGUUACAGCCUUGUCUACCACACAGUUUUCACAUAUACAACACAUCCCUAAUGCUAAACAGGCUUGGGAUAAACUAAGGGUGGUUCAUGAAGGGGAUGACCAAGUUAGAACCCUAAAACUUCAGAUGGUGCUUGCACAAUUUGAAGAACUUAGGAUGUCUGAAACUGAGUCUAUUUCUGAGUUUUAUGGGAGAGUUGAGAUGAUCACAAAUGAAGCCAUGAGUCUUGGUCAACCUAUUGAAGAGCUUCCUGUUGUUCAGAAAAUUCUUUGUGUUCUACCAUCUCGGUUUAGAGAAAAGAAAACCGCAAUCAUGGAGGUCCAAAACUUAAAUGAAAUUAAGCUUGGCAAGCUUGUAGGAAAAUUGAAAACAUAUGAGAUGGAGUUAAAUAUGGAAGAAAAUGACACUAAAAAAUCAAAAAAUGUUGCACUUCAAGGAGUGCAUGAUACCUCUCUGAAAGGUGGUGAAAAAUUCUCAGUUUUUUUAGGAUGAAAUGGCUUUGUUUGUCAAAAAUUUAGGAGAAUUCUAAAGGAUAAAGGAAAUUUUGCUGGAGAGGGCAGCUCUGGUAGUGAGAGACAAUUUAGACCAUCAACUAAUUAGUCUAAUGAGAGGAACAAGGAUAUCAAACCUUUUACUAAAGAUUUUAGAAAAUCAGUCAAGUGCUUCACUUGUCGAGGCAUUGGGCACUAUGCUGCCGACUGUGCAAAUAAUCAGAAAAAAUACUCCAAAGGAAAGGACAAAGCCAUAAAAGUGAGCUGGAGUGAGAGUGAAAGUGAAGUGUCUCAAGCGGAUUCAUCUUCCUCUGAUAAUGGUGACCAACAAGUUUCCUUUGUUGCCUUUGUACAGCUGGUGUCUGAUGAAUCUGAUUAUGAGUCAGAUGACCUGUCAUACGAGUCAUUAGGAAGAAAAUAUGAUUGCUUUUUCAAAGAGACAUUAUCCUUGAAACAACAGAGUCUCAAACUUGAGGCCAAUAACCAAGAUCUUCAACAUGAAAUUCUCAUCUUAAAAGAAACCAAAAAAGAGUUGAGUGACAAAUUUGAGUCUCUAGAAAAAGAAAUUGUUGCACUAGUGUCAAUUAGGAGUAAUCUUGAAAAACAAGUUAAUGUGCUUAAGGAAAGUAACAUUGGUUUCCAGAACUCAAACAAACAGCUCAUAGGUGAAUUGAAUAUAGCAAAAAGUAAGGUUAUAUCUAUGACCAUUGGUGCCUCAAAAAUUGACAAAAUGUUGAAUAUGGGAAAACUUCAUGGGGACAAAGGUGGUCUUGGAUUUAAUCAUUUUGAUUAUAGUUCCUCUAGCUCUACCACUAAGUUUGUCAAGUCAAAAACUCCAGCCAUUGCAUCUCUUGAUGUUCAGCAGGUAGUCAAGAAACCUGCGUUUGUUCCAACUUGUCACAGGUGUGGGUUGACUGGUCAUAUUCGACUAGUCUGUCAUAUGUACAGAAAGGGUAAGACAAGAAAAUUGUCUUCAAAAUCUAAAAGGUAUCCCAGAUCUUUGCAACAUCUGGUUGAUCAUUUGCUAAAUGAAGUAACUAAGAUUGCCAAACUUGUCUCCCUUAAAAUGAGUUCACCCAUUGUGCCUAAGUCUACUUGGAUUGCAAAAGGUCAUACCAAAUGUCUUGUUGUGCUAAAUGCUUUUGCUGCUUUAAACACCAACUCUUGGUACUUUGAUAGUGGCUGUUCCAAACAUAUGUCUGGUGACAAGAGUGUUUUCUCAUCUCUCAGCCCUUUUGAUGGAGGCAUUGUGACUUUUGGUGGAGGUCAUAAGUCUCAAGUUGUUGGAAAAGGUACUGUUUGUAUCCCUAGAUUACCCGAGCUUAAGAUUGUUAGAUUUGUUGAGGGUCUCACAUCCAAUCUCAUUAGUAUGAGUCAGCUGUGUGAUGAUGGAGUAGUAGAAGUUAGAUUCUCCAAGCAUGGCUGCAAAAUCAUCCGAAAAGGUGGCAAUGAGAUUGUGAGCAUGGCAAGGUCUGGGGACAAUUGCUAUUGCAUUGAUGGUGUCAAUGUUGCAAAAGAAGUAGUUUGCAAUAAGGUUGUGAAUGAAACAAGUGUCUUGUGGCAUCAAAGGCUUGGACAUGUGAACUUUAGAGACUUGUGAUGGACAUAUUUUAUAUUAUAUAUCUAACCUCAUUCUCAGUAUAUUUUGGUUAAUAUUUUGGAAGAAUUUUGAUACUUUGAAUUAUAUUUCCAAUAUAGGACUUUCGACUCUCUCUAGAGCAAAACAUAAUCAAAUUGAGGAAUUUUGGAGUAAUUCUAGUUGGAGGACGUUCUUGAGGCACUUAGCUUGAUCGUAUCAAAAUUUCAGAUUUUUCUUCCAAGCGGUUAUUUUCUGGCAAUAAAAUAAAGGAGCAGUGCGCGGUGCUGGAAUAGUGACGUGUUGGGCUUUUAUUGCGUUUUUGGAGCCCAAGAUGACCUCGGAUGGGUUCGUGGCCUUCUAGAGAAGUGUUCAGAACAUUUUUAUUUUUAAAACAAGCUAUCUUGGGCCAGAUUUGGAGGAGAUUUGGUGCCAAAACGUGGCUGGGCAGAUUUUGGGCAGAUUCUCCUAUUCCAAUUUGGACUUUAUUUCCUAGUAUUAUUUUAUUUUAAUUAGUUUCCUUGUGGGGAUAGAAAAGCUGUACAUUGGCAGCUAGGUUUUAAGGGGUAUUUAAGCUCUUUCUUACAAGGAAUUGAUUACUCCCUUUUUCACUUUUGAACUUUGUUUUGUGGAGAGCAAUUGCUACGGUUUUGGGUUUUCACAACUUUCAGGUGUUUUCGUUCUUUUCUUCUUAAUGAUAUUUUCUUGGAUUUCAAUUAUGAGUAUGCGUAACUAAAUUUCUUUUGCUAGGGUGAAGCCUUGAACCUUAGCAUGAAUAUGUGAUUUUUAUUUAAUUGCUUAUGAUGAGUGCAUGCCUACUUGAAUUGUUAAUCACUGUUUUAAACUAUCUAAUUGUCUUAAUGCCUGAUCACCAUUAGGAUCUUUAGAAAAGUAAUUGGAUGCAAUUUUGGUCGGAAGGUUCCCUGAAAUUGAUGCUAGCUUCUUGUGAUUAAUAAUUGUAAUUUCACUUCAGAUGAAUACCACGUCUUAAGGGUUGCAUGGUUUUUCAAAGGGUUUUCACAAAACUUAAUGAAUCUUUCAUAUUCAGAUUUGAUCCGAACGUCCAGACGGGUUGCAUGUUAGAUAUACGUUCUGUGUUGGAGGUUCCAAGUAGAAUAUACAUUAGGAAAACCUAACCUUCAAAUUGGCAUGUGCAAAUCAUAAGUAAUUGGUAAAAGUUCAUAGGAUUGCUAGGUGAUGGUGAAACCCUAGUACUUUUAUAAAUUGAUAUUCAAAACUCUUUCCUUCAAUUGUAUUUGUUUUUAGAAUCAACCAAAUUCAUAAUCAUCUUUCUUGACCUUUUAUUUUAAGUAGUUAUUUGUAAUUUGUUUUUACAUAAAUUGCUAAUUAGUCCUUGAGGAAAACGACCUUGCAUGAGCAUCUAUACUACAAUAGCCUUGUAUUCUUGCAAGUAUUUUAUGUGAUUUUAACUCUGUUUGCACAAGUACUAAAAAUCCUAUCAACUUGCAUAAAUUGUCCAAGAGAGAGUUAGUGAGUGGUUUACCAAAGCUUGACAAAUCUGAUCAACAUGUGUGUGAAGGAUGUCAAUUGGGCAAGCAAGUUAGAGUGUCACACAAGAAGGUCAAACACAUUCAAACAAAAGUAAGCCUAGAACUUGUUCACAUGGACCUUGUUGGUCCUAUCCAAACCUUGUCCCUUGGUGGAAAGAAAUAUAUUCUUGUCAUGGUUGAUGAUUUCUCUAGGUUCACUUGGGUCUCAUUCUUAUGUGAGAAAUCUGAAACUUUUCAAAGGUUUAAGUCUGUUUGUCAUCUUUUGCAAAAAGAGAAGAUCAUGGUUCUGAGUUUGAGAAUUCUCAGUUUCUGAAAUUUUGUGAAGAGAUGGGAAUUAGGCAUGAGUUUGUGAAGAUCAUGGUUCUGAGUUUGAGUAUUUCUGUGAUUUGAGCAUAUAUGUAGGAAUUGUUUCCUAAUUUAUGGUUUGUGAUAUUGUACUUCUGAUCGAGUACUCAAAACCGUUUUAGCUCAUAGUACUUGGUCUUCCGAGCUCAAAGGCCACUACUACAAAAAAGCAAAAAGACGACGGUAAAUCACCGUCGUGUAUUCGGUUUUUCAAUGGUCGUGGAAUCCACCGUCAUCUUUUCCCUCAUAAACCACGACGCUAAAUCACCGUCGUUGUUAAAAUAUACAACGUCAUCAACAAAUACAAAACGACGUCUUUGUACUGCAAAAAGAUCUAAAAAAGCAGUCGAGGAUGAGAAUAGACGACCAACUCUCUAAAAAAACCGUCGUUAAAAAGGAAAAAUAUGACACAUAUUAAGAGAACAAGGCCGCAAGAUAGACAUACAACGACGAAAAUAAAAAUACGACGCCGUUAAAUAUCAUUUUCAUGACAAUAAAAAAUUUGACGUCUUUAAAUACAUUAGAAGACGACGUUAUUGAUACCUACUACGUCGCAUAUAUAAAAACAGCCGUCGUAAAAUUAAUUUUCCACUUCGAUUUUUUGAUAAAAGAUGACGUGGAAAUAGUUGUCAGUGUCAUUAUUUACGACGUAUGUAUUUAUUGAGUAGACGUUGAAAAAUGAAACAACGUCGGUUACAAAUAUAUGAGAGUCGUAUUACAAAAUUUAUACGUCAUAUUUUCAGAAACAAACAACGACGAUAAAUAUUAGACGUUGUUAAAUAAAACAACGUCGGAAAACAAUAAAAACAGACGUGUUUAGUCUGCUAAAGUUCUAGAAAAUAGUCGAGGAUGAGAAUAGACGACCAACUCAAACAAAUCACCGUCGUUAAAAAGGAAAAAUAUGACACAUGUUAAAAGAACAAGGCCGCAAGAUAUACAUACAACGACGACAACUAAAAUACUACGCCGUUAAAUAUAAUUUACACGACAAGAAAAAAUAUGACGUCUUUAAAUACAUGAGAAGACGACGUUAUUGAAAUAUACUACGUCUCUUAUUUACAAACAACCGUCGUGAAAUAAAUUUUCCACUUCGAUUUUUCUAAAAAAGAUGACGUGGAAAUAGUUGUCAGUGUCAUUAUUUACGACGUAUGUAUUUAUACAGUUGACGUUGAAAUGCGAAACAACGUCGGUGGCAUUUAUAUAGUCGACGUUGUAUUUAUAUCUAUCAUCAUUACUCACGACGUACUUAAUAAUAUAGACGACGUUGAACUUCUAAACAACGUCGGUUCCAAAUAAAUGAGAGCCGUAUUACAGAACAUAUAGACGGCGUUGAUUAUGAUGAUAGCCGUAUUACAAAUAACGUCGUUUAAUUGUUAUUAGACGGCGGUUAUAAUGAAUUUCUGUCGGAAUUCAUUUCGUUCCUCUUCGUUUAUAAAAGAACUUGCGACGUGGAAAAUGUAUGAUGACGUCGUAUUUUUUAACGUUCAGAUUAUAUAUCUCGUUUUUUAGACGUCGGUAUUAUGGGAUUGGAGUCGUGUUAUUUUGAAUUACAUGGCGGUUCUUAAUCCUUCCCCGACGUGAUAUCCUGAAUAAUUGCUUCACAAUAGCGUCGUGGUUCUUCAUUGUUACGUUGCUUUAAGACGUCGGUAAAUAUGCUGAAUAACUGGUUCACAAUAACGUCGUGUUUUAUUUGAACGUAGAAAGUGAAGAAAUCACAUUACAAUAUAUUACAAAAUUAAUGUCAUACACUGCCAAUUACAUAAGCAUCAUUCAAUCCAUAUAUCUUCACACCCAUCUCGAAUAUUUUGACCGCCUAACUCACCCACCAGUUCAUCAAAUGUGUCAACAUUUGGCAUCCCUCUAGUAAAUGGCUCACAAUCAAUUAUCACAUCACCUAAGACUUCAUCACCAAUAACAUCAUUAUAUUCUCUAUUAGGCAUUGAUAACACUACCGACCAACCACGAUGCAUCGGGUCGUCAACAAAAAAUAUUUGUUUGACUUGAGAAGCCAAAACAAAUUGGUCAUUCCUAUGUCCAAUUUUACUCAAAUCUACAAGGGUAAAUCCAAGUUCGUCGACUACAAGACCAGAACUAUCUAUCCAAUCACACCUAAAGACUGGGAUUGUAAACUUUUGGUAGUCAAGGUCCCAAAUUUCUUGAAUGACACCAUAGAAACCCAUAUUUGAGAGAAUUGGGUUUUUGUCCUUGGCACUAGCAACUUGCAUGGUAUGUGCAAGUAAAUAAACUCCACUAUUUUGAGUUGUCCGCACAUCAUCUUGUGCCUUGAUAUUGAAUUUAAUACCUUUAAUAAGAUAGCUCCUAUAUAAUGGCACUGACAUGUUUGGACCAGCUGCUAGCCACCUUAAAUUUUCUGAUACGCCAUGAUUGUCUUCCUCAAGUUCACUUUGAACCUGCAAAUUAAUCAUAUCUUAAUUCAAUCUAACAUAUAAAUAAGAAGAAAAUUAAAAGAGAAAUAUGUUAUUCAACAACAUAUACCUUGAAGCGUAGCCAUUGAAUGAAAGUGCUAUUGUGCUUAUCCUGCAGCCACUUUGUUCUCUUUCUAAAUUUUGGAUAAGCAAUCUUGAUGUGGAUCAUAUGUUGCCUACAUGACACGAAAAAUUCAAGCAUUACGGUCCCAAAUAUAGAAGAUAAACAUAAGAAAUAAUUUAAAAUGGAAACUUAAAGAAUAAAGCUCAUACGUACUCGAUAUAAGGUAGGACUUCCUCCGUAUUCUCCAAGACAUAUAGAUGUGCUUGAUUCAACAGGUCCUGAUCAACUACGCUCACUGUGCAACCUGAUAAUGGCUUUGAAAGUCCCAUCUUUUGGCUUGAAGGCACUCCAACUGUACUAACAUCAGAUAAAUGUUGAGUACAAAACUCUACCGCUUCUUCAGCUAUAUACCGCUCAGCAAUGCAACCUUCGGGACGAGUACGAUUCUGAACAUACCCCUUCAGCACUUUCAUAUAUCUUUCAAACGGAUACAUCCACCUAAAAUAUACUGGCCCACAUAGACGAACUUCUCUGACAAGAUGUACUACUAGAUGAACCAUGAUAUCAAAGAAUGAAGGGGGAAAGUACUUCUCAAGCAAACACAGAGUAACUACUACAUCUUCUUCCAACUUAUCUAGCUUGGAAACAUCAACAGUCUUUGCACAUAUAGCAUUGAAGAAGAAGCACAAAUGAGUUAUUGCAUACCUUGCAGGCUUCUCCAAAACAGAACGAAUUGCCACAGGGAGCAAUUGUUGCAUUAAGGUAUGACAAUCAUGUGAUUUAAGGCCAAGAAGUCUUGAAUCUUGUAAAGAUACAAGAUUUUUAAUAUUUGAAGAAUAACCUUCAGGGACCUUCAUACCAUAGAAAGAAUUGCAAACCUCUCUCUUCUCUGCUCUUGACAAAUUCCAAGGCCCAGGAGGCAAACGAGUACGUCUUUCUCCAUACUCGGGUUGCAAAUCAGUUUUGACCCCCAUGUUCAAUAAAUCUAAUCGAGCAGCAAUCCCAUCUUUAUUUUUUCCACGGAUCUCCAGCAAUGUACCAAUGAUACUAUCGCAAACAUUCUUCUCAAUGUGCAUAACAUCUAGGGCAUGCCUCACAGGAAGGUAUUUCCAAUACUCGAGAUCAAAGAAUAUUGAUUUCUUCUUCCAACAAACUCUGUCACCAUUUUCAACCAUAUGCAGCACUUCUUCUCCGGUUAAUGGCUCGGGAGGUAUGCCAUAUUCAGGUUUCCCAUUAAAAGCUGCACGUUGCCUCCUAUAUGGAUGAUUGAUUGGUAACCAUUUUCUAUGCCCAAUGUAACAAAUUUUGUGGCCAUUUUUCAACCUGUGACUAGGUGUAUCAUCACCGCAUAUUGGACAAGCUUUAUAUCCUUUAACAACACAACCAGAUAAGUUUCCAUAGGCGGGGAAAUCAUUAAUUGUCCACAAUAAUGCAGCUCUGAGUGUAAAGUAUUCUCCAUUAUGUGCAUCAUACACUCCUCUAAUCCCAACCCACAAGGAUUUUAAAUCAUCCAUCAAAGGCUCCAAGUAGACGUCUAUAUCAUUUCCGGGUUGUUUAGGACCGGAAAUCAAUAAGGUUAACAUCAUGAACUUUCGUUUCAUGCACAGCCAUGGAGGGAGAUUAUAUGUAACUAAGAUAACCGGCCAACAACUAUAUCUGCUACUUAGAGAACUGUGGGGAUUGAAUCCAUCAGAUGAAAGAGCCAAUCUCAAGUUUCUCGGCUCAUUACCAAACUCAGGCCAUUUAUCAUCAAGAAGUUUCCAAGACGGGGAAUCCGCCGGAUGAGACAUCUGACCGUCAAUUGAUUUUCUAGCAGCAUGCCACCAAGUCAAACUCUUAGCUGUCUCAUGUGAUUGAAACAUCCUUUUAAACCUUGGAAUUGGGGGAAAAUACCGCACCACCUUCGCUGGCACACCCUCUUUCAAGAUUGAAUCUUUGCCUUCCUUCCACCUUGAGAUACCACAAGUAGGACAAUUAGUUGAAUCCUCAUACUCCUUCCUAUACAAGAUGCAAUCAUUGGGGCAUGCAUGCAUUUUCUCAUAACUCAGCCCCAAUGCACACAAAGUCUUUUUAGCCUCAUACAUGGAGGUUGGUAUUGUAUUUCCUUCUGGAAGCAAAUCGCCUUGAAGUAUCAAUAAUUCUGUAAAACAGACAUCACUCAUCCCAUGUUUUGCCUUCAAAUUAUACAACUUCACUAAUGCCGAUAACUUCGUGUACUUUCUACAACCAGGGUACACUGGUUGAUCUCCAUCCCCAAUCACAUUGGCAAACUCAUACGGAUCCGAACCAAAAUCACCAAAAUCAUUAUCAUCCAUAUCAAUUUCUUCAGACACAAAACUGUACCUACUAUGGCCAUCAUCUUCUUCAACAUUUCUACUAGCAUUAGUUGUUGCUUCCCAAGGUUCUCCGUGAAAUGUCCAAUUCUUAUAGCUUUGGUCAAUUCCAUUAAAGUAUAAGUGAUCCCUUAUAAUUCCAACCCCAAACAACUUCAAAUUAACACAUUUAACACAUGGACAACGGAUAUGUGUUGUAGUUAGAAGAUUUUCUACAGCAAAGUUCAAAAAUGCUUCCACCCCAAAUUCAUAUGCCUUCGAUCUUCUAUCCGAGUGCAUCCAUGACUUAUCCAUCUCCGACACUAUAACUUAUUAUCUAUAAUAAAGUGAAAAUACAGGCAAUGACCAUCACUAUAGCAGAUUAUACAAUGAUCUAAUCGCAAGUAAUACACAACAGAGAUGACGAGUUUUAAACAAAAACAGACGUAUUUGGCAUAUAUAGACGACGGAUUUUCAACAGACGUCGUCUAUUAUAAGUAAUACAAACGACGGUUUAUGAAANNNNNNNNNNNNNNNNNNNNNNNNNNNNNNNNNNNNNNNNNNNNNNNNNNNNNNNNNNNNNNNNNNNNNNNNNNNNNNNNNNNNNNNNNNNNNNNNNNNNNNNNNNNNNNNNNNNNNNNNNNNNNNNNNNNNNNNNNNNNNNNNNNNNNNNNNNNNNNNNNNNNNNNNNNNNNNNNNNNNNNNNNNNNNNNNNNNNNNNNNNNNNNNNNNNNNNNNNNNNNNNNNNAUAAUGUAAUCCAUGAACCCAUUGUCCUUCAAGUCGUGAUCUAUAUAUGUUAGACCGCAUUAGUACACCUUUAUUUGAUCUUGUCAUGAACCCCUUUAACAAAACAACCUAAUAUCAUUCAAUGAAUUUACAAGGGGAAGAUAGGGUUUGUACUUACAGGUUGGACGAGCUCACAGAUUCGACGGAGCCUGGAGAGUGCAACUUUUAAUUAGAGCAGAAGUGAGAGAGCGAAAUGUUAUGUCGCGCGAAAUCUGAAAAUUUUAGGUUUCAGGGUUCGAAGUAUAAGAAUAAGAGCCAAAUCUAAAAAAAUUUAGGUCGCGCGAAAAUUUUUAGAGCUCGCGCGUUUUAAAACGUCGAAAGAAAAACCAAGGCGAAAGUUCUACAAAUACCGACGUAAAUUUAAAAUUCCACGACGGAAACUUCAUUUUUCGAAUUAAGAACGUAAGGCCGUUCAUUUUGAAGCUUCAUUUUUCGGAUUAAUUUUAAAUUUAUUUUGAAUUUUUUAUAUAACGACGACUGAAAAACCACGUCGGUGUUAAGAAAUUAAAGACGUUGUAAAUUAUAUAAACCGACUUACAUAUUAAAAUGACGUCGUUUAAAGCGUAAACCAUGUCGUAUGUUUUUCUGUACGACGUAAAAUAUGUAUUCCACGACGCAACCACCGUCGUUAAAAAUUAAUACCCUAAACCCAUAAAACUAAAUUAUACAAUUUAAAAAAUUAAGUUUAUAAAAGGUUUUAUGGUUUUAAAGCCUAACAUAUACCCUAGACUACCCAAAAAUUAUACUUUAAAAAUAAACCCCAAUAAAUAACAACCCUAAUCUCUAAACCCUAGACUCUAAACCCUAAACCAUAAAACUAGAAGUGAUUUUAUGACUCAUCAAAACAAUUUUGUUUUGGAUGGUCAUUUUAAAUUUUUGUUAUUCAAAAUGAAUUUUUUCAAGGUUUAUGUGGAAGAAAAUAUAUCAAUGACUUCAUAGGAGAUGACUUUUCAAUUUUCUGAUUUAUUUUAAAUUUAUUUUGAAUAUUUUGAUAUAAAAAUAAUAAAAUAUUCUUACCACAACAACAAACCACGUCGGUGUUAAUAAAUUGUAGACGUUGUAAAUUGUAAUAGACUACUAAGUCGUUAAAAUGACGUCGUUAAAAUGAGAAACCAUGGCGGCUAUUUAACUAUACGACGUAAAAUAUAUAUUGCACGACUUAACCGCUGUCGUUACAUAAACGUCGUCGAUGAUACCCUGAACCCUUAAGAAAUUGAAGAUGUUGUAAACCAUAAACGACUCAAUUGUUCAAAGAACGUCGUCUAACUAUAUUUUUACGUCGUAUUUGUUUAAAACACGAAACAACAAAAUACGACGGUUUUUGACUUUAUUAGGUCGUUGGAAAAGUAUUACACGUCGGUUAAGCAAUUUGUAUGUUUUUUUUUUUUUUAAUUUAAGAAAACCUCAACAAAUUUUUACAUUACAUAUUAUAGAGAAAAUUUGUACAUUAUACAUAAAUAUCAAGUGUUCAAUAAUUGCCCUGUUUAAUAAUUUGGAAAACAAACUCUGCCCAUUCAUUCCGGACUUCAUCAAUGGCUUCUUGGGGGUAUGAAGCUUCCUGGUUUCCCUUGGCAUACUGCAUAAACAAUGACUAUUAGGGUUUAUAAAUAAAAAGAAAUUCAAUCACAGACGACGAUAUUUUUCAUAACCGACGUAGUAUAUCCAUUCAACGACGUUAAUUUUACAUGACCGUCGUUGAUAAUACAAAAAACGACGUGAAAUGUAUGAAGGUAAUUUCUUCUUACCUUAUUCUCAAACCCCAAGGAAGGAUCCAUGAUGAUAUCCCUCAUGAAGCGCAUCACAUAAUACCCGCAUUCGACAUUGCUGGGUUGCUUUGGUGUGCCUGAGAGAGUUUUCCAAAUUACAUUUUUACGUCCUGCUCGGGCUAUGUGGGUAUUAUAUAUUUUUAAAGCACUGUUCACGAUGUUUUUCCCCUCUUCGUCGACCACACGAUGACCUGGCAGAGGAUCCAGAAAAUAGACGGUCUCCUUCUUUGCUCUUACAAUCAGCAAGAUCCAAUGACGGCUGCACAAAAUUAAUAUAAAAACGACGGUUAUUUAUAAAAACGACGUAUUAUAGUAUUUCACACGACGAAAUAAAGUAGAUAACGACGACAUUAUAUAUUUAUCACGACGAUAAAUAAAUACCGACGUGGUUAGUAGUUUCAAACGACUAAAUAAAAUAAAACACCGACGUGGUUAGUUUAUAAGCUGUCAUUUAUUGAAAAUCAUAAAAACAAAAUCCUAAGGAGACUAACCCUGGAUUGUAAGGCAUCAUGAAAAUCUGUUCACCGUCUGUCUUCUGAAGUUGAGCUGCUACCAGUCGUGAUCUUUCAGUUAUUGUGCCAGAGUUGGCACUAACUGUAGCAGGGUCGAUAAAGCCAACCAUGCUGCACAUAUUGGCUUGUUUCAAAACAUCGUGUAAGUACCUAAAUACAUAAAAUAAUAUAAACAAGUCAGCACAAACAAACACGACGGUUAUGUAUAAAAAAACGACGUAUUAUAAUAUUUCACACGACGUACUGAAAUAGAUGAGGACGUUAUAAUAUAUUUAUCACGACGGUAGUUAGUUAAGACGACGCAAUAUAUAAACCAACGAGGUAUUAUUUUAGAAGUACAAACCUCAUAUAUACAGCCAAUACAGUAGCUCCAAUUUCUUCCAUGCCUGCAAAUUGUGUAAUAUCUUCAGGCAGGAGGAAGGUAUCGCGCUCACCACCAAACACCUCCUUAUCAAUUGUAAAUUGGAGUGUCUUAUCCUCAGGCAGGAGUGUCGUUUCCACAAAACGACAAAGGGUUUUUAAAGAAGAUGGCGCCUCCAUAUUUGAAUAAGCACCAACUUCAAUAACCUGUUUAAAGAAAUAAAAAAAAAUGACGUGGUAAUUCAAUAAAGACGACGGUUUAAGGAAUAAAACGUCGUCUUAAAAGUAUUUAAUCAUAUGACGGUUUUCUCUUCAAACUUCGUAUUUAUUAACACACCACGUCGGUUAGUAUGAACAGUCGUGCUAUUAAAAUAGCGCGAAUUUAAUUACCGUCGUGGUGUGUCAACAAAAACAUCAAAUUCGAGAAAAACCCGUCGUCCUCACAUGACCUGUGAGUGAUAACAGUUAAAGGUUUGGCAAUUUCAAACCACCUUCUUGUCUCAAACAUCAGUGGGACUCGUUCUUUUUAAAAAAAAAAAAAAAAAACUUCAACUGAUAAGGAAAGUAAAGAAAAAAAAAGGAGUGAGAAAGUUUUCAAACCUUUGGCUUGCAAAGAAAGUUUUCUUCGGAAUCAAAUUGUGGAGACGAAGACGAGGAAGAACAUAAAAGUUGAGAAUCAGAAACGCAGCUUUUCCGAAAUGAGAGGGAAACUGAGAGAAAACUGAAAAUUUUAGACAGAACGUAAAAGUUUAGGUCAGGUGGCCAAAAAGUUUAUAUAGUGUCCCAAUGAUAAAUAUAACGACGGUAGUCAUGAAACCCGCCCUAGUAAGUAUUUAUUACGACAGUAAAAUAACAUCAACCGACGUGGUUAGUAAAAAAGCUUUUUGACUUUUUGUAUUCCGAAAACGACGUGGUUAGUUGGGCGCUACACGACAAAAAUUUUAUUUUGAAUACGUGAAAUUACAAGUUACCACGUCGUUUUUUUUAUAUGGACCGACAUUGUUUGGCGAAACUUCGUUACCUGUAUAUUAAUGUACAUUGUUUGUAUGCUUAAUACGUCUUCCGUGUUUCAUGAACCGACGUUGAUUCCUUCUAUUAAACGUCGUUAGGGUUUAUAUAACCGACGUGGAUAUGAAAUUUUUUUUAUAAAUUGAGUUUUUUUCCAUGAUUUCUUCCAGUUUUAGUUUUCAAUUAGGGUUUCAGUUUCAGUCUCACCUCUUAGGAGGCAAUUGUUUGGAUGUUGGUGUGUGUGUAUGUUUGAGUAUCUGAUUCACGAACAUACACACAUCACCAACGUUAAAAAAAAUUUCUCUCUUAAUGAGUAUCUAUGGCUGCCGUCGUCAAAAUUUUAGAAGGCAAUUGUUUGGAUGUUGAUGUGUGUGUGCGUUUGUGCAUCUGAAGAACACAAACACACACACGUCAUCAACUUCCAAAAAAUUGUCUGUCUGACUUCAAAUCUGAGGCUGCCGUCGUCAAAUUUUAGAGGCAAAUUUUUGGAUGCUGAUGUGUUUGUGCUUUUGUGUAUCUCAAAGACACAAAGACACAAACAUCAUCACUUUCUAAAAUAUUGUCUUUCUGUGGUCUGAUUAUGAUGAGGAACAGAGUUCCAUCUGGAAAGAUUUCGAAGCUCUUGGGAUCUUAGGAAAAAUCUGAUUUUGUCGACGGUUUUCUAUAUAAACCGUUGUGGAUAUUCUCAAUUCUUGUCAUUAACUUGAUCUACCGACGUAGGACACAAAAAUACAAUAAAUAAUAAUAAUAAUAAUAAUAAUAAUAAUAAUAAUAAUAAUAAUAAAUUACAAUUAAAAUGACGGUUUAGAUAUAAGUUGAGAUGUAUAAAUUGAAUAAAUACGACAAUCUUAGAAAAUUGAUUAUGUUGGUUGUUUUCUAUAUAAACCAUCGUGGUUGUUCUCAAUUAUUGUCAUUAAGUUGGUCUACUGUCGUAGGAUACCAAAAUCUAAUAAAUAAAUAGUAAAAAAAUUAUAUUAAUAAGACGACAGUUUAUAUAUAAGGGUUGACGUAUAAAGUUAAUAAAUAUGAGGGUAAUUUGAACUUUACGACGUGGUAAAUUUUAUUAUACAAGUUAAUUGAACAAACCAACGUGGUUAGUGUUAAAGAUACCGUCGUAGUACGCUUCAAGAAAUAAGUCGAUAAAUUUAUCUUUACCGUCGUUGUACAUGCAUUUAAUACGGCGGUAGUUUGUAAUUUACUGCCGUGGAUUGUUUUGAAAUUAUACGGCGCCGGAUACGAAAACUUGGUUCUGUUUAUUACGGAAUAAAAACAGCGGCUGUUUUUUAACACCGUCAUCUUUACUUUCUACAUCCGUGGAUUCAUACCUUUUGUCGUUGAUUGUUUUCUCCGAGUUUACUCUGAGAAAAAACUUUUUCAAUAAGACAUCACUUUUUUAAUUAGGUGUGUUGUUUUUUAAAAACACCAAUUGGAACCUCCAUUUUUUAGAUGUUUAAGUUAAUCAUACACGGCGGUGUUAUAAAACCGUCGUCUUUUCAAACACAACGACGGUUUUCCGUCAAACCGUCGUUUUUUUUCUGGUCGUCUUUUUCACUUUUUGUAGUAGUGGGAACUUAUUCUAAGUAUCAAAUAGAAAAAAAGAAAUAACGAUUCAUGUAUUUAAUCAAAACAGAAACGCGGCAAAUGCCCAGAACAGAAAAAAGAAAGAGUUUGGUCAUACAGGAGGGUCACGUCCUUUCUUAAAACAUAUGGAAGCUGCUAGAGAGGUUUAUAAUUUUUGAUCACUUUAAAUCUUUAUUUAUUUAUUAUAUUGUAAUAAUUUCAAGUAUUUCUCAUUUUCUUUUUGUUGGGAAAAUGUAGAAGGGUGAAAAUCCUACAACAUUAGCAAUUGGAACAACAUGCAUAUUCUUAAGGGUAAAAGCAUGUGGAUCAAUGAGGCUGCUGAAAUUAAAGGGGUAAGGAAUACAUAAACCUGUUGACAAUUAACUAUUGACUUGCAUAAUCUGCAAUCCAAAAAAUCAACUGACUGGUCCUGCAAGUUUUUGACGACCCAUUAUUUUAGAUGCUAAUUGUGUACUUUGGUUUUAGCAUCAUAUAAAGGCUUUAUCCAUUACAAAUAGAACUAAUUAAUUAGAAACACAAUGAAGAUAUGUGUCUGAGUUUUCUAAAGUUUCCAUGAUCUUAUAUAUUGAUGACCAAAAAAAGUGCAUGCUAAGAUUGUUUUGAAACAGAGCUGCUGCAAUUGUACUUCUCUUCCUCUUUGGAGGUCCAAUUCCAAACACCUAUUAAACAAAUUCAGUUCUAAUAACCCGUUGUGCUCUUAGAAGUUAAAAUUUAAGCCCAAUUAUAAGGGGGCCAUGUUGCUGGGCAAAUAUUUAUAAUCCCUAUUUUUGGAAGUUUUUUGUUUGUAUUAUUGUUGCUUUCAAGAGAUGCAGAAAAAGAUCUUUACAAGAUCUGUGAGUAUUUUCAAAUUUUCUGCAAUCUGCAUAUCCAAUGAGAUCUAUUCAAUUUUUUAUGUGCCUUUUCCUUUUAUUAUUUGCUCCAAGUUGAUUUUUUUUUUUCCUUUGUGACUGUUUGAUUAGGAUAAUUGGCAUUGCUAGUUUAUGAACACAAUUGGUCGUACUGGCAUACCGUUUACUUCAUUCUUUUUAUGCAUUUAUAUAUAUUGAUUUAUCUUUAUUUUGCUUCUUUUGUAGAAGAAGAUGAAUCAAGAGUAUGAGAAGGCCAAGCAACAAGUGGCAGAGAGUUCAGGAACUCCCCUAGAUCAAGUCACACUCCCUAUCCCACAACAAUUAGAGAUCAUGAUUGUAGAACUUUGUUGCAAAGGGCAAGAGGAUUCGAGGCUUAGGUUCUAGUCUUCGAGUGGAGAGUUCACAUAGUUGUGGAGUUGUCUCGUCUUUUGCUACAGAGCAAAAGGUUGAGGAACUUGAAGGCAAAGUUGGUGAGUUGAAAGGCACAGUAAGCAUCAGGGCACAGUGGGUAAACUUUUGGAUGUCAUUGAGUGGAUGUGAACCCAUGAUGGUCCUCUACCCUCACAUUUAGGUGUUCUGUCCCAGCAUGUUGGUGAUUCUCCUUGUGAUGAUGAUCAAGGUAAUAAUGGUGGUUCACGUAAUGUUUAUGAGGAUCUUGAUGAUAUUGGAAAUAGUCAUUAAGUUGUGUGUACAUCUACAUACUUGAUGGUUUUUGUAUCUAGCCUACCUUGGGGGUACUAGGCGCUUCUGUAUCUAGCCACUUGAUGGUUUUUGUACCUAGCAUACAUUGACGUGUGCUUAAACAGCUAGUAUCUUUUGAAUAGUAAUUAUGAUAUUUCUAUUAAUUUCAUCUAUUUACUAUUUUUCAAAAACUUUAUGGAGUAAAUAAUAUUCUAUUACAAAGCUUGAAAUAUAAAUGAUUAUUUUGCGAUGAAUUAGUUUUCUUCGCUUAAUCGACAAUACCAAUAUCUACAGUUUUGGCGAAUAUUUGUUUCGUCGCCCAUUCUGAAAAUAACCAAACCAACUAACAUAUGCAACAAAUAAAGUACAUCUUUCACGACCAAAACAUUCGUCGCUGAAAUGUUUAGGUGACCAAACAUUUAUUUCGUCGCCAAAUAAUUCUAUGUUCGUUGGAAUUUUUUGUAUUUUGGUGGCAACUCCCUCUCUAUAGGCGACCAAAUGGGUGCUGUUUAGCGACGACAAGUUUGGUCGCUAAAAUAUUUUAGCGAUGAAAUUUUGUUUCGUCGCACAGUACUUUUAGCCACAAGCUUUGAACGACGACCUUGGCGACCAAAAAUAUUCGUCGCUAUUUAUCUUUGGCGACGAAAUUUGGUGUUAUAGCAACCAUCUUGUUUCGUCGCUAAAAGGGAUUUUCCUUGUAGUUUGUGGGCAACACUAAAUUAAUUCCCGAGCAAUACCAAUGGAAGUAGAGAAAAACGAGUAAUACUCAAUUUAUAAGAUUAAUUAAAACUCUUACCAAGUUUCAUGCCAAUAAUAAAGUUGCGAUGAAGUCCAGCGUCAUAUAGUCCUUUCUCUAGCAUUAGAUCUUGGAGGGGAGUGACGGAGUAGAGACAAUGAACGACAUCCCAUUGUUCAAUGAGAGAGGUCAAGAUAAUUGGAGUCAUUUUAGGGUCCUCAGUGGGAAUACUAAGUAUUUUCUUGCUCUUUCUAAUCAUGCAUUCAACGAUUUUGAGAUUUCCUCUAUAUUUGCAGCAUGAUCGCUAGAGCUGUCCAACCCUCAUCAUCUGUUAAUUCCAAGUCUUCCUCUGACAUCAACUGCACCAACUCUUCCACAAUAUGCUCGUGCUCUAGUUCUGUUUCCAAGUGAAGAGCUAUCUAGUUUUUAUAUGGAAUUCUUGCUCUUAUUGCAUCAGGAUGUAGGGUAAGAAACUCCUUUGCUUCAUUCCAAUACCCACGCCACACAGCAUCGAACAACGGCUUAUACAGACUCUCGUCAUAUCCUGCACCAAGUUUGUGUUAAUUAAUUAAUUAUUUCAUACUAGCCCCUUGGCAGAUGCUCACGGAUGUGCCAAUUGGUUUUUUUUUUAAUUUUAUAUUUUAUUUUUAUAAUUAAGAAAAGAUAACAUGGGUGGUUAUGUUCCAUAAAAAUAGGACCUAUUAUAUGAUUUUAUUUUUAUUUUUAUUUUUUUAAUAUGAAAAAAAAUCAAUAUGCCAUAUUAUCCUCAUUUAAUUAAUAAUUUCAAUUCUUAAUGUUUGAAUUAACCAAGGGCAUUUUCUGGUACUUUGAAUGUUUCACCAUUCUCUGCCUUUUGCUUUAUAUAUAUAGAUAACAUAAUCCAUUUAUUUUUUGUUUUAAUAAUUGAAAAAAUUGUACCCGCAUAAUCCAUUAAUUUUUUUUUAUGACUUUGACGGCCACUAUUUGUCGACAUCUUGAGUGGAAUUGCUAGGAAUAUGAUUGCGGGGGUAGAUUGGGUAGUUUUGUGAUUCAUGGAGGAAAUUGGCUAUUUAAAAAUAAAUACAUAAAUAAAGUCAAAGGGGUAAAUUGACACCAUUAGAUUUAAUUUCCACAUUGUUGCACAUGUAAUUUGCAUAAGGAUAUAUAUUUCUUUUUUUGUAUACAGUAAUUCUAGGGAGACCAAAAUGUAAAAGAACGAAAAGUAAAAUGAUUAGGAGUCCUUAUGUAACGACUCGGUCCUAAAUAAAUUGGUAAAUAUUAAUUUAUUCAGAGAAAAGACCAUUUUUGCCCAUAGAAUAUUUUUAUUAGGUUUAAAGUUGACUUUUUGACCGAGAAUGAAAUUGAGAAUUUCUGCUGUACCGUUGCGUAGAGCUCAAUGCGAUGAGUCCGUUGACACGUAAUAGGCUCAAUUUGGAGUUGUAACAAGAAAGUUACGAUCAAAAGAAACUCAGUGGCACAAUCGUAAUUAUUUCGAAAUGGAAUUUUUAUAAAAACAGAAAAUUAUCUCUCUCUCUCUCUCUCUCUCUCUCUCUCUCUCUCUAUCUCUCUCUCCCUCCCGUGUGGGCCCUCCCCCUCCCCGUACACACAAUGGCGACGGUUUUACCGUCGCCACCGCUUGCUCCGGCCACUGCUUGGGGUGGCACCGGUCCCAAAAGGACCGCCAGCUCUUCCUCCUUCCAUCCCUCUCCAUCCCCGACACCGGCAGCCACCACGAUCGCCGGAAAUUGCAGAAACAUAACCGGUUUUACCCAGAUUUUUCGGAGCUCAUUCUGGCGAUUCUGACUACCAAAUCUUGCGAUCUAGCUAUGCUUUCUCAUCUUUUUAAUGUGUUCUAGCUGAUGGUUGGGUAGGAUUUUAUUAAUUUUGAGGGUUGAUGGUUCGAUUUUCGAAUUGAAAAUCAGCCAGUUUUUCGAUCAUUAUUCUGGCCACUUCUGGCCAUUUUUCGGGGUAUGUCCAAGAACAAAAGUGACUCCAAAUUGGGUUUUACACCUAGGAUAGGAAGCUUGGCCGGCUGUUUGGAGUUUUUCCGGCCACAUGCGGUGGCGCGUGGUCCAGGUAAUGGAUCUGCAUUAUGUCCUAAAGUGAUCUCCUGGUCCUCACGAGCACGUUGGUACUUUCGGAUUUCAAUUUGGAGACUGUUUGAGUCUCGAACGGAUUUCGCCUAUUGUGCGUUAUCCGGGUUCAAUAGGUUUGAACCGUUAAAUAGUCUUGAAUUUAAUAUAUGUUAAUCUAGGCAUUUCUAGGAUCGUGUAGGAAUUCACGGAUUGUGAAUCGAAGCCCCGGAUGUUCUGAUUUAAUAACUUAAAAUUUAUGUUUGUAAUAACCGUCUGAUCAUGCGAUCGUGAGCGAUCUGACUGUCUAAUCCAGACCAAACUUGCAGGACGUAUUUUCUAAACCUUGUGGAUCCCAUAAGAACUUUCGGAUAGUAAAACUGAGUUCGUGGGCCCUGUGGGCCUGUUUGACUAAAUUUGGGUAGUUUGACCCUUGGUUGACUGUGAGUCUUCUGAGGUAGUUUUACCUUCCUAGGGGGAUUAUAAUGACUCUAGUGACAGGUCUUGAGCGUUGUUGAGCUAUGUUGACUAGGUUGAGAUUUUAGAGUGUUUAUUAUUAUCGUAAGAAGCUCCUGGAUAUUAUUUGAAUAAUUGAAAUUAUGGAAUGAUUGAGUAUGGGUUAAUUGAGUUGGGUGAGUUAUGAAAGUGAGCUUUGGGUUCGGCUAUGACUUUAGUGAAUGGACUUUAUUUUUAAAUAAAUAGCAUGGCUUUGUGAUGGAAUUUUAUGCAUAUGAAUUUAAUGGUUUAUUGAAAUUCAUUUUAUAUUUAAUAGUUAAAUUUAGCAUUUUUAGUAAAAUAUUGGUGAUGUGUGGGGUACUUAGGAUGUUGUUGUGAGGUUGUGAAAAGAAAAGAGUUUAGAAUGUCAGUUUGAAGUGCUAUUCGCACUACCUUAUGUACCUCCCCGGAUAUUGAUUACACUGUGUAAGUGCCGUCCUGUGAUUAUUAGGUCCCACGUGGCAUAGGAUUUUUCAGCGUGAGGACAGACCUCAUACGUGGCGUUGGAUGUCCCGGCGUGUGGGGAGAUGAUAUGAUUGUUAGGUCACACGUGACGUAGGAUUUUCUGGCGUGCUGACAGACCCCAUACGUGGCAUUGGAUGUUCCGGCGUAUAAGGAGAUUUUAUGAUUGUUAAGUCUCACGUGGCAUAGGAUUUUCCGGCGUUGAGACAGGUCCCAUACGUGGCGUUGGAUGUUCCAGCGUAUGGGGAGAUUUUGUGAUUGUUAGGUCCCAUGUGACAUAGGAUUUUCCCACGUGAGGACAAACCUCAUACGUGGUGUUGGAUAUUCCGGCGUAUGGGGAGAUGAUAUGAUUGUUAGGUCACACGUGGCGUAGGAUUUUCCGGCGUGCUGACAGACCCUAUACGUGGCGUUAGAUGUUCCGGCGUAUGGGGAGAUUUUAUGAUUGUUAGGUUUCAUGUGAUGUAGGAUUUUCCAGCGUUGAGACAGGCCCCAUACGUGGCGUUGGAUGUUCCAGCGUAUGGGGAGAUUUUGUGAUUAUUAGGUCCCACGUGGAGUAGGAUUUUUCGGCGUGAGGACAGACCCCAUACGUGGCGUUGGAUGUUCUGGCAUAUGGGGAGAUGAUAUGAUUGUUAGGUCACACGUGGCGUAGGAUUUUUUGGCAUGCUGAUAGACCCCAUGCGUGGAGUUGGAUGUUCUGGCGUAUGGGGAGAUUUUAUGAUUGUUAGGUCUCACAUGGCGCAGGAUUUUUCGACAUUGUGACAGGACCCGCCACGGAAUUUCCCGAAGACGUAAGCGGACCCCGUCUUUGAUCCGACAUCAUCCUGAUGUCGGGCCCACCUACUAAGAAAUCAAGACUUUCUACCAAAAUUUUGGCAAAGUCUCCCCUGUAAUUUAAACAAUCCCAACAAAAUUUACUCAACCUGCAACAUACCCACAAAAUAAUAAUCCCAACCAGCAGCAUGCUUUCAUACAUCUACAAAUCAUACUAGAGUGGCCUCCGGCCUCACAAGUAAAAUCUACCAUGGCAAUACAGAGCAUCUACUGAAUUUAGAUUACAAGAACAGUUGGAUAGAAGAAUUUACACAGUUUCUAACUAGAAAGAUGCACAGGUUUCGCUUCGUACACCACUUGCACUUCCAGGAGCGACUAUUGGCUGGGGGGCGCAAAACAGAAAACAUGUGAGUGGACAAAACCAGAUUGGCAGUUAAAAACAAUAUAAUAACCCCACCAGGUAAAAAUAAUGCUCAAGUCAUGCAGGUUCACAAUUCAAUAAGAAAUUACUCAAACAUGCUUCAGUAAAACUCAUCUAAAAACAUCAGUUAUCUCUUUCAAAAAGAACCCAAUUCUCUCAAACUUACCACUCCUGUCAAACUAUUAAACAGACUCCAAUUCCUUUCACACUCAACUAUACAUAUUCAAUAAAUAUACAUAUAAAUAUAUAUAUAUAUAUAUAACUAUAAAUAGCUAUACGAUAUACUCAUCACACCACCUAGGUACCGGGGAAAACAAUCCAACUGGGGGAUCGUUUGACUAGUCCGCAGGAUUUCCAGGUGUUAUCCUGCGUCUAGGGAUGAGCGGUCCAACCAGGGGACGAAACUCCAAAGCUCACACACCGGAACAUCCAACGCCAUGUGUAGCUCUCAAACUAUGUCCUACGAGCGCAGACUGGGUCAUCACACACCGGAACAUCCAACGCCAUGUGUAGCUCUCAAACUAUGUCCUACGCGCGCAGACUGGGUCAUCACACACCGGAACAUCCAACGCCAUGGUGAUGACCCUAAACUCUAUACACAGUCUUUCCGUACGCCGGAACAUUCAACGCCACAUACGGAAAGUGUCUCACCCGCCGGAACAUCCAAUGCCGCGAGUGAGACUCGUAACUGGGGAAGGUACUUACGUAGUGUAAUCACACAACUUCUCUCCAAAAUCACAUUCUUCCAUAACACUCUUCAACAUCCCAAAUAUCUCAUCUAUAAAGAAUAUAUAUAUAUAUAUAUAUAAUAUACUUCCCCACAAUCCCUAUAAAAGCACUCUCAAAACCCAAAAUGCCAAUUGCUAUACAACCAUCAAAAUUAACUCAUGAAUAUAAUAUAUAAAAUCCAUAAGCCAUUAAAACAUUAUGCAAAAUCUUUCAUCAAUUAAAACCAUGCACAUGAUUAAAACAAAGUCCACGCACAAGUAUUCCCUCGCUGCCUGACCACGUGAAGGUCCUGCUUGCUGCGUACGUGCAGUCGAAAUACCUAUUUCGAGAUACAAACCGUUAAUUAAUAUAAAAACCACGUCUAAGCGGAAAUUACAAAUUAAAAGCUUAACUCCCCAAAUUUCCCAUACGUGCACGUUGAGGAAGGCAUCCUAAGGUUCGAUUACAGGUUUAGGAAGCGUUCACAAUUUUCACGGUUAUCGCUAACCCGCAAACUUUGCAUUUUUGAAUCGGAACAUCCGGGGCUCCGAUCCAGAAUUCGUGAAGUCUCAUACGAUCCUAGGAAUACCUAGAACGACAUAUUUUAAUUCGGGAAAAAUCUAACGGUCGGAACCUAUCGAACCCGGAUAACGCACAAUAUGCGAAAAUCCGUUCAAUAGUCAAACGGCAUCCGAAUUGAGAUCCGCGAAUUCCUAUACGCUCGUGACAACCUAAGGAUCUCAUCGGGCUAAUUUACAUCCUCCCCAGCCUCGCCCACGCGCCACCACAAGCGCCGGCAGCGCGUGGGUGUGCAGAGUAAUUUCGGCGACGGAAAAACUCCACACCCGAGCUCACCCUUCCUACCCUAGCUUCUACUCAAGGUCAGGAUCACUUCAUUCAACUACGAGAAGCUCCAAUUCGGCCGGCAACUGGCCGAAAUUUCAUUUUGAAAUUCGGCCAAAAACCUAGGUUUUCUAAUCGGUUUUCUAGAUUCAAAAUCGAUCAAAACCUAUACCAAUAACAGCUAGAACUCGAAAAAUGGAUGAGAAACCAUACCUCACCCGUCUGAAAUAGUGAUUGGAGGAGAGAGAACGAGCGACUGGAAGUUCAGAUGAGAAUCGCCCUGAAAUUCACGUUUUCCGGCGACGAGGCGGCGGCUGGCGGCUGGAGGUGGACUGGGGAACAUCGGCGAGGUCUGGCCGGUUGUUUUGGGUCCGGCCUCGGGGCUGGCCGUGGCCUGUGGCGGCGGCUGCGUGAUUUGCAGUCGGAGGAGGAGAGAAAAAUCGACGCGGGAGAGAGAGAGAAUCGGGAGGAAGAGAGAGAGAGAGGGAUAAAACUGGAAAAAUCUGAUUUUUACUCUAUCCCUUUUUGAAUAUUUACAGUUUUGCCACUGACAUUAUUUUGCCCGUAACUUUUUCGUUACAACUCCGAUUCAAGCCUACCGCCUGUCUACGACUUCGUCUCAGUACCACCUUCCCAGAAAUACCAUCCACGGUCCCAAAAUCCUUCCGAAGAAGAAAGUGACCAAUUUACCCCUAUCCCAAAGGUAAAUUCGUAACUUUAUUUAAAUCGAUUAAAAUAAAUAUUUAAUUUGGAGUCAGGGUGUUACACAUUGAGACAAAUCUCAUACAUGGUGUUGGAUGUACCGGCGUAUGGGGAGAUUAUGUGAUUAUUAGGUCUCACACGUGUCGUGAGAUUCUUCCGGCGUGUGAGACAGGCCCCAUACAUGGCGUUAGAUUUUCUGGCGUAUGGGGAGAUUAUGUGAUUAACAAGGAGAUGAAUAAAGGUUUUGUAUGUGGUUGGAAUCAGAAUUUUGUAGAAACAACUACGUGUGGCUUGAUCUCUCAGUAAGGGUACAUAGGCAGUCUAGGGUAGUGCCUAGGUGCAGCCGCGAGUUAAACUUUUAUUGAGUGUUGUGCGGACCUUGUUGUUUGGUUUCGCUUCUGUUUAUGUGAGGGCCGAAGGUCGAGUUUGUGAAUUGCAUGAAAUUAUAUUGUGUGUGCUGCCUGUUGGGAUAUUAAAUUGUGAAUUUUAUGCAGGUUCAAAUUUUUGGGAUUGUUCAAAUUACAGGGGAGACUCUUCCAAAAUUUGGGUAGAAAGUCUCGGUCUUUAGUAAGUGGGCUCGGCAUUUGGAUGAUGUCGGAAUCUCCACAGGAUUCGUCUCGAGUUCCGGAAAAUUCGGGGCUGGUCCUGUCACCUUACAUCAGUGCUAGUAUAAGCAACAGAAAUUGUGGUCUUCUCACAGAAAGAGAACCAAGUAUACCCGGGGGUUGUAUGUUGAGGUUCAAGAUUUGAACUGGGGACUUACUUGGAAGAAAUGGUUUUGGUUUGAACUCUUUUGCCAAAGUAUCCCAAGUGCAUUUGGCUGAACUGGCGUUUCUAAUGAGGGAAAAAGCUUCCCGCCCGCACGAAAUUUGGAUUUUAUGCAAAGCCGUGGCAUUCUUCUUCCUCCAAGCUUUGAACUUAUCAUCAACUUCUUCUUCUUCUUCUUCUUCCAUUACAUCCCAAAAGUCUUGAGCCAACAAGUAAGUUUUGACCAAUACACUCCAAUCCACAAAGUUACGGCCAUUCUUAGAUGGAUCUGCGUAGAACUUCCACAACAGCUGCAUCUGCGUAGAAGGCCAUUCUUAGAUGGAUCUGACUAAGGGCUUACUUAGGAGAGGCUUUGCAAUUUCUGUUUUAUUUACUAUACCUACUUGAGUGAAGAACCACUUAUUAAAGCAUUGGGGGUCCGCGAAGGGUGGUGAGCUAAGAAGCAUGGAUACGCCAAUUUAGUGGCGUAUCCCGUAUCGGAUACUCGUUUGGAUACGAUACGCUUCGGAUACGGUUCGAUACGCAUUGGAUACGUAUCGCAGUCAACGGAUACGUUAGUUGACUAACGGAUACGAGUAUCUGACUUUUUGGAUACGAACCUCCGGCCGAAGUUUGCCGUUGAGGAGCCCCUGGCGCUGCAUGUGAAGAGGUAGGGGGAAGAAGAAGAAGAAGAUGUCAGACUGGAGGGAGGGAGAGAGGGAGGGAGAGAGAGAAGAAGAAGAAAAAGAUGUCAGACUGGAGGGGGAGAGAGAGGGACAAAGACAGAGAGACAGAGAGCGAGAGAAGAAGAAGAUGUUAGACUGACAUAAUUGUUAUUAUCUCAAGUGACGACGUCGUUUGCUAAAACAAGAUUUGUAAUAUAUGUUUCCUUUUACAUAGAUCUGUUUAUGGGUUUGGGUCUUAAGCAAUAGCAUUAAAAUGGGCUUUGGGUAAUGAUAUAUUUGGGUGAAAAAAGCUAUACAUGCCUAAAAAUAUAUAGAAUUAGAAAAGAAAGUCCAAAAUACUACACUAUAUUUAUAAUUUAUAAUUUAUAAUUUAUUUAAAAUAUAUUUUAGGUUAUAUAUAUUUAUUAAUAUAUAUUUAUAAUAACCGUAUCCAUGACAUAUCGUAUCCAAAUUUUUGGAAAUUUACCGUAUCCCCGUGUCGUGUCGUAUCGUAUCGCCGUAUCCGUAUCCGUGUCCGUGCUUCUUAGGUGGUGAGUCUUUUUUUUUAUUUUUUUUAAAUUUUAUCAGAAGAGUCUUUUAAUUGGUAUGGGCCCCAGCUGGUCCGUUUCUGUCUUGUUUCAACUCAUUCACACUUGCUUCUGUCUGACCAAGACUUUAAGAUAAUCUUCUAGUUCUGAGACCCCGUCAAGCAUUAUUUUACUAUUGCUACGGUACAGAGGUUUUACCAUGGUGGCGCCUUUGACUUGAUCUGUUCGUUGCUCGAUCUUUGUAUGUAACGGGCACAGCCCAAAACAAAGUCAAACAACUUCAAGACUUACACCGAAUUCUUUUCUCACACGCUUAUCUUCAUCGAGAAUCACAACAUAUUAUCAGGGAUAUGAGGAGAGGAGGUGAGGGGAGCGAAGCAAAAGCUUAUCCAACAAUUAUAUCUUCACAAGAACAAAUAAAACAGAUAUUGAAUUUUCAGUUUUAUUAUAGGAUGCCAAACACAUACAUGGCAUGGACAAUGCAUACAAGCUUCUUAGAAGUUACAACAUUACGAAACUUAUACAUUACCACUUACACGUACCAUCAAUAAGUUAUGUCCAUGAUUUCACUUUCCUAUCAAAUAUUCCUCUUCCAAGAAGAAGAAUUUAUGCCCUUGAUUUCACUUUCCUGUCAAAUAUUCCUCGUCCAUAAGUAGAAAUGUACAUCUCAACUAGAAGAGGAAAUUGCAUCCAAAUAAAUAAGGUGACUGGAACACUAGCAACGAAAAUCAUUGGAAUAACAAUCCAUGAUUCUUCAUGGAUCACAAUGAAAAGGGCAGAAGAAAAGGCAACCAUCAUGUUGGCAAUAGAGAUGAAUAAAGUGGAAAGGCCUAUUAUCAUCUUUGUUGGCAAGGAUUUGAGGAAAUCAUGUUCCGCAUAACGUGAUGUAAGGAUUCCUAAAAACAUCAACACCGAAGUUGUAGAUGAAAAGAGCGAUAUAGCAUCUGAAACUAUAAAAGUCAUAAAUAAAUUUUUAUGCAAGAAUAUUGGAAAGCCUGUUUCUCCGUUGUUUCCACCAGGAACUGUGAAUGCUGCAGCAAACAUGAUGGUAAUAAUGAGAGCACCUACAACUGUACAAGAAGUUGCAGUUUCUUUCAUCCAUCUUUCUCCCUCCUUCACCAAUUCCUUGUGGAUCCUUGUAAACAGCUCACGUGGCGUCAUAUUGUUGUUAUUAUAAGAUUCUUUAAUCCGGGGUAAUACAAUAGUCUCGACCUCCUACAUUUUUGUUGAACAAAAAGAUUCAUAUGAGUAAAAGAUUAUUACUCUACAUUUUUGUUUAUUUUGCUGUAGUUUUCGAUUAGAAAAUGCGUUUGAUGCAUUAGUUUUUAAUAUUGGAAUGAAUAAACUACUUAUGUAACUGAGCUGACCACCUUUUUGUAACGAAAACUUGCUCUCAAUACAUGAAAUGACUCAUUUCAGCCCAAACAAUUUAUUUUCAUCUAUGUUACAAUGUGUAUAAGUUGAAAAAGCAUAAAUUAACUCCGAUUUUCUUUAAUUUUUUUAAGACAGUAUCCGUUUAUCUGCAGAUGCAAUGUAAUGCAAAUACACAGUAUCGGUCUAUUUGUUUUACAGCAAAUAAUGUAUGAAAAGUCAUAUUCAAUAUGGAAAAGAAAAACAAAAUGUUCACAGUAUAUAUAUACAUAUGACAUGUAAUGUUAGAUGCCUUACCGAUUUAUUAUUUUAGCUAGUUUUUAGCAGAAUGACCUUUGAGCUGUAAUUGAAAGCAGACCAUGCCGAUUAAUAAAUUACUAUAGAGUGUGCCCAAGGCCGAUUCCCACAAUUUACAAACAAAAAAGGGUCUUUAGAAGGGCAUAUAUAUAGGAAAGCUAAUUUAUAAGAGAGAGAAAAAAAAAACUCUGAAUUAUAUAAAAUAUGUUCUGACCUUAAACCAUUGCAGUUCUCUCUGCAUUUGCAAAGCUGCACCUGAGAUAUUAUCGAGCUUUGCCAAUGGGGAGAGCAUCCCGGCCACAUGUAGCAUGCAAUCGUUAGACAUACACUACUACAAAAAGCGAAAAAGACGACCAGAAAACAACGACGGUCUAAGUGAAAACCGUCGUGGUUUUUAAAAAGACGACGGUUCUAAAAACACCGUCGUGUAAUACCACCUUAGACAACUAAAAAUGGAUAUUCAAAUGGCUGUUCAAAAACAACGACGUACAUAAUUAAACAACCGACGUCUAUUUGAAACAGAUUUCCGCAGUGUAAAAUCAAAGCAAACAAAGAACGGCAGAAGUUAUGAAUUGACCGACGUAGAAAGUAAAGACGACGAUUUCAAUAAAAGCCGCCGUUUUUACUCAUAAAAUAACACGACGAGGUUUUCGUAUAAGACGCCGUAUAAUUACAAACAAAUCCACGGCUUUAAAAUACAAAAUAAUCUUAACAGAUGACACAGAUUUGCAAUCAGAGAGACAAUUUUUUGGAAGUUGAUCAACGUCGUUGCAAAUUUGCAAUCAGAGAGACAAUUUUCAACGACGGUUAUAUUAUACCUAACGACGUUUAAAAACAAAUCAACGUCGCUCAACAAAUAUAUUACGUCGUCUUAGUCUUACUUAAGACGACGAAAAACGACGACAGUAGUACAAAAACAGUCGUUGUUUUUAUAUUCUUAUUUUAUUUAAAUCUGUCGUGUUAGUUAAAAACGACGGCAUAACAAAAAACCGUCGUUUUGUUUCAAACUGAAUUAAUUUAAAAUUUCUUCAGGAAAGCAAAAUCUAUUUAUAAUUUCCUCGGGUUAGUAAUAUUGCGUCGUGUUAGUUUACAAAUUCUAGAACAUUAAUUUCCCUCAUUUUAAAUUUCCUCUGGAAAGAAAAAUCUAUUUAUCACGCUUUGUAAUUGAAAACUAAAACUGAAAGAAUUUUGGAAAAAAAACUCUAUUUAUAAUUUAAAAAUAAAAUCCACGUCGGUUGUAUUACACUUAACGACGUUUAACAAAAUAAUCUACGUCGGUAAUUAUAAAUCUACCGCCAUCUUACCUUAAUAUAGACGACGAGAAAAGCAUUGACAAUGUCUUCAUCAUAUCUCCCAGCAACUACUGAUUCGAUUGCUCAUGCUUUAGAGGCCAUCUGAAGCCAUUUCUAUUCUUUAUCGCAUUCUUGAAACCCAUCUUCUUCUUCUGAAGCUCUACGGAUAAAGGAAGAGGCUAUCACAAAUCUGACGGAUCUUCUUAGUCAAAAAAAUCAAGCAGAGGAUCAGGCACAUCUGAUCUUCAGAUUUCCCUGAGAAGCGAACUUUCCUUCGACAGCGAGUGGAGGCCAGGCUUGCAUCUCUUUUGAUGGAAAGCAAGGAGUAUUCAGAAGCACUAAGUGUCCUAUCAGGCUUGAUCAAGGAAGUGAGAAGGCUAGUUGACAAGCUUCUUCUUGUCAACUAGCCUAAAUGUAAGCUCAAUUUCUCUUUGAGAAAGACAUCCAAAUUAUUGUCUUUGAGAUGUGAGAGACAGUGUCUCUGAGAGAGGAAGAACUUGGAACCCUAAAUGUAAACCGCGAAAAUGAAUGAAAGCGACAAAUUUAUAGAAUAAAUUUUUAAAACCAACGGCGGUCCUUACCAAAAAACCGCCGUUUAAAUUGUAAAAUCAACGUCGGUAUUACUGACGUAUAUUACAGAACUCCACGUCGGUACAUUAAUAAUCAUGACGUCUUAAAUAAUCUACCAUGACGCGAGUUAUUACUUAUGUACUUUAAUUUUUGAGUUUACUACGACGGUACCUACAACACUACUGUCGUAUUUAUUUACCACGUCCGAAGUUAAAUUUACCGUCGUAUUUUGUACUUUAUACGUCGUAGUUAUAUGUAACCGCCGUAUUAUUUUUUUGAAAUGGUUUUAUAUGUAAGCAACUUUUCGUCUACUUGACUUACACAUUCGUUGUUUUUAUAUUCUUAUUUUAUUUAAAUCUGUCAUCCAAAAAAGAAACUUUACAUAUUGCAGAAUAUUAAUUUCCUUCGUUUUAAAUUUCCUCCGGAAAAAAAACUCUAUAUAUAACGCACUGUAAUUGAAAAAUAAACUGAAAGGUCACGGGAAAAAAAAUUCUAUUCAUAAUUUAAAAAUUAAAAUCCACGUCGGUUAUAUUAAACCUAACGACGUUAAAUGAAAUGAUUCCACGUCGAACGAAAAAUAUUGCGUCGUGUUAGUUAAAAACGACGUAGUUAAAUGUAACCGCCGUAUUAUUUUUUUGAAAUGGUUUUAUAUGUAAGCAACUUUUCGACUUACACAUGCACUGUUUCCAAACCCAAUUAAAAAUUUCAAUCUCCCAGAGAAACCUUUUCGUCUUUUUUCCUUGUCAGAGCAUUGUCAGAGUUUCUCAUCGUCUUCCUCUCGUCUUCUUCGUCGUCUCUGAACUUAAACAUCGAUCAUCUUCCUCUUGCUUUCAUUGCACGCAAAAGGUAAGCUUUCAUUUUCACUAUUUUGGUUACUGUUUUGCAUGCUCAUACGUUUUUUGUUUGAAAAAUCUUUUUACCUUUUUUCUGGCCAAAAUCAUUUUACUUCUUUCCAAGUUUGAUAAAAUAUACAGACAAAGAGGGAAAGUUUCCAACUUUGAAGACAACUACCUCAACUAAAUAAGACGACGGUAGACCACGACGGUUCGUCAGUUGUUCUAGCGUCGUCUGAAAAUUGACAAAGUUGUUUUUAAAAUAAUAGUCUUUUUUUAUAUGCUUGUUUAAUUGCAGGUUUGAUUUCUCUGAACAAUGGUUUUUGUUUUUCCCUUAUUUGAUAAAAUAUAAAGAAAAAGAAACUAGGGUUGGUAUCUAAUAUAGACGACAAAAUAUCUUAUUGUUUUACGUCGUGUGAAUGUUAAUACCACGACGGUGUAUUACUAUUGACGUCGUAUGAACAUAAAUACCACGACGUUAUAUAAAUAAUAGUUUUACCACGACGGUGUAUUACUAUUGACGUCGUGUGAACAUAUAUACCACGACGUUAUAUAAAUAAUGGUUUUAAACAUUUAUUACGUCUGAGAUUAUUUCAUUGCGUCGUCUAAAAUCAUAUCAUACGUCGUAUUUUUUUAAUACCGUCGUUUGUGUUCUUAAUGUUUUCCUGAAAAAUUUUCACUUGCAGUUUUGUCUGUUAAAAUGGUUUCUCAACAACAAACUAAGGAUUCUGGCUCCAAGAAGCUUGGAAUGGUAGCUCCUCAAGACAAGUCUUCGAAGGAGAUGAAGUCUUCGAAGAAGAUGAAGUUUGCUUCAUCAUCUGCUGAGACAGAACCAACCAGCCAGACAACAAUCUCUGAUGAUUCAAAGACUGGUCGAGGUAUGAGCACAAUGCCUCGUGUUGUGAAGAGAAAGCUUCAGAAACUGAGGCCAAUUGUUGAGUACAAUAAAAGGGGAAAAGGUGUUGGCCAAGCACAUAUUGAGAUGCAGUCGUAUAUUGGUGUGUUGGCACGCUCCAGGAUCCCACUUGUGGACAAGAAAUGGUCCCAAAUCCCCAAGGAUAUAAAGGAGCAGAUUUGGGAAGCAGUUGACAUGGCUUUUGUCGUAGGCCAAGGGGGCAAGACCUCUGUUUUAGCUUCUGCUGCCAAGAAAUGGAAGGAUUUCAAGUCUACACUAACGAGGCAUUAUAUCCUUCCAUACACCAAUGACAGGGAGAAAUUAAGCCAACCCCCUGAAACAUAUAAAUUCAUAGAGAAAGCACAAUGGGAUGCCUUUGUAGCUUCAAGGCUAUCCAAAGAUUUUGAGUCUGUGCAUUCUCAACAUGCACAGAUUAGGGAGAAACUCGAGUACAAUCAUCGAUUGUCUCGAAAAGGAUAUGCUGGAUUGGAGGAUCAAUUGGAGGAAACCAUGCCUGGGGUAGAAAUUGAUCGAUCUACCUUAUGGAAGAGAGCUAGACAGGACAAACAUGGUAACAUCCCUGAUCCAAAGGUGGUAGAGAAAGCAAAAUUAAUUGUAAGCCUACUAUCACUCUGUUUUAAAUUUUUAUUAAACUGUGAAUUAUUCUUAUUACGUCGUAUGUUAUAUUUUUCGUCGUGUGAAUGAUAUUACCACGUCGAAAAGUUUUUAAAAACGUCGUUAAAGGUCUAAAUAGGAAUCACUACUAUGUUUUCUGUAAUUAUAGCAUAAGACGUCGGUGGUUCAUUUUCGCGUCGUGUGAAUGAUAUUACCACGUCGAAACUUUUUUAAAAACGUCGUUAACGGUCUAAAUAGGAAUCACUACUCUGUUUUCUUUAAUUAUAGCAUAAGACGUCGGUUGUUUAUUCAUUUCGUCGUUUUAAAUAAAUAACCACGUCGGUAUAACUACCAUCGUGAUAAGUUAUAAUAACGUCGGUUUAUACGUUAUUGCGUCGUGUGAAAUUAUAUAAUACGUCGUUUGUACAUAAAUAACCGUCGUGUGUUUUUUUGUUUAUCUUUGUUUUAGGAUGAAUUGCAGAAACAAGUCUCGGAAGGCAAAGUCAGAGUAGAUGGCAGCAAUGAUGUGCUGACCAUGGCUUUGGGCCCCGAGCAUCCAGGCAGAGUGAGGGGAGUUGGUGCUGGUGUUUCCCCAAGGCAAUAUUUCAAUUUGCCCAAACCACAGAGGGUGAGCUUUGACGACCUUUUGAAGGACAAUUUAAGAGUUCUCCUUCAAGAAGAGACUAAAAAGAUGGAGGCUAAGGCAAGGGAAGAGGCCUUAAGGAUGGAGGCUAGGACAAAACAAUUGGUAGAGGCUGAGAGGGAGCAUUUCCUGAGUCAGCUUUCCCAAUUAAUUCCCAAUUUUGAUCCAAGCAUGCUUAAACCAAGAAUUAGCCAAAGCCCCAAAAAUCCAAUGUCUGACAAAGCUAGCUGCUCUGGAGGUGAUGUGAGAUCCCUACAUUUGGAGGAUGAUACUGCCAAAAUGGGGAAACAUCAGCCAGAUGAAGAGAAGGAAGAAGAAAAAAGAGAUGAAGAGAAGGAAGAAGAAAAGGAGAAAGAAGAUGAAGAAAAGCAUGACGACAAGGUAUGUUCACAUAACUUUGCCUUUUUUAUUUGUUUUUCAAAAUUUCAGACGUCGAUAUUUUUAUUUAAUCCGUCGUUUGUUUACAACUUAGACGGCGGAAUUUUUUUAAGACGUAAUAAAAUAUUUAAACGACGGUUUUUGCACCGUCGUUUAAAUGGUUUCAGACGACGCUUUAUUCAUAAAACCGUCGUCUUUAUUGAAUUACCACGACAGUUUUUUCACCGUCGUUUAAAUACUUUUAAGACGACGUUUUAUUCCUUAAACCGUCGUCUUUAUUGAAUUACCACGUCAUUUUUUUUAUUUCUUUAAACAGGUUAUUGAAGUUGGUGAUUAUUCAAAUAUGGAGGCGCCAUCUUCUUUAAAAACCCUUUGUCGUUUUGUGGAAACGACACUCCUGCCUGAGGAUAAGACACUCCAAUUUACAAUUGAUAAGGAGGUGUUUGGUGGUGAGCGCGAUACCUUCCUCCUGCCUGAAGAUAUUACACAAUUUGCAGGCAUGGAAGAAAUUUGAGCUACUGUAUUGGCUGUAUAUAUGAGGUUUGUACUUCUAAAAUAAUACCUCGUUGGUUUAUAUAUUGUGUCGUCUUAACUAACUAACCACGUCGUCUUAACUAACUACCGUCGUGAUAAAUAUAUUAUAACGUCCUCAUCUAUUUCAGUACGUCGUGUGAAAUAUUAUAAUACGUCGUUUUUUUAUACAUAACCGUCGUGUUUUUUUGUGCUGACUUGUUUAUAUUAUUUUAUGUAUUUAGGUACUUACACGAUGUUUUGAAACAAGCCAAUAUGUGCAGCAUGGUUGGCUUUAUCGACCCUGCUACAGUUAGUGCCAACUCUGGCACAAUAACUGAAAGAUCACGACUGGUAGCAGCUCGACUUCAGAAGACAGAAGGUGAACAGAUUUUCAUGAUGCCUUACAAUCCAGGGUUAGUCUCCUUAGGAUUUUGUUUUUAUGAUUUUCAAUAAAUGACAGCUUAUAAACUAACCAUGUCGGUGUUUUAUUUUAUUUAGUCAUUUGAAACUACUAACCACGUCGGUAUUUAUUUAUCGUCGUGAUAAAUAUAUAAUGUCGUCGUUAUCUACUUUAUUUCGUCGUGUGAAAUACUAUAAUACGUCGUUUUUGUAAAUAACCGUCGUUUUUAUAUUAAUUUUGUGCAGCCGUCAUUGGAUCUUGCUGAUUGUAAGAGCAAAGAAGGAGGCCGUCUAUUUUCUGGAUCCUCUGCCAGGUCAUCGUGUGGUCGACGAAGAGGCAAAAAACAUCGUGAACAGUGCUUUAAAAAUAUAUAAUACCCACAUAGCCCGAGCAGGACGUAAAAAUGUAAUUUGGAAAACUCUCUCAGGCACACCAAAGCAACCCAGCAAUGUUGAAUGCGGGUAUUAUGUGAUGCGUUUCAUGAGGGACAUCAGCAUGGAUCCUUCCUUGGGGUUUGAGUAUAAGGUAAGAAGAAAUUACCUUCAUACAUUUCACGUCGUUUUUUGUAUUAUCAACGACGGUCAUGUAAAAUUAACGUCGUUGAAUGGAUAUACUACGUCGGUUAUGAAAAAUAUCGUCGUCUGUGAUUGAAUUUCUUUUUAUUUAUAAACCCUAAUAGUCAUUGUUUAUGCAGUAUGCCAAGGGAAACCAGGAAGCUUCAUACCCCCAAGAAGCCAUUGAUGAAGUCCGGAAUGAAUGGGCAGAGUUUGUUUUCCAAAUUAUUAAACAGGGCAAUUAUUGAACACUUGAUAUUUAUGUAUAAUGUACAAAUUUUCUCUAUAAUAUGUAAUGUAAAAAUUUGUUGAGGUUUUCUUAAAUUAAAAAAAAAACAAACAUACAAAUUGCUUAACCGACGUGUAAUACUUUUCCAACGACCUAAUAAAGUCAAAAACCGUCGUAUUUUGUUGUUUCGUGUUUUAAACAAAUACGACGUAAAAAUAUAGUUAGACGACGUUCUUUGAACAAUUGAGUCGUUUAUGGUUUACAACAUCUUCAAUUUCUUAAGGGUUCAGGGUAUCAUCGACGACGUUUAUGUAACGACAGCGGUUAAGUCGUGGAAUAUAUAUUUUACGUCGUAUAGUUAAAUAGCCGCCAUGGUUUCUCAUUUUAACGACUUAGUAGUCUAUUACAAUUUACAACGUCUACAAUUUAUUAACACCGACGUGGUUUGUUGUUGUGGUAAGAAUAUUUUAUUAUUUUUAUAUCAAAAUAUUCAAAAUAAAUUUAAAAUAAAUCAGAAAAUUGAAAAGUCAACUCCUAUGAAGUCAUUGAUAUAUUUUCUUCCACAUAAACCUUGAAAAAAUUCAUUUUGAAUAACAAAAAUUUAAAAUGACCAUCCAAAACAAAAUUGUUUUGAUGAGUCAUAAAAUCACUUCUAGUUUUAUGGUUUAGGGUUUAGAGUCUAGGGUUUAGAGAUUAGGGUUGUUAUUUAUUGGGGUUUAUUUUUAAAGUAUAAGUUUUGGGUAGUCUAGGGUAUAUGUUAGGCUUUAAAACCAUAAAACCUUUUAUAAACUUAAUUUUUUAAAUUGUAUAAUUUAGUUUUAUGGGUUUAGGGUAUUAAUUUUUAACGACGGUGGUUGCGUCGUGGAAUACAUAUUUUACGUCGUACAGUAAAACAUACGACAUGGUUUACGCUUUAAACGACGUCAUUUUAAUAUGUAAGUCGGUUUAUAUAAUUUACAACGUCUUUAAUUUCUUAACACCGACGUGGUUUUUCAGUCGUCGUUAUAUAAAAAAUUCAAAAUUAAUUUAAAAUUAAUCCGAAAAAUGAAGCUUCAAAAUGAACGGCCUUACGUUCUUAAUCCGAAAAAUGAAGUUUCCGUCGUGGAAUAUUAAAUUUACGUCGGUACUUGUAGAACUUUCGCCUUGGUUUUUCUUUCGACGUUUUAAAACGCGCGCGCUCUAAAAAUUUUCGCGCGACCUAAAUUUUUUUAGAUUUGGCUCUUAUUCUUAUACUUCGAACCUUGAAUCCUAAAAUUUCAGAUUUCGCGCGACAUAACAUUUCGCUCUCUCACUUCUGCUCUAAUUAAAAGUUGCACUCUCCAGGCUCCGUCGAAUCUGUGAGCUCGUCCAACCUGUAAGUACAAACCCUAUCUUCCCCUUGUAAAUUCAUUGAAUGAUAUUAGGUUGUUUUGUUAAAGGGUUUUAUGUGUAUGCUUUGCGAUCUGUUAAUAAUGUGCUUAAAGGUAUGGGUUCAUGGAUUUUCUGUUUAAUGGGUUCAUGGAUUACAUUAUCUGUUAUGUUGAAUUGGGAAUGGAUUUAAUUUUGUCGUAUCUUUUAAUCACCCUAUGUUAUGUUGAAUUGGGAAUGGAUUUAUUGUUUUCAUGCUUGGUUUCAUGUAUAUGUUGGUUUCUUGCUUGGUUUCAUAUAUAUGUUGUGUUCUUAAUGGGUUUUGUGUUCUUGAAAAUAAACUGAGACACGACGAAUUUUAAGGCAUACGACGACGAUUACACGACGGUUUUUUUAAACUACCGUCGUUGUAUUACUUAUACACGACGGUUUUUUCAUAAACCGUCGUUUGUAUUACUUAUAAUAGACGACGUCUGUUGAAAAUCCGUCGUCUAUAUAUGCCAAAUACGUCUGUUUUUGUUUAAAACCCGUCGUCUCUGUUGUGUAUUACUUGCGAUUAGAUCAUUGUAUAAUCUGCUAUAGUGAUGGUCAUUGCCUGUAUUUUCACUUUAUUAUAGAUAAUAGGUUAUAGUGUCGGAGAUGGAUAAGUCAUGGAUGCACUCGGAUAGAAGAUAGAAGGCAUAUGAAUUUGGGGUGGAAGCAUUUUUGAACUUUGCUGUAGAAAAUCUUCUAACUACAACACAUAUCCGUUGUCCAUGUGUUAAAUGUGUUAAUUUGAAGUUGUUUGGGGUUGGAAUUAUAAGGGAUCACUUAUACUUUAAUGGAAUUGACCAAAGCUAUAAGAAUUGGACAUUUCACGGAGAACCUUGGGAAGCAACUACUAAUGCUAGUAGAAAUGUUGAAGAAGAUGAUGGCCAUAGUAGGUACAGUUUUGUGUCUGAAGAAAUUGAUAUGGAUGAUAGUGAUUUUGGUGAUUUUGGUUCGGAUCCGUAUGAGUUUUCCAAUGUGAUUGGGGAUGGAGAUCAACCAGUGUACCCUGGUUGUAGAAAGUACACGAAGUUAUCGGCAUUAGUGAAGUUGUAUAAUUUGAAGGCAAAACAUGGGAUGAGUGAUGUCUGUUUUACAGAAUUAUUGAUACUUCAAGGCGAUUUGCUUCCAGAAGAAAAUACAAUACCAACCUCCAUGUAUGAGGCUAAAAAGACUUUGUGUGCAUUGGGGCUGAGUUAUGAGAAAAUGCACGCAUGCCCCAAUGAUUGCAUCUUGUAUAGGAAGGAGUAUGAGGAUUCAACUAAUUGUCCUACUUGUGGUAUCUCAAGGUGGAAGGAAGGCAAAGAUUCAAUCUUGAAAGAGGGUGUGCCAGCGAAGGUGGUGUGGUAUUUUCCCCCAAUUCCAAGGUUUAAAAGGAUGUUUCAAUCACAUGAGACAGCUAAGAGUUUGACUUGGUGGCAUGCUGCUAGAAAAUCAAUUGACGGUCAGAUGUCUCAUCCGGCGGAUUCCCCGUCUUGGAAACUUCUUGAUGAUAAAUGGCCUGAGUUUGGUAAUGAGCCGAGAAACUUGAGAUUGGCUCUUUCAUCUGAUGGAUUCAAUCCCCACAGUUCUCUAAGUAGCAGAUAUAGUUGUUGGCCGGUUAUCUUAGUUACAUAUAAUCUCCCUCCAUGGCUGUGCAUGAAACGAAAGUUCAUGAUGUUAACCUUAUUGAUUUCCGGUCCUAAACAACCCGGAAAUGAUAUAGACGUCUACUUGGAGCCUUUGAUUGAUGAUUUAAAAUCCUUGUGGGUUGGGAUUAGAGGAGUGUAUGAUGCACAUAAUGGAGAAUACUUUACACUCAGAGCUGCAUUAAUGUGGACAAUUAAUGAUUUCCCCGCCUAUGGAAACUUAUCUGGUUGUGUUGUUAAAGGAUAUAAAGCUUGUCCAAUAUGCGGCGAUGAUACACCUAGUCACAGGUUGAAAAAUGGCCACAAAAUUUGUUACAUUGGGCAUAGAAAAUGGUUACCAAUCAAUCAUCCAUAUAGGAGGCAACGUGCAGCUUUUAAUGGGAAACCUGAAUAUGGCAUACCUCCCGAGCCAUUAACCGGAGAAGAAGUGCUGCAUAUGGUUGAAAAUGGUGACAGAGUUUGUUGGAAGAAGAAAUCAAUAUUCUUUGAUCUCGAGUAUUGGAAAUACCUUCCUGUGAGGCAUGCCCUAGAUGUUAUGCACAUUGAGAAGAAUGUUUGCGAUAGUAUCAUUGGUACAUUGCUGGAGAUCCCUGGAAAAAAUAAAGAUGGGAUUGCUGCUCGAUUAGAUUUAUUGAACAUGGGGGUCAAAACUGAUUUGCAACCCGAGUAUGGAGAAAGACGUACUCGUUUGCCUCCUGGGCCUUGGAAUUUGUCAAGAGCAGAGAAGAGAGAGGUUUGCAAUUCUUUCUAUGGUAUGAAGGUCCCUGAAGGUUAUUCUUCAAAUAUUAAAAAUCUUGUAUCUUUACAAGAUUCAAGACUUCUUGGCCUUAAAUCACAUGAUUGUCAUACCUUAAUGCAACAAUUGCUCCCUGUGGCAAUUCGUUCUGUUUUGGAGAAGCCUGCAAGGUAUGCAAUAACUCGUUUGUGCUUCUUCUUCAAUGCUAUAUGUGCAAAGACUGUUGAUGUUUCAAAGCUAGAUAAGUUGGAAGAAGAUGUAGUAGUUACUCUGUGUUUGCUUGAGAAGUACUUUCCCCCUUCAUUCUUUGAUAUCAUGGUUCAUCUAGUAGUACAUCUUGUCAGAGAAGUUCGUCUAUGUGGGCCAGUAUAUUUUAGGUGGAUGUAUCCGUUUGAAAGAUAUAUGAAAGUGCUGAAGGGGUAUGUUCAGAAUCGUACUCGUCCCGAAGGUUGCAUUGCUGAGCGGUAUAUAGCUGAAGAAUCGGUAGAGUUUUGUACUCAGCAUUUGUCUGAUGUUAGUACAGUUGGAGUGCCUUCAAGCCAAAAGAUAGGAGUUUCAAAGCCAUUAUCAGGUUGCACAGUGAGCGUAGUUGAUCAGGACCUGUUGAAUCAAGCACAUCUAUAUGUCUUGGAGAAUACUGAGGAAGUCCUACCUUAUAUCGAGUACGUAUGAGUUUUAUUAUUUAAGUUUCCAUUUUAAAUUAUUUCUUAUGUUAUCUUAUAUAUUUGGGACCGUAAUGAUUGAAUUUUNNNNNNNNNNNNNNNNNNNNNNNNNNNNNNNNNNNNNNNNNNNNNNNNNNNNNNNNNNNNNNNNNNNNNNNNNNNNNNNNNNNNNNNNNNNNNNNNNNNNAUCCCAGUCUUUAGGGUGGGAUUGGAUAGAUAGUCUGUCUGUAGUCGACGAAAUGGAUUACCCUGUAGAUUUGAGUAAAUGGACAUAGGAAUGACAUUUGUUUGGCUUCUCAAGUCAAACAAAUAUUUUUGUGACGACCCGAUGCAUUGUGGUUGGUCGGUAGUGUUAUCAAUGCCUAAUAGAGAAUAUAAUGAUGUUAUUGGUGAUGAAGUCUUAGGUGAUGUGAUAAUUGAGUGUGAGCCAUUUACUAGAGGGAUGCCAAAUGUUGACACAUUUGAUGAACUGGUGGGUGAGUUAGGUGCUCAAAAUAUUCGAGGUGGGUGUGAAGAUAUAUGGAUUGAAUGAUGCUUAUGUAAUUGGCAGUGUAUGACAUUCAUUUUAUAAUAUAUUGUAAUGUGAUUUCUUCACUUUCAUUAUACAGGUUUUGGCCACAAAACAAUCAGUGCAAAAAAUACUGGAUCCAGAUUACAUCAUUAUAUUCUGCAUAAAAAACAACGUCUGUUCAAAUAAAACACGACGUUAUGGUGAACCAUUUAUUCAGCAUAUUUACCGACGUCUUAAAGCAACGUAACAAUGAAGAACCACGACGCUAUUGUGAAGCAAUUAUCCAGGAUAUCACGUCGGGGAAGGAUUAAGAACCGCCAUGUAAUUCAAAAUAACACGACUCCAAUCCCAUAAUAACGACGUCUAAAAAACGAGAUAUAUAAUCUGAACGUUAAAAAAUACGACGUCAUCAUACAUUUUCCACGUCGCAAGUUCUUUUAUAAACGAAGAGGAACGAAAUGAAUUCCGAUGGAAAUUCAUUAUAACCGCCGUCUAAUAACAAUUAAAUGACGUUAUUUGUAAUACGGCUCUCAUCAUAAUCUACGCCGUCUAUAUGUUCUGUAAUACGGCUCUCAUUUAUUUGGAACCGACGUUGUUUAGAAGUUCAACGUCGUCUAUAUUAUUAAGUGCGUCGUGAGUAAUGAAUACAUAUAAAUACAACGUCGACUAUAUAAAUGUAUACGUCGUAAAUAAUGACACUGACAAAUAUUUCCACGUCAUCUUUUUUAGAAAAAUCGAAGUGGAAAAUUUAUUUCACGACGGUUUUUUGUAAAUAAGAGACGUAGUAGAUUUCAAUAACGUCAUCUUCUCAUGUAUUUAAAGACGUCAUAUUUUUUCUUGUCGGGUAAAUUAUAUUUAACGGCGUAGUAUUUUAGUUGUCGUCGUUGUAUGUAUAUCUUGCGGCCUUGUUCUUUUAAUAUGUGUCAUAUUUUUCCUUUUUAACGACGGUGAUUUUUUUGAGUUGGUCGUCUAUUCUCAUCCUCGACUAUUUUCUAGAACUUUAGCAGACUAAACACGUCUGUUUUUAUUUUUUUCCGACGUUGUUUUAUUUAACAACGUCUAAUAUUUAUCGUCGUUGUUUGUUUCUGAAAAUAGGACGUAUAAAUUUUGUAAUACGACUCUCAUAUAUUUGUAACCGACGUUGUUUAGUUUUUCAACGUCUACUCUAUUAACAUAUACGUCGUAAAUAAUGACACUGACAACUAUUUCCACGUCAUCUUUUAUCGAAAAAUCGAAGUGGAAAAUUAAUUUUACGACGGUUGUUUUUAUAUAUGCGACGUAGUAGGUAUCAAUAACGUUGUCUUCUAAUGUAUUUAAAGACGUCAUAUUUUUUAUUGUCGUGAAAAUUAUAUUUAACGUCGUCGUAUUUGUAUUUUCGUCGUUGUAUGUCUAUCUUGCGGCCUUGUUCUGUUAAUAUGUGUCAUAUUUUUCCUUUUUAACGACGGUUUUUUUAGAGAGUUGGUCGUCUAUUAUCAUCCUCGAUUGCUUUUUUUAGAUCUUUUUGCAGUACAAAGACGUCGUUUUGUAUUUGUUGAUGACGUUGUAUAUUUUAACAACGACGGUUAUUUAGCGUCGUGGUUUAUGAGGGAAAAGAUGACGGUGGAUUCCACGACCAUUGAAAAACCCAAUACACGACGGUGAUUUACCGUCGUCUUUUUGCUUUUUUGUAGUUGUGAUAUUUGCAAGAGUUCCAAUUGAUGUUCUUUUUCUUUAUCAGUCUGUAAAUACGCUAUAUAUUUUUUCUUGCGACAUUCAACGGCAAACUGAAAGGGGUUCCUUCCCAUUUCAUUANNNNNNNNNNNNNNNNNNNNNNNNNNNNNNNNNNNNNNNNNNNNNNNNNNNNNNNNNNNNNNNNNNNNNNNNNNNNNNNNNNNNNNNNNNNNNNNNNNNNUGAUCCUAGGUUGGGAUUGAAAAAAAACAUGUCAUACCACUAAUUCAUGAAAAAAUUUAUUGCUAAAACAAUUAAUGGAGAACAAAGGAAAGAUGAAAAAAAAAAAAUGUAGCAUACCCAAAAAUUCAAAGAGAUUUGAUUUCAAACCUUGCAAGAAACCUACCACUGCAAUGGAAAUUCAAAAUCUAAAUAUAAGAUGGUGAAAGCUUAUUAUAUGAUGUGUGACAUGACAAAAUGUGCAAAAGGAAAGAAGCAUUAGCUCACUUGAAAAGUUUCAUAAAAUGGGUGCAAAGAAUAUUUAGAUACAUAUAUGGAUGCGAACAUGGAUCCACCCCCCUAUCCUAUUUCUCCACGUACCUAGUCUUCCUACCAACCAUGUAAAUUUGAAAUAACAUAAUCCUAUCUUUCCGCCCAUCAUUAUUCCUAAAAUACCCUUUCAUAUCAAGGUGAAUAAAACUUGUCUUGUGUUGGGUAUAAUGUUGGAUUAGGAGCUGGACUGAGACUAGUUUUUCAAUUUUUCAUAACAAAAAGUUUUUAAGUUAUAUAAUAUUUUACAGAAAAAGAGUUAUUAUAACACAACUUUUUUUCUUCUUCCUCAUCCUUGUCAACUCUCCAUGUUUCUCCGUGUCAAAUUAGUAGUGUGCUUGAGAAGCAUAUUUCUCCAUUGUAUAUAGAACCAAAAGACUAAGUAUUUAUACAAAGAUUUACAAACCCUACCAGAAAUACUAGGUUACUUGAGUACACCAUAUGAUCUAAGUACACCCUAAUAUUUUAUCCUAUUGUCUCUAAAUUUUAGUUUGCUAUAAAUACCCCUCUCAUCUAAUUCAUUGAGAUAUUGAGAAAAGUUUAUUUUCCAAAGAUUGGAGACUUCUUGGUGUGAAGCCAAAACCCCUGGAGUGAUUUUAGACCUAUCCUUUUUGUUCAAUUUUCUGUUUUCCAUUGUUUUCGCUUCCCGCUAAAUUACCUAUUUUCUGUUUUCUAGACUGGGGAAGAUACUUGGGUGUUCCACUAAUUCAUGGAAGGGUAAGGUCCAAGAACACUAACGACAUAGAAGACUAAAUCCCUUUCUUUGGCUGGCAGAGAAGCUUUGGUUCAGUCUGUUACUUCUACUAUCCCAGUCCAUACUAUGCGAACGGUUAAACUGCCUAUGACAAUUUGUACGAAGUUGGAUAGGUUAAAUAAGAACUUUAUUUGGGAAUCAACUGAUAGGAGAAGGAAAGUGCAUCUUGUUCGUUGACAAAUACGGAGCAUGUUAUUCAAGAUCUCCCUGCAAUAACUUGAUGGAAACCGGUGAAGAAAGAUAAUGGUGUUAUGGAUUGAGCUUGCUCUAACGUUGAAGAGAAUCUGGUAGAGAGCUGGAUACCAUAUAUCUAAAUAUCAUAACUCUAGUCUCGACACAUAUUAGUACAAAUUGGUUUCCUUCCAUUGUCUUCACAACUAUGCAAUGAUAGAUUCUUAUUUGCUCAUGAACAUUAGUUAUUCUUCACUAUUCUUAAUGCAAAAACAAACAAACAAAUUGGACGUAGUAUUAUCAAAUGCGAAGAGUUCGAUAACAUAAGAAGAAAUGAUAUAAUUUUUACGAGAUAAAACCAUAAUCGCAACAUACCUGACCAAGUGAUCUUCAUCCGAUUACAUUUUUCAUUUCCUUCAUUUUGAACACGUACACAAAUAUCACUGAUGGCAUGCUCUAUGUGUAUAUCUUUCAAAAAAUGACAGUAAUUAACCUCAAUCAGUAUAUUUCGAAUUUCUAUUUCUAUUACAAUUAUGGAUACCUAUUGUCAUAAUUGAUUUGCAUAUAUAUGUUCCUCAUGCGUUCCUAUGUUAGAUAACAGAGUGAAAAUACUUAACUCUUAAUUAAAAAUAGAUUAUUAAAAAGAAAAGAACAAUUCUGAUCCUUAAUCUUCUUCCUUCAUCUUCCCAAACCUCGCAGCCAACAGAGCCACCGCUCAACCCCUUCCAAUUCUUUGAGAUGAGAAGUUAAAACAAUAAUUAAAAAAACCAAUUCAGCAUUUCCACAUCUCUCAUCUGGGCGUGUUCCAUUUAGUUCUUUGUCUGAUCUUUUGUACCCCUCCCUCCGAUAAAGUCACUGAAGUUGUCAUUUCUUAGCAUAUAUUAAGUUCAAUAUCUUCAAAUUAAAAAAAUUAAGUCCUCAUGGAUACUUUUCUCUCUCAAACCCUAAGAGGCGCCGCACCAUCUCUCUCAAACCAUUAUAGACUUUCAACGCAACAAAGGGGGGGGGGGGGNNNNNNNNNNNNNNNNNNNNNNNNNNNNNNNNNNNNNNNNNNNNNNNNNNNNNNNNNNNNNNNNNNNNNNNNNNNNNNNNNNNNNNNNNNNNNNNNNNNNNNNNNNNNNNNNNNNNNNNNNNNNNNNNNNNNNNNNNNNNNNNNNNNNNNNNNNNNNNNNNNNNNNNNNNNNNNNNNNNNNNNNNNNNNNNNNNNNNNNNNNNNNNNNNNNNNNNNNNNNNNNNNNNNNNNNNNNNNNNNNNNNNNNNNNNNNNNNNNNNNNNNNNNNNNNNNNNNNNNNNNNNNNNNNNNNNNNNNNNNNNNNNNNNNNNNNNNNNNNNNNNNNNNNNNNNNNNNNNNNNNNNNNNNNNNNNNNNNNNNNNNNNNNNNNNNNNNNNNNNNNNNNNNNNNNNNNNNNNNNNNNNNNNNNNNNNNNNNNNNNNNNNNNNNNNNNNNNNNNNNNNNNNNNNNNNNNNNNNNNNNNNNNNNNNNNNNNNNNNNNNNNNNNNNNNNNNNNNNNNNNNNNNNNNNNNNNNNNNNNNNNNNNNNNNNNNNNNNNNNNNNNNNNNNNNNNNNNNNNNNNNNNNNNNNNNNNNNNNNNNNNNNNNNNNNNNNNNNNNNNNNNNNNNNNNNNNNNNNNNNNNNNNNNNNNNNNNNNNNNNNNNNNNNNNNNNNNNNNNNNNNNNNNNNNNNNNNNNNNNNNNNNNNNNNNNNNNNNNNNNNNNNNNNNNNNNNNNNNNNNNNNNNNNNNNNNNNNNNNNNNNNNNNNNNNNNNNNNNNNNNNNNNNNNNNNNNNNNNNNNNNNNNNNNNNNNNNNNNNNNNNNNNNNNNNNNNNNNNNNNNNNNNNNNNNNNNNNNNNNNNNNNNNNNNNNNNNNNNNNNNNNNNNNNNNNNNNNNNNNNNNNNNNNNNNNNNNNNNNNNNNNNNNNNNNNNNNNNNNNNNNNNNNNNNNNNNNNNNNNNNNNNNNNNNNNNNNNNNNNNNNNNNNNNNNNNNNNNNNNNNNNNNNNNNNNNNNNNNNNNNNNNNNNNNNNNNNNNNNNNNNNNNNNNNNNNNNNNNNNNNNNNNNNNNNNNNNNNNNNNNNNNNNNNNNNNNNNNNNNNNNNNNNNNNNNNNNNNNNNNNNNNNNNNNNNNNNNNNNNNNNNNNNNNNNNNNNNNNNNNNNNNNNNNNNNNNNNNNNNNNNNNNNNNNNNNNNNNNNNNNNNNNNNNNNNNNNNNNNNNNNNNNNNNNNNNNNNNNNNNNNNNNNNNNNNNNNNNNNNNNNNNNNNNNNNNNNNNNNNNNNNNNNNNNNNNNNNNNNNNNNNNNNNNNNNNNNNNNNNNNNNNNNNNNNNNNNNNNNNNNNNNNNNNNNNNNNNNNNNNNNNNNNNNNNNNNNNNNNNNNNNNNNNNNNNNNNNNNNNNNNNNNNNNNNNNNNNNNNNNNNNNNNNNNNNNNNNNNNNNNNNNNNNNNNNNNNNNNNNNNNNNNNNNNNNNNNNNNNNNNNNNNNNNNNNNNNNNNNNNNNNNNNNNNNNNNNNNNNNNNNNNNNNNNNNNNNNNNNNNNNNNNNNNNNNNNNNNNNNNNNNNNNNNNNNNNNNNNNNNNNNNNNNNNNNNNNNNNNNNNNNNNNNNNNNNNNNNNNNNNNNNNNNNNNNNNNNNNNNNNNNNNNNNNNNNNNNNNNNNNNNNNNNNNNNNNNNNNNNNNNNNNNNNNNNNNNNNNNNNNNNNNNNNNNNNNNNNNNNNNNNNNNNNNNNNNNNNNNNNNNNNNNNNNNNNNNNNNNNNNNNNNNNNNNNNNNNNNNNNNNNNNNNNNNNNNNNNNNNNNNNNNNNNNNNNNNNNNNNNNNNNNNNNNNNNNNNNNNNNNNNNNNNNNNNNNNNNNNNNNNNNNNNNNNNNNNNNNNNNNNNNNNNNNNNNNNNNNNNNNNNNNNNNNNNNNNNNNNNNNNNNNNNNNNNNNNNNNNNNNNNNNNNNNNNNNNNNNNNNNNNNNNNNNNNNNNNNNNNNNNNNNNNNNNNNNNNNNNNNNNNNNNNNNNNNNNNNNNNNNNNNNNNNNNNNNNNNNNNNNNNNNNNNNNNNNNNNNNNNNNNNNNNNNNNNNNNNNNNNNNNNNNNNNNNNNNNNNNNNNNNNNNNNNNNNNNNNNNNNNNNNNNNNNNNNNNNNNNNNNNNNNNNNNNNNNNNNNNNNNNNNNNNNNNNNNNNNNNNNNNNNNNNNNNNNNNNNNNNNNNNNNNNNNNNNNNNNNNNNNNNNNNNNNNNNNNNNNNNNNNNNNNNNNNNNNNNNNNNNNNNNNNNNNNNNNNNNNNNNNNNNNNNNNNNNNNNNNNNNNNNNNNNNNNNNNNNNNNNNNNNNNNNNNNNNNNNNNNNNNNNNNNNNNNNNNNNNNNNNNNNNNNNNNNNNNNNNNNNNNNNNNNNNNNNNNNNNNNNNNNNNNNNNNNNNNNNNNNNNNNNNNNNNNNNNNNNNNNNNNNNNNNNNNNNNNNNNNNNNNNNNNNNNNNNNNNNNNNNNNNNNNNNNNNNNNNNNNNNNNNNNNNNNNNNNNNNNNNNNNNNNNNNNNNNNNNNNNNNNNNNNNNNNNNNNNNNNNNNNNNNNNNNNNNNNNNNNNNNNNNNNNNNNNNNNNNNNNNNNNNNNNNNNNNNNNNNNNNNNNNNNNNNNNNNNNNNNNNNNNNNNNNNNNNNNNNNNNNNNNNNNNNNNNNNNNNNNNNNNNNNNNNNNNNNNNNNNNNNNNNNNNNNNNNNNNNNNNNNNNNNNNNNNNNNNNNNNNNNNNNNNNNNNNNNNNNNNNNNNNNNNNNNNNNNNNNNNNNNNNNNNNNNNNNNNNNNNNNNNNNNNNNNNNNNNNNNNNNNNNNNNNNNNNNNNNNNNNNNNNNNNNNNNNNNNNNNNNNNNNNNNNNNNNNNNNNNNNNNNNNNNNNNNNNNNNNNNNNNNNNNNNNNNNNNNNNNNNNNNNNNNNNNNNNNNNNNNNNNNNNNNNNNNNNNNNNNNNNNNNNNNNNNNNNNNNNNNNNNNNNNNNNNNNNNNGGGGGGGGGGGGGGGGGGGGGGUGGUCACUACCCUCCUUCCCUCCCCCCAUACCCCUUUUAAUUUCCAAUUUCUAUCUUCCAUCUUCCUCUCCAUCUCUUGUAUCAUCUCUUCUUUUUAUUUUGAAUUUCCCAAAUCCCUUUAAAUUCCUCCCUCCAUAUAUGGCUUCUUAUUAGAGUUUAGGAAAAAUAUACAGAGAGAAAGGAGAAGAGCUGAAUCAAAAUAAGUUUGUAUUUUCUAUUGUAUUAUCUCUGCAACAUUUCGGGCAAGCACAGUGUGUGCUAUAUAACAGUUAGAGGAAUAGCUGGAUUCUCUUACAUCACUUGAGAAUCACAGCCUUACAUCCAAAACUGCCUUCUAAGAUCUUUACACGUGGCUAUAGCCACUUAACAGUAACUGACGCCUCACACUUGCCUAUUUUAGAGACUAAGUGAAUACACCAUUUCAGCUUAGGGACUUUAAUCACACUCUCAUCAGCUCACCACUUAUAUUUCAACACUCCCCUUUAAGUUGUGAGCUGAUUUCACACCAAGUUUCUCUCUGAGAUAGCAGAAAUGAUCCUUAGCCAAUGCCUUAGUAAAAAUGUCUGCUAGUUGCUCAUUUGUGGGACAAUAAAUCAGAUCCACAGUUCCUUCUUGCAAAGCAUCUUUGAUAAAAUGAUACCUCCGAUCGAUAUGUUUUGUUUUCUGAUGAAACACAGGAUUCCUUGUAAUGGCAAUGGCUGAAAUGUUGUCACAGUGUAGAGGUGUUGCUUCUGCUUGAAGCUCUCCAAAAUCUUCUAGGACAAACCUCAACCAAAUAGCUUGUGUUGUUGCUUCAGAUGCACUGAUGUACUCCGCUUCUGCAGUGGAGAGUGCAACACAAUUUUGCUUGACUGAGGCCCAAGCAAACACUCCACUACCAAAAGAAAAAGCAUAUCCAGAAGUGCUUUUGCUAUCAUCCACUGAACCACUCCAAUCACUGUCACAAUAGCCAAUUAGAACUACCCCUUUUCCUUUCACAUACUCCAGACCAUAAUCUAGAGUCCCUUUCACAUAUCUAAGAACACGUUUUGCUGUUCCAAAAUGUUUGCUAGUGGGACAAUGCAUGAACCUUGCUAGCAAACUAGCUGCAAACAUAAUGUCGGGUCUGGUAGCUGUGAGGUACAGCAGACUUCCAACAAUCCUUCUGUAGUGUUCUUCACUUGCCAAGCCACUCCCAUCAUCUUUACUUAGCUUCUCUGAGGUGACUAGUGGAAUAGAAACCGGCUUACACUCAUUCAAGCCAAAUCUGCUCAACAGAGUUGUUGCAUACUUCUUCUGAUGAAUGAAUAUGCUUGUUGGUGUUUGAAUCACUCCCAUUCCCAAGAAGUGAUGCAAGAGUCCCAGAUCAGUCAUUUCAUACUUCUCCUUCAUGUCCUUCUUGAAAUCUUCUAGCAUUUCAUGAUCAUUUCCAGUGUAGACUAUAUCAUCUACAUAAAUGGAAACUAUCAAGAUAUGUUCUGNNNNNNNNNNNNNNNNNNNNNNNNNNNNNNNNNNNNNNNNNNNNNNNNNNNNNNNNNNNNNNNNNNNNNNNNNNNNNNNNNNNNNNNNNNNNNNNNNNNNNNNNNNNNNNNNNNNNNNNNNNNNNNNNNNNNNNNNNNNNNNNNNNNNNNNNNNNNNNNNNNNNNNNNNNNNNNNNNNNNNNNNNNNNNNNNNNNNNNNNNNNNNNNNNNNNNNNNNNNNNNNNNNNNNNNNNNNNNNNNNNNNNNNNNNNNNNNNNNNNNNNNNNNNNNNNNNNNNNNNNNNNNNNNNNNNNNNNNNNNNNNNNNNNNNNNNNNNNNNNNNNNNNNNNNNNNNNNNNNNNNNNNNNNNNNNNNNNNNNNNNNNNNNNNNNNNNNNNNNNNNNNNNNNNNNNNNNNNNNNNNNNNNNNNNNNNNNNNNNNNNNNNNNNNNNNNNNNNNNNNNNNNNNNNNNNNNNNNNNNNNNNNNNNNNNNNNNNNNNNNNNNNNNNNNNNNNNNNNNNNNNNNNNNNNNNNNNNNNNNNNNNNNNNNNNNNNNNNNNNNNNNNNNNNNNNNNNNNNNNNNNNNNNNNNNNNNNNNNNNNNNNNNNNNNNNNNNNNNNNNNNNNNNNUUCAAUGGUGUAUGAUCGAAGGUCUGAGUAUCUUCCAACCUACUGCUUUCCUUGCUUGAUUCUCCAUAGGAAGCUGCUGAGUUUCCAGCAGUGAAACCAGAAUUUUGAGGCCCUAUAGGUGUCUCAAACGAAUCCACUUGAGAAUUUCUAGGCUGCUCCUCAAAGUUCAUCAUAACCACAGAAUUGUCAGACACUUCUUUCCAAUUCCAGCUUGUUCCUUCAUCAAAUACAACAUCCCUUGAUAAGAGUAGUUUUCUAGUGAUAGGAUCAAACACUCUAUAGCCCUUCUCACAUGUUGCAUAUCCAACAAAAACUCCCCUUGUGCUUUUGGCAUCCAAUUUCUGUCUAUUCUCCUCUGGUUUAUGCACAAAACACACACUGCGAAACACUUUUAAAUGAGCAACACCUGGUUUUCUGGUGCUAUAGGCCUCAAAAGGAAUCUUGUCCCUAAGAGCCUUAGUAGGACAUCUAUUCAAGAUGUACACUGCUGUGUGGACAGCUUCUGCCCAUAGAUAAUAGGGCAGCUCCUUCUCAUGCAACAUAGCCUUAGCCAUCUCUACCACAGUCCUAUUUUUCCUCUCUACCACUCUAUUUUGCUGGGGUGUGUAAGCCAUGGAGAAUUGUCUUUGAAUCCCUGCAUCUUCACAUAGUUUAUUGAAUUCACUAGAAGUGAACUCACCCCCUCUAUCACUUCGAACACAUUUCACUUUGUAACCACUUUGCAACUCCACCAUAGACUUGAAUUUUCGAAAACAAUUUAGUGCAUCCGACUUGUAUCUCAAGAAGUAGACCCAAAUCAUCCUUGUAAAAUCAUCUAUGAGUAACAUGAAAUAUUUGUUACCUCCUAGAGAUUCAUUUUGCAUUGGUCCACACAAGUCCAUGUGUAUAAGUUCAAGAGGUGUACUAGCUCUCCAUGCUUGAUCUUUAGGAAACCACUCUCUGUGUUGUUUUCCUAAUUUGCAGCCUUCACACACUCCAAUUACAGUUUCCAAAUGUGGCAGCCCAUGUACCAUCUCUUUUUCCUUGAGUUGGUUUAGGCCUUUCAAGUGUAAAUGCCCCAUUCUUUUAUGCCAAACCCAAGUAGAGUUGACUACACCAGCUCUUAGUGCAACAAAAUCAUUUGAGGGUAAUGAUAGUGGAUAACAUCUAUUCUUUCUCAUUUCCACCUUCAUAACAAGGUUCUCAAGAGAAGAACUAUCAUAGAUGCUGCACAUGCUGCUCCCAAAUACCAAAUGAUAACCAUGUUCAUCCAUUUGGCCCACACUCAAGAGAUUUUCUCUCAAACUAGGCAGAUACAUGACCUCUAUGAUAUACUUUGCACCAGAGUUUGUGUCAAGCACCAAAGUGCCCAUGCCAGCUAUACUUACAAGCUCCCCUGUUGGCAUUUGCACCUUGCCUGUGACUUUUGAGUUUAUGUCAAUUAACAGUUCCUUCUUCCCAGUCAUGUGGUUACUGCAGCCACUGUCUACAUACCAUUCUCCAUUUUCACCCUUUUCUGAAAUUGCACAGUUUGCAAAAAACAAAUUCCCUCUUACUUCUACUUGGCUUGCAUUAUUUGCUUUCUGUCCUUCUUUGUUUGCAGUGCAGUCUCUGGCCCAAUGUCCAAAUCUAUCACACUUAUAGCACUUGGAUUGACCCUUAUAUCUGCAUUCUCCAUAGUGAAAUUUAGAGCAGACCUUACAUUGAGGCUUCACCCCAUCUUGCUGCACAAGAUGUGAUCCAUUUGAAGUCUGUCCCGCCCCAGCUUGUUGUGGCUUCUGUCUAGACUCCCAUGGUUUGUUGUUAGGCUUCCAACUCUUCUGAGACUUGGUAGAACCAAACUGAGCAUUAUUCUUGUUCUGCCCCUUUUGAUCGAUUGAGAAAGAACCAAAUGCUUUCUCAGCUAUGUCCACAUUAUGCAUGUCAAAACGUUGCUCUUGACUCUUCAAUAUUGCAAUAACCUCCUGCAAUUCAAUGGUCUCCAAACUCUUUGUAUUUUCAAUCACCAAACAGAUGGGAUCAUAAACUCUACUAAGACUGAUUAACACCUUUUGAACCAGCCUCUUGUUUGAUAUAACACCUCUCCAAAUGUUUUCAUUUGAUUUAUCAAUUCAUUUAAUUGAGUAAGAUAUGCAGUAAGUUGUUCACCUUCACGCAUCCUCAUAUACUCAAAUUCUCGUCUAAGAUUCUGAAGCUUUAUAGAUCUAACCUGAUCACCUCCAUGAUAUUCACUGUAGAGCAGAGUCCAAGCCAUUUUUGCUGAAUCGGCAUUUGCAAUCCGAGGGAAGAUCUGGUCAGCGACAGCGUUUUGUAUGAUGCCCAGUGCCUUUGCAUCCUUCUUGAGCACAGCACACAUCUCUGCUUCAGCUUCUUCCUCCGAUGAUUCUUCAACUUUCUUGGUCUUCAUCUUCGAAUCAGAGACUGGAAUCCCCUUUUCUACCAGACCCCACAGCCCAAGAGAUUUGAAGAUUGUCACCAUCUUGAUCCUCCAGAACUCGUAGUUCUCACCGGAGAAGAUCGGAGUUCGUACGUCUGAACUUCCAGAUCCAGCCAUCGUUUGGUCUAAAUCACAGCAGCUUUUCUUCUCAGAUGUUCAGCUGAGCUUCGAUUGAGCUCAGUGACCUUCACAGUUUUACGCCCAGAUCAAGAGACCGAACCUGGCUCUGAGGCCAUGUUAGAGUUUAGGAAAAAUAUACAGAGAGAAGAGAGAAAGGAGAAGAGCUUAAUCAAAAUAAGUUUGUAUUUUCUAUUGUAUUCUCUCUGCAACAUUUCGGGCAAGCACAGUGUGUGCUAUAUAACAGUUAGAGGAAUAGCUGGAUUCUCUUACAUCACUUGAGAAUCACAGCCUUACAUCCAAAACUGCCUUCUAAGAUCUUUACACGUGGCUAUAGCCACUUAACACUAACUGACGCUUCACACUUGCCUAUUUUAGAGACUAAGUGAAUACAUCAUUUCAGCUUAGGGACUUUAAUCACACUCUCAUCAGCUCACCACUUAUAUUUCAACACUUCUUCAAGGACUCUCUCUCUCUCUCUUGGAUCUAUCGACCCCCAUGGGUUGAAGUGACUAAUCCCAAACAAAAUUUGUUGUGUCCCCUUCAGAAGAUGUUUAGAGCUCUUGCUCAGGUGCUUGCACUACCUCCUUCCAUUCUUAGGUUGUUACCACCUCCUUCCUUGCUUAGGAUGUUGGUUUCUUUGGCUUUGGGAAGUGUUUUCCCGGGUUUGCUCUUGGAUUGACUGCUGUUUCCUUCUUGGGAUUUUGGGGGUUUCGUUUUUGAAGGAGUUAAUUAGUCUUUGAUGCUCAGUUCAUGUAUUGUGAAGGAUUUUCGGAUUUGUAGUUUUUGUAUUUGUUUUAUGUGUUUUGGUGUGUUUGCAGUUCUUGCACUUAUCAUUAGUCAUGGUGGUGAUGUCUCAGUCUUCAUGGAAGCAACGGCAACGGUACUUUGGCAUUUGUUGGUGUUUCUACUUUUGGUUGGCUCUGGCUUUAUACAAGUUUUGGACUCUAACUUUAUGUUAGUUUUGCGCUCUGGCUUUAUGCCAGUUGUAGAAUUUAUGCAUGUUUAAGUUUGAUUUCUAGUGGGCUUUUACUGUUGCAUUUGUUUGGACUCAUUUUUAUGAGUUGCAAUAUCAUGUAAUUGGCAUUGCCUUUCUAUUAAUCAAACUUGAUUCCGACCAAAAAAAAAAGAGAGGAAAGAGAAUGUGGAUAUAUACUAACAAUUAUAGAUCCAUCGUUGCCAGAAUUUGAGGCGUGUUCCACUCGGGAAUGCAGAAGGCAUAAAUCCUUCCAUCGGGAAUACCCCAUUUUGGUCUUCAGUGAAGAUCAAUUGUGGGCAAUACUGAAUUAAUUCCCGAGCAAUACCUAAUGGAAGUAGAGAAAAACAAGUUUUAUAAUUAAGGAAAAAAGGGAGUAAUCAAUUUCAUUGUUAAAAGAUUAAAACUCUUACCAAAUUUCAUGCCAAUAAUAAAGUUGCGAAGAAGUCCAGCGCCGUAUGGUCCUUUCUCUGGCAUUAGAUCUUGGAGGGGAGUGACGGAGUAAAGAUAAUCAACGACAUCCCAUUGUUGAACGAUAGAAGCGAAGAGAAUUGGAGUCAUAUUGUAGGUCCCAGUGGGAAUACUAACUAUUCUCUUGCUCUUUCUUACCAUGCAUUCAACCAUUUUCAGCAAAAGCAAGAGCUGUCCAACCCUCAUAAGCUGUUAAUUCCAAGUCUUCCUCUGACAUCAACUGCACCAACUCUUCAACAAUAUGCUCGUGCUCUAGUUCUGUUGCUAUGUGAAGAGCUGUCUUGUUUGAGUACUGCUGUCUUGCUCUUAUUGCGUCGGGAUGUAGGGUAAGAAACUCCUUUGCUUUAUUCCAAUCCCCACUCCACACAGCAUCGAACAACGGCUUAUACUGAUUGUCGUCAUUGUAAUAUCCUGCGCAAAAUUUGGUUAAUUAAUUUAUUAAUGAUUUCAGAUAACAUAAUCCGUUUAUUUUUUCGUGUUAAUAAUUGAAUGAAUUAUACCCAUGGAUAUAAUAGAAGUGUAAACAAAUCAUAUCUACUGCCAAAUUAUUUAUUAAUUUUUAUUUUUUGCUAUCAUUCCCAACAUUUUCGCUAUCAUUCGCAUAUUAUUUAUUAAUUUAUUAUAUGCGAUUACAAAAUGUCUCCUCAAUAAUGUGAUUGGAGGGAUAUACCUCAAUUGAAGGGGAUGGCUGAAGUUAAAACCUCCACUCUUUUUGUGUUUUUUUUAGUAAAACCUCCACUCUUUGCAGCACGUUUCUUACAUUAAUAUAUGAUUACAAUUUGAAGCACACUUCGUUUUCCCUCCCUCAUGAAUUAUAUAGAUUGUGUCAAUCUACCCCAAAACUUUUAUUUCAACCAAAUUUUCCCAUAAAAUGCACGAAACUGGUUGAUUUACCCAACUGUAAUUCCUACCAAUUACAUCAACUAUGUCGUCAAUUAGAGUAACAUUUAAGAGACUCAUGGUCAUUUGACAUCAUUUUCUUUACAAAAGGUGGCACUAAUUGUCAUUUUGCAAAGUUAGGUGCUUAGCAAUUGACUCACUUUUGAAGACUUUUAAGGCAACUUUUUUUGUAAAGAAUAUGGUGUGAGAUAAGCAUUUGUUUUGCCUGACAUCUUGAAUGGAAUUGCUUGGAAUAUGAGCAUGGGGUAUAAAUUGGGUAGUUUCGUGAUUUAUGAGGAAAUCAGCUAUUUUAAAAUAAAUCUAUAUAUAUAAAGCAAAAGGCAGAGAAUGGUGAAACAUUCAAAAUACCAGAAAAUGCCCUUUGUUAAUUCAAACAUUAAGAAUUGAAAUUAUUAAUUAAAUGAGGAUAAUAUGGUAAAUUCACAUUUUUUAAUAUUAAAAAAAUUAAAAUUAAAAACAAAAUAAGAUAAUAGGUCCUACUUUUAUGGAACAUAACUACCCUGUUAUCUUUUAUUAAUUCUAAAAAUAAAAUAAAAAAGAAAAAGAAAACCAAUUGGCACAUGCGUGAGCAUGUGUCAAGGGGCUAGUAAAUAAAUAAAGCUAAAGGGGUAAAUUGACACCGUUAAAUUUAAUUUCCACAUUGUUGUUACACAUGUAAUUUGUAUAAGGAUGUAUAUUUCUUUUUGGAUACAGUAAGACCAGGGAGACCAAAAUGUAAAAGAACAAAACGUAAACUAAUCAGUCCUUACAUCCGUGCUAGUAUAAUAAGAAACAGAAAUAUUGGUCUUGUGGUUAAUCAAUUAAAUGUUUAGAGUAUAAUUUGGUUAUUGUUAUAAAACUGGAGAGAAAAUUGUAGAGAAUUGAGGGAGAAAGAGAGAAGAAUUCUGAUUUUCAUUCUCAAUUUAGGUGUCCCUUACAAGUAAGGGAGGGGGAGUAUUAAUAGGAAAACCAAGGGGCAUUUUGGGGACUCCACUAUUACAACACUCCCCCUUGGAGACCACAAAUGAUACAGAAUAUGUCUCGUUAAAAACCUUGCCAGUAAAAACCCAGUGGGACAAAAACUGGUCGAAGGAAAAAAGAGUACAUAACUAUGUGUAACAUAAAAUUCUAAGUAUAUUGGCGCGCGUGCGACACUGCCUCGUUAAAACCUUGCCAGGAAAAACCCAGUGGGAUAAAAACCCGGACGAAGGAAAAAGAGUACGGUGUUUGAAGAUCUUUAUUGAUGGUGCUCUCCCCCUGAUGCUUGGCAAAAUAUCUUUAAGUCAUACUGUUGAUCAGCCUUCUGAAUAUCGUAGUUGGCACUGCUUCUGUGAGUCAAUCUUGAGUGACACUGCCUCGUUAAAACCUUACCAGGAAAAACCCAGUGGGAUAAAAACCUGGAUGAAGGAAAAAGAGUACAGUGUAUGGAGGUCUUUAUUAAAACCAUGCUCCCCCUGAUGAAUAUCUCCCCCUGAAAAAUUUAGGACUAGCUUUUGUCCAGUAAGCGACCAUAAAAAUUUUCAUAGUAUACCCUAAACCCUUGAGCGACACUGCCUCGUUAAAACCUUACCAGGAAAAACCCAAUGGGAUAAAAACCUGGAUGAAGGAAAAAGGGUACAGUGUGGAGCUGAGCUCUAUCUGGUCUAGUAUACUUCCGAAAAACAUUUAAGGACCAACGGAUAAUCCUCAUAAAAAUGCUUCAAUACUUUCUUAGUAUAAGCAAGAAUCUCGUUGGCACAAUGCUCGAUCCUUAAGUCGAGACAAAUAUUUCGUGAAUUCUGCAGAAUCUUUAAUGUGUUGCAAUCACAUCAAUGUACUCACUGAGGUAAUUUAUGCAUAUUAAUAUUGAGUACAAAUUUUGUGCUUCAAGCACAUGUCCUUUAGGGACUUGCUUUAUGCAAUGAUAAUCCUCUCAACGGAUUUUGUCUAAAAGGGAUUAAGCUUUAUGACACAUUAUAUAGUUUUAACCCAGCUAUUUAUACAUCUUUUAGGGAAUCGCUUUUGGCGAUAUACUCCGUGCAUUUAAUAACCCUUAAAGAUAAUAUGUUGGUUUCCGUAAUGGUGCAGUAAGGGGGGGCACAAUUAAAUCUGUAAAUAUGGAGAAAACCCAACAUUCCUUGUUUCUGCCAGAAACAGUGUGUCAUACAAAGUAGAUAUAUUCCCUUUUAUUCCGAACACCCAAGUAUAAAUUUCAGUAUUAAUAUCUUUUGGGGUUCGUACUGUGGGUUUGUUCUUUCACGUUCAUUCUCAUCUAUAAUGGAAUUACCUCUUUCCAUUUUGGCCAAUGAUAUUGUCGACAUUUAAUAAUUGAACGUGGUUCCAAUCAACACAGCCCAUUGAUGAUUCGAGUAGCUACUCCAAAACCAAAAAUUGUCAUUCAUCAAUUCAUAAUCUCACCAUUCUCAUGUGUAUGCGCAUGCAUCAAUUAUAAGCAUUUCUGUACUUUUGGGUACCCAAGCCACUGCAGGGGACUUUUAUUAUGUGAGAAUGUGGAUUAUAACCUCCAUUGGAGCGUUAUUUUAUAGUAGGGCGUGGAUAAUCUCCAUUUAGGGAGUUGGAACAUUUAGAACCCAUAUAUCUGUCAUGCUGCAGGCAUGCCACAGAUUAAUACAUACAUGUCAAUUAAUUUCUGGGACUUUAACCCAUAUUAUGGGACUUUAACCCAUAUAAUUUGCUACGCAUUAGGCGUGCAUAAUAUCAAUAUUGACAUGUCAAAGGAUUGUCCUUUCGGGACUUCAAUCCACAUCAUUUGCUACGCAACAGGCGUGCAUCAUAUUGAUUACUGCUAUACCCAUGUUAUGUUCUGAUGGGACUUUAAUCUGUGCAGUGUAUUAUCAAAUGUAUCCAUCUUACAAUCUGUAAAAUUUGCAUUAAUAAUUCAUGGAUACAUACAAGCCAUUCUUUUGGAACGGACUUAUCUCCCCAUUUGGUUACCUUUCAAGAUAAAAUAUCAAAUAAGUAUAUAAGCAUAAAAUAACACAAGUAUUGCUUACAUCCUUAGGUGGGAGAAACUUUUCUCAAGUAUCAUUCAAGCUCAUAUCAGCCCAGUAAAUAUAAUGUAGCGCUUGAUGAUCUAGUUAUAUCCUGCAAGAGCAAAAAUCACAACUCUUUUGCCUCUGUCAAAACAAAUAACCCUCAUAGUUAGGAUUACUUCAUGGAUUCAUUCUUCAGAUGUUCAUUCUAAAGAAAUAAAAUCUCUUAUGAACAGAGAGUUAUAAAAAGAGAAAAAAUGCAAAAAUAAUGUGAUAUUGAUUGCAAGAGAAAGGUAAGCAAUCAAGGAAGGAAGCUGGUGGGAGCAGACAAUAAGCUCUCAUAUCUCCUAGUCUAGAAGGACCUCAGGAGAUUAGAGCAUAAGGCCGCCUUUACAAUUCCCUGAUCUUGCAGAAACAUGAUCAGGGAUAGUCUUGCUUCCUGAAUGGAUGAUCAGAGAUAAUCUUGCUUCUCAGGCAUAUUAAGUGCUUACUGAUAAGAAAAACAAGUAGAUAUCGCAUCACUAGGUAUGGAGUAAACUGGAUGUCUUCUGCAAAGGAAAUUUCGUUAGUAACACAUUUAUACACAAAUACAAUGAAUAGGUAGAACCGGUGAAUUUCAAAUUAACCAUAGGAAAAUUGCGAGAUUCUCGGGAUGCUUUUGAAAAAGUAGCUCCGUGAAAUCCGUAAAGCAAGAUCGGCUUUGAAAAUAAUGCUUGAAAACGCCGAAAGUGCCGACAGGCAUUAUUAGAGGCCACGUGAAGUUUUGGACUCUAGGAAAGAAAAAGAGAAAUAUGGGGAUCCGAGAAGAUAUUGGGAUCCUGAAAAACAGUAGCCAUAUUUCCUCUUAUAGAUAUUGCCUUUGUAAACCUUGAUUGGAGCAACUGCGUUUCAACUUAACUUCCUUCAUUUUCUGAAACUUUAGUUUUCCUAAGGCUUUCUUCGAAACCUUCUUAAAAAUGGCUUCCUCUUCUUCCUGCCCAAAUUAUUUCAAUUUAAAUGAUACUCCCACAACUACCAGUGACGCCCAAGUUUGGCGUCCAUCAUUUGUAUCCAAAAAUCGUCAUCUCACAGUUAAUGAUUCUGUGAUGAUGAAUGAUGCUACUGCUGUCAUAGUAGCUAGUAGGGGUGGGCACGGUUCGGUUUGGACCAGUUUUUGCCUCAAAUUAGAACCGAUCCAAUACUAUUCAUCCGGUUUGGUUCGGUUCGGUUUUAAUAAAAAAAAUUUCAAAAACUGUCAGGUUCGGUUUGAACCGGUUUCAGUCCGGUUCCAGUUCCGGUUCGGUUUUGAACCGGAUUAUAAAAAUUAUUUUUUUAAAUUGCUUUUUAAUACAAUUCUCAACUGAAAUAUUAUUUUUUUACUUAAAAAUUAACAAAUUAUUCAAUUUCAUAUAAAAAAUAAAUAUUAAAGUGAGAAAAUAGAGAUAUUUUGACAUUGAACUUGGAUAAAUAUUAUGUUUUUUUAGUGAAAUUAAAAAUAUAGCAUUAAAUAUAAAUAUAUAUAUUGAAAUUAUAUAUUUUUUUAGUUUCACCGGUUCGGUUCGGCCCGGUUGGGUUUUGAAGACAUGGAACCGGAUCCGGAACCGGUCCAAACCGGUCCGGUUCGAUUUUUGACCGGUUUUUGACUUUUUGGUCAACUCGGUUUUUUUCCGGUUUGGUUCGGUACGGUUUGGUUUGGAUUUCCGGUUCGCCGGUUUGAGUGCCCACCCCUAGUAGCUAGGAAUUUCAUUACUCCAAUGGAUGAAAUGUUGUUGACGGGGAGAUCAGAGGAAGAGGCUAUUGAUGACUCAAUGGCUUUUAGCAUUCAGAGUGCUGUUUCUGUUUCUAACAUGGCGUAUCGUUUGCGUGCCAGAGCAAACGAGGUUGAGAAUUUAACAACUGAAAAUUCGUCUCUCCAAAAAAUGCUUCAUGAGUCUCAACAGGAGGUUGAGAAACUGAAAGGAGAGAAUAAUGCCUUGUUGAAACUGGUGAGUUCGUAUUCUGUUGAUACACUGAGAAGGCUAGACAUGCUGCAGGUCUCCAAUGAAAGAAUUUUGGGAGACCAUGAGAAGCUCAUGGCUAAGCUUAAGAGGCGCCGUCCUCUUCCUUCAGAGGCUUCCAGAACAUAAUGUAAUUUUAUAGAUUUUACAGGGCCUGCACCUUCAUUGCAGGAAAAAAUCUAUCUGUUGUAUGUUCCUGUUAUAAUAAUUGCGCAUAUUCUUAAACUUGCACCUGUGAUUUUUACGUCUUUUCAAAAUGACGAUUUGGAACCUUGUGCCUUAUAGGUUCAAAUAACUACAUUGUCUCUCCCAAAUUUCAUAUUUUAUCGCAUGGUAGCCCGGAACUUUUGGCCUGGGCACAAACUCAUAAUUUAUUUGCCCUUUUCAAAUGGACAUGAAAUAUGAAUUGAAUAAAAGCCAUGAUAAUAUCGCAAUAUAGUAGUGAAGAGCAUUAACGACUAUAUACCCACAACUUCAAGUUCAGGAUCUCUCAUAUAUUUGGAUCCAUGGGCUUCCGGCCCAGAUAUAACAAAAUAUGUGGGGAGCCUCAAUUCAUCAUUCUCUUAUGCCAAAGAGAUAUGUGGCAUACCACAAUUUGUAAUAAUACCUCAAGGGUUGUCCAUUUAAUUGUUGAAACUUCAGGUUCUCAACACUGUUAAAUUUUGAACUUCAGGCCAAAGCCACAUAUUCUCAUGGUAUGGACAUUUUUACAAUUUUCUGUACAUAUUUCGGGACUUCAAGCCCUUACAUAAUUGUUCAUAUUUUGAGGAACUUCUGGCAUCUCAUUUAACUGUUCAUCCAUGAGUUUAAAGAACUGCAGGUUCCUUUUUGUAUAUAGUGACGGUUUACCCAAAAUGGUUCAUAUUUAUGCAUACGUCACUAUUCAUGUGAAUAGUACUAUUCAUCAAGUCAUGAAUACGUAUCUAUUCAUCUGCCAGUACAGUUAUCAUCAAUGUGUACGGCACUAUGAACCAAUACGGUACUGUUACAUCAUUAUCCUUAUUUACAUGUCAGGAAUCAAGGACCCUUAAGUCCGAUCACAUGUUUACAAAUAUAGUACCGGAGAGACUGCCAGCUCUCAUAUUAAAAUCAUCAUCAAGGAUCUUCAAGUCCUGAUAUAAUUGUAUGAUGAGGAUCAAGGAACUUCUGGUCCUGAUCUGCAUACUGUAAAAACUCAUCAUACAGCACAUACAGCACAAUUCAUCAUACAGCACAAUUAAAAUAAAUUGCUGGUAAAUAAAUUACUGGUAUGGGCGAUAAACCCGCACCAUACAUUUAAAUAAAAGUAAAUGUGCAGUAAUUUAAAUUCAUAAAUUAAACGUGCAUGUAUGGGCACUAAUUCUGCUCCAUACUUUUAAAUGAAAGUAAAGGCGUGGACGAUAAACCCGCACCACCCUUUUAAAUAAAUACUGUUGUAUGGGUAAUAAACCUACACCAUACAGUAAAUAAAAUAAAUGUGCGGUAAAGUAAAUUUGCAGUAAAUUAAACGUGCUUGUAUGGGCACUAAUUCUGCACCAUACAUUUAAAUAAAAGUAAAGGUGUUGACGAUAAACCCGCACCACCCUUUUAAAUAAAUACUGUUGUAUGGGUAAUAAACCUACACCAUACAGUAAAUAAAAUAAAUGUGCGGUAAAGUAAAUUUGCAGUAAAUUAAACGUGCUUGUAUGGGCACUAAUUCUGCACCAUACAUUUAAAUAAAAGUAAAGGCGUGGACGAUAAACCCGCACCACCCUUUUAAAUAAAUGUAAAUGUGCAGUAAAUUAAAAUUCAUAAAUGAAAUUGUUAGUAUUAGUAACGGUCUCCCACUGAUAAUAUGUUUAGUAUUACCGAGGGUCCAUUUUUGUUAAUGGUUAGCAAAAGAAAAGCAGAUAAAUAUAAUAGGAAAUAAUAGAGAAGAUCAGGGAGCAGAGAUCUUAUCGCUUAUUCUUUCGGUGGGUCGGUGAGUUUUGCUGUUUUUAUUAAAAGAUGCUUCAGACCCCCCCCCCCCUUUUUUUUUUUUUUUUUUUUUUCUCGGUGGGUUUGCUUUGCUUUAUCGGUGGGUGGGGAGCUGCACGCGCACUCGACAACUGAUGGUGUGUCUGUGCUGCUGUGCUUUUGUUUAACCAAAGCUCCCAACUUUUUCCACCAAAAACUUAGAAUUCCCAGGGGCUGAACAACGAUCUGGAUGCCAUCUCAGUGCAUUCCUUUUUAAGCUCCGAGCCUUUUUUUUUUUUUUUUUUUCAGCCCCAAAACUGCGUAGAAGUCGUCCCUGCCUUUCUUGUCUCGAGCAUAUGCUCUUGUCCAGGCACUUCACUUUGUAGCACGCCCCGCACCCCUCGCUGUUCUUGAACAGCACCGGGUUCACUGCUCCCAGUCUCGCCAUCAACGGCUUCACGUCCAUCAUCGACCCGUACUCACAUGCUCCGCCAUCGCUGCCGUCUCCUUCGGGGCUGCUGAACUUGAGCGGAGAGGACCAGCAGAAGCCCAGAGCCAUGACGGAGGAGGAGCUGCAUCGUGCGCUGAGCUUGAGUGGGUCAACCGGAACCUCGUCAUCCAAUUCUUUUCAGGCUGAAGAUGGAAGGCAGUUCUCUGCCAUGACAACAUGCUAUUGUUCCAUGGAAACAUCGGCCCGUCCACGUUUGAUGAUAAUUCCCCAUCAAACGCGUUGGGCUCACUGCCGAACGGCAACUCGCUAUCGGACAUCUACAAAACAAAGAAAGGGAAGCUAAGGCCCGCGCCACAACUACCCUACCGAUACCUACAUCGCUACCUAUGGCCACUAGACUACCGAAGGAAAAUCCUACUUAACGUUCGGCUAGCCUAUGCCAUGGACAGGCGUAUAAUUACAUAAAAAGAGAGUAUUUAGGGAGUACCGAACGGUAUCUUACCUUGGGUGGUGUAGGAUGAUUUGAUUGCCGUUCACUCUCUUCAAAAAUCGCCUUGAAUGCCGAAAACCGCUGAGAAAAUCGCCUUGAUUACCGUUCAAUCUCUUCGGAAAUCGCCUGCGCAGAGCUCUCACUUCAAACUCACAAUUGCAAAGUGAGCUUUACAUCCAGAGCAGCUUCUAUUUAUAGGGAGAGAGCUGUAACGGUACGCCUCGAAAGACUAAACGGCUCUUUAAUACGCCGUCAGACGUGCUUUUACUGGCCACGCGUCACCUGACGAAUGGCGCUGCCGACUGCACGCAAGGCACGGAAGACGAAGCGUCUCUCUGCCCUCUCGCCUAUCAGCAUCGACGACCCCUCGAGUCGCAAGUCAGUCUCCUCGAACGAGCCUGCCGAACGGCAGGUCAACCCCCGAACCGCAGUAAAGAACUAAAUUCCCUUCCGAAGCAUCUUCGGAAGAGAACUUGGGGGACUACUGUUGAUACCGAAGAUAAACGGCCUAUGACAACCGGACACGUGGACAGGAUCGAUUUUAGUUACAGAAAUGCCUUCGGCAUGAUUCCUACCGAAGCCAUCUAUCUUGGCCCCUUUUUGCCAUCGGACACGUGUCAUGCUCACAAUCCAUGUCCACAGUCCCACAUCGGAAAUAUGAACACAGUGCAUACCUCCCAAGGCUUAUAUAAGGAGACCCUUAUCCCCAAAAGAGGGGAAUCCAGAACGAACGGUACGCUACCGAUUGAUCUGUCAGUUAACAUUACUAAAACCGUACUUACUAAAGCAUCGGAGAGCCUUCGGCCGGUACCGCACCGGUAUCCCAAGGACUUACCGAACGUGUCCUUUUGCAGGUACUUUUCCUUCCGAAGACAGGGACCUACCGAAGACAUAAAACAACUAAGUUGACAAAAUACGUGCCGAAUCACUUUUUCGCAUCAACAGAUUUGCCCUAAAGUGACUCAACUCAACAAUAGUGAAUGGAGGUCGGGAACCACCAAACACUGAUUUGGGCAUGAAAUGAAUUAGACUUCGAGUAAAGAAUGACUUGUUAAUUGUCGGUCUUUGUUUAAUAAGCAUUUUGUCUAAGUCUUUGUUCACAUGUGGAUAUCAGAAAUCUCAGCAAAGAUUUUUCGUAACAAAAUCCGAAUUGAUACACAAUACUCAAAAAGUACUUGACGCAGAAAGCAAACAAAAGACUGAAAUUUCAAAUUAUUAAGGUAUCAUUAUCGAUGAUGGUAGGUAUUAGGUGAGGUCCAGCAAAAUAAAAUUUUGAAAUUAUACAGGAAUCAUUGUCGAUGAUGGUAGGUAUUAGGUAAGGUCCAACAAAAUAAAAGGAUUCUUUAAUUUAUAGACUAACUCGUCAAAAACCAGGGCCAAUAUGUAGUUGUUUAAUAGAAACUUGUUACACUAAUAAUAUCUCCAAAAGCCUGAGGACAAAACCGAGUAUGUAAUUAUUUGCAUCAUAAUUUCAUUAAAAACAUAUCCGUGUGAGCACGUUGAUGUUUGUGUAAAUGGUUGGGACGUGUUAUAUAAAUGCAAAACGGAGAGACGUUUGAGAGAAUUGUUGUCUUUUAUUGAUUAAAGUAAUUGUUACAAAGGAGUUACAGGAUUUGGAUCUGGUGAGGUUGAAGGUGGUGGUGGGAUUUUGACAAAAAAGAAAAAGAAAACGGUGGUGGUAUUAAGAAUAUCUACAAUUAUGCCUUCUAUUUUUUUACUAAAAUUUAGCUAAAAACACUUGAAACCUAUUAGAUUAGUUUUUUUUUUUUGAGAAACAAAAUUUCAUUCAACACUCCAAAGAGAGUACAUCAGCUUCAAGCACAGGGAGCAACCAACUUGGUGCUUCCUCAAUCCAGGUAACAAAUUCGUUACAAUGAAAAGCAAACUGAGCCAAAGUGUGUGCCACUUUAUUACCGCAUCUUGGAGUCCAGUGACAUACGACUGCUCUAAAAUUAUUAAGUAGAUAGUUCACCUCCUCAAUCAAAAGAUCAUCAAUUCCAUUAUACUCCUCUGUUGAAAGAAUACUAUUAAGGCAAUCUUGGGCGUCCAUUUCUAGAAUAGCAGCAGUAAAGCCCAUAUCAAUAGCAUAACGCAGGCCCUCUAUUGUAGCCAUAAGCUCCGUUUGCCUAGCCCCAUAACUGGCUUGAAUUCGCCUAACACAUGCCCCCAUGAACUCCCCGUUCGCGUUUCUGACGACCACCCCAACCCCUCGUACGAAGUCUCCAGAUUUGACUGCCCCAUCGACAUUUAUUUUGUAACUACCUGCUGGUGGAGGCCUCCAGCCUUGCAAAGGAGCUUGAGGGCUAGAUUGACGACCAUGGAUUGUGUUGGUUAAUUUUAACAACAAUAUUAAAACCUUGCAAGUGCACAAAUCAAAUGAUAGUAUAGUAAGCAAGCAAGGGUCGAUCCCACGGAGAUUGUGAUCUAAAGAGAUGUUUAUCAAUGUCACGCAAUGAAAAUCAAAACAAAGGACUUCCAAACACACGCCAACACCAAGGGGGGUUUUGAUUUGUUUUUGUGAAUCAAACAAAAUAAGAAAAAGGAAACAAAAGAGAAUUUAAAUAAGAGUUUAAGAGAAAUUGGUUUAAAAAUCAAUCAAGAACAAUAGCUAGAACUUACUAUCCACCUCCAAACAAUCAAUCAAUCCAUAAACAACAAUAGAUAAUCAAUUUCUAGCAAGCAUAUGAUGACGACACUCACAACAAGAUCAUGGCAUUUGACUCGAGUUGUAUGAUUCUCUCUUAAGUGUAUGUAAAGUGUAUGGCAUUUACAUCAAUAUGUGUAUUCUUAAUUGAAAUUUAGUAUGGCAUUUACUCAAAUUAACAAUCAAGAAUCCAUUAAGAUCAAAGAGAAUAUGAGUGUCACAAAAACCCUAAAACAUGGCAUUUGUUAUUAGGAAUUCAAGAAUCGAUUUCUCAUAACUAGUUCUUAACCCAAUUAUUCGUUGCAAACAAGAACACAUUCAAUAUGGCAAUUGACCUAUGUUCUACAACAAUUUAAUUCCAAUACAUGCUUCUAAGUUAGCUACUCAAAGAAACAAAAUAUCAGAAUUCACAUAACAUAGAGAAACCGAAAUCAUCACGCUUGUAGAAACUAAAAAUCUAUUAAACUUGUUUAUAAAAUUGAAAUCAUGUUUAGGGCUUCAAGAUUAAGCCCUAACUAACAAGAAAUUAGUUACUCAUGGUCUUGGAUGAACUCAAAAAUAAAUACAUAAGAACUGAAAAUUAAAAGAAGGAAGGAAAAAAAAGAACUCGUUCGCAGCUUUCUCCUCUUGCGCGGUUGAUCUCUUUAGGACGUGAAUCCUUUUCUUCAGGCCUUGGCUCAUCUUUUAUAUCACUUAUAUCAGAGUUCUAAACCCUAAAAUUGACUGAAAAGUCGUCCAAGAAGUCUUGGUAAACAAGGAAUCCAAAUAGGAAAGUAAAAAUCACAAUUCCUAACUCCACUGGGAAAUACAGCUCAGCCCAAUGUUCACACGAUUUGGGGAUCUUCGACCUUGUAGAAAAAUCAUUAAAAAUAUAUUUUAGAAAUAUAAAUGUCUUAUCUUUCCAACCAUAUAUAGCACGUAACUUGAAAAAUUCGAAAAGGCUUCCGUUUCUUCACAUUCACAUAACAUGUACGAAACUGUCCUGUCUGCACGUGGGCUAACUUUACUUGUAAUACUGUACCAAUUGGCUUGGUAGAAAAUUCUAGAAAAAUCAUAGAUUGAACUUCAAGAUGUUAGCUUUCAUCUCCAAUUGGUCUUGUGCUAAAAUUCCUCCGAAAAGUUGAUUUUCCCUUAAAAAUCUUCUAAGAGCGCAGAAAAGCUGAAAAUCAGAAAAAUAAAGUAAUAAGCCCUUUUUAAAUCUAAUUCUCUUACAAAACCAAAGUAAAAAGAGUACAUAAAUGAGUAUAUUUAUGGACUUAUCAAAUACCCACAACUUAGAUUUUGCUAGUCCUCGAGCAAAAGAAAACAAAAAUAAAAACAAAAGAAUAAAGACUCAAGACAAACAACUAAAUUCCCAAUAUUGAUCUCAGAGAUAAUUACCAACGGUUAACUAACUUCCAAGAAAUAAGCAACAUUAACUCAAGGCAUUAUCAAGGGGUUAACCAAACUUUAAUUGAACAACUUGGAGUGUCGUGUGUGAAAUAGCCAACAUUAAUAUUAACACGACUUAUGCUUCACAAAAGUUAAAUAACCAAAUAAGAACAAGCUUCAACUUCAAUUCUCACCAAGGAUGUUCACUCCAAUGAAGGCACUCGAAAUUUUGCAACGUAGUGUCACUCAUAUAUGUGAGAAGAAUCAAAUCAGUACGAUGUACUCACAUAAAAUAAAAGCACAAGACAAGAAUAAAAGAUCUCAUGGAAAGAUAUCGCAUACUUGAAAACAUUUAAACCAUCCGACCAUAGUCCUUACACACCUAUUCUCCACAUGAGGAACCACACUUCUCCUUGGAUCAAGUAGGACUUUCACUAAGGUUGUAAUAGGGCUUAGGGUGAUGGGUGAAACAAGAAAGAGACAUAGAUGAACAAAUGAAGUCUAAGGGCUAAGUAAAGCUUUCCAUGAAAUUAUAACAUCUUGCACUUUAGCACACAAUUUUAUCUUGAUACUAUCUUUAUUUAUUUAUUUAUUUUUUAACUCCAUUAGCUUUCUAAUCAACCCAUGUAAUAAGUGUUAGGCCAAUAACUCCCAAGCUAGAUAGCUUUAGGGUAUUAAGUGUAAAACACUCCUCGGGCUUAAAAACUCGAGUUGAAAAGGCUUCGGAAUCAGACCUUUUUUUUUUUUUUUUUUUUUUUUUUUUUUUGAAACAGUAUCAUAUACACAUGAUUGAACAAUUUGUGCAAUUCUCCCUUAACCAUGAAAGUGCUCUACAAAGCUCCUUAGAAGGGUGUAGGAUAAAUAUGCAAAAGGUUCAGGUGAAGAGAAUUGGGUAAAGAAUGAUAAAGGCUUAUAUAAAAGGCACAAGGGGUUGACUACGGAUAAAAUUGAUAUGGGUUGGCUGGAAAGGCUCAAACGAAUGAAACAAGGCCUAUAUCACUUCCUAGGAUCCAUGUGGUUCAUGAAAUAUGCCUCAAAUAGAUAAUGAAAGUAGUUCUAGCAAACAAUUUAAACAUCCUCAAGUACUUGACCAAAACAAAGAAUCAUGAGAUCACGACGACUUGUAGACAUGAAAAUUAUAGAAUAGUGUAUAACACUCAGGGAAGAAAGGUAUAGGCUCAAAAGCUCACAUAAUAGGAGUUGUACAAGUCUACACUAGCCUUAUUUAGGAAUUUAAAUCAUGUGAACUCCAAUCAAAACUCAUAUUAAUAUGGCUAUGUGCAAAAAUAUUUACCAAGUUUAAUCACAAAACUAAGGUUAACACAAGGAUAAUGUAAAGAAUUAAUAUCAUGCUCACAAUUCCUUGCAAGUUAAUUGUCAAUAAAAUUCAAUCUCAUCAUAGAAUUGGGAAGUGACUACUACAAAAAAAAAAAAAAAAAACUAGACUCAAAGUUAUAGAAAAUAUUUUUAGGUUUUUAUGACAUUUUUCUGAUUUUUUUAAUUUUUUAAUUUUUCUUUAAAAGAAAAAAACUGAAAACAAAACAAAACAAUAGAAUAAAAACUAAUUAAAUAAAAACCAAAAGUUGAAGAGGGAUUGAAAAUCAAUAAACAAUGCUGCAGUUCUGACCCAGGCGCAAAGAAUGAUAUGUAUCUCACAAAAUACUUGGCCAAAGUUCACGUUCUUCAUAUGGUUGGAUUCAGAUCGAAAAAACAAAGAAUGCAACGUGGGCCAAAAUACAAAAGCAGCAGCAGAAAAGGACAGAAUUUGAAACAAAAACAGAGGACUGCUGCAGCAUACAUUAUGAAACCAAAGAACUCAAUCACCCACAACUUAAAACAAACAUUGUCCUCAAUGUUAAAAACAAAGAAACAUAAGUCAUGCAAAUUCAUUUAAAAAGAGAGAGAGGGGUGUGAGAACUUCCCGGGUUUGUGUAGAUGUAUGGAUGAGCAAAGCGUAGAAUACGUCGAAAUGAGAGAGGAUAGACAAUGAGACGAACUCAAAACACCCACAACUUGUGUCUUUGAAUGCCAACGGACCCGUAAUAGCUCCUUAAAGUCUCGGAAUGCGAUGAAAUUGGAACGAAAUUGAGCUGGAUAUGUAAUCAUGAAAAUCUGGAAAUCUAACUUUUAGUGACGAAAAAUCUGAUGAACACCGUCGCUAAAAGCUCUUUGGUGACGAAACAUCUGAUGAACACCGUCGCUAAAAGCUCUUUGGUGACGAAAAAUCUUCAAAUUCUGGGCAAAACAGCAGCUGCCUUUUUUUUUUUGUUUUAGGUCCUUUUUUGAGCUUCAAAUCGUCCUAAAACAUAAUGUAGGCCACUGGAGACCCCCAAACCUGGUCCAAAUCAUCAGAAUAACCAUUCUAAACAUGUUGGUGGCAUCAGAUUGACCUGAAAAACAGCAAAAAAUAAAUUACGCAGAAAUUCUAGUUUUGACCAAACUAAGAACAUAAAAGCUAUUUUUCUGUUUUAUGGUAUCUAAACUCAGCCAAUGACCAAAAACACUUCUGUAACACAUGUGAAACAUGCUGCAAACACCCGAGGGCUAUAAAAAUGCAACAAUUUAUCUUUGGAACACAAAAUCCAUAGUUUGAUGACACAAAACAUAACAAAAACAAAAAUAUGAAAAUUUACGAGAAAUCACACAUAAACUAAAAACAAAAACGAAAACAAAAGUUAAGAAUGCUUGGGUUGCCUCCCAAGAAGCGCUUCUUUAUAGUCGUGAGCUAGACGUUGUUCUUUAGAUGAUUAAUCAAUAGAUGGGGGUGGUGCAUCCACGUGCAUGCUCUCUUUUCCAAGCUCAAAAGAUUCAUAGUAUGGCUUCAAGCAAUGUCCGUUCACUUUGAAUAUGUUUCCCGUCUUGUCAUUUUGAAUCUCAACUGCACCGUGAGGGAAAACAUUAAUAACAACAAAAGGACCGUACCAUCUAGAACGCAACUUACCUGGGAAUAGCCGGAGGCGUGAAUUGAAGAGCAAGACUUUCUGCCCUAUUUCAAAGGUCUUCCUUUGAAUGGCUUUGUCAUGAAAUGCCUUCGUCUUUUCCUUGUAAACCCGUGCACUCUCAUAGGCAUCAUUUUCCUCAUCUCAUCCAAUUCAUUCACUUGGAGUCGCCUUGCAUCUCCAGCCUCUUUCAUAUCGAAAUUGAAUUUCUUGAUUGCCCAAAAUGCUCUAUGUUCAAGUUCAACCGGAAGGUGACAUGCUUUACCAUAAACCAAACGAAAAGGAGACAUACCAAUGGGGGUUUUGUAAGCUGUCCUAUAUGCCCAUAAUGCUUCAUUAAGUCUCAAACUCCAAUCCUUUCUCGUAGGGCUCACGGUUUUCUCCAAGAUUUGCUUGAUUUCUCGGUUACUAAUCUCCACUUGUCCACUUGUUUGGGGAUGAUAAGGUGUCGAGACCCUAUGUGUAAUUCCAUACCGCUUUAAAAGUGCCUCAAAUGACCUAUUGCAAAAGUGAGUGCCUCCAUCGCUGAUAAUGGCUCUUGGUGUUCCAAACCUAGAAAAGAUGUUGUCCUUCACAAAACUCAAAACAACUUUUGAAUCAUUAGUCCGGGUAGGAAUUGCUUCCACCCAUUUAGAGACAUAGUCAACAGUAAGAAGAAUGUAAAUAAAGCCAUAAGAGGAAGGGAAUGGUCCCAUAAAAUCAAUGCCCCACACAUCAAAUAUUUCAACAAUAAGGAUAGGCGUUAAAGGCAUUUGAUUCCUAGAGCUAAUGUUACCGGUUCUUUGACAUCUACCACAUGUGGAACAAUAAGUAUAUGCAUCUUUGAACAAGCUAGGCCAAUAAAAACCACAUUGCAAUACUUUAAGGGCUGUUUUCUUAGUACCAAAAUGUCCACCACAUGCAGAUGAAUGACAAAAGGUAAGUAUAGAAUUAAAUUCAGAUUCAGACACGCACCUUCUAACAAUCUGAUCUGGACAAUAUUUCCAUAAGUAUGGAUCAUCCCAAACAUAAUACCUACUUGUUUUUACAAGCUUAUCCUUUUGAGCGCGAGUGAGAUCCUUCGGAAUCAGUUUUGAAGCCUUAUAAUUGAUAAUGUCAGCGUACCAAGGGUCCUUGGCUUCGAGGGUGAAGAGUUGCUCAUCGGGGAAACUUUCACGUAGAGGAAGCACGUCCUCUUCUUCAUUGGAUCCUUGCGCCAGCCUACUCAAAUGGUCAGCCACCACGUUUUCACUCCCUUUCUUGUCUCUAAUCACCAAAUCAAAUUCUUGAAGCAAGAGAGUCCACCUAAUCAGUCGGGGCUUGGCGUCCUUCUUUUGGAGGAGGUACCUAAGCGCUGCAUGAUCAGAGAAUACAAUUACUUUAGUGCCAAUAAGAUAUGAUCUNNNNNNNNNNNNNNNNNNNNNNNNNNNNNNNNNNNNNNNNNNNNNNNNNNNNNNNNNNNNNNNNNNNNNNNNNNNNNNNNNNNNNNNNNNNNNNNNNNNNAAGCACUCCUUUUCUGUAGUUGAGUAAUUCAACUGAGCAUCAUCCAAAGUCCGGGAGGCAUAAUAGAUGGCAUGUGGUACGUUGUGCACUCUUUGUCCAAGCACGGUCCCCACUGCAUAAUCCGAGGCGUCACACAUCAACUCAAAGGGAAAAUUCCAAUCUGGAGGCUGCAUGAUGGGAGCAGACGUCAAAAGCUCCUUAAGCUUGUUAAAUGCAGCCAAGCACUCUUCAUUAAACUCGAAUUCCACAUCUUUGCCAAGCAAUCGACAUAGGGGCCUUGAUAUUUUUGAAAAGUCCUUGAUGAAACGCCUAUAGAACCCUGCAUGUCCUAGGAAUGACCGAAUCUCCUUAACGGUUUUGGGGGGCAGCAAGCUUCUCACAAUGUCGAUUUUUGCCUUGUCCACUUCAAUUCCCCUACAAGAGAUAAUGUGACCUAAUACAAUACCCUGCCGUACCAUGAAGUGGCACUUCUCCCAGUUGAGCACUAAAUUGCAUUCCUGACACCUUUUCAACACUAAAGAGAGGUUGUGAAGACAAAUAUCAAAUGAAUCACCAAAAACUGAAAAAUCAUCCAUAAAUACUUCUAUUAUCUCCUCUACCAUAUCAGAAAAAAUGGACAUCAUGCAACGUUGAAAAGUGGCAAGUGCGUUACAUAAACCAAAAGGCAUACGCCUAUAAGCAAACGUACCAAAUGGACAGGUGAAGGUGGUCUUUUCUUGAUCUUCUGGAGCUAUGGCAAUUUGAUUGUAUCCGGAGUAUCCAUCCAAGAAGCAAUAAUGACUAUGACCUGCAAGACGCUCAAGCAUUUGAUCAAUAAAUGGUAACGGAAAGUGAUCCUUACGUGUCGUGGUAUUGAGCUUUCUAUAAUCUAUGCAUACUCUCCAACCCGUUUGAAUUCUUUGAGGCACCAACUCAUUGUCUUCAUUCUUCACAACGGUAAUUCCAGAUUUCUUGGGAACAACUUGGACGGGACUCACCCACUUGCUAUCCGAAAUGGGGUAUAUAAUUCCCACGUCCAAAAGCUUCAAAAUUUCCUUCUUAACGACUUCUUUCAUCACCGGAUUCAGCCUCCUUUGGGCUUCCCCUUGUAGGUUUCGAUUCUCCUUCCAAAAAGAUCCUAUGCAUGCACUUUGUAGGGCUUAUUCCUCUGAUGUCUGCAAUGGUCCAACCUAGGGCAGUCUUGUGCUCCCUUAGAACUCGAAUUAGUUUGUCUUCUUCGGAUGCACUCAAAUUAGAAGCAAUGAUCACAGGCAGCGUCUUUUCAUCACCUAAAUAUGCAUAUUUCAAGUUCUCUGGAAGGGGUUUUAGCUCAACCUGUGGUGCCUUCACAAUAGAGGGAACAAGCUUAUUAGUAGAUAAUGGAAGAGGCUCAAAAAUAGAGUUAAACUUACCUCUUUGGGGAGGCAAGGCCUCAAGCAUAUUCACAGCUUCAAGUACAGCUGUGUUCCCUUCUUCAUUCACAGUUUUGGGGCUUUGGAUGAGUGCCCUCUCUAAUGGCGUCUCUUCUUGUGAUGCAUUAAAUGUUUCUUGUACCAUUUGCUCAAGUCUAUCCAUGGAAAAACAAGCAUGAUCAUCAUUAGGAUAUUUUAAAGCAUCAAAGACCUUAAACUCCACGGUUUCCUCAUUGAAUGCCAUUGUGAGAGUGCCUUCAUACACAUCAAUUUUUGUCCUUGCUGUUCUCAUGAAUGGACGUCCUAGAAUCAAUGGAAGGUCUUUUCCAGGAAUAGGAACUUCCUCCAUCUCUAGCACUAGAAAGUCAGCUGGAAAAAUUAGCUCAUUCACCUUGACCAAAACGUCUUCCAACACUCCCUUAGGAUACUUGAUUGAUCGAUCAGCCAAUUGUAUGCUCACGGAUGUCUUCUUAAGCUCACCUAAAUUUAAAGAUUCAAAAACAGAAAAAGGCAUCAAAUUAAUUGAAGCACCUAAGUCUAAUAAAGCAUGUUCAAACCUUUGAUUUCCAAUGAGACAAGGUAUAGUAAAACUCCCUGGAUCCUUUAGUUUAGGAGGUAAUUUACGCAAUAGCACGGCGGAGACUUCUUCACUUAAGGCCACGGUUUCAUGCUCCUUGAACGUCCUCUUAUUUGUACAAAGUUCUUUGAGGAAUUUUGCAUAUCUUGGAAUUUGUUGGAUUGCAUCGAGCAAGGGAAUGUUCACUUGCACUUUUCGGAAAGUCUCUAGGAUAUCCUUUGAAACUUGCUCCUUUUUUGAAUUCAAAAACCUACGAGGAAAAGGAACCUUUGAAGUAAUUGAAUGAUUCACAAGAGAACUUACCUUGUCACUUGGAACCGUAAGCUUGGGAGAGGGGGCAGCCACUGUUUUGGUUGAAUUUCUCUCCUCAUUGUCAUCAUUUUCCACCUUUUUUCCACUUCGAAGAGUAAUCGCAUUUGCGGUGUCAUGGCCUCCAUUAGGAUUUGGAAUUACUUGGCUUGGAAACUUUCCUGGCUCUCUUUGACUCAAGGAGGCUGCAAUUUGUCCAACUUGGUUUUCAAGGCUUUUGAUUGCUGUAGACAUUUGUGCCUGUGUUUGCCUUGUUUCCUGCAUAAAACCCUGAGUGCUUAAUGCCAAAGAAUUAAUUAACUCUUCUAAAGACUGACCUUGCCCAUGAGGUGGUGCAGGUGCAUUUUGUUGAGGAACAAAUUGAUUUUGUCGAACUGGGGCUGUUUGCACAUUUUGGUUGUUCUUCCAUCCAAAGUUAGGGUGUUGCCGCCAUCUCGGAUUAUAAGUGUUAGAAAAUGGAUCGUUUCUUGGCUUUUGUUGCUGCAUAUAGUGUGCUUGAGCCAUCUCUUCUCCAUCACCAUACAAACUUGGACAAGACUCCGUAGGAUGUCCGGGAUUAGCACACACAGCACACACUUGUGCUUGAGGGAUUAAUUGCUUAACAAGGUUAGUCAAAUUAGCUAUUUGAGGACCAAUAUCACUAGCACUUACCUCAUAAACACCUGCUUUCUUUGGGGGAGCUCUCCGGUAAUUAAACUGUUGAGAGUUUGCUGCAAUGUUCUCAAACAUCUCCUUGGCUUGAGUAGCACUCUUGUUCAUCAAACCUCCUCCACUAGUAGCAUCAACCAUCAUCCUCUCCGAAUCAAGUAAUCCCUCAUAAAAGUAUUGCAUAAGUAGCCAAUCUUCAAUUUGGUGAUGAGGGCAUGAAGCUAGGAGUCUCUGAAACCGAUCCCAAUACUCAUGAAAUGAUUCUCCAUCUAGUUGCUGCACUCCCAUGAUCUCCUUUCUAAUAUGGUUUGUCUUUUGAGCUGGAAAGAACUUUGCAAGGAACUUGGAAGCCAAUGAUGUCCAUGUGGUGACAGAUGCACUAGGUAAAGAAUAAAGCCACUCCUUGGCUCGUUCCUUGAGUGAGAAUGGAAAUAAACGCAAUCUGAUUGCCUCAUCACUAAUCCCUCCAUUGUGCAUAGUCGCGCACACGGCAAAGAAGUCCUUGAUAUGUAUGUGAGGAUCAUCCCCCAGCCUUACCAUAAAAUUGCGGCAAAAGGUGAAUGGUGCCACUCUUGAUCUCAAAGGUGGUUGUAGUGGCUGGAUACGCAAUACAAGACGGCUGGUCCAAUGCUUUAGGAACUGUGAAAUCCUUCAAAGGUCGGGUGAGGUUGUUGAGUUCCAACUCGUCUCCCAUCUUGAUUGGAAGUGUAUCUUGCUUAUUUUUAUCUCGAUGGAGAUAACGAAGUGUGUUCUCUAGUUCAGGGUCGUAUGGUAUAAGCUCGUGACUCUGCGAACGACGACCCAGCAUAUAUCUGAAAUUGAAAACAAAACUCAAUUAGAUUGAAAAUCCCCGGCAACGGCGCCAAAAACUUGUUGGUUAAUUUUAACAACAAUAUUAAAACCUUGCAAGUGCACAAAUCAAUGAUAGUAUAGUAAGCAAGCAAGGGUCGAUCCCACGGAGAUUGUGAUCUAAAGAGAUGUUUAUCAAUGUCACGCAAUGAAAAUCAAAACAAAGGACUUCCAAACACACGCCAACACCAAGGGGGGUUUUGAUUUGUUUUUGUGAAUCAAACAAAAUAAGAAAAAGGAAACAAAAGAGAAUUUAAAUAAGAGUUUAAGAGAAAUUGGUUUAAAAAUCAAUCAAGAACAAUAGCUAGAACUUACUAUCCACCUCCAAACAAUCAAUCAAUCCAUAAACAACAAUAGAUAAUCAAUUUCUAGCAAGCAUAUGAUGACGACACUCACAACAAGAUCAUGGCAUUUGACUCGAGUUGUAUGAUUCUCUCUUAAGUGUAUGUAAAGUGUAUGGCAUUUACAUCAAUAUGUGUAUUCUUAAUUGAAAUUUAGUAUGGCAUUUACUCAAAUUAACAAUCAAGAAUCCAUUAAGAUCAAAGAGAAUAUGAGUGUCACAAAAACCCUAAAACAUGGCAUUUGUUAUUAGGAAUUCAAGAAUCGAUUUCUCAUAACUAGUUCUUAACCCAAUUAUUCGUUGCAAACAAGAAAACAUUCAAUAUGGCAAUUGACCUAUGUUCUACAACAAUUUAAUUCCAAUACAUGCUUCUAAGUUAGCUACUCAAAGAAACAAAAUAUCAGAAUUCACAUAACAUAGAGAAACCGAAAUCAUCACGCUUGUAGAAACUAAAAAUCUAUUAAACUUGUUUAUAAAAUUGAAAUCAUGUUUAGGGCUUCAAGAUUAAGCCCUAACUAACAAGAAAUUAGUUACUCAUGGUCUUGGAUGAACUCAAAAAUAAAUACAUAAGAACUGAAAAUUAAAAGAAGGAAGGAAAAGAAAGAACUCGUUCGCAGCUUUCUCCUCUUGCGCGGUUGAUCUCUUUAGGACGUGAAUCCUUUUCUUCAGGCCUUGGCUCAUCUUUUAUAUCACUUAUAUCAGAGUUCUAAACCCUAAAAUUGACUGAAAAGUCGUCCAAGAAGUCUUGGUAAACAAGGAAUCCAAAUAGGAAAGUAAAAAUCACAAUUCCUAACUCCACUGGGAAAUACAGCUCAGCCCAAUGUUCACACGAUUUGGGGAUCUUCGACCUUGUAGAAAAAUCAUUAAAAAUAUAUUUUAGAAAGAUAAAUGUCUUAUCUUUCCAACCAUAUAUAGCACGUAACUUGAAAAAUUCGGAAAGGCUUCCGUUUCUUCACAUUCACGUAACAUGUACGAAACUGUCCUGUCUGCACGUGGGCUAACUUUACUUGUAAUACUGUACCAAUUGGCUUGGUAGAAAAUUCUAGAAAAAUCAUAGAUUGAACUUCAAGAUGUUAGCUUUCAUCUCCAAUUGGUCUUGUGCUAAAAUUCCUCCGAAAAGUUGAUUUUCCCUUAAAAAGCUUCUAAGAGCGCAGAAAAGCUGAAAAUCAGAAAAAUAAAGUAAUAAGCCCUUUUUAAAUCUAAUUCUCUUACAAAAUCAAAGUAAAAAGAGUACAUAAAUGAGUAUAUUUAUGGACUUAUCAGAUUGUGUGCGAGAGGUUGUUUGCGUCAGAGAACUCUUGUGCAAGUUUGGUCAUUCGAUACAACAACUGUGUUGCAGUUUCUGAUUUCCCUUCAAAGAUAAAGCUGUUUCUCCUAUUCCAAAGUCCCCAGCACAGAUAUGCAAACAACCCUUGCUCUUCCCCACUUGAGGAUAGCUGUAAUGCAUGCCAUAGCUCUCUGAAAGAAUUGACCCUCCACACCUCACAGACGUUCCCCCAUGCUGAGUUGCGCCACACGUCCUUUGCAGCCUCACACAACCAUACAGCAUGUAGUACACUUUCAGCUUUGCGAUGGCAUUUGGGGCAGAUAGGUGUAGGCGCUAUUUUCCGAUUGAAAAGUAUCUGACCGCAAGGCAAAAAAUCCCAGGCACACCUCCAUAGAAAGAACUUAUUCUCAUUUGGGAUUUUAAGAGCCCAAAUUUUCUUCCAGAACUUUGAAUUCAAAUCAACUCUAGCUGAGGGCUCUCCCCUCAUUUUAUCCUUCUCCAACCCUGCCAACCGAUAUCCACUUUUGACCAAAUACAUGCCGUUUCUUUCAUAAUGCCAAAUUAAACAAUCGUGACCUGCCAAAGAAGCCAAUGGAAUUUGCAAUAUUGCAUCCACCUCUUUGUCCCAAAAAAUAUCCUUAAGUAAUGGCACAUUCCAUUGCCCUGAAGAGGUAAAUAAAUCACAAACCAGAGUUGACAAAGGCAACUAGGGAGGAGACAUAAUUUUGAAACAAGACGGGGCUGGAAGCCAUUUGUCAGUAUAAACCUGGAUGGACACUCCACUGCCAACUCUCCAAUGCAAUCCCUUAUUGAGCAACUCUUUCCCCCAUUGCAAAGACCUCCAAAUGAAGGAUGGAUUGGUUCCCACUUCAGCUUCUAAGAAUGGUACUGAUGGAUGGUAUCUGGCUCUAAAAUGCUUGCUACUAGCGACUCUGGAGUCCGGAGAAUGCGCCAACAUUGCUUUGCAAGUAGAGCCUAAUUGAAUGCCUCAAGAUCAUGAAACCCCAACCCUCCUGCAAACUUACUCUUACACAACAGCUCCCACUUCACCCAAUGAAUACCCCUCUUGUCUUUCGCCUUUGCCCACCAAAAUCGAGCCAUGAUUCCAUUAAGCUCCUUGCACAAUCCUUUUGGAAUCCGAAAACAACUCAUCGAAUAGGUGGGGAUUGCCUGUAACACGGCUUUGAUUAAAAUCUUUUUCCCCGCUCUAGAUAAGAGCUUUUCCUUCCACCCACUUAUAUGCUUCCAAAGUUUGUCUUUUAAAUGUUGGAAGAGUUGUUUCCUUCCCAUUCCAGCGAUAGUUGGCAGACCUAAAUAAUUCUCAUGGCACUGCACAACAAGGACGUUCAAAACACCUUCAAUCAUAUCGAAAUCUGCCCUUGUGGCAUUCGGACUUAGAGAGAGCGCGGAUUUAGAAUAGCUGAUUUGUUGCCCUGUUACCUCUUCAUAGGUUUGGAAUAAUGUUUCCAAAGCCAUACAAGCCUCAUUCGUUGCCUUCAUAAAUAGAAUGCUGUCAUCCGCAAACAAUAGAUGAGUUACUGAAGGCGCCCCCCUUGCCACUUGAACCCCAACCAAAUCUCCUCUCCUUUCUGCACCACGCAAUAGGCACGAGAACCCCUCAGUGCACAUAAGAAAAAGAUAUGGAGAUAAAGGACAUCCUUGCCGUAACCCACGCUGUGGCAUAAUGUGCCCAACCAGAGUGCCCUUCCAAAGCACCGAAAAAGUUGUAGUGGAGAUGCAAUCCAUGACUUUGGAGACCCAUGUGGCUGAAAAACCCAGUUUAAGCAUCAUUGCACGCAAGAAAACCCACUCCACCCGGUCGUAUGCUUUGGGCCAUUUUGACAUCGCGCCCCUUCUUCACUCCCUUAAUAGUAUGCAUUAUUUUGAAAGCAGCCAUCACAUUAUCCAGAAUCAUUCGGUUCGGUACAAAGGCGCUUUGAGUUUCAGUAAUAACGUGAGGAAGGACAGUCUUCAACCGAUUUGCAAUUGUUUUCGCUAUCAUCUUGUAUACGGUUGUACACAGGCUGAUUGGUCGGAACUCUGAAACAGUGGUUGGCAUCUUGACUUUCGGGAUGAGAGCUAUAAGAGUAUGGUUAAACUCCCGAACGCUUCCUUCCCCGUUUAAAAUCUGCAAACACUUUUUGGCCACCUUAUCGCCACCUAUAUGCCAAUACUUUUGGAAAAAUAAAGCUGGCAUGCCAUCAUGCCCAGGUGCUUUCGUUGGGAACAUCUGAAAUAAAGUAUGCUCCAGCUCUUCCCGCGUAAAAGCUUGCAAUAGCCAAGCUCCUGGAACUGUAUACGACAAUCUGCGUAAUAGCUCCCAAGAAUGGUUUUGUUGUUGCGUGUCAGGAUGCCCAUAAAAACCAGUAAGAUAAAACUGUGAAUCAUUCGGCUCAGUGAUCAAAACAUGAAUGUGACCCACGGAAUAAGAUAGUAGCCUCAAACCCCAUCCACUCCGCUAAAACAAAGCCAAACCUCCCCCCAAGCCCACUCUCACCACUGUAACUAUCCCUUCCAUUCCAAGUUGUAUCCGUGUAUUUUCCAUCUGCUUUGCCGUCAUUUUGGUUUCCAUUAAGAAGACCAAAUCGGGUUUUUUCUCUCGCAACACAUUAAGAAGACCUAUUAGAUUAGUUUAGUUUUAAUUUGGUUUAGGGAUAGUGGAUCCACUCCCAUCUCUAUAUCUUUUCUCCAUCACUAAAAUUGGUCGUGUUGGACACAAAUAAAUAAAUAAAUAAAUAAAUAUUUUUUUUAAAUACAAAAACUGGUCAUUAUCCAAUGCAGCUUUUAUUGAACAGUAAUGCAAGGGACACAUAAUUUGAGUCACAAGCAUGUCAACCCCAAUAGGCUCUUAUAUAUGGCCGAGGAGAAUUUAUCUGACAGACCAGAGAUUUCAAGUUCGAAUCACCAUGACAUCUUAAUUUUGUGUGUGAGUUUAGACUAUCAUUUGUACUACAAUAUAUAUACAUAUAUAACAUGUUAAAGUAUUGGCGAUACAAGGACCGCGCUUUUUCAUUCCAAGCAUUCUUUAAUACAAGCCAGGGUGAGGAAAGGGACAAAAACAGAAACUGGAUCGGUGUUUGUGUGAAUGCUGUAUUGUCAUGGUCUUUGUUUAGUUAGCAUAUUGUCUAAUUCUUUUUUUUGCUUGUAUAGUCUUUGUUCACACAUGUGAAUUUGUGAUGAUGCGAAGCCUUACAAAAGAUUUUUCUUAGUUAGUCUUUAAAAAAAACAUUAAAAAUAGCCCACCGAGUAUGUCUACUAAUAGUCUUUGUUUAUAUUAACAUCUAGAUGGUCACAAUUAAAAAAGAAAAGCAACAGAAAGUGAGGAGAAACUAAAGGACAAUGGAGAUGAAUAGGAAGAGUAGAAAUCUCACUUCAGCUCGGGUGACCAUUUCAACUUUCCAUUAUCCGUCUGAUAUCAAAUUGAGUGAUUCUAUGGACCGACACCCUAAAAUAAUCUUUAGACACCAAGCCCCCACAUUUUCGGUUUAUGAAAUGCUCACUGCUUGCAAGUUGCAUAUAUCUUAACCGAGUCCCUCCCCAAACUUUAUACUCCCAAGUCCCAAGAACACUAAUAUUGCAAAAAAAAUUAAGAUUAUGUUGUAAAAGAAGAAUAAGUAAAGAAGAAUAGGUGAAGCCCACAUAGCCAACUAACAUUCACUAAACCUAACCACACACCCACCAAACCAAACCACUACCCAAUUGAUUGAAGAAUAUUAAUGAUAUUGUUGAUUGAAGAAUAUUAAUGAUGUUGUCUACCACUUAUAUUGUGAGGUGAACAACCAAUGUCUUAGGCCUAUAAAUAGAUACCUCCAUCAAGAGAAGUUCAUACAUAUAGACGAGGAAGAGAAGGAUGAAUGAGGGUGAGUGAGUUGAGAAGAAAGAGAGCAAGAGAGAAAUUCUCCAAGAGAGAAAAUUGAGUGAGCCAUACAUAUUGUAAACACAAAGUUGUAGCCCUAUUAUUUUACAUAGUGGAAAAGUUACUGCUGCUGCUCUCCGGGGAUGUAGGCAUAGCCGAACCUCGUUAAAUACUGUGUCUCAUCUACUUUACGUGCAGCUCAAUAUUCGCACAUAUUCCGUUCAUUUUAUAACAGAUUAAAUAAUUCAACACUCCAUGGAAGAGCAUUUUCUUCUCAUCACUGUUGCCCGACUCUUUUGUAUUGGUGUGUGUGUACGGCAUUCCUGCUCACAUAUCUAGCUUUGUCACCCUUCAUAUGCGGCCACGAGUAGUACUCACGCAGUAUCCUAUACAUCUUAGUACUACCCGGUUGCAUAGAAUAGGUUGAACAGUGUGCCUCCUCCAUGAUUUCUCUCUUUAAGUCUUCGUUCUUGGUACACAAAUGUAACACCCCGACUCCAAAUUUAACCCUUAUUUAAGUUAUUUAAAUUAUUUAAGGGAAAAUACAAAAUUUACCCUUGAGAUAAGGGCAUUUUGGUCAUUUUCUUAACCAGAGAGAGUUUGGGGCAGUGACUAGUAUUUUUGGAUAGGUCGUACUGAGACGAGUUCGUAGACACGUAGUGGGCUCGAAUCGGAGUUGUAACGAGAGAGAUAUCAUCAAAAGAAACCCAGUGGCACAAUCGUAAUUAUUUCGAAAUGAAAUUUUUAUAAAAAUCAGAUUUUUUUUUUUCUCUCUCUCUCUCUCUCCCCGUCGGCCUCUCUCUCUCUCUCCUCGAAACUCCGGCCACCGGCCACAGCUGUGGACGAGGCCAGUACCAAAAUGACUGGGGCCUCGUCCUCUUCCAGCCCCAACCCACUCCCGCCUCCAGCCACCGUGGUUUAGCCGGAAAAUGGAGAAGAAGCGGCCGGUGUCGUCCGAUCUCAAACGCCGUCGAUCUCCCUCCUCCGGCCACUGAUUCCGACGAGCGAGGUAUGGUUUCUCACCUACUUUUCAUGCUUUAGCUGCCUGUUGGGUAGGAUUGGAUCGAUUCUUAGCGUAGCCAAUUCGAUUUACGAAUUGAAAUUCGGUCAAUUUUGGGAUCGCGAUUCCGGCUACUUCUGGUCAGUUUUUGGGGUGGGUCCAAGAACAAAAGUGGCUCCAAAUACCCCUGUUAUACCUAGAGUAGGAGUUUGGAUCCGUGGUUUUGAGAUUUUCCGACGAUGCGUAAUCGCUUUGGACACCCAACGCUGCUGGCGAGUGUGGCGGCGAGUGGACGAGGGUAGUGGAGUAGCACUAUGUCUCGAUGAGAUCCUUAGGUUGUCACGAGUGCGUAGGAUUUCGCAGAUCUCAAUUUGGACGUCGUUUGACUAUCGAACGGACGAUCGCAUAUUGCGCGUUAUCCGGGUUUGAUAGGUUGGGACCGUUGGAUGGUCUCGAAUUUAAUAUAUGUUAAUCUAGGUAUUUUUAGGAUCGUGUAGGAAUUCACGGAUCAUGAAUCGGAGCUCCGGAUGUUCCGAUUAAAUAAUUUAAAGUUUAUGUUUUAUAAUAACUGUCAGAUCGUGCGAUCGUGAGCGAUCUGACAGUCCGAUCUAGACCAAACUCGCAGGACGAGUGUCCUAUACCUUGUGGAACCCAUAGGAACUUUCGGAUCGGAAUUUGGAGGUCGUGGGCCCCGUAGGCCCAGUUGACUAGGGUUAGGGUAGUGUGACCCUUGGUUGACCGUGAGUCUUCCGGAGUAGUCUCACCGUCCCAAGGGGAUUGUUGGGUGCUAGACUAUUGUUGAGGUUUACACAAUAUUAGAAGUAAAUUAUAUAUUUAUAUACAUUUGUAAAGGUAAAAAAGGAGUCUAGAAUGUCAGUUUGAAGUGCUAUACGCACUACCUUAGGCACCUCCCCGGAUUUCGGUUACACUACAAGUACCACCCAGUGAAAGUUAGGUCCCACGUGACGUAGGUUAUCCGGGGUGCGGACAGGCCCCAUACGUAGCGUUGGUUGUACAGGCGUAUGGGGAGAUUAUGUGUUAUUGUGUUGAGGUCGCACGUGGCGUAGGUUAUCCGGCGUGUCGACAGACCUCAUACGUGGCGUUGGUUGUAUCGGCGUAGGGGGAGAUAUGUGAUAUGAUAUGCAGGUCUCGCGUGGCGUAGGUUAUCCGGCGUUGAGAUAGACCCCAUACGUGGCGUUGGUUGUACCAGCGUAUGGGGAGAUAUUAUGAUAUGAUGUUGAGGUCGCGCGUGGCGUAGGUUAUCCGGCGUGUCGACAGACCCCAUACGUGGCGUUGGUUGUACCGGUGUAUGGGGAGAUAUGUGAUAUGAUAUUUAGGUCUCGCAUGGCGUAGGUUAUCCGGCGUUGAGACAGACCCCAUACGUGACCUUGGUUGUACCGGCGUAUGGGGAGAUAUUGUGACAGUAUGGUAUGGUCGCACGUGGCGUAGGUUAUCUGGCGUGUUGACAGGCCCCAUACGUGGCGUUGGUUGUACCGGCGUAUGGGGAGAUUAUGUGAAAUACAGAGAAAUGAAAUAAGGUAUCGCCUAUGUGUGGAAUUGGGUCUUAGGGAAGAACUAUGUGUGGCUUGAUCCCUCAUGUAGGUUACGUAGGCAGCCUAAGGUUAUUAGGUGCAGCCGUAGACUAAAUGUUAGUCACGUUGUUUUAGAGAGAUUGAUUCAGACCUUGUUGUUGGUCCUGAAAUUUAGGUGAAAGUGUGAUUGUGUUAGGAGGCUAAAACCUCAUAUCAAAUGUGAAAGGUUAAGUGAUGCAUGUUGAAAUUUAAUAGUCAUAAUUUAUAUUUGAAUUUAUUGUUUGCCUUGUUUAAGGCAUGAAUUGACUUCUUAGCGUGUUUGGUAGUUUGUUGGGAUAUCCAUUGUUCAUUUCCUUUCGAAACUACGUUGGUUGUGUAAACUAAAAAAUUUCUUAGAUUGCUCUGGUAUUGCCCAUGUAGGGUUGAAAUUGAGGCCAGAGGCCUAUUUUGUAAACUGUGUGCUUUAGCAUUGUAUGUGCUGCCAGUUGGGAUUUUAAAUGUCUUGUUUUACAGGUGGAAAAAUUGGGAAACUUUUCAUUUUUCGAGGGGGACUCUGACGAUAUUUUGGUAGAAGACUCGGCCCAUUUCUUUUUGUCGUUCACGGAAUAGGGUUAUUUUAGUAAAUGGGCCCAGCAUCGGUUAGGUGCUAGAUGGGAACAGUGUUAGUCAUAGAUUCCAAGGGGGAAUUUGGGGAGGUCCUGUCACCAUAAAUAUCCAAAAUAGCAACCAAAUUCAACGAUGCUGAGACAUUUCAGUGCUACCAACACUAAGAACCCAACUAGUUGCCACAUGAUCCACAUAAUAAAGCCCCUUUUUUUAGUACCACGACCAAGGAUCUCCUGAGUCUAGUUAUCCUUUAGUAAGACAAAAGACAAAUACAUCAGUAUAACAUAAUUUAACUACUUAGUAACUUGCAGCACAGAUAAAGAUGGAACUAGUAACACUUUGUCCAAUGGUAAAAUAGGUGUCAAUAGAAUAGAACUUGACAGAACCCACCCCGAAUUUCUCGAAAUCCACAACGAAUCCUGUAGAUUAUCCUAAAUCAUACUGAUGUCGGGCCCCUUACUAAAAAGGGGCGAGAUUUUCUCCCAAAAUUUCGGCAAAGUCUCCCCUGAACGGACAUUUCCUACAUCAUACUAAUGUCGGGUCCACUUACUAAAAAGGGGCGAGACUUUCUGCUGAAAUUUCGGCAGAGUCUCCCCUAAAAAGCGGACAUUUCCAAAAUUUUCAACCUGUUCAAACACAUUUAUAUAUCUCAAUCGGCAGCAUGCACAAGAUAAUAACAUGCAGUUUACAUAAUAGGCCUCCGGGUUUACAAUCAACCCUAAGAUAGGCUAUAACAGAGCAUAUCUAAUAAUACUCAGUUUACAAGUGAAGCAUAAAGUUCGACGGAAAUAAAAACGAAGAAAGUCAUCCUACAAGAGUUUUGGGCUAGGAAGUUAGGAUCUCGGCUAGGCCGCUCGGUACGAGUCUAUCUAUUGCCUAGGAGGCGCAAAACAGAAAACAUGUGAGUGAACAAAAUUAAAGUUUGGUUAUAUUUGAAAACAACAUACUAACCCUACCGUUUGGAAAAUAAUGCUAAAACAUGCAAUUGAUACUAUUCCUACAUAAUCAUUGUGAAAUCAAAGUAUUCUCACUUCCCCGAUAUCAUAUAAUAAUAUUCAAAUCAAACCCUUUGACUCCAACCCAAACCGUUCCAGAAACAUAGACUUAUAAAACGAAAUACGUAAGAAUGAAUUUAAAAUAAUCGACUCAUACAUAUAUAUAUACAUAUAUACGAAUAUAUAUGUAGGCUAUGAUGACUCAUACUAUAUAAGUAUAUACCCCUAAUUCCAUAAGUAUACGAAUACUAUGAUAUACAUAUUAUAUAUAUAAGAUAGUAUCACACCAACUCUAGUACCGGGGAAACAAUCUAACAGGGGGAUUGUUUGACUAAUUCGCAGGGAUUCAGCUUUCUACCCUGUGUCUAGGGAUGAGCUGUCCAACCGGGGAACUAACACUCUACAUCACACACACCGAAAAUUCUAAUGCCACGUGUGGCCAACUCCAACCACUAAGUCCUAUGCGCACAGACUGCUUUAUCACAUGCCAAAUAAUCCAAUGUCACGUGUGAUAAAGUACAACAAAACCAAAUGUGCCCACAUGCCAAAUAAUCCAAUGCCACGUAUGAAUACAAUAACCAGGGAAGGGUACUUAGCAUGGUGCAGUCACAUAUUCACAUCACAAUCCAUAAACUACCCAACUCAUAUUAAUCUCAUGCCUAUUUAUUUAAUCAAAAAGUGAAUAGCAAUUUCUCAACAUAUAUAAUCCAUAUUCCAAACAAUUAUAAACUUUAAAUAUCUAGAUAGUCGAAAUAUCCAUAAUUAAAUUAUAUAUAUAUAUAUAUACCCAUUCCAUAAUCAUAAAAAUCCAUAUUAGAUGGAUGGUAAUUAAAUCGAUAAAUUAAUGCUAUUUCAAAACAAAGUACACUCACAGGUAGUGCCACGCUGCUUGACCCUAAGAGGGUCCCGCCUGCUGUAUACGCUGGGUCAGAAUACCUAUUUAAAAAUACGAGGGCGAGAUUAAUAUAAAAUACUUCGAACAAGAACUUUAAAAUAAAAUCCUAGUUUCUGAGGAUUUAAGUGUGCACGAUGAACGAGAAGUUCUUAAGGUCCGACUAUGCGUUUUGGAUAGUAGAAUAGCCUCAGAAGACGCUCGGUCAACCAAGUGGUCAACUUUCCAAAUUGGGUCAACCUGGCCUGUGGGGCCCAAAACCUCCGAUUUUCAAUCCGAAAGCUCUUAUGGGUUCAACAAGGUUCAUUAUACAUGUCCUGCAAGUUUGGUUUGAAUUGAACGAUCGGAUCUCUCACGAUCGCACAAUCAGUUGGUUGUUGUUUAACCUAAUCUUUGAAUAAUUGAAUUGGAGUAUCCGGGGCUUUGAUUCAUGAUCCAUGAAUUCCUACACGAUCCUAGAGAUGCCUAGAUCAACAUAUUUUGAAAUGGAGUCGAUCCAAAAGUCUGAACAUAUCGAAUCCAGAUAACACUUAAUAUGCAUAAAUUCGAUUGACAGUCAAACGAUAACCAAAUUCAAAUCCGAGCAUACCGUCGUGCUUGGGACGACAUUGAGAUCAUUUUAGGACCAAAUGGGUCACCCAAAAGUGCCCAUGACGCUCGGUCAACCAAGUGGUCAACUUUCCAAAUUGGGUCAACCUGGCCUGUGGGGCCCAAAACCUCCGAUUUUCAAUCCGAAAGCUCUUAUGGGUUCAACAAGGUUCAUUAUACAUGUCCUGCAAGUUUGGUUUGAAUUGAACGAUCGGAUCUCUCACGAUCGCGCAAUCAGUUGGUUGUUGUUUAACCUAAUCUUUGAAUAAUUGAAUUGGAGUAUCCGGGGCUUUGAUUCAUGAUCCAUGAAUUCCUACACGAUCCUAGAGAUGCCUAGAUCAACAUAUUUUCAAAUGGAGUCGAUCCAAAAGUCCGAACAUAUCGAAUCCAGAUAACACUUAAUAUGCAUAAAUUCGAUUGACAGUCAAACGAUAACCAAAUUCAAAUCCGAGCAUACCGUCGUGCUUGGGACGACAUUGAGAUCAUUUUAGGACCAAAUGGGUCACCCAAAAGUGCCCAUGACCCUCCACACGCGCCUGUUGUGUGUGGGUGUCUUGAGAAAUUUUGACGACCGAAAAAUUCCCGAAACACCCAUCAAUACCUAUACCUACAUGAUCAAGACAACAAGUGGAGCAACUUUUGUUCUUGGACAAUGGCCAAAAAGUGAUCAGAACUUGCCGGAAACACGAGCCAAAAAUCCGCAAAACUUUAAGCUAUAAAUCGAGUUCCAAAAAACUAAAAAAUUGAUCGUAAUCAAUCUAAUCAUCAGCUAGGACACAUUGCGAGAAUGAGAAAGCAUACCUAGAUUGACGAAUUUGGUGGCCGGAAUCACCGGAACGAACGAUGGAAAUUUUGGGUCAAAACCAGUCGUAUUUUGCUAUUUUCCAGUGCCCUGGGCUGACGAGAUAGGCGGCGGAGGGGUGGGGUAGGAAGAGGGAAGUUAGCCGGUCGUUUUGGGAUGGGUCCCAGCUCAGCUGGUGGCCAGAGGUGGCCGCGGUGGCCCAAAAAUUGGUUGGUCUGUUAAGGGGGAAGGGGGAGAGAGAGGGAGAGAAAAACUAAACUUUGAAAUAUUUACGGUUGUACCACUGAGCUUUCGUAGAUCGUAACUGUGAAACCCCGUAUUUAUAAAAUUAUGUAGUUUGAAGAUUUAUUUGUUCUAUUCAUUAUAUAUAUGUGCAAUUUUCACUAUUAGUUUAUAUAUAUAUAUAUAAACCCAUAUUAUUAUUUGCAUGGCAGUGUGCACGUUGGGUAGAUAUCUAAGUGAGUGAGAUUUUAAUAAACCUAUCUUAUCUUGAAUUAUAUUAUAUUUUAUUGAAAACUUAGGAGUUAAGGCUUCAAAGACAUAAGAAACAUGAGGUAGACUCUCUAGUAUGAGGUGUUGGAUCAAGAGUAUUGUAGCUAGAGAUGGUGCCACCAUUCUUGCUAGGUGGCGGGCCAUGCCAAGAUUGAAGAUAAAGCUCAAGUUAUUGUUAUCCUGAAGUGUUGCCGCCAAGAGUAUUAACCAAUGAUAGAAGGAUAGCAACCGACACUUCUUCUAGUAUAAAUAAGACCUUCAUUACUUGUUGUCAUGCAUAGUUGUGCAAGGAGAGGAGAAAAAUAAAGAGAGAGAGAGAGAGAGAGAGAGAGAGAGAGAGAGAGAGAGAGAGAGAGAGAGAGAGAGAGAGAGAGAGAGAGAGAGAGAGAGAGAGAGAGAGAGAGAGAGAGAGAGAGAGAGAGAGAGAGAGAAGAAGAAGAAGAAAGAAAACAAGAGAAAGCAAGUGGUGAUGAAAUUCUUGGAGGAGAUAUAGGGCCUAGCUUGUAAAUGCUUUGGAAUUGAGAUAGGGAUUUCUUAGGAGCCUUUACGGGGAUUGAUCUAAUUAAAUUUCGUGAGAAAUAUAUUAUGCAUGAUAUUAUUAUUUGUACAUUGGUGAUGUUUAAAUGUUACAUUGUUGUGAGAUACAUGGAAUGCAUAAUUAUAUCAUGUCAUGGUAAUUGGUUGGAGUUGUUGGAUGGAGAAGAUAAUAAUGGAAAAGAGGGUAAUGGAUAUAGUCUUUUGUGUAGUUGAGUCUAACUCUUGGCAAGUACCAGGUCUCAGAGAUCCCACAGUGCACAUGGUUUUUAUUGGAUGAUUCAGGACUGGUGAAAGGGAGUUAGACAAGAUGACUAACAAAAGGGGAAUUAUGGGACAGUUGAAAUGGGUGUUAGUUCAUAUAAAUGGGCAUUCGGGACCAAGUGGUAUAAGCAUGGUAUGGGACUUGCAGGUCUGCUUGUCCAGUUAUAUGAAUUAACGGGAUUAGAUGAAGAGCAUUCAUGCAUUAUUAUUAUUAAUGUGAUAUUUGGUUGUGUGAUUGUAUGUCACUUAAUUUAGUUAUAUCAAUCUACUGUGGUAAGGUCUCAUGUCCCUACUGAGUUGUGGUUGCUCACCCCUCACCCUAUUUAAUUUUUCAGAUGAAUUAGUGGACAAGAAAAGGACUAAACCAGUUUAGGCUGAAUUAGAUGAGAGUGAUAGAGCUUUAUUUAUUUCUUGUAAAGUUGUAAGAUUUUGGAUCUAUUUUUAUAAGAGAAGUUUAUUUUAAACCUAUGUUUCUUAGUUUUAUUUUCUCACGCACCGAGCGCGGGGUUUUCUGCUGACCCCCGGGUCCGGGGCAUGACAGUAACUUCUUCGUUACAACUCCUAUUUGAGCCCAUUGCGUGUCUACGGAUUCAUAUCAACACGAUCUACGCAAUAGUACCAUUCAUUUCCCCCAAAUCAUUCUGGAUUAAAAAGUAACCAAAAUAACCCUAUCCUUGAAGGCAAAAUUGUAAUUUCAUAAUUAAAUAAAUUUUAAUAAUUUAAAUGGGUAAUUAAAAUAGGGUUGGGGUGUCACAACCUACCACCUUAUAAAAAUUUCGUGCUCAAAAUUUUCGUACCUAUCAUUUGAAGAAAUACGGGUAAUUGGCCUGGAUUUACACCUCGGGUUCCCAAGUGGCUUCUUCAAUAGUUUGACUCCUCCAUAGUACCUUCACUUCAGGAAUAGUUCUAGAGCGCAACACAUGUUCCUUUGUAUCCAAAAUUUGCACUAGUUGCUCCUCAUACGUCAAGUCUUCUCUUAGCUCCACCGGUUGUUGUUCCAGAAUAUGGGAAGAAUCAAGCAUGUACUUUCGUAGCCACAUGGAAUACGUCAUGAAUUCGAGAUAGUUCUGGAGGUAAGGCAAGUCUGUAGGCAACAAGUCCGAUGCAUUCCAUGAUCUCAUAAGGUCCGAUAUAAUGAGAGCUUAACUUCCCAUGUUUCCUGAACCUCAUCACACCCUUCCAAGGAGAUAGCUUCAAGAACACCCAAUCCCCAACUGCAAAUUCAAGAUCUUUAGACUUGUUUUUUUGCAUAACUCUUCUGUCGGUCUUGCACAGUUUUAAGCUUUUCUCGGAUCAUCCUCACCUUCUCAGUUGUUUCUUGGAUACUUUCUACCUUCUCCAAUUUUCUGUCACCCACCUCAUUCCAACAUAUAGGAGUUCUACACUACCUCAUAUACAAAGAUUUAUACGGAGCCAUUCCGAUGCUCGAAUGAUAAAUAUUAUUGUAAGCAAACUCCACCAAAGCAAGAUGAGUAUCCCAAGUAUCUUAAGUUAUAACACACAAGAUCUCAACAUGUCCUCGAAGGUCUAGAUUGUUCUUUCUGACUGUCCAUCGAUUUGUGGGUGAAAAGCAGUACUAAAUCGUAAGUUAGUACCCAUAGCCUCAAGUAAACACUUCUAGAACCUAGCAUCCCUGUCUGACACAAUGGAUAUAGGUACUCCAUGCAACCUCACAAUUUCAUCCACAAAGAGCUUAGCCAGUUCUGCCAAGGAGUAGGUUUCUUUGAUAAGUAGGUAGUGAGUGGAUUCAGUGAGUCGGUCAACUAUCACCCAAAUUAUGUCAUGCCCCCUUGAAGUAUGUGAAAGUUUGAAAACAAAGUCCAUUGUGAUAUGUUCCCACUUCUAUUUAAGGAUCGGAAGUGGCCAUAAGCCCAGAUGGUCUUUGUCGCUCCACCUUCACUUAUUGACAAAUUAAACACCCGCUCAUAUAUCUAGCUAUGUCACCCUUCAUAUGCGGCCAUGAGUAGUACUCACGUAGUGUCCUAUUCAUCUUAGUACUACCCGGGUGCAUAGAAUAGGUUGAACAGUGGGCCUCCUCCAUGAUUUCUCUUCAAGUCUUCGUUCUUGGGUACACAGAGACAAGUUCCAAUUACCAAGGCUCUGUCUUCUCUCAUUGCAUAAUCCGUUUGUAUACCAUUCUCUACUUCUAGUCUUAUCAUACACAGUGUAGGAUCCUCUAAUUGGGCUGCAAUCACCCUUUCAACCAGAAUAGGCCUCACAUGCAAACUAGCAAGUAGUCCACCCUAUUGGCUCAUUCCUAGUUCUGCUCCAUCUUUUUGCAGUUCCACCAGUAGUGGUAGAUAAGCUAUUCGGAGAUGAGCAAGGCUUCCACUAGACUUCCUACUCAAGGCAUCCACCGCAACAUUAGCUCGCCCAAGAUGAUACUCCAUUGUACAAUCAUAGCCCUUAAUCAAAUCUAGCCUACGCCUUUGCCUCAUGUUCAACUCGUUCUGGGUGAAAAAGUACUUGAGGCUUUUGUGAUCAAUGAAGAUCUGUCAUGUCUCACCGUAUAAGUGUUGUCGCCAAAUUUUAAGGGUGAACACCACUGCAGCAAGCUCCAAGUCAUGGGUAGGGUAAUUCUGCUUGUGCUUCUUGAGUUGCCUCGAGGCAUAAGCAAUCACCCGAUCAUGUUGCAUCAAUACGGAUCCCAAGCCUUGUAAUGAUGCAUCACUGUAGAUCACAAAGGUCCCCGUGUAAUCCGGAAGAGCCAAAACAAGGGCGGCAGUUAACCCCUUCUUCAGCUCCUGAAAACUCCUAAUUCUACUCGAAAUUUGAUAAUUACAAUGAAAUACAAAUUAUAUACCUAAUAGGAACAAAUUCUAUUCCUAAUAGAGACAAACUCUAUUCCUAAUAAGAACAUUGACUUUGACUCGCGUCAACACUCCCGCUCAAGUUGGUGCAUAGAUAUCGAUAAUGCCCAACUUGUCAAUGAGUCUUCAAAUCGGCGCUUUGACACAGCAUGGGUCAAUAUAUCUGCAAGUUGCUCUGAAGAAGGCACAAAAGGUAUAGAAAUUGACUUAUCCUCCAGCUUUUCCUUAAUGAAAUGCCUACAUGCUUAGUUCAAUCAAGUUGCAUCGGAUUGUUAGCAAUUUCAAAUGCAGACUCACUAUCACAGUGAAGCUUUGUAGCGGCAACUGGUCUAAACUCAAUUUCAGCAAGUACAACUACAGUAUUUCAUAAAUCCCUAAGGCAAUCCCUGGGUACUCAAACUCUGUAUAGGAUAGAGAUACUACAUUUUUCUUCUUUCUAUGCCAUAUAACUAGGUUACCGCCUACAAAGUUGAAGUAACCUGAUGUAGAACAUCUAUCUGUAUUAUUCCCUGCAUAAUAUGCGUCAAUGUAAUCUUCUAGAUCCAAGUGGUCAUUUUUCUUAAAUAAUAAACCUCUCAUAGGAGCAGACUUUAAGUAACUCAGAAUAUACAUCACAUCAGCCAUAUGAUCCUUACUAGGUGAAUGCAUAAAUUGGCUAGCAAUGUUUAUGAAAUAGGAAAUAUCAGGGUGUGUCACUGAUAAAUAGAUCAAUCUCCCAACCAACCUUUGGUAUCUUUCUUUCUUAGUUGGGACCUGAUCCACAUAAACUCCAAGUUUAUGAUUCUCAACAAUAGGUGUAUCACCCGGUUUAUAGUCAAGCAUUCCAAUAUCUGCUAGCAGGACCAGUGCGAAACUUAAAUUAGGGCUUCACAUAAUCUAAUACGAAAAUACUAUCAAUAAAAAGUUGUCAUAACUUAAUGUCAUAAACAAUUUUUUUAUAACUAAAAGUCACCAUCAAUAAACAUGUAAUAACAAUCAAAUUCAUAAAAAUUUAAAUGUUUCCAUUUGAUAAAGUUAAAUAUUAGUAUGUUUGAUACAAAAUAAGCUUUUUGUGCCCCUACAAGGUCCCUUACUGCCUAUAAUUAACAAUCUCUGUUUAAUAGGAAAAAAAUUGGCACUAACAAAUUAAAGAGUAGUUGCACACAAAUGUCAUUAACAAAUUAGAUUAUAUUGCAUUAAAAACAAAAGCAACAACAAAAACAUAACUGACCAUCCAAAAAUCAUUCAGAUUGUAUUUGCUGUCUUUAUUCGAAGAAUUAAAAUUCCUACUAGAGAUUUUUCCCCAAAAGAAAAAAACACAGCCAGUACAAUGCUAAUGUUUGAAAAUUGAUCUUCUUGAAUUUUUAGAAGAGAAAUCAUCAAUCAAAUGUUCAUAAUCAAGUUUUUCUAGAAGUUCACUUUCAAUUGAAAUCAAAGCUAGUCUGUUUAAUCUUUCUUGCGAUAUAGUUGAUUGCAAGUAUGAUUUUAACAAUUUUAAUUUUGAAAAACUUCUUUCUGCAGAUGCAACAGUAACAUGAAUAGCCAAUAGAAUUCUAUAUGCAAUGAAUGUAUUUGAAAAACAAUUUAAUCUUUUCAAGAAAUUUAAUAUUGCAGAAGCUGUGAUUUUUUUCUUUUAGACUGAUAUACUGUAAAUGUUGAAAUAUAUUAGGGACACACGUAGAACCACACUUUUUGACACACUAUUAAAAUUAUUGAAUUAAGUAAGUUUCAAUGAUUAGAAUUGCGUUUGUUUAAUGGGCAAUCCUUUUCUUCACACAUCAUUCAAAUUUUAAAAAAAAACAUUGGGGACAACCUAGCAGCUCAACUUUUAAGACUAUUAAUUAUUUUAUUAUGUUCUAUCUCCCGUCUCUUCCUUUUUUUGUUUAAUGGGCAAUCAUUUUCUUUCAUCUUCUAUCUUCUUCCCUGCUGCUUUCUCUGGCUUUAUUUUACAGGAGUUUACACACACACCCUCAAAAUGUUUCCAACGAAUUCCUUAUUGAAAAGAGUUUUGUAGUUUAUUUUCCUUCUUCAUAACAUUUGGUCAUUAUUGCUGUAAAAAUGCUAAUAAUACUAGUGUCCAUGAAAUUUAAUGAUUUCAAACAGUGAAGGAAAUAUAGAUUAAUAAGCAUUUUGUCAGUCUUUGUCUAACAAAUUUAACGAAUUAGACUUGGACUAAAGAAUGACUUGUUAAAGUACUUGGGUUGUUAAUUUUCAGUCUUUAAGUUCAAUUUUUAAUAUUUCCAAGUUGAAAAUUAAUUCAAUUUAAUUUAAUUCUAAAACAAUUAAAUACACAAGCAAUAAGACGGGAUUAAAAAAACCACGGGUUGGAUUAGUUUUUUCAUCUUUUUCACAAUCUUUGUGGGAAUGACCUCGCACUUACACAUGCAUAUUGAUUUGUGUUUAUAAAUUUAAAACAACACCUUCGGGUGACAAAUAGUUAAGUACAAGUUAACACGGCGGCAGUCUAGGUAAAACAUCAUCUUUAAUGUCUAUGUCGGUCGCUUUAUACCUACUAUCGUUAUUUAGGGUUAAAUGUUUACAUAACUAAAAAUAACAUGUUUCAUAAGACGAUGUUUUUUAAGUUUGAGGCGUCAUGUUUUUAAAAUGCCCCAACGGAUCUCGAUUUUUAAGGUGUUUAAGUUACUAAUCCAUGACGGUUUUCUAUUACCAUCAUCUUUCUAAACACACCGACAGUAUUUAUUUCUUCCAUCAUUGUUUUACUGUCGUCUUUUUUCAUUUUGUAGUAGUGUUUAACCAUUUAAUGGUUUCUGAAUUAACUUUCUUUAUGCGAGCGUGCCACUGUUAGCAGAUGAUACCUUUACAGAUUUGAGUACUUUUUAUACUUGCGCCCCAAGUAAUACAUUUUGAACAAACAAUUGUGAUUUUGGGUAGGGAAACCUCCCAAGAGAGUUCUUUUCUUUGUCUCAUAUUAGUGAGGACUUUAUAAUUUAUCUAAACAAAAAUGGUAAGCAAAGCAAAAUACACAAAUAUAUGGAAAACAUAAUAAACAAAUCCAAGCAGAACUAGCUGAAGAACAAAGUAUCAGAUGAAUCUCUAUAUCUAGGUAGUUCUCAGAGAUGUUGGACUUUGACUUCUGCUUAAGAACAUAGUCACACUUUAAACUUAGGAUCAGGUUGGACUAGACUUUUGUUGAUUGGACUGAAUGUUUAUGCACUGGAAUUGCACAUUAGCACCUUCAACUAAUAUAGAUUAGUUGAAAAUCGAUACCAAGUUUUGAGUUUAGCAGAGCUAUAAACGACUUGAGCCUUGAAGAGGCUGGUAAAGUGAUCAAAAUUGCAGACGGGUACUUAUUCUGAUUGAUUCUGAGUGAUCUGGAAGCUAUCUAGACGACUCCAAGUUACUAAGAUGUCUUUGAGAAAUUUGUUGAGGUCUUCAUAUAAUGACUACCUCAUUUCUUCUUGUUCUUUUUUAGUUUGUUGAACCAAAUUUGUUAGAGAAAUUAAUCUCUUUUGAAUUCUGCCUAAUUUACCUUGUGUUGAUUGCGAGGGAAAUCUUGUUUCCUUCUUGUUUUUCUAAACUUCUUCUUGAGCUGGAUUGCUUAUGUGGGAAGAUUGCUUGCGUGCUUUUGGUAACUGCAAGAUCGGAGUAUCUUUGAUUUCUUUUUAUCAAUCUGGAUUGAUUGUUGAGUUUUUGUUUAAUUGGUUUGUUGGUUGUGUCUUUUCUCCAGUCCAGGCACUCUCAUAUUUAUAGGAGAAAAUGUGAUCCUGAAGAAUCUGGAUAUUUUUAGUUUUGGACUAUCCUUUAUUUAAUGCAUAAGUGACAGAAGUUUUGUCAGUUCAAUGCAUUGAUCACUCUUGGCAUCCGCUCAUCAAUGUUCCUGAAUGCCUCAUGUUCGUUCCCUUUGCAACAACCUAGUUGAAGUGAAUAAUAAUGCCCAAUUUCUUCCAACGUUGGUACCAUAAAUAUCCCAAUAUCCUGGUGGUAGACCAAAAUGUGGUGAUUUGCAAUAAAUUGCCGUGACUUUUAACUAAAGCAACACUGACCUUACAUUCUAGUUUUUAAGGUCAUCAAUUUUCUUUGAAUUUUAGCCACCAACAUGGUGAGGGUUUACCUGACAAAACCUUAGGUGCUAAGAAACUAUGAUGUUUUGAAUUGAAUUACCAUUGAUGGUAAUUUUCAUUUCUCAACUGUAAAAACGUGAAUUAGUUAAAAUUAAUUCCCAACAGUUAAAUAGUAUUGGUCAUUCACAAUUUUUGGUAAACGAAGCCUAAAUAGCAUUUAAAAAUGCGCCAAGACUAUAAUGAGUGGAAAGUUAUAAGGGGUAAGUUAUAAGGGGUUCACUUUAUAGCCAUCAGAUUAAUCCAAGGGCUGGGGAGAAUUGAGAUAAAGUUUCACAAUUGGGUAGGUAAGGAACCCAAACCCGAAUUGAAUAUCCAGCACGUCCAAAAAGAAGAAGAAGAGGGAAACACGUCCGAAAAAGAAGAAGAAGAGGCAAGUUCGAAGUUUGAACAGAAAGAACUCAUCUCUCUAAAACACAGAGGUCUGAGAUACCCAAUGAAGGCAACGGCUAACGACAGUUGAAGGCAACGAUUCGCCACUCCGUUCUCCAGACCCCGAAAAAGUAUUUAUUUGGAGUAGAAGGGGCAAAGGUGUGGAUUCCAAAUUAGUGAAGGGGCGAAGCAGUGGAAGGGGAAGGGGAGAAGCUGUAUUCGUUGGAAGUGGUAGGUUCCAUUUGUGGAGCAAAGAAACAGAAAGACCCCACACAGACACCUUGCAAUAACUAGCAUUUGGUGAGUAAUUUAUGGAAUUUGAGUUUAGGGUUAGAGUAAUGGUUUUUCCCAAUUUGUACCAUAAAUUUUGUUGGAUUUGGCAUCUCUUCGUUGUGCUUCAGUUGCAUGUUAAUUUUUGCUUAGGUAUAUGUUAAAAAAAGAAUGAAAAUCAAGUCAAUAACAAGUGAAUAACAUGUCAAUAAUGAUAUGAAUAAGAUAAUGGUGUUGAAUUGGAGGAGGCCCUCAAAACCUUCCACAUUUGAAGCAGUGCAUAGUGCAGAUGAAGAAGAGGCGCUAGAAUAUAUAUAUAUAUAUUAUGAAGUAAAUAUGAUUUCCUUUGUUACUAAAUUUGCCUAAGAAACAUUUGAACAGAUAAUAAUAAACUCAUGAAUAGAACUGCAAAGCAUUUGAUGAGUAAUGUAAGGAAUUUGAGUUUAGGGUUAGAGUAAUGGUUUUCCCCAAUUUGUACCAUCAAUGUUGUUGGAUUUGGCAUCUCUUAUUUGUGCUUCAAUUGCGUGUUAAUUUUUGCUUGGGUAUAUGUUAAAAAACGAAUGAAAAUAAAGUCAAUCACAUGUCAAUAACAUCUCAAUAACAUGUCAAUAACAUGUUAGUAAUGAUAUGAAUAAGAUAAUGGUGUUAAAUUGGAGGAGGCGCUCAAAACCUUCCACAUUUGAAGCAGUGCAGAGUGAAGAGUACCUCUCUGGCACUAGAAUUUAUAUAUUUUGUGAAAUAAAUAUUAUUUCAUUUGUUACUAAAUUUGCCUAUGAGAAAUGAGAACAGAUAAUAAUAAACUCAUGAAUAAAAGUGCAAAGCAUUUGAAAUGAAGGUUGAUCUAUGACGAUUGUGGGUGACUGAAGAAAAAGGUAGAAAGAAAGAAGGAUGUGGCAAUUGCUUAGCAAGCAGAUAGCAGAGUACAUGCUUUGCUUUGCUUCCUUCCACUAUAUUUCUUAUUUAUUUAUUUUGGGUUGUGUAUGAGAUGACAAUAAUUGUCAUGUGUGUGAAGUGCAGAACUUGCCUACAUUGCACUCACACGAGUAUGGAUCCAUAAAUAAAACACGUGAAAUUGUUUGUAAUUCACAUAAUCAUUGCAUUAACAGGUAUUUGCACAAAAAUUGUCAUAUUGCUUUGAUGAUGUUAAAGCCUGUGAUGAGUAAUCCCUAUGCUCAUGUACUUUGUAAAAGUUGUAAUGUGCCUGGUUGACUAGUUGUGAUUGUGCAAAUACGUGGUAGUAUAUAUGUUCACGUUAUUUCACAUUGUAUUUGAGGAAAUGGGAUCCAACGUGGAGCUGGUAUGGUCAGAGGCAGAGGUAUAUUCGUCACGGGUGAACAACUGCUCACAUGCAAAUUCAUCUCUAGCUGCAAUUCGAGCGAAGUUGAGUGCGGAACAAUUAGAACAAUUCAAGACAUCAUGCUUUGGCCAUCUUCUGAAUAUAGAUAAGAUUCAGUUUAGCGGGCAGAUUGUGCAUGGGGUUGUGUUGCGUAGAGUAGCGGGGCAGGGUGUGAAAGACUUGGAUGGACUGAGUUUCUUAUUAGGGUGUGACGUUGCUCAGUUCACUCGUCAGGAUUUCUGUUUGAUCACAGGGCUUCGUUUUGGGGAAGUGCCUGAAGUUUCCAGUGGAGAGAGUGAUGAAAUCAGACUUCAGAAAAGAUAUUUUAUAGACGAAGGAAUUACAUGCAAUGCUUUAGAAGAAGCAUUUCUGAGGUGCACAGAGGAAGAUGACAUCUACAAGCUAGCUCUUGUUUACUUUGCUGAGUUAGUGGUUUUGGGAAGGGACAAACAUUUGAACAUCAAUCUAAAUUACCUGACCCUUGUAGAGGACUUGGAUGCGUUCAACAGGUAUCCGUGGGGUUCGGUGUCCUUUGACAAAACCCAAGACAGUCUAUUUUCUGCACCAACAAAGUAUGUGAAAAGCUUGGAAAAUGAAGAGGGAAGAGGGAAGGGGAAAAGUAAAGUAACGGGAACAAGCCGGAGAAAUGAGAAGGGCAAGAAGGAUAAGCAUGGUGAAGCGCAAAGGAGUGGCUGGAGUUUUAAAGGUUUCACGUAUGCUUUCCAGGUACAUGGUAAUAAUGUUCAUGUCAGUUAUCUUUUGUUUUUCUUUAAAACAUAAAUAAUGACUUUUGUCCUGUGAAUUGUGUAGAUUUGGGUAUAUGAAUUAAUUCCUAGAAUGGCGGACCUGAAUUACUGCAAGGUUGUUGAUCCGACCGCUGUCCCACGUAUUUUGCGAUGGAGAACUACUACGUCUGUUCCAGAGAUGAGAAAGUUGAACAAUUAUUUUUUCCAGAGCAAAGAGGUUUGGUUUGCAGCCCUUGGAACUAUUGAUAAGAUUGAAUGAAAUUAUGAAGUAGAAUGAUUUAAUAUGACUCUUGUCUGUAUUCUGAAACAGUCAGUUCAGUUGCGGCCGCUAUGUCCGAGUGAAGAGGAAAUGAGACAGCCAUAUUGGAGUUGGCCACAGGAUCGCCCUGCUGUUGUCUCGGCAGAGUCAAUUCCUUCUUCAUGUGGUGAUCUUGAUGAGUUGAACAAGGUGGUAAGCUUGUUGAGGUCCGAGUUGUUUCAAGUAAAGCGGGAAAAAGACGUCCUUCACUUAAAGGUCAUAAGGAUGGAAAAACUGUUGGACCAAUGUUUAGGUCCUCAGUUUGAGCAGGAAGUAAGGAGGGACCUAGCUUUACUGAAACAGAGGACGAAUCGUUGUGUCGUCUCACAUCUAUUUAAGGGAUAUGGGGAAAUGGAUGACAUUCAAUGGGAUGAAGGGCCAAGUAACAGAAAUGAGGGAGAGGAAAAGGAAGAUGAAGGGAUUGAAGGGGGUGAAGGGCCAAAUAAUAGAAAUGAGGGAGCACAUAAGGAAGAGGAGGCGAUUGACGGAGAGGAAAAGGAAGAGGAGGGGAUUGAAGGGGGUGAAGUGCAAGGAAAACCAAGUGAGGUAGAGGAAGGGCAAAGGAAAAGAAGUGAAGGAGAGCAAGUGCAAGUAAAAAGUAGCAAAGGAGAGGAAGCCCAAAGACAGAGCAGUGAGGGAGAGGAAGUGAAAAGAAAAAGCAGUAAGGGAGAGAAACUGCAAAGGAAAAAAAGGGAGGGCAAGGAAGUGAAAACACAAACAACUGAGGAAAAGGAAGUGCAAAGAAACCAAUGUGAGAAAGAAGAUAAUGAAGUUAUGUUGCUUGGGGGUGACAUUGGCGAGAGCACGGAGGGGACACUGCUCGAGUUUACUAUCGGGGACAUUGAUUUGGAUGAACCUACAGCUGUGCUAUCUCAGUUGAACGUGUGGUUGAAUGAUAAAGGUAAAGCUCUGGCACAAGGGGUCCAAUUACGGAAAAGGAAGAGGAUCAUUCCUUUGUGGAAGAUCGUUGAAGGCAGUGAAUUGGUUCCAAAAACUGGGGCACAGACAACCGGACUGAAGAUGUUAGACCCAAUGAAGGCGAUUCCGCAUGAUGAUCUGGUGAAAUUGCUGAAACUUUGUUGGGAAUGGCGCCAGGACCCAAAGUAAGUCCCUUGCAAUUAUAAGAUAGAAGCAUGACUGUAUAUAAUUUUUUAUAUACAGUGUUCUAAAACUGUUUUAUAUUCAUAGUUUGGUGAUGCAAUUUGGCAACGUGGAAGCUGAGAUUGAAUUCUUCGCUUCCCUCGUGAAAGCUGAUGGUUGGCUGAAAGGAGAUGUAAGAGUAAUUGAUUAUGCAUUUGUUUUAAUGUACAUACAUUAUGAGAUUGACAAGAAAAACAUGUUGCAGCACAUUGAUUUGGGGUUGUAUCUCAUCCGGAAGCGACAACAACAAUUGGAGAUAGAUUCGGUAGAAGUAGCGGACUGGACAACGACAGAUGUUUUUUUUAUGGUAUGUCAUCGGCCUUCACCAAGUGCCGUUAAUAAUUACACAUUUUCCAUACACACACUAGUGGAGGUGUUUAACCAUUGAUUGUUUUGUAUUUCACAGAAUCACAUUUGUACUUGCUUUGUGGAUAAUAAAAGAAAAAAAAGCAGCUUGGGUGGAAAAUCAGAAAAAGUUUACUAAACGUUGUAAAUGGGAAGGUUCCUCCGUGUGGGUUGGAUUGGCAGACCGUCUAUAAGGUGUAUACCCCAUUUAUGUUGACGAAGUACAAGCAUUGGGUGGCUGUAAUGAUUGAUCUGGUAUUGUGUGAAAUCAAAGUGUACGAUUCAAAGGUUUCACUAAUUCCAGAUGACAUCGUAAAGGAAGAACUCGGCCCGCUAUCAAUUACGCUUCCAAAUCUUCUCAACACCAUCGACUUUUAUGAAGAAGGUGUUUAUGCAAACAAUUGCAGCCGAGAUUGGUGGUGUCCGUGGCCAAUAGAGCGUGUGGAUGUUCCACAACAGUCUAAUGAGUAAGCACAACUUGCAAUUUAAUUUUAUUACUUUCAAUUGUCAAUUACGUUAGAAUUUCAUUAGUUGAAUUGAUCGAGUUCUUGUUUUGCUUCAGAGGCGAUUGUGGCAUGUUUGUGUUAAAGUACAUUGAGCUUUUCAGCGCUGAGCUUCCGUUAGCUACUUGCACCUCGCACAACAUGCCUUUUUUUCGGUUGAAAUUGGCUGCGGAGAUAACAAGGGGAGAUGCUUACUUCCCAUGAUAUUGGUUGAAGAUGACAAAUGGUACAUGAGAAGGUUUUGGGAAUGUCCAUUCUCAAACUAAUGUAAAUACACAAUAGAGACGUACGGGUCCUUAUCGAAUUCUACCGCUAACUCCUUCAUGACAUUUACAUGUUUGUUAACCAAACUGCAUUGAAUUGGAAUUUUAAGACUGCAUAUGUGAAUUGGGAUUUGAAGAUGGCUUUUUAAGUGUAUUACAUCAUUGUAAAGUGAUAUGUCAUUGUUGAUGCAAGCCACCAUUAAUCGCAAUGUGUUGCAUCAUAAUAGGUGUCUAAACAUGCGAAAGGUUUUCCGCAGCUCAGUAGCGUAAAAGUAGAAACAAAGACAAUAUACACAAAAUGAACAACAAUUCACAAACGCACCGACAAGCAAUACAUACACAACAGACAAACAAUAUACACAAACUUGGCCUGCCAUAUACAGAGAAUAGAUAUGCAAUAUACACACAGUAGACAUGCAAUAUACACACAAUAGACAUGCCCUUGCCCACACAAUACUCCCUUAACACACACAAUAGACAUGCCCUUGCCCACAAUAAUGAUGCAAUAUACUUCAGUCCCCAAGUACACCAACCAUAGGGAAGUCGUAUUGAAUAGGAUAUUAAACUUAACAGUUGUUCUUCCUACUAAAAGAAAGAAUAAGGUCCGUUUCCCCCCUUCAUUCUUACUUGAGUGAUACUUGUGGCCCCAAUAAACAUCCAAUUUUGGGGCAAUGAUAUUCCAUAUACAUGCAGCAAACUAUCAAUAAACCUUCAAUAAACAUUCAAUAACAUGCGAAAUACAUGCAGUUACCAAAUAUUACAAAAUGGGUUUAGGGUCUCAUUGGUGGUGCGUGCAAUAUGUCUUGUGCGGGAGAACUUUCACAAUCUUUUAAACCGUGCAGUUAAAUGAUCAUUAAAAGAACAAAUAAAAUGACAAUUAAUACAACUAAUAAAACUAAUACCAAGUCCUUAAUGGACUUCAGCAUGUUCAGCACUCUAGCAUCAUACGUGUCAUCUUGAUGUUCUGCUUCAGCGGAGGUUACAUCAACCCAUUCGAAUCCAUUGCAACUGGUGGCUCCCUAAUUGCAGGCAUCAUAUAUGGAAUAUAAUUCUGUCAGAGUUAGACAUAGGUUUUUUUUCACCCACAUACAUAUUCUUUAAAUUAAAACUUACAUAGGAGGUUAGACACUUCCAGAAUGGCUUCCCUCGAUUUUUUUCAGAUUUUGAAACCCGAAGCACCAUUGUAGCUCCACAAUACUGACACCUCUUUGUUUGAGCGGGAGAUGAAGACGAAGACAUGUUGAAUCUUCUCAGUUGUACCUCUUCUCACUCAAAUCUUCUCACUGAAACCUCUUCGGACUCAUACCUUCUCACUCAUAGUUGUCAUUCAUACCCCUUCACUCAUAACCCUAAACUUGUCACUCAGCUCUCUCUCAUCUCUACCCAAAUCGAGUUAUAUUACUUUUUUUUGGGAUCAUUUGGUGGGUUGGUCACGAUGUUGACACCUGUACCGUCAGCAUUGUGACAUCUUUUAGCCCGAAAAGCAAUAGAAACUACUUCACUACCAAAUAUAUUUUCUGACUAAUGACGGGACACUGCUUCAAUUUUAUUAAUUUAUUUAUAUUUCAUUAAGGCAACUAGUUGGAUAAGAAUCCGUCAUUAUUGGUUCCAUUUUAAUAACAUUACUAGGGAUAGUUGGGUGUGCGAAAAUGAAAAAGUAUAUGAUGGGACCUUCUGUCACUAGUCAGUAAUCCAUCACAUUUGUAUCAAUGAAUUUGAUAGUGGGAUAAACCCAAAAAUGGCUAUGCAAAUAGCCAUUUAAUUAACUUUUUGACUGUCUGACUCUGUAUGCACCGUUAUGACGUUUUCCCUUCUUUUGUCUUAAGUUUUAAUUCACUUGGGUUCAGUUUCUUUCAAAAGGGUCAACUUGGAAAAACCCCAACUGGAAACACCUUUUCAAAACACUAUAAACAGAGGCUCGGAAGUAGAACGUGUACCCCAAAUAUUAUCAUUUAUCCCCUCUGCCACUCCUCAAAUCGUUCCAUUUCAAAAACUUUUCAAUGAAUUCGAAACACUUCACUACAGUCGGAGGAAAGAGAAGGAAGCAUCUCCAUUUCGAUAUGCCCGAAGCCUUCAUCCCGGAGUCCGCUUGGUUUCAAGUGAUGUUAUACGUGGCAACCGAAUCAUCGGAAGAUCUCUUCCGUAUGGCAUGUGUGUGCCGAUUGUUCAAAAUUUUGGCAAACAGUCCACAAGUGUGGAACACCAUUUCAAUGGCAAAGUACCCACACCAUCCUAUCUGCUACCGUGCCAAACCUGCAGUCCAGCAUUUCUUGCAACAAUGCAGGGCUUGCGAUAACCCUGAGUCCAUAUUUAGAGAAGCAUUCGAAGGUUUUUUCACGGACGGUAAGGUGGAAGCGUUGUAUGGGAUGCGCAUUGCAGCCACGGCAGGCCAUAUGGAAGCGGCAUAUGUAGUUGGACUACUUGGUAUGUCCGGAAUUGGUCAGUCAAAAGAGGAUGCAUUACAAUUCUUGUGUUCUUUGAAUCAACGUAACAACAUUGAUAUGAAAGGAACCAGGGAUGCUUUGACAGGAAGAAUUCGCGGAGCAUUUGUUGCAAGACAUAUCGUAGAUAUGUUUGACUAUGGGAAGAUUAAGUUCAAUCGGUGCAGCGCUUGUAACAACAAUGAAUGGUAUUUUGUUAUUCCAGGCUGGCCUAGUGAAGACAAGAUAAAUCCUGCGUUGUGGACUUGUUGCAAUCGAUGCAAAUGGCAUCGUGAGAGUAUUUUUUGGUGCAAACUGAUGCGUGAGUAAGUUGUGCGAGGGAAUCACAUAUUUUUGCAUUAGUUUUAGUACGAAUUUACAGUUUUGAUGCAUUGUGGACUUGCUUCUCUUCACUUCUAGGUUGGCUGGCUACGUUAUACCUAUCUCAGUUUAAAUGUUGUUCAAAUGUUGGUAUUUUGUCAUAAACCGUUUUAUAUUGAAAUAUAUAAUUUUUAUUAUAUAGCGGAAUUAUUACUUACAUCAUAGACGGCUAGGAAUGACAUUUUACUGACACAGAUAUUUUGCUCACCGACCCCAAUCUUCAUAUUUGGUAAACGAAAAGUCAUGCAUGGAGUAAAUAGGUGUCUUUUCACCAGUGCUUGGGAAUGACAUUUUCCCACUUAGCAUAUCCGAAAGGAUUUGGUUACACGUUUCUUAACCUAGGGGGUUGAACAGUGAAUGACGUAGACUAUUUUUUUUGUGUGGAAGGAGUACAAUGGAUGACUUGUAUAUUUUCAUAUUAUGUUUCAAAAAAUCCCUUCAACCUAAAAAAUAACAAAAUUAACAAAUUGAAGAACAGAGAAACCGAUGAGCACUACAAAUGGCCUAUUCGCACGGAAAAUAAAAUUAUUUUCAACAAGUUGGACUAAAUAUAAUUAACAAAUGGACAGCCUAAAAAGUAAUAUCAUAAUAAUUAUAAUAAUUGUGGAUAAAUAAUAAUAAAAUACUAAUGUAGCAUAACCAUUAAACAGGGAAUGCAGUAGGAAGAUGAAAUCGCAAUAAGUUCGUAGAAAUUUUCGGAUCGUUUUUCUAAUUUUUUUGUAUGUAGUUAUGAAUUUUCCAAGAAAAAACGUAAUAAAAUAAUAAUUUAGGGUAAAAUGGGAGGAUGUGGCCAUGUUCGGUAACGUACACUUGUGCAAGUAGUCAAAAGUGACGGGCUGAGAUCGCGCCAGGUGUCAUCUUCUUGUUAAUUUUGGAUUCUUUUGUUAAAAAAUCUUUGAAACUAGGUAAUAAAUAGUAGGAAAAUCGUAAAAAUGGCCCAAAAAUUACUCCGGCCUCCUUUUGACGUCCUACAACUAGGAGAACCUAUAAAUCAUUCGUCUCGCAAUGAAAUAAUCCAAAUUGUUUUACAUAACUCACUUUCCUCUUAACCCUAAGUAUUGAUGUUUGUUAACUUCAACUUGAAUAACCUACUUCAACAAGCAUCUCCCGUUAAUGUUGGGAAUUAAUUUUACAAAUGCGUAACAAUGAAUCGGAGAAUUCAACAACGGAGAUGGAGUGUCAAUGAGUUCAUAGCAAUUUUCGGAAAUAAUUUUGAAUUUUUCUGUAUUUAGUUAUGAAUUUUCCAAGAAAAAAGGUAAUAAAAUAAUAAUUUAGGGUAAAAUGGGAGGAUGUGGCCAUGUUGACUGACGUACACUUGUGCAAGUAGUUAAAAGUGAUGGGCUGAGAUCGCGCCAGGUGUCAUCUUCUUUUAAAUUUUGGAUUCUUUUGUUCAAAAAUCUUUGAAACUAGGUAAAAAAUAGUAGGAAAAUCGUAAAAAUGCCCCCAAAAUUACUCCGGCCUACUUGUGACGUCAUAAAACUAGGAGAACCUAUAAAUCAUUCGUCUCGCAAUGAAAUAAUCCAAAUUGUGUUACAUAACUCACUUUCCUCUUAACCCAAAGUAUUGAUGUUUGUUAACUUCAACUUGAAUAACCUACUUCAACAAGCAUCUCCCGUUAAUGUUGGGAAUUAAUUUUACAAAUGCGUAACAAUGAAUCGGAGAAUUCAGCAACGGAGAUGAAGUGUCAAUGAGUUCGUAGCAAUUUUCGGAUAAUUUUUUUAUUUUGUGUGUAAUUAGUUCUGCUUUUUGUAAGGAAAAGUAAUAAAAUAAUAAUUUAGGGUAAAAUGGGAGGGUGUGGCCAUGUUGACUGACGUACACUUGUGCAAGUAGUCAUCAGUGACGGGCUGAGAUUGCGCCAGGUGUCCUCUUGCUAUUAUUUUGGCUUUUUUAGUGCAACAAUCUGUGGACAUAGGUAAUAAAUUCUACGAAAAUCCAAAAAAUGCCCGGAAAAUGAGAAAAUGAAAAUUAUUUGUACAUAACUCACUUUCCUCGUAACCCAAAUUCACGUUAACACGUAUAUUUUGGAUAUAUUCGAAAUAUAAUUUAUAAUCAUACAAUAUUUAGUUUCACUAUAUACAAUAAUAUGUUUGUUAUAAUAAUGUACAUAAAUAAUAAUUGCACAUGCUUUGAAGCCAUCAUUGCAACUACGCCUAGAGCUUUGAAGCCGUCAGUUCAUAUUCAAUAAGUUGUCCACAUGCAACUGCACCUAGAGUUUUCAACACAUCAGAGGUAUUCAAUAAGUUGUCCACAUGCAACUGCACCUAGAGUUAUUAACACGUCACAGGUAUUCAAUAAGUUGUCCAUAUGACGCCGCAUUGGGAAUCAGUAAUAUAUUUUCAAUCAUGUCCAAUCACAUAAAUAAUGCCAUACUUUUUCUCAAUAACCUCACACAAGUGAAGCAAUUUUAAAACCCUUAGUGAAUAUUUGUCCUAGUCUAUAUGAGUGAUUAUAUAAUCAGUUGCAUAAUAUUUUUUUCACAGUAUAUGUUAACUUUGAGAGGGAUUCCACAAACAUAAAAUAUAAAGAAAGCAAUAAAUAGUAGGAAAUGAACCAGUACAAAAAACAAUAUAUAAAGUGUACAUAAUAAUUCCAUAACCUUGUCACAAACGCACUCACAAAAGCUUUUCCAUAAACCUUGUCCUAACAUAUAAUAAAUAAAGGCAACAUUGCAUAUGAUGCAACCAUGUCCAAAUCUGAUACGUGAUCAAAAACAAAUGGACAUGGCAGCAACAUAUGACUGAAGUAGUUGGGCUCUUUGCAUCUUCUGUUUUCGUAAUUAAAGACAUCAAAAUAUUAAGGUUUAAAUCUUCCAUAGUAGUUAGCAUCAAAAUAGCUUUGAAGCAGAGUGUAACGAAAAUUCCAAUUCCACUUAUUUGCCUCUGCUCAAACACGAGAACCAAAAUCGUUACUUCCCUUGCUGAGUAUAUUUGGUGACGUCGGAAACGGUAAUAGAUGACCAAUCAAACCCGGGUACGACGAGUUUUGCAUAGGAUCGGAAGUAGUCGAAUCAAGCUUGCAUCACACGCUUCUUUGACUCCACUGCAUUAGAUGAGUUCUUGUAUUUUUGAACAGCUACACUCCGAAGUCGUUUGUGUCUACGCUUCAUGCGCUGCAACUUCGCCCUAUCCAGAUUGGCCUGCGUUUUGUCAUCUUCAAUUUGGCCUUCCACAAAUUCCAAACGUGCCCUUGCCCUUUGGAUUUCAUCACCAAGUUGAAGAUGCCUCUCCUUCCAAAAAGCAACAACUCUUUCAGACUCAAAACUUCCAACAAAAUGGUCAUUCUGUCUAGCAAUGUCACAUUGCUUGUCCGGUGACUCACUUGCGUGUCGAAGCCGGUCUUUGUUUGGAGGGGUGUUUAUUAUGCUCACAUCAAACUUGGUUGUGCUUAUGCUCAUUCUUUGGGGGGAAUGAGUUUGUUUGCUUGAGAGAGUAUCGGUAGAUGGAGACAGAUUCGGUGGAGGAGUGAUGUAAGAUCCCACAUCAACCAAACGGAGAGGGGGUGAUGUGCCUUAUAUGUGCACACCCGCAUCCAUCUAGCACGAGGCCUUUUGGGAGCUCACUGGCUUCGGAGUCGUAGGAACUCCGAAGUUAAGCGAGUUGGGGGCCAGAGCAAUCCCAGGAUGGGUGACCCACUGGGAAGUUGCUCGUGAGCUCCCAGAAACAAAACCGUGAGGGCAGAGAAGGGGGCCCAAAGCGGACAAUAUCGUGCUACGGCGGAGCCGAUCCCGGGAUGUGACAAUUUGGUAUCAGAGCCACUCUGCCGUGUGGUACGAGUGUGCCGACGAGGACGUCGGGCCCUUAAGGGGGUGGAUUGUAAGAUCCCACAUCAACCAAACGGAGAGGGGGUGAUGUGCCUUAUAUGUGCACACCCGCAUCCAUCUAGCACGAGGCCUUUUGGGAGCUCACUGGCUUCGGAGUCGUAGGAACUCCGAAGUUAAGCGAGUUUGGGGCCAGAGCAAUCCCAGGAUGGGUGACCCACUGGGAAGUUGCUCGUGAGCUCCCAGAAACAAAACUGUGAGGGCAGAGAGGGGGGCCCAAAGCGGACAAUAUCGUGCUACGGCGGAGUUGAUCCCGGGAUGUGACAAGUGAGUUUUGUGUGGAAGGAGAUUUUAUAUGAAAGGGGUGAUAGUAAUACCAAGAAAAGGGUUCCCGCCAAAAAAUAUUUGGUUGACAAAGUAGAAAUUAUUUUUUGGUCUGAUACAAUCUAAGUUUAAUCCUAACUAGUUUGGUUGAGUUAACUAAGUAGAUGUCACUUCCAUUGACUUUCUUUCAACCACUAUCAGUGGUGUAAGGAGAGUGUGAGGUUGACAUGCUUGAAAAGCAAAAGCUGACACCUAUUUUUAAAAAAUUCCCGCCAAAAAGUACAUAUGUUGACUACACACAAGCUUUGGUAUGUUGGUCUAUAAACCUAUGUUCCCUUUCUCAAACGAAAUUGCAUAUGCAAUCCUCAUCCUCCCAAAACAAAGAGGAUUAUUCAAGCAUGUCAACCUCUUCAGGCGCCAACAACACAAUCGAACAUGACAAAUUGGAGUCGCAGGUUCUAUUUCCACAUUGUACUCGCCGACCCCUUCCUUUUUCAACAUCAUUUGGGAGUGAGGGGGACUCCGAUGAUCCAUUAGAGGCAAUACAUGCCGUCAGUGGCAAGCUGGAUUAUAAUUCCAGACUGAUCAAUUCAUGGCACGAGAAAUGUGUUGAAGACGAGGCAAUUUUGGCUGAUCUUAACAUUAGGGUGAACAAAGCGUUAUCCCAAAAGAACAAGUACUUGAAGCUGAGUCAUAGCAGGAAGCUGAAAGCUGAGGAGUUGGAUACAGUAAUGAAUGAUGAAAUGAAAGAUUGUUUGAUGAACCAUAUGCGAUGCGAACAGCACCAUACUGAACUGGAGUUGGCAUUCAACGAAGGAUUCGACAAAUUCCGAGCAUUUGCGGCAACUACUCAUACAAGUUAUGAUUGGAACUAUGUGUCCCCUGAUGCUGUGAGAGAGAUACUAGACGAUGGGGGUGACAUGAAUGAGCAUAAGCACGUCAAAGCUGCUCGGAAGAAGCCGACCGAUACGACUAAGUGAUUGCGGCUACCGCUGUUCAGUUGGUUGAGGGUGACCGUGGUAUUGCACAUAUACUCCCUUAAUGUCAUUAUCUAACUUAAAAUAACACAAAUAUCAGUUUCAUUUGCUUGAUAUAUAAUUAUUGGGACUAUGUAUUGCAAGUCAUCAUGUGUUAUAAUGUCUAACAUUAUAUUUUGCAAAUAUGGAAAUAUUAUUCAAGAAGCAGUCAAUAUCACAGAAAGCCGGGAAUCAGUAAAUGCUCCUUAUCAUGUUCAUUUACAUUAAAGAGCUGGAGUACUAAUGUGUUCAAAAAAAACUGACACGUGAGUCAUAAGUAACAUAACAUGUGCUAUACAUUGUUUACUGAAUGGUUUAUGGUUUAUUUGUAUAUAAUAAAAUUCCAAAUAUUGCUGAAGAUUUAUUUCGUGUAUAUCACUAGGGAUAUGAGUGGCCAUAAGCAUGUGAGACCUGCUAAGAAGAAGCUGACGAGUACGACCCAGUGAUUGUGGCUACCGUUGUUCAGUUGGUUGGGGAGAUCGUGGUAUUGCUAUGAGGAAGCACAUAAUAUGUUUUGCAAUCAAAUGUUCUUUUGUGUGUGGAAUUAUGAGUAUUUAUGUAAGUUAGUGUACCCUUUAAUAUUUUUCACCUAAGUAUCGAAAUGCAGUUUUUGAAUGUUAUGUUUUUGUUUUACCCGCUGCUUUCUAUUUGCUCUGUUCCAACAAAGUGCUUCAAGUAUCCUUCACUUACAAAAGUGUACAAAAUCGUGCCCCUAAUAACCAGUUGGAAAAAGUGGCUACUGCUGGAAAUGAUUACUGGUAAUGGAAACAACAGCUGGCUGCUGUAAUUGCUGCAUUACCGUGAGGAUUUGAAAAAUGAAUCUCUGUUAAAACAAAUUUCACCCUAAACUGCCCAUUUUACAUGGUAAAAGUCAUUGCUUCUUCACAUAACUACAAAUUUCAUACUUGAUCAAAUGUCUAUGAAAAUUUAUAAAUAGGGAGAAGACGUAAAAUUAACAUGUCUCAAAAUUUCAUGGAAGAAUGAAACCAAGCAAAUUUUCAUUUCAAUUACCAGUGGACAUGGUAAGAGCUCAUCGGUGGACAUGAACAAAAACACAAUAACAUUCAAAAACUGAAUCUAUAAAACUUCACUUCAUCAUUAAUCUUCAUAACAACCACAUUUCGUCUAAUACAAAUAUAAAUCAUUCAGUUGGUCCGUGCAUCCUGUCAAAAUCGUCGAAUAAUGGGUCACUACGAUGUAUUGGAGUUGAUUCGUCAUUGUUCGACGGUGAUGUCCUGCAUAAACAUCAAACACAAGCACAUAAAAAUUUUACCUUUUCAUAUUUUAGAUGUUAUUACAAAUAGUGUUAGCAUCUUACGGUGUGUUCAAGGUUGGGCAUUGUCUUCUAUCAUGACCAAUGUGUCCACACUCCCGACAGUGUCUAAUCCCUCGCUUCAUUGCCUUUUCCUUUGCUCCCGUUACUCCUUUCGACCUUCCUUUGCACCUCACUCUCUUAGGGUCUUUCAUAUAUUGUGUUUGAGAGCUGGACCCUCCAACUUCGUUAUUACUUGGUCCAUCCUUCAGCAACUUCAACUUCACCUGCAAACUUUUUAGAGUCUCUGACAGUAGCUCACAUCCUUCUUCACUCAUUAAUGCAUCCUCAACCACAUCUGAAGCAAGUCGAGACAUUGUACUCCGCUUUAUUAGAAGGCCAGGAUCUGCACAGUCUUUAAUUUCGUUGCCAUUUGCAUCUGACACCAAUCCAGAUUUCGCAGUUUUCUUCCACCUCUUCAAAAUAUAUUUAUCGGGCAUAUAUUCAAUCUGGUCCCUUCUGAACAAUGCUAGGAUGUGCUUGCAAAUAAUUCCAACAAAUUCAAAUCUUUUGCAGCUACACGAUGCGUGGUCAGAAUCUUUGACAUAUACGACUUCUGCCACUCUUGUUUCCCAAUUUUGCCUUUCGCUCACGUUGAACACAACUUUACAAGCAUCCUCUGUUUUGAGCUCUAGGAAACAUGUUGUACUUUGUAUUAGUUCUUGCUCAAACUUUUGAAAUAUUGUCCUUGUGUACAAGGUAGCCAUUUGUUUGUUCAUUGGCAUCGGUAGAAGACAUUCAGCCACUUCAAAUGCAUCUACGUGAUCAGCAACUAACUCUUUUUCACGUUGAUGAGAAAGUGCCCUAUCAAAUCGUAUUAUGAAAUCCAUCAACGAAUUUCUCCUUGAUAUGUAUUGCUUGAAAAAACCAUGAGAACCUUCCGCUCUUUGGCUGCUUGACAUUCCAGCUGCAAAAAAUUGUCGUGCGUAGGCUGGAACCCAAGAUUCCCUUAAAUCAAACAUUGAACUUAGCCAUGGAUGGUCAGUCAAACCAGCCUUUGUAACCACAAUAUUCCAUUUUGCAUCAAACUCAUCCUUAUUGUCAGUAUCCCAUAUGGCUUUCUGAAAUUCACGCCAAUACUCCUUAUAAGCAGAAUGUGGUAACUUAACAGAGAACUUUGAUGUGAUGUGCCAUAUGCAAAUUCGAUGAAAUGUAGUCGGGAAGGCUAUUGAAAUCGCUAUGGCCAUUGCCGCAUCUUGAUCUGUAAUAAUUGUUUUAGGUUCGCCACCUGGCAUGGCUUUCUUAAACUCCUCAAAUAUCCAAACAAACGACUCAGUCGUUUCCUUGCUCAAAAAUGCGCAUGCUAAGACAAUUGUCUAACCAUGGUUAUUAACUCCCAACAUUGGUGCAAAUGUCAAGUCGUAUCGAUUCGUGUUGAAUGUGGUAUCGAAUACAACAACAUCUCCAUAAAACCCAUAUGCCCGUCUAGAAGUUUCAUCUACCCAAAAACAUCGACUAAACCUGUCAUGGCCAUCUCCCUCAAUCUUGAAAUAAAAAGCCUUAUUUUUUUUUUCUGUUCAGCCAUAAAAUACUCGGUCACUAGUUCAACAUCGUGGUUCCUCAGCUUCCCAUUCACACUACAUUCAAGAUUGUAGAUAUCUUUUUUGAUAAAACCGAUUUUAUCCAUUUCCCCCGGAUUGCACCUCGAAAAUACUUAACUUCUGAUGAAUAGGAANNNNNNNNNNNNNNNNNNNNNNNNNNNNNNNNNNNNNNNNNNNNNNNNNNNNNNNNNNNNNNNNNNNNNNNNNNNNNNNNNNNNNNNNNNNNNNNNNNNNNNNNNNNNNNNNNNNNNNNNNNNNNNNNNNNNNNNNNNNNNNNNNNNNNNNNNNNNNNNNNNNNNNNNNNNNNNNNNNNNNNNNNNNNNNNNNNNNNNNNNNNNNNNNNNNNNNNNNNNNNNNNNNNNNNNNNNNNNNNNNNNNNNNNNNNNNNNNNNNNNNNNNNNNNNNNNNNNNNNNNNNNNNNNNNNNNNNNNNNNNNNNNNNNNNNNNNNNNNNNNNNNNNNNNNNNNNNNNNNNNNNNNNNNNNNNNNNNNNNNNNNNNNNNNNNNNNNNNNNNNNNNNNNNNNNNNNNNNNNNNNNNNNNNNNNNNNNNNNNNNNNNNNNNNNNNNNNNNNNNNNNNNNNNNNNNNNNNNNNNNNNNNNNNNNNNNNNNNNNNNNNNNNNNNNNNNNNNNNNNNNNNNNNNNNNNNNNNNNNNNNNNNNNNNNNNNNNNNNNNNNNNNNNNNNNNNNNNNNNNNNNNNNNNNNNNNNNNNNNNNNNNNNNNNNNNNNNNNNNNNNNNNNNNNNNNNNNNNNNNNNNNNNNNNNNNNNNNNNNNNNNNNNNNNNNNNNNNNNNNNNNNNNNNNNNNNNNNNNNNNNNNNNNNNNNNNNNNNNNNNNNNNNNNNNNNNNNNNNNNNNNNNNNNNNNNNNNNNNNNNNNNNNNNNNNNNNNNNNNNNNNNNNNNNNNNNNNNNNNNNNNNNNNNNNNNNNNNNNNNNNNNNNNNNNNNNNNNNNNNNNNNNNNNNNNNNNNNNNNNNNNNNNNNNNNNNNNNNNNNNNNNNNNNNNNNNNNNNNNNNNNNNNNNNNNNNNNNNNNNNNNNNNNNNNNNNNNNNNNNNNNNNNNNNNNNNNNNNNNNNNNNNNNNNNNNNNNNNNNNNNNNNNNNNNNNNNNNNNNNNNNNNNNNNNNNNNNNNNNNNNNNNNNNNNNNNNNNNNNNNNNNNNNNNNNNNNNNNNNNNNNNNNNNNNNNNNNNNNNNNNNNNNNNNNNNNNNNNNNNNNNNNNNNNNNNNNNNNNNNNNNNNNNNNNNNNNNNNNNNNNNNNNNNNNNNNNNNNNNNNNNNNNNNNNNNNNNNNNNNNNNNNNNNNNNNNNNNNNNNNNNNNNNNNNNNNNNNNNNNNNNNNNNNNNNNNNNNNNNNNNNNNNNNNNNNNNNNNNNNNNNNNNNNNNNNNNNNNNNNNNNNNNNNNNNNNNNNNNNNNNNNNNNNNNNNNNNNNNNNNNNNNNNNNNNNNNNNNNNNNNNNNNNNNNNNNNNNNNNNNNNNNNNNNNNNNNNNNNNNNNNNNNNNNNNNNNNNNNNNNNNNNNNNNNNNNNNNNNNNNNNNNNNNNNNNNNNNNNNNNNNNNNNNNNNNNNNNNNNNNNNNNNNNNNNNNNNNNNNNNNNNNNNNNNNNNNNNNNNNNNNNNNNNNNNNNNNNNNNNNNNNNNNNNNNNNNNNNNNNNNNNNNNNNNNNNNNNNNNNNNNNNNNNNNNNNNNNNNNNNNNNNNNNNNNNNNNNNNNNNNNNNNNNNNNNNNNNNNNNNNNNNNNNNNNNNNNNNNNNNNNNNNNNNNNNNNNNNNNNNNNNNNNNNNNNNNNNNNNNNNNNNNNNNNNNNNNNNNNNNNNNNNNNNNNNNNNNNNNNNNNNNNNNNNNNNNNNNNNNNNNNNNNNNNNNNNNNNNNNNNNNNNNNNNNNNNNNNNNNNNNNNNNNNNNNNNNNNNNNNNNNNNNNNNNNNNNNNNNNNNNNNNNNNNNNNNNNNNNNNNNNNNNNNNNNNNNNNNNNNNNNNNNNNNNNNNNNNNNNNNNNNNNNNNNNNNNNNNNNNNNNNNNNNNNNNNNNNNNNNNNNNNNNNNNNNNNNNNNNNNNNNNNNNNNNNNNNNNNNNNNNNNNNNNNNNNNNNNNNNNNNNNNNNNNNNNNNNNNNNNNNNNNNNNNNNNNNNNNNNNNNNNNNNNNNNNNNNNNNNNNNNNNNNNNNNNNNNNNNNNNNNNNNNNNNNNNNNNNNNNNNNNNNNNNNNNNNNNNNNNNNNNNNNNNNNNNNNNNNNNNNNNNNNNNNNNNNNNNNNNNNNNNNNNNNNNNNNNNNNNNNNNNNNNNNNNNNNNNNNNNNNNNNNNNNNNNNNNNNNNNNNNNNNNNNNNNNNNNNNNNNNNNNNNNNNNNNNNNNNNNNNNNNNNNNNNNNNNNNNNNNNNNNNNNNNNNNNNNNNNNNNNNNNNNNNNNNNNNNNNNNNNNNNNNNNNNNNNNNNNNNNNNNNNNNNNNNNNNNNNNNNNNNNNNNNNNNNNNNNNNNNNNNNNNNNNNNNNNNNNNNNNNNNNNNNNNNNNNNNNNNNNNNNNNNNNNNNNNNNNNNNNNNNNNNNNNNNNNNNNNNNNNNNNNNNNNNNNNNNNNNNNNNNNNNNNNNNNNNNNNNNNNNNNNNNNNNNNNNNNNNNNNNNNNNNNNNNNNNNNNNNNNNNNNNNNNNNNNNNNNNNNNNNNNNNNNNNNNNNNNNNNNNNNNNNNNNNNNNNNNNNNNNNNNNNNNNNNNNNNNNNNNNNNNNNNNNNNNNNNNNNNNNNNNNNNNNNNNNNNNNNNNNNNNNNNNNNNNNNNNNNNNNNNNNNNNNNNNNNNNNNNNNNNNNNNNNNNNNNNNNNNNNNNNNNNNNNNNNNNNNNNNNNNNNNNNNNNNNNNNNNNNNNNNNNNNNNNNNNNNNNNNNNNNNNNNNNNNNNNNNNNNNNNNNNNNNNNNNNNNNNNNNNNNNNNNNNNNNNNNNNNNNNNNNNNNNNNNNNNNNNNNNNNNNNNNNNNNNNNNNNNNNNNNNNNNNNNNNNNNNNNNNNNNNNNNNNNNNNNNNNNNNNNNNNNNNNNNNNNNNNNNNNNNNNNNNNNNNNNNNNNNNNNNNNNNNNNNNNNNNNNNNNNNNNNNNNNNNNNNNNNNNNNNNNNNNNNNNNNNNNNNNNNNNNNNNNNNNNNNNNNNNNNNUUGUGGCCAAAACCUGUAUAAUAGAAAGUGAAGAAAUCACAUUACAAUAUAUUACAAAAUUAAUGUCAUACACUGCCAAUUACAUAAGCAUCAUUCAAUCCAUAUAUCUUCACACCCAUCUCGAAUAUUUUGACCGCCUAACUCACCCACCAGUUCAUCAAAUGUGUCAACAUUUGGCAUCCCUCUAGUAAAUGGCUCACACUCAAUUAUCACAUCACCUAAGACUUCAUCACCAAUAACAUCAUUAUAUUCUCUAUUAGGCAUUGAUAACACUACCGACCAACCACGAUGCAUCGGGUCGUCAACAAAAAAUAUUUGUUUGACUUGAGAAGCCAAAACAAAUUGGUCAUUCCUAUGUCCAAUUUUACUCAAAUCUACAAGGGUAAAUCCAAGUUCGUCGACUACAAUACCAGAACUAUCUAUCCAAUCACACCUAAAGACUGGGAUUGUAAACUUUUGGUAGUCAAGGUCCCAAAUUUCUUGAAUGACACCAUAGAAACCCAUAUUUGAGAGAAUUGGGUUUUUAUCCUUGGCACUAGCAACUUGCAUGGUAUGUGCAAGUAAAUAAACUCCACUAUUUUGAGUUGUCCGCACAUCAUCUUGUGCCUUGAUAUUGAAUUUAAUACCUUUAAUAAGAUACUCCUAUAUAAUGGCACUGCCAUGUUUGGACCAGCUGCUAGCCACCUUAAAUUUUCUGAUACGCCAUGAUUGUCUUCCUCAAGUUCACUUUGAACCUGCAAAUUAAUCAUAUAUCUUAAUUCAAUCUAACAUAGAAAUAAGAAGAAAAUUAAAAGAGAAAUAUGUUAUUCAACAACAUAUACCUUGAAGCGUAGCCAUUGAAUGAAAGUGCUAUUGUGCUUAUCCUGCAGCCACUUUGUUCUCUUUCUAAAUUUUGGAUAAGCAGUCUUGAUGUGGAUCAUAUGUUGCCUACAUGACACGAAAAAUUCAAGCAUUACGGUCCCAAAUAUAGAAGAUAAACAUAAGAAAUAAUUUAAAAUCAAUAAGUUAAAGAAUAAAACUCAUACGUACUCGAUAUAAGGUAGGACUUCCUCCGUAUUCUCCAAGACAUAUAGAUGUGCUUGAUUCAACAGGUCCUGAUCAACUACGCUCACUGUGCAACCUGAUAAUGGCUUUGAAAGUCCCAUCUUUUGGCUUGAAGGCACUCCAACUGUACUAACAUCAGAUAAAUGCUGAGUACAAAACUCUACCGCUUCUUCAGCUAUAUACCGCUCAGCAAUGCAACCUUCGAGACGAGUACGAUUCUGAACAUACCCCUUCAGCACUUUCAUAUAUCUUUCAAACGGAUACAUCUACCUAAAAUAUACUGGCCCACAUAGACGAACUUCUCUGACAAGAUGUACUACUAGAUGAACCAUGAUAUCAAAGAAUGAAGGGGGAAAGUACUUCUCAAGCAAACACAGAGUAACUACUACAUCUUCUUCCAACUUAUCUAGCUUGGAAACAUCAACAGUCUUUGCACAUAUAGCAUUGAAGAAGAAGCACAAACGAGUUAUUGCAUACCUUGCAGGCUUCUCCAAAACAGAACGAAUUGCCACAGGGAGCAAUUGUUGCAUUAAGAUAUGACAAUCAUGUGAUUUAAGGCCAAGAAGUCUUGAAUCUUGUAAAGAUACAAGAUUUUUAAUAUUUGAAGAAUAACCUUCAGGGACCUUCAUACCAUAGAAAGAAUUGCAAACCUCUCUCUUCUCUGCUCUUGACAAAUUCCAAGGCCCAGGAGGCAAACAAGUACGUCUUUCUCCAUACUCGGGUUGCAAAUCAGUUUUGACCCCCAUGUUCAAUAAAUCUAAUCGAGCAGCAAUCCCAUCUUUAUUUUUUCCAGGGAUCUCCAGCAAUGUACCAAUAAUACUAUCGCAAACAUUCUUCUCAAUGUGCAUAACAUCUAGGGCAUGCCUCACAGGAAGGUAUUUCCAAUACUCGAGAUCAAAGAAUAUUGAUUUCUUCUUCCAACAAACUCUGUCACCAUUUUCAACCAUAUGCAGCACUUCUUCUCCGGUUAAUGGCUCGGGAGGUAUGCCAUAUUCAGGUUUCCCAUUAAAAGCUGCACGUUGCCUCCUAUAUGGAUGAUUGAUUGGUAACCAUUUUCUAUGCCCAAUGUAACAAAUUUUGUGGCCAUUUUUCAACCUGUGACUAGGUGUAUCAUUGCCGCAUAUUGGACAAGCUUUAUAUCCUUUAACAACACAACCAGAUAAGUUUCCAUAGGCGGGGAAAUCAUUAAUUGUCCACAUUAAUGCAGCUCUGAGUGUAAAGUAUUCUCCAUUAUGUGCAUCAUACACUCCUCUAAUCCCAUCCCACAAAGAUUUUAAAUCAUCAAUCAAAGGCUCCAAGUAGACGUCUAUAUCAUUUCCGGGUUGUUUAGGACCGGAAAUCAAUAAGGUUAACAUCAUGAACUUUCGUUUCAUGCACAGCCAUGGAGGGAGAUUAUAUGUAACUAAGAUAACCGGCCAACAACUAUAUCUGCUACUUAGAGAACUGUGGGGAUUGAAUCCAUCAGAUGAAAGAGCCAAUCUCAAGUUUCUCGGCUCAUUACCAAACUCAGGCCAUUUAUCAUCAAGAAGUUUCCAAGACGGGGAAUCCGCCGGAUGAGACAUCUGACUGUCAAUUGAUUUUCUAGCAGCAUGCCAAGUCAAACUCUUAGCUGUCUCAUGUGAUUGAAACAUCCUUUUAAACCUUGGAAUUGGAGGAAAAUACCACACCACCUUCGCUGGCACACCCUCUUUCAAGAUUGAAUCUUUGCCUUCCUUCCACCUUGAGAUACCACAAGUAGGACAAUUAGUUGAAUCCUCAUACUCCUUCCUAUACAAGAUGCAAUCAUUGGGGCAUGCGUGCAUUUUCUCAUAACUCAGCCCCAAUGCACACAAAGUCUUUUUAGCCUCAUACAUAGAUGUUGGUAUUGUAUUUCCUUCUGGAAGCAAAUCGCCUUGAAGUAUCAAUAAUUCUGUAAAACAGACAUCACUCAUCCCAUGUUUUGCCUUCAAAUUAUACAACUUCACUAAUGCCGAUAACUUCGUGUACUUUCUACAACCAGGGUACACUGGUUGAUCUCCAUUCCCAAUCACAUUGGCAAACUCAUACGGAUCGAAACCAAAAUCACCAAAAUCAUUAUCAUCCAUAUCAAUUUCUUCAGGCACAAAACUGUACCUACUAUGGCCAUCAUCUUCUUCAACAUUUCUACUAGCAUUAGUAGUUGCUUCCCAAGGUUCUCCGUGAAAUGUCCAAUUCUUAUAGCUUUGGUCAAUUCCAUUAAAGUAUAAGUGAUCCCUUAUAAUUCCAACCCCAAACAACUUCAAAUUAACACAUUUAACACAUGGACAACGGAUAUGUGUUGUAGUUAGAAGAUUUUCUAUAGCAAAGUUCAAAAAUGCUUCCACCCCAAACUCAUAUGCCUUCGAUCUUCUAUCCGAGUGCAUCCAUGACUUAUCCAUCUCCGACACUAUAACCUAUUAUCUAUAAUAAAGUGAAAAUACAGGCAAUGACCAUCACUAUAGCAGAUUAUACAAAGAUCUAAUAGCAAGUAAUACACAACAGAGACGACGAGUUUUAAACAAAAACAGACGUAUUUGGCAUAUAUAGACGAGGGAUUUUCAACAGACGUCGUCUAAUAUAAGUAAUACAAACGACGGUUUAUUAAAAAAACGUCGUGUAUAAGUAAUACAACGACGGUUUUUUCAUAAACCGUCGUGUAAUCGUCGUCGUAUGCCUAAAAAGGCGUCGUGUCUCAGUUUAUUUUCAAGAACCCAAAACCCAUUAAGAACACAACAUAUAUAUGAAACCAAGCAAGAAACCAACAUAUACAUGAAACCAAGCAUGAAAACAAUAAAUCCAUUCCCAAUUCAACAUGACAUAGGGUGAUUAAAAGAUCCGACAAAAUUAAAACCAUUCCCAAUUCAACAUAACAGAUAAUGUAAUCCAUGAACCCAUUAAACAUAAAAUCCAUGAACCCAUUAAACAGAAAAUCCAUGAACCCAUACCUAUAAGCACAUUAUUAACAGAUCGCAAAGCAUAUACCUAAAACCCUUUAACAAAACAAGCAAGAAACCAACAUAUACAUGAAACCAAGCAUGAAAACAAUAAAUCCAUUCCCAAUUCAACAUAACAUAGGGUGAUUAAAAGAUCCGACAAAAUUAAAACCAUUCCCAAUUCAACAUAACAGAUAAUGUAAUCCAUGAACCCAUUAAACAGAAAAUCCAUGAACCCAUUAAACAGAAAAUCGAUGAACCCAUACCUAUAAGCACAUUAUUAACAGAUCACAAAGCAUAUACCUAAAACCCUUUAACAAAACAACCUAAUAUCAUUCAAUGAAUUUACAAGGGGAAGAUAGGGUUUGUACUUACAGGUUGGACGAGCUCACAGAUUCGACGGAGCCUGGAGAGUGCAACUUUUAAUUAGAGCAGAAGUGAGAGAGCGAAUGUUAUGUUGCGCGAAAUCUGAAAAUUUUAGGGUUCAGGGUUAGAAGUAUAAGAAUAAGAACCAAAUAUAAAAAAAUUUAGGGCGCGCGAAAAUUUUUAGAGCUCGCGCUCUUUAAAACGUCGAAAGAAAAACCAUGGCGAAAGUUCUACAAGAACCGACGUAAAUGUAAUAUUCCACGACGAAAACACUGAACGUAACGCCGAUUAUUUUGACGUUCAUUUUUCGGAUUAAUUUUAAAUUAAUUUUGAAUAUUUUGAUAUAAAGACGACUGAAAAACCACGUCGAAGUUAAGAAAUUGAAAACGUUGUAAAUUAUAAUAGACGAUUUACAUAUUAAAAUGACGUCGUUUAAAAUGGAAAUCAUGUCGGAUAUUUUACUGCACGACGUAACAUAUGUAUUCCACGACUCAACCACCGUCGUUAACAAUUAAUACCCUAAACCCUUAAAACUAAAUUAUAUAAUUUUAAAAAUUAAGUUUAUAAAAAGGUUUAUGGUUUUACAGCCUAAUAUAUACCCUAUACUACCCAAAAAUUAUACUUUAAAAAUAAACCCCAAUAAAUAACAACCCUAAUCUCCAAACCCUAGACUCUAAACCCUAAACCAUAAAACUAGAAGUGAUUUUAUGACUCAUCAAAACAAUUUUGUUUUGGAUGGUCAUUUUAAAUUUUUGUUAUUCAAAAUGAAUUUUUUCAAGGUUUAGGGGGAAGAAAAUAUAUCAAUGACUUCAUAGGAGUUGACUUUGCAUUUUUCUGAUUUAUUUUAGAUUUAUUUUGAAGAUUUUGAUAUAAAAAUAAUAAAAUAUUCUUAUCACAACAACAAACCACGUUGGUGUUAAUAAAUUUUAGACGUUGUAAAUUGUAAUAGACGACUAAGUUGCUAAAAUGACGUCGUUUAAAUGAGAAACCAUGGCGGAUAUUUAACUAUCCGACGUAAAAUAUAUAUUCCACGACUUAACCGCUGUCGUUACAAAGUACUACCCUGAACCCUUAAGAAAUUGAAGACGUUGUAAACCAUAAACGACUCAAUUGUUCAAAGAACGUCGUCUAAAUAUCCUUUUUCGUCGGAUUUGGUUAAAACGAAACAACAAAAAACGACGGCUUUUGACUUUAUUACGUCGUUGGAAAAGUAUUACACGUCGGUUACGCAAUUUGUAUGUUUGUUUUUUUUUUUAAUUUAAGAAAACCUCAACAAAUUUUUACAUUAUAUAUUAUAGACAAAAUUUGUACAUUAUACAUAAAUAUCAAGUGUUCAAUAAUUCCCCUAUUCCAGGUGAAGGCAAACAAACUCUGACCAUUCAUUCCGGACUUCAUCAAUUGCUUCUUGGGGGUAUGGCGCUUCCUGUUUUCCCUUGGCAUACUGCAUAAACAAUGACUAUUAGGGUUUAUAAAUAAAAAGAAAUUCAAUCACAGACGACGAUAUUUUUCAUAACCGACGUACUAUAUCUAUUCAACGACGGUAAUUUUACAUGGCCGUCGUUGAUAAUACAAAAAACGACGUAAAAUGUAUGAAGGUAAUUUCUUCUUACCUUCUUCUCAAACCCCAAGAAAGGAUCCAUGAUGAUGUCCCUCAUGAAGCGCAUCACAUAAUACCCGCAAUCGACAUUGCUGGGUUGCUUUGGUGUGCCUGACAGAGUUUUCCAAAUGACUGCCUUACGGCCUGGUCUGGCUAUGUGAGAAUUAUACAUUUUUAUAGCACUGUUCACAAUGUUUUUGGCCUCUUCAUCGACCACACGAUUUCCUGGCAGAGGAUCCAGAAAAUAGACGGUUUCUCUCUUAGCUCUUACAAUCAGCAGGAUCCAAUGACGGCUGCACAAAAUUAAUAUAAAAACGACGGUUAUUUACAAUAACGACGUAUUAUAAUAUUUCACACGACGAAAUAACGUAGCAGUCGACGACAUUUUACAUUUAUCACGACGAUAAAUAACUACCGACGUGGUUAGUAGUUUCAAACGACUCAAUAAAAUAAAACACCGACGUGGUUAGUUUAUACGCUGUAAUUUAUUGAAAAUCAUAAAAACAAAAUCCUGUUAAGGAGACUAACCCUGGAUUGUAAGGCAUCAGGAAAAUCUGUUCACCGUCAGUCUUCUGAAGUCGAGCUGCCAGUAGGCGUGAUCUGUCAGCUAUUGUGCCAGAGCUGGCACUAACUGUAGCAGGGUCGAUAAAGCCAACCAUAUUGCACAUAUUUGCUCUUUUCAAAACAUCGUGCAAGUGCCUAAAUAUAUAAAAUAACACAAAAAAACACACGACGGUUAUGUAUAACAAAACGACGUAUUAUAAAAUUUCACACGACGUACUGAAAUAGACAACGACGUUAUAAUAUAUUUAUCACGACGGUAAAUACUAACGACGUGGUUAGUUAGUUAAGACGACGCAAUAAAUAUACCAACGACGUAUUAUUUUAGAAUGACAAACCUCAUAUAUACAAAAAAACACGACGGUUAUGUAUAACAAAACGACGUAUUAUAAAAUUUCACACGACGUACUGAAAUAGACAACGACGUUAUGAUAUACUAACGACGUGGUUAGUUGGUUAAGACGACGCAAUAAAUACACCAACGACGUAUUAUUUUAGAAUGACAAACCUCAUAUAUACAGCAAUGACAAUGGCUCCUAUUUCUUCCAUGCCUGCAAAUUGUGUAAUAUCUUUAGGCAGGAGGAAGGUAUCGCGCUCUAGACCAAACACCUCCUUAUCAAUUGUAAAGUGCAGGGUCAUAUCCUGAGGCACGAGUGUCGUUUCCACAUAACGACAAAGGGAGUUUAAAGAAGAUGGCGCCUCCAUAUUUGAAUAAUCAACAACUUUAAUAACCUGUUUAAAGAAAUAAAAAAAAUGACGUGGUAAUUCAAUAAAAACGACGGUUUAAGGAAUAAAACGUCGUCUGAAAAUAAUUUAAACGUCGUCUGAAGAAACCGUCGUGGUGAAUAAUUUAUUACGUCUUAAAAAAAAUUCCGCCGUCUAAGUUGUAAACAAACGACGGUUCAAAAAAAAAUAUCGACGUCUGGAAUUUUGAAAAACAAAUAAAAAAGGCAAAGUUAUGUGAACAUACCUGGUCGUCAUCUUCUUUCUCCUUUUCAUCAUGUUUUUCUUCUGUCUUCCCUUCAUCUAUUACGUCGGGAAUGACUAACUCCGUCGUCUAAAAACCACAAAGUUUUAAAAUAACGACGUUUAAUGGCGUGUAAAACAAGUAAACUAAAUACGACGUGGUAUUGAAAUACAAACGACGGUUUAUGUUUAAAAUCGUCGUGGUAUGUAUUUCAAACGACGGUUUUAUUAAUAAUAACGACGUCUAAUGGUUUUUAAAAAAACAGAGAAUUCAAAGUUCAGAUAUGUUACCUUUUCUUCCUGAUGUUUCCCAUUUUUGGCAGUAUCAUCCUCAAAAUGCUGGGAUCUCACAUCACCUCCAGAGCAGCUUGCUUUGUCAGACAUUGGAUUUUUGGGACUUUGGCUAAUUCUGGGUUUAAGCAUGCUUGGAUCAAAAUUGGGAAUUAAUUGGGAAAGCUGACUUAGGAAAUGCUCCCUCUCAGCCUCUACCAAUUGUUUCGUUCUAGCCUCCAUCCUUAAAGCCUCUUCCCUUGCCUUAGCCUCCAUCUUUUUAGUCUCUUCUUGAAGGAGAACUCUUAAACUGUCCUUCAAACGGUCGUCAAAGCUCACUCUCUGUGGUUUGGGUAAAUUGAAAUAUUGCCUUGGUGAGAUCCCAGCACCUACUCCUCUGACUCUGCCUGGAUGCUCGGGGCCCAAAGCCAUGGUCAGCACAUCAUUGCUGCCAGAAACAGUGACUUUGCCUUCCGAGACUUGUUUUUGCAAUUCAUCCUAAAACAAAGAUAUAUAAAAAAGUAAGAACAAAAACACACGACGGUUAUUUAUAUACAAACGACGUAUUAUAUAAUUUCACACGACGCAAUAACAUAUAAAUUGACGUUAUUAUAAUUUAUCACGACGGUAGUUAUACCGACGUGGUUCUCUUUUUAAAACGACGAAAUUAAUAAACCACCGACGUCUUACGCUUUAUUUACAGAUAACAGAGGGAUGAUUCAAUAUUCACACCUUUAACGACGUUGUUUAAAACAUUUCGACGUAGUAAUUUACUACAGACGACGCGAAAAUGAACCACCGACAUCUUAUGCUAUAAUUACAGAAAACAGAGUUGUGAUUCCUGAUUUAGACCUUUAACGACGUUUUUUAAAAUAUGUCGAUGUGGUAAUAUCAUUCACAUGACGCAAAAUAUAACAUAAGACGUAAUAAGAAUUAUUCACAGUUUAAUAAAAAUUUAAAACAGAGUGAGUAGGCUUACAAUUAAUUUUGCUUUCUCUGCCACCUUUGGAUCAGGGAUGUUACCAUGUUUGUCCUGUCUAGCUCUCUUCCAUAAGGUAGAUCGAUCAAUUUCUACCCCAGGCAUGGUUUCCUCCAAUUGAUCCUCCAAGCCAGCAUAUCCUUUUCGAGACAAUCGAUGAUUGUACUAGAAUGCACAGACUCAAAAUCUUUGGAUAACCUUGAAGCUACAAAGGCAUCCCAUUGUGCUUUCUCUAUGAAUUUAUAUGUUUCAGGGGGUUGGCUUAAUCUCUCCCUGUCAUUGGUGUAUGGAAGGAUAUAUUGCCUCGUUAGUGUAGACUUGAAAUCCUUCCAUUUCUUGGCAGCAGAAGCUAACACAGAGCUCUUGCCCCCUUGACCUACCACAAAAGCAAGGUCAACUGCUUCCCAAAUCUGCUCCUUUAUAUCCUUGGGGAUUUGAGCCCAUUUCAUGUCCACAAGUGGAACUCUGGAGCGUGCCAACACACCAAUGUAGGACUGCAUCUCACUAUGUGCUUGGCCAAUUCCUUUCCCCCUUUUAUUGUACUCAACAAUUGGCCUCAGUUUCUGAAGUUUUCUCUUCACAACACGAGGCAUUGUGCUCAUACCUCGACCAGACUUUGAAUCAUCAGAGAUUGUUGUCGUGCUGGUUCGUUCUGUCUCAGCAGAUGAUGAAGCAAACUUCAUCUUCUUCGAAGGCUUCACUUGAGGAGGUACCAUUCCAAGGUCCUUACCUCCAUUUUUCUUGGAGCCAGAAUCCUUACUUUGGUCUUGGUGAGAAACCAUUUUUACAGACAAAACUGCAAGUGAAAAUAUUUCAGGAAAAGAUUAAGAACACAAACGACAGUUAUUAAUAAAAUACGACGUAUGAUAUGAUUUUAAACGACGCAAUGAAAUAAUCUCAGACGUAAUAAAUGUUUAAAACCAAGGUAAUUAAACAACGACGAAAUAAUUAACUAUAAACGACGUGAUAAUUAACUAUACACGACGAAAUAUUUAUAUAACGUCGUGGUAUUGAUGUUCACACGACGUCAGUCGUAAUAUACCAUCGUCUAUAUAAGGAUCCAAAACCCUUCUUUCUUUCUCUGUGAAUGUUUGAUUGCAGAUUUGAUUUUUCUAAACCAUGGUUUUUGUUUUCUAAUUUGAUAAAAUACAAGGCCAAGAAAGAAAGUUUUGGAAUCUUAUAUAGACGACGGUAUUUUAAUAUGACGUCGUGGUAUUAACAUUCACACGACGUAAAAUAAUAAGAUAUUGUCGUCUAUAUUAGAUACCAACCCUACUUUCUUUUUCUUUAUAUUUUAUCAAAUUAGGGAAAAACAAAAACCAUUGUUCAGAGAAAUCAAACCUGCAGUUAAACAAGCAAAUAAAAAAAAGACUAUAAUUUUAAAAACAACUUUGUCAAUUUUCAGACGACGCUAGAACGACUGACGAACCGUCGUGGUCUACAUAUUUAACCACGUACAUAAGAAGCUACCGUCGUCUUAUUUAGUUGAGGUAGUUGUCUUCAAAGUUGGAAACUUUCCCUCUUUGUCUGUAUAUUUUAUCGAACUUGGAAAGAAGUAAAAUGAUUUUGGCCAGAAAAAAGGUAAAAAGAUUUUUCAAACAAAAAACGUAUGAGCAUGCAAAACAGCAACCAAAAUAGUGAAAAUGAAAGCUUACCUUUUGCGUGCAAUGAAAGCCAGAGGAAGAUUAUGUUUAAGUUCAGAGACGACAAAGAAGACGAGAGGAAGACGAUGAGAUACUCUGACAGUGCUCUGACAAGGAAAAAAGUCUAAAAGUUUUCUCUGGGAGAUUGAACUUUUUAAUCGGGUUUGGAAACAGCGCAUGUGUAUGUCAGGUAGACGAAAAGUUGCUUACAUAUAAAACCAUUUCAAAAAAAUAAUACGGCGGUUACAUAUAACUAAGACGUAUAAAUUACAAAAUACGACGGUACAUUUAACUUCGGACGUGGUAAAUAAAUACGACAGUAGUGUUGUAGGUACCGUCGUAGUAAACUCAAAAAUUAAAGUACAUAAGUAAUAACUCGCGUCAUGGUAGAUUAUUUAACACGUCGUUUUUAUUAAUUUACCGAAGUGGAUUUCUGUAAUAUACGUCGAUAAUACCGACGUUGAUUUUACAAUUUAAACGGCGGUUUUUUUGUAAGGACCGCCGUUCGUUUUAAAAAUUUAUUCUAUAAAUUUGUCGCUUUCAUUCAUUUUCGGUUUACAUUUAAGGUUCCAAGUUCUUCCUCUCUCAGUCUCUCACGUCUCAAAGACAAUAAUUUGGAUGUCUUUCUCAAAGAGAAAUUGAGCUUACUCGCAUCAAAUAUAUGUCCACAAGAAGAAGCUUGUCAACUAGCCUUCUCACUUCCUUGAUCAAGCCUGAUAGGACACUUAGUGCUUCUGAAUACUCCUUGCUUUCCAUCAAAAGAGAUGCAAGCCUGGCCUCCACUUGCUGUCGAAGGAAAGUUCGCUUCUCAGGGAAAUCUGAAGAUCAGAUGUGCCUGAUCCUCUGCUUGAUUUUAUUGCCUAAGAAGAUCCGUCGGAUUUGUGAUAGCCUCUUCCUUUAUCCGUAGAGCUUCAGAAGAAGAAGAUGGGUUUCAAGAAUGCGAUAAAGAAUAGAAAUAGCUUCAGAUGGCCUCUAAAGCAUGAGCAAUUGAAUCAGUAGUUGCUGGGAGAUAUGAUGAAGACAUUGUCAAUGCUUUGAACUAUACAAGUCCUGCAGAAAGAUAAAGGACCAAACUGUUAAAGAAACUGAAACAACGGCGGUUUUCUGUUCUACCGUCGUCUUUUCUCGUCGUCUAUAUUAAGGUAAGAUGGCGGUAGAUUUAUAAUUACCGACGUAGAUUAUUUUGUUAAACGUCGUUAAGUGUACUACAACCGACGUGGAUUUUAUUUUUAAAUUAUAAAUAGAGUUUUUUUUCCCGUAUUCUUUCAGUUUUAGUUUUCAAUUACAAAGCGUGAUAAAUAGAUUUUUCUUUCCCGAGGAAAUUUAAAAUGAGGGAAAUUAAUGUUCUAGAAUUUGUAAACUAACACGACGCAAUAUUUGCAAAUCUGUGUCAUCUGUUAAGAUUAUGAUGUGGAACAGAGUUCCAUCUGGUAAGAUUUCGUAACCCUUGGGAUCUCAGACAAAUCUGAUUAUGUCGGCGGUAUUCUAUAUAAACCGUCGUGGUUAUUUCAAUUCUUGUCAUUAAGUAGAUCUACCGACGUAGGAUAAGAAAAUCAAAGAAAAAAAUUGUUAACAAAAAUUCUUAUUAAGACGACCGUUAAAAUUAAAGGUACGACGUAUAAAAUGAAUAAAUACGACGUUAAAUUUUAUUGUACGAUUUAAAGAUAACGUCGUAGAACUAUACGAGAAUGACGUCGAUAUAUUUAUAUUUUCCGUCGUUGUAAAUUAAUUUAAUACGGCUAUAUUUUGUAUUUUAAAGCCGUGGAUUUGUUUGUAAUUAUACGGCGUCUUAUACGAAAACCUCGUCGUGUUAUUUUAUGAGUAAAAACGGCAGUUUUUAUUGAAAUCGUCGUCUUUACUUUCUACGUCGGUCGAUUCAUAACUUCUGCCGUUCUUUGUUGGCAUCGAUUUUACACAGCGGAAAUCUGUUUCAAAUAGACGUCGGUUGUUUAAUUAUGUACGUCGUUGUUUUUGAACAGCCAUUUGAAUCUCCAUUUUUUAGUUGUCUAAGGUUGUAUUACACGACGGUGUUUUUAGAACCGUCGUCUUUUUAUAAACCACGACGGUUUUCACUUAGACCGUCGUUGUUUUCUGGUCGUCUUUUUCACUUUUUGUAGUAGUGUCCACUCUUGGUUCUGAUCAUGUAUGUAUAAGUUUUGCCCGGCGGUUUGGAGAUUUUCCGACGGCCGAAAUCGCUUUGGGCACUCACGUGCUGUCGGCAUGUGUGGCGGCGCGUGGGCAAUUAUUUGGCUGGUCUUAGGCUCCUAAAAUGCUCUUCAUGUCGUCUUGAGCACGGCAGUAUGCUCGGAUAUAAAUUUGGAGAUCGUUUAAUCGUCGAUCAGAUAUCGCAUAUUAGGCAUUAUCUGGGUUCAAUAUGUUCGGACCGUUGGAUCGACUCCAAUUUAAUAUAUGUUGAUUUAGGCAUUCCUAGGAUCGUGUAGGAAUUCGCAAAUCGUGAAUCGGAGCCCUGGAUGUUCUGAUUCAAUAACUUAAAAUUUGCGUUUUACGAUAACCGUCCGAUCGUGUGAUCGUGAGCAAUCAGACUGUCCGAUCCGGACCGAACUUACAGGACAUGUAUCAUAAACCUUGUGGAACCCAUAUAAACUUUCGGAUCGAAAAUCGGAGGUCGUGGGCCCCACGGGCCCAAUUGACUAAGUUUGGGUAGUUAGACCACUCGGUUGACCAUGAGUCUUUCGAGGUAGUUUUACCCUUCGAGAUGUACUAGAAUGACCAUGUAAGCGAGUCUUGACCAUUAUUUGAGUUGUUCUAAUUAUGUUGGGAUUAGGAGUUUGUUUUAUAGUAUAUUCUAGAAAUUCUUGAAUUUUGUUUUAAAACGUGUAUUAUGUUCAGUAAUUAAAUGAAUAUGCAUGAAAUAUAGUUUGAAUGAAAAUUUGGGAAAUUUAAAUAUAUUUAUAAUAUGUUAGUGUGAUUUUGAUAUAAAUUUUGUUGAUGUUGAGUUUUGAAACCUUGAUUUAUUAUAGUGACGGUAUUAUGUUGACGAUAUGCAAAUGUUUACUUAUGAUAAAUCUUUGGUUUGAACUAUGGUGACUUGGGCAAAUGAAUAAUGUUGAUGAAUAUGGAAUUAUAUAAUUACACUAUGUUGAGUACCAUCCCCCGGUUACUAGACUUCCCACACGUGGCGUUGGAAAUUUUCCUGCGUGUGGGAAGAAUAUGUGAUUAUCUGGUCUCACACGUGGCGUUGGCAUAUUGCGGCGUGUGAGACCCUGUGAUUUGUUAUGGAUUAUCACACGUGGCUUUGGAGAAUUCUGGCAUGUGAUAAUGGAUUUUCCACACGUGGCGUUGGAAAUUUCCGGCGUGUGGGCUCAUUGAAAUAUUGGCUACCUUACCACACAUGGCGUUGGAUUAUUCAGCGUGUGGUAAAAGAUCCGUGUACAUGGGUUAUCGUUAUUUUACUACGCGUGGCGUUGGAAGUUCCAGCGUGCAGUAAAAUAACAGGGAGAGGAAAAAAGCAUUAUGUUUAGUAUUAUGUAAUUUAAAGAAAAGGGAAAGGGGUAAAUUUUAGAAUUUAUUAUUUUGUAUUGCUGUAAUUUAUUGCAUGUUAUUGGAACGAGGAUUUUGUAGGAAGAACUACGUGUGGCUUGAUCUCUCAGUAAGGGUACGUAGGUAGCCUGGAGUCUUACCCGGGUGCAGUCACGAACUAAAGUUUUUUUUGUUUUCCCAUUUGGCUAAGUGAGUGUUGUUGAAAUGUGGUUGUGAUCAAGACAGUUUUGGAACCCGUUUUGGAUUGUUGUAUGAUUUAGACCGGGUCCUUAAUCUAACUUCCCAGUGGGUCACCCAUUUGAGAUUGUUCUAGGCCCAACUCGCUUAACUUCGGAGUUUCCAUGACUCCGAAGCCAGUGAGCUUCUAAAAGGCCUCGUGCUAGAUGGAGGUGGACAUGUACAUAUAAGGCACAUCACCCCCUCUCCGUUGAUCGAUGUGGGAAAUGAGCAGAGCCCAAAACAAAGUCAAAAGCUUAUCUUCACCAAGAAUCACAACAUAUUAUCAGGGAUAUGGGGAGGGGAGGUGAAGGGAGCGAAGCAAAAGCUUAUCCAACAAUUAUAUCUGAAUUAUAUCUGAAUUCACAAGAACAAGUAAAAUAGAUAUUGAACUUUCAAUUUUAUUAUAGGAUGCCAAACACAUACAUGGCAUGGACAAUGCAUACAAGCUUCUUAGAAGUUUACAACAUUACGAAAGUUAUACAUUAACACUUACACGUACCAUCAAGAAGUUAAGUCCAUGAUUUCAGUUUCCUAUCAAAUAUUCCACUCCCAAGUAGAAGAAUUUAUGCCCUUGAUUUCACUUUCCUGUCAAAUAUUCCUCAUCCAUAAGUAGAAAUGUACAUCUCAACUAGAAGAGGAAAUUGCAUCCAAAUAAAUAAUGUGACUGGAACACAAUCCACGACUGUUCAUGGAUCAUAAUGAAAAGGGCGGAAGAAAAGGCAACCAUCAUGGUGGCAAUAGAGAUGAAUAAGGUGGAAAGGCCUAUUAUCAUCUUUGUUGGUAAGGAUUUAAGGAAAUCAUCUUCUGCAUAACGUGAUGUAAGGAUUCCCAAAAACAUCAACACCGAAGUUGUGGAAGAAAAGAGGAAUACAGCAUCUGAAACUAUAAAUGCUGUAAACAACUUUUUAUGUAGGAAUAUUGGGAAGCCUGUUUGUCCAUUGUUUCCACCGGGAAUUGUGAAUGCUGCAGCAACCAUGAUGGUAAUAAUGAGAGCACCUACAACUGUACAUGAAGAUGCAGUUCCUUUCAUCCAUCUUUCUCCUUCCUUCACCAAUUCCUUGUGGUUCUUUGUAAACAGCUCACGCGGUGUCAUACCGUCGCAAUUAUUAGAUUCUUUAAUCUGGGUAUUCCAAGAUCCUCGACCUCCUACAUUUUUGUUGAACAAAAAUAUUCAUAUGAGUAAAAGAUUAUUACUCUAUUUUUCAAAUAAUCCAAACCAUUAGAGAGCAGAGGUAACAAGAAGACUAGCAAGCUGACCGUAAAGUAAGUUGAAUAAGACAUCUUAUGGCCGACCUUUAUUCCAAUUUUUCUUUUCUUUCUGCACUUGAAGUUUCUAUUAUAAGGUUAUAGUUUAACUCGUGCUAUUUUGCUCUAGUUUUCGAUAAGAAAAUGCGUUUGAUGCAUUAGUUUUCAAUAUUGGAAUGAAUAAAUUACUAAAUGUAACUGUGCUGACCACGUUUUUAGAGCAUUCACAAUGGGCUUCCUAAAUGACAUUCUUGCACAAAUUUUAGGGAGGAAUUGGAAAAAUAAAACUCCAACCAUGCUCCCUUUAUCCGCUUGCUAAAAUAGAUAGACUUCUAGGAGUUCUUAAAUAUGAGGAGAGAGAAAGGACUCCUAGUGGCUUCCUAUAAUUUAAUGCUGUGUUAUUUUAUGAAUAUUUUAAACCUUUAAUUAAUGCCAAUUAUUUUUUAUGUUAAUUUUUUUUUAUAGAAAUAAACCAAUUAAGAAAUAAUUAUAGCAUUUAUGACUCCCUAAACUAGAGAGUAUAAUUGGAGUUACAAUUUUUAUAGAGAGUUUUUAAAAUAACUUUUAUAUGUGUUUAGAUAAAUUUUAACUAAAAAAUAAAGAGCAUGAUUGUAGAUGCUCUUCCACUUUUUCUAAGAAAAACUUGAUCUCCACUCAAUACAUGAAAUGACUCAUUUCAGCCUAAACAAUUUAUUUUCAUCUAUGUUACAAUUUGUAUAAGUUGAAAAAAGUAUAAAUUAACUAAGAUUUUCUUUAAUUUUUCAAAGAUAGUAUACGUCUAUUUGCAGAUGCAAUAUAAUGCAAAUACACAGUAUCGGUCUAUUUGUUUUACACAAAUAAUGUAUGAAAAGUCAUAUUCAGUAUGGAAAAGAAAAACAAAAUGUUCACAGUAUAUAUACAUAUGACAUGUAAUGUUAGAUGCCUUAGUGAUUUAUUAUUUUAGCUAGUUUAUAGCAGAAUGACCUUUGAGCUGUAAUUGAAAGCAGACCAUGCUGCCGAUUAACAAAUUACUAUAGAGUGCGCCCACAGCCGAUGAUUCCCACAAUUUACAAAAAAAAUAGGUCUUUAGAAGGGCAUAUAUAGAAAAGCUAAAUCAUAAGAGAGAGAAAAAAACUAUAUAUAUAUAUAUAUAUAAACUCUGAAUUAUAUAGAAUAUGUUCUGACCUUAAACCAUUGCACUUCUCUCUGCAUUUGCAAAGCUGCACCUGAGAUAUUAUCGAGCUUCGCCAAUGGGCAUAGCAUCCCGGCCACAUGUAGCAAGCAAUUGUCAGACGUAUCUGCCAAAGUUGCAAUCAAUGUUCUUUUUCUUUUAUCGAAUCUAUAAAUAAGGCUAUAAAUUUUUUUCUUGGCGACAUUCCGUUGCAUACAUAAGGGGGUUCCUUCCCAUUUCAUUAGACUGUGAAAAUUGCUUGCAAAUACACUGUUAGUAAACUCAAACAUCCCUUGCUCGAUAGCUGUGAAAAUUGCUGGAAGUAGAAAAUCAUGGCCAUGUCGAUGUUUUAUCACUUCACACAUGUGAUGUAGGAGUUCAAAUGAUUGAAUGUGGGCCUGUUUUAUUUCGCGUAUGCGGUUGAUUCCUAGGUAGGCAUUGAAAAAAACAUGUCAUACCACUAAUUCAUGAAAAAAUUUAUUGAUAAAACAAUUAAUGGAGAACAAAGGAAAGAUGAAAAAAAAAAAUGUAGCAUACCCAAAAGUUCAAGGAGAUAUGAUUUCAAACCUUGCAAGAAACCUACCACUGCAAUGGAAAUUCAAAAUCUAAAUAUAAGAUGAGUAAAGCUGUAUGUAUCUCUGUUAAUUAGAUGAUGACAAAUUGCGUAAAAGGGAAGAAGUAUUAGCUAACUUGAAAAGUUCCAUAAAAUGGGAGCAAGGAAUAUUUAGAAAAGUUCCUUGUGUGAAGGCCCCCCCCCCACCGCUGAACCCCUCCCAAUUCUUUGAGAUGAGAAGUUAAAACAAUAAUUAAAAAAACCAAAUCAGCAUUUCCACAUCUCUCCGAUAAAGUCACUGAAGUUGUCAUUUCUUAGCCAUUAAGAUCAAUAACUAUUAUUUUGAAGUUUCAAGGCUCAAAUUCACGAGUCCUUCUGUGGUACAUCAGCUGUACCGGUACAGCCACUCACAUGGGGGUGUUUUUAAAACAAAGGAAAACGGUUGUGUUGGUUAACAGGUAAAAGCAAGGGGAAAAAUUGACGCACCUCCUUCACGACACUCCUUCCCCUUCUUCUUCUUCCAAAUACCUCACCUACCCUUCUCUCUAGUUCAUUUUCUUUCUGUUUGGCUCAAUUCUAACAUAGUAUCAUGUUUGAUUUCUCUUAUUCACAUGCUUAAAUCUUGAGAACCUCUUCUUAGAAAUCCCAAAUUUAUUUGAUUUCUUCUAUUUUCCCAAAUCUGAUUCACCUUUGAUUCAUUAAACUUCAAUUAUUAUUUAUUAUGGCUUGUACUAAAUCUCUAGUUGCUGCCCUUCUACUAAAUCCAAAUGGAGCAGAUGCACACAAAGUUGCAGUCAUGAACUGAUGAAAACUUCCUUCUCCUCCGAAAUAUGUGAAAAAUGGAGAAGCUGGGAUGGGUUUGAUUGAUUUUUGGGUUUAAUUGAUUUUUCAUGUUUGGGUUUGAUGGAGCUGUGUUUGAUUCUUGAUGUCUUGGUUUGAUUGAUUUUUGAUGUUUGUGUUUCUUUUAGACGGGAAGAGAGAGAGAGAGAGAGAGAGAGAGAGAGAGAGAGAGAGAGAGAGAGGGAGGGAGGGAGGGAGGGAGGGAGCUGAGGGAAUGGGGGAGGGGGAGAGGUGUCGGGAAGGGAAGGAGGGGAUGGGUUAGCUUUUUUUUUUUUUUUUUGCGUCAUGGUAUGUGCAAUUGCAUGGGCUUUUUACAAUUAUCCAAUUAGUAUGAGUAAUUACAUGUAAGUUCAUAGGUAUGUUUUGAAAUUUUAUAUGCAAUUGUCUAAACAAUUGAAACAUCGACAAAGGCGUAGUCUUUUUGAAAUUCCUUCCACUAUUUGGAAAUUGCAUGGUUGUCAAUACAAAUGCUAACGACACAAAUUACGUUCAAUUACACAUUACUCAUAUCGCAAUUGAAUUUGUAACUUACAUUCUAAAGUCGAAUAAGUAUAAGAAAUCGCUAUUACACUUUAUAACUGAGACCCUAAAGCCUAAUAAGCAUAUAAUUUAAAUUAAUUAAAAAAACCCCUUAAAUAUCAACAUACCAUCCAUAAGUAUCACUAAUAAUCUUAUCGCUCAAAAUAAGUGACCGAUUAACUGGUUCUCCAUUUUUCUUCGCAAAAAAAACUGGUUCUCUUUUUUAUUUGUUACAUAUACUAUAUACUCAUUAAAAUAUUAUAUUUGACUAAAAUAAAUUAAAAUAUUAUACAAUAAUGUAUAGAUACCCAUAGAAAAGAAUAAUUAGACUAUCUAUAUUAUAUUUAGACCAAAAAAAUAAAAUGGAUAUAACUAAUGUAGGGUUUAACAUUGCAAUUGAGAGCCAUACUGUAAAUCUAAGCUAUUUACUCGAGACCUGAAUCCAAUUUAUUCAUCUCACAGAGGUAAGGCCAAGGAUUAAAAUAUCAGCCAUGCAAAUAAUAUCGGGCCUCCAAUUUACGGAUAUUUUGGGGGAUAUAUUGUUAUCGUCUUAGGUAUCGAAAAAAGAAGAAGACAGAUAUAGGCAUUGAAACACAUAAUUUUAGUAUAAAACUUUCAUAAAUGUUAUGUACAUUAUCAAUGAAUGUAUUGAACAAAUAAAACUCAAAAUUUACUAAUAAUAAGAUAUACGUAUGAUGAAAUAUAAGUGGUAUGUAAUGCGUGUUAAUGAAAAGUUUGAAAAUAAAAUGUUGAUUAGAAUGAAUAAACUAUGCAUAAAUCCAUAGUUUGUUUUAACAUUGGAUUACAAUUUAGAUAAGUGUCCAUCUACAUAAAUGAAGAGCUCCAAUGAGGUUCAAACAAUGAGGAACAACCAUCUAGAUUCAUACAAUAGUCAUACCAAGUCACGUAACCCGAGCAGUUUGUAAGCCAUGUUAGAACAUAGUGCACAUAGGUCUCUCUUGAGCUCCCUACUAUCUUCCCAUAUAUGAGAUAAUUAAGAUUAACCCAACUAGUAAGAAAGGGCGGCCCUGAAAUAGUGCAAGUGGCCCCAAUGCACAGGGCCCUUGAUUUUUGAGGACCCCCUAAAUUUUUUUAUUUUACAUAAUUUAUAUUAAUAUUAUAACAACUGUAUAUAUACUCCAACGUGCAACAAAUUGACACAAAAAUUUAUUUAGUGGAGUUGGUUUUUAGUGCAUAUCCCUUGGUACAAGGCUUACGUGAAAAAUUUUAAGAACAAAAUUUUAAAUAGUUUUAAAAAAGAAGCACGUGAAAAAUAUAAAGGGAAAAAUCCAAUUAAAUUAACAAUAGUAUAUAUCACACCCAUACGCUUUUUCUUUAAAAAAUAAUAAUAAUAAUUUCUUCGACUCAAAACAAAACAAAACAACAUAAAAAAUAAAAAAUCAUGGCUUCUUCUUUCUCAAGAACUCUUAUUUUUUCUUACCGAACAUACCAACAUUUAACUUUAUCAAAUGAACGCAACAUACUCAACGAACGCAACCCUUGCGUUCGCGUGAAAAAAUAGUGCGUUUGUUUGAAAAAGAAAGUUAGUGGGGUUCAUUUUCCUGAGGAACGGGCAACUUUACUCUACGAACGCACUCCUUGCGUUCGCAUGAAUAAAUAUCCCGUUUGUUUGAAAAAGUAAGUUUAUUUGGCCCAUUUUUCCAGGAAACAGGCAACUUUACUCAACGAACCUGAACAAAUAGCCCCUUUUUUGAAAAAGUAAGUUAGUUGAGCCCAUUUUUCCGAGGAAUGGGCAACUUUACUCAACCAACGCAACCUCUGCGUUUACAUGAACAAAUAGCCCGUUUGUUUGAAAAAUUAAGUUAGUUUGGCCUAUUUUUUUGGGAAACGGGCAACUUUACUUAACAAACGCAACCCUUGCAUUCGCGUAAAUAAAUAGCCCGUUUGUUUGAAAAAGUAAGUUAGUUGGACCCUUUUUUCAGGGAACAGACAACUUUACUCGACGAAUGCAACCCAUUGUGUUCGCGUGAACAAAAAGCCUGUUUGUUUGAAAAAGUAAGUUAGUUGGGCCAAUUUUUUCGGAGAACAAACAACUUUACUCAACGAACGCAACCCCUGCGUUUACAUGAACAAAUAGCCCGUUUGUUUGAAAAAGUAAGUUAGUUUGGCCAUUUUUUCGGGGAACGGGGAACUUUACUCAACGAACGCAACCCCUGCAUUCGCGUGAACAAAUAGCCUGUUUUCUUGAAAAAGUAAGUUAGUUGGGCCCAUUUUUCAGGAGAACGGACAACUUUACUCAACGAACGCAACCCAUUGCUUCGCGUGAACAAAUAGCCCGUUUGUUUGAAAAAGUAAGUUAGUUGGGCCCAUUUUUCCGGGGAACGAGCAACUUUACUCAACGAAUGCAACCCCUGCAUUUAUGUAAACAAAUAGCCCGUUUGUUUGAAAAAGUAAGUUAGUUUGGCCCAUUUUUCCGGGGAACGGGCAACUUUACUCAACGAGCAUAAUCCCUGCGUUCGCAUGAACAAAUAGCCCGUUUGUUUGAAAAAGUAAGUUAGUUGGGCCCAUUUUUCAAGGGAACGGACAACUUUACUCAACAAACGCAACCCCUGCGUUCGCAUGAACAAAUAGCUCAUUUGUUUGAAAAAGUAAGUUAGUUUGGCCCAUUUUUUUGGGGAACGGGCAACUUUACUCAAUGAACGCAACCCCUGCGUUUACGUGAACAAAUAGCCCGUUUGUUUGAAAAAGUAAGUUAGUUUGGCCCCUUUUUUAGAAGAACGAGCAACUUUACUCAAUGAACGCAACCCCUGCGUUUACGUGAGCAAAUAGCCCGUUUGUUUGAAAAAGUAAGCUGGUUGGGUAUAUUUUUUCGGCGAACAGAAAAAUUUCCAUAACGAACGCACCUGUUGUGUUGGUGUGAAAAAAUACCCCGUUUGUUUGAAAAAAUAAGGUGGUUAGGGCAUGUUUUCGGCGAACGGGUAACUUUUCUCCAGGAACGCAUGUAUUGCGUUCGUUUGAACAAAUAUCCUGUUGGUUUAAAAAAGUAACUAUGUUGGCCUUCUUGUUCGGUGGAACGUCGAGUAUUUUUGAACGAAAGCAAACCCUUACGUUCGUUUGAACAAACUCCCCGUUUGUUUGAAAAGGUAAGUUGGUUGGGCCCAUUUUACGGGGAACGGAUAACUUUACUGAACGAACGCAACUCUUGCGUUCACUAGAACAAACACCUCAUAAGUUUGAAAAAGUAAGUUGGUUGGAUAUAUUUUUUCGGCGAAUAGAAAACUUUCCUCAACGAAUGCACCUGUUGCGUUGGUGUUCGCCCGUUUUCGUGUUUACUCCUGAGGUGGAAGGGCGAAGUUCCCCACUGGCUUGGAGACCAUUUGUUGGUCGACAAGUCAGCUUUCUUUGGUGUGUGAGCGUGCCACUACUAGCAAUGUAAAUCCUAGCAGACUUCUUUUUAGAGUGGAUAACUUGCGCCCCAAGUUACUGACUUCUAAAAACAAACGAUUGUGAAUUUGGGUGAGGAAUAUCUCCCAAGUAAGUUCUUUUCUUGCUUCAGACUGGUGAGGACUUUCAUAAUUUAUCUCAGUAUCAAAUGGUUGUUCUGGCCAGAAAUAUUUGAUAGAAGUUGGGCUUUUUUUUAGGCAGAACUGCCUUUUACAAAAUAAUAAAUAUGCAUAUCGACGCUAGGAAGGUUAAAAGACGGCCGGAACUCCGCUUCUGCUUGGAUGGGAGGACUUUCAUAAUUUAUCUCAGUAUCAAAUGGCUGUUCUGGCCAGAAAAAUUUGAUAGAAGUUGGGUUUUUUUUAGGUAGAACUGCCUUUUACAAAACAAUAAAUAUUCAUAUCGACGCUAGGAAGGUUAAAAGACGGCCGGAACUCCGUUUCUGCUUGGAUGGAAGGCUCUGGCUUGGGCUGGACUGGACACACCUGGGUCGGUCCGUACUGCUUCGUGAUUUCAGAUGCUAGGCUGAGCUAUAAAUCGAUACCAAAGUUUGAUUUUGGCAGAGCUUUAUGUUUGCUUCACGCUUCGUGAUGCUUUUGAGUGGGCAGAAUUGCAGCUUCUUCAGUUUGAAGGGGCAGAAGUGGCUAUUCUUGGCUUUUGCUGAACCAAAUUUGUAACGAGAGAGAUCUCGUUUUAGAAGACUUAUUUUCUAAGUUUGAACUUUAGAAUUCUGAUCUAAAGCUGGUUUCUCUUGGAAUCCAAGUGAGCUUUUGGUUGUUUUCUUGUUGUUUGUUUUUUUUGAUUGAUUGAUGAAUUGAGUGUCUUUCUUUUGAUUGAUGAAUUGAGUGUUUUUUUAUUUUUUUAUUGAUGAAUUGAGUGUCCUUUCCUUCCUUGCCUACUUCUGCUUUUAUAAGAGACCCUCUUGGGGAGGUGGUUUUCUUUUUAAUUUUAAUAAUGGGCGGUAAAAAGAUCUCCUAUAAUGUAACGUAAAAGGGAUUUUUAUCAAUCAUGGCAGAUAGGCUCUCAGUAGUCACCUCCUAAAGCAGUCCCUUCCCUGGUUUCCUGGGUGGCAGCUUUCUAUUUCAACCAACGCCACCGUCUGUGUGGGCUUUUUAUGGCGGUUGGUUUUUCUUUUGUAUUUUCUGAACAGCUCCCUGUUUCCCGUUCUAAUUUAGAAAGCGUGACCCGUGAAUUCCUCGGAAGAUGGUGUAUUGCUCUGGAGCAAAAUCUCCGACUAUAGAUGGGUUUUGAUCUUCUGCUGGCAGUGUUUCAGAGAUGUCCCUCUCAUAUUUUAACUUAGUUGAAAUUGCUGACUUUUCAAAGCUGAGGCAAUCACGUGGGUGUGUUUUUAAUUCCCUUGGGUUUGCAACCAACAAAAUUUAUGGGCUGAUCCUUGAAGCCCAAAUGACAGUUUGGUCUUUCUUGGGCUGGGGGCUUUGUUUUCGACAUCCUGGCGUGAAGCCCAAUCUAUCUAGAUCCUAAUUUUGUUAUCCUCAAGUUUUUUGGGCUGGGUAGGUAAUUUCACCAUAGGCCUGUCUUUUGAACUUUUGCGUGCCAAAUUUAGGCCCAAACAGUUGGUGUGAAAAAAUACCCCGUUUGUUUGAAAAAGUAAGGUGGUUGGGGCAUGUUUUCGACGAACGGGUAACUUUUCUCAAGUAACGCACAUAUUGCGUUCGUGUGAAUAAAUACCAUGUUGGUUUGAACAAGUAGGAUUGUUGGCCCUCUUUUUCAGCGGAACGUCGAGUAUUUCUGAACGAAAGCAAACACUUGCCUUCGAUUGAACAAACUACCCGUUUGUUUGCAAAAGUAAGUUGGUUGGGCCCAUUUUUCGGGGAACGGGUAACUUUACUGAACGAACGCAACCCUUGCGGUCACUAGAACAAACACCGCAUUUGUUUGAAAAAGUAAGGUGGUUGGGGAUAUUUUAUCGGCGAACGGGUAACAUUUCUCAACAAACGCAAUCCUUUCGUUUGUGUGAACAAAACUCUCGUUUGUUUGAAAACUUUAGUUGACUGUGUUAAUUUUUCCGGGUAACCCUUGUGUUAACAUUUUAAGCCCUCCAUUCUAUUAUAAAGGGGCAUUUGAGUGACUGCCUCUUUGACUCUAUCCAUUACAAAUGCAUGGCUUCCUCUUCAAACCAACCUCACGUUGUCAAAAACUCAAAACAGCAAGGUUGGGAUCCAAAUGAUCCCAAAGUUCAUGUUACGACUAACUUCUGUAACCAUGUUCCGCAUGAUUUGCGUCCAUGUGGACUUUGCAAGGAUCUUUUAAUAUGUUCGGCUUAUUGUUCCUUACCGUUUCUCAUACUUUGUAUUUCGAUUCAUUUCGCCCUUCGAUUUAUAGUUCAAAAAAUAGGUCUAAUUAUGCAUGUACAAAAGAAUAUGAUCCAUUUUUCCUUUUUAGGGGUUUGCGCACAGUCACUCUUGCAUUGCAUCAUCGUCAUGCAAUUGCAUGUGUGAAAUGCAAAUGCAAACUGGCUGUGUGCAAACUAAACAUACCUUAAAAACACAAACCUAAUUAAUGUAUAGCGCAAAGACAAAGAAAACCAAGCAAAUACUUUAUUAUGACCAUAUGUCUGUUAUUCAAUAUUAGGGUUAAUCACAUUGUGUUUUACAAAAUUCGGGAUCUUUUGGAAAAUCAUUUGUGCUACAUAACAAUGUCCAUUACUACGUAAUUUCGAUAAUAGGCCCAUUUUUCUGAUGAACGAGCAACUUUACUCAACCAACGCAAUCCUUGCAUUCACAUGAACAAAUAGCCUGUUUGUUUGAAAAAGUAAAUUAGUUGGGUCUAUUUUUCCGAGGAACAUGCAACUUUACUCAAUGAACGCAACCUCUGCGUUUGCAUGAACAAAUAGUCCGUUUGUUUACAAAAGUAAGUUAGUUUGGCCCAUUUUUCUGAGGAACGAUGAAUGGGCAACUUUACUCAAUGAACGCAAUCCCUUUGUUCGCAUGAACAAAUAGCCCAUUUGUUUGAAAAAGUAAGUUAGUUGGGUCCAAUUUUCCGGGAAACGACCAACUUUAUUCAACGAAUGCACCCCCUGCGUUCAAGUGAAAAAAUAGCGCGUUUGUUUGAUAAAAUAUUUUAGUUAGUCCAAUUUCUCGGGAAACGGCGAGCUUUACUCACUGAGCACUCCCCUUGCGUCUUCGAAGUAAAAGACCUUUUUUUUUUUUAAUAAAUCAAGGAAUUCGUUGGGUAAUUUGGUCAAUGAACAACAUUAUUUACCCGACGAACUAGUCGCUUAGCAUUGUUUAGGUAGGUUUGUUGAGCAUAAAUUACUGAAUAUAACUUUCAUGAUUUACUACUAAUUUAACCCAAUGAAGUAUUGAGAAUAAAAUUGAACUUUGUUGAUUAUCUCCAAUUAUUCCUAUAUUGUUAAUUUAAAAAAAAUUCAAUAAAAUCAAACAUAUGAUUGUUGUUACAAAUAUAAAUUUAAAAGCUUUCAACAAAAAUUAUUACUUAAUGGUCGAUUGAUCGAGUCACAUUGAAUUGACGAAAAAGAAAAUUGGAAUUUUUCGAUUAUGAUCAAUUCCCAAUUGAUAAUAUAUGACCACGAAGUGAAGUGGAAAUAUGAGAAGUCUUCUUAAAUCCAAUCUCAUUGCUUAGCCCACAUAGGAAUCAUAUUCCAAGGAUUGUUGUGCUAUUAUGAUUGUAGACUAAAUAACAUAGAUGAAAACAACGAUUUUGCCCAUAAAUGAUGGUGAAAUAUCCAAAAAUAUCACAUGUUUGGCUUUAAGGCAUAUAUUUAAUAUCCUUUCAUAUUAUUUUAUUUUACAUAAUUCAAUUAUGUUUAACGUAUGAAAUGAUCAAUGUGCCCUCAUAUAUAAUGACAGAUUGGACGAAAUGUUAGGGAAUUAAACGGCAGGGGAGACAUUGGCGAUAAAGAAAAUUCAUAUCCGUAAUAUUAUAAAAAAAAAUGUCAUGCGAUAAAUUGAAAAUUGGAUACAAGUUCAAGGACUAAAUCAACAAUUUAACCAUGUUAAUGGUUUUUGUGGGCAUAUAUCGCAUAUUUGAUAGCACGUGUGCAAUUCUCAAUUUACAGUAUCCAUAUGCAUAUGCCUGUAUGCAAUCUCGUAGCAUCUAUGUGCAAUCUCAUUUUACAAUAUGCAAUUGCAUAUAUAUACACGCAAUUUCGUAACGUCUAUUUGCAAUUAUUAGUUUACAAUAUGCAAUUGCAUUCCACCCUUCUUUUGGUUUUUAACUUUUUUUGUUCAUAUACUUGUAUGCAAUCUCGUAGCAUAUAUGUGCAAUUCUCAUUUUACAAUAUGCAAUUGCAUAUAUAUAUAUAUAUGCAAUUUCGUAACAUCUGUUUGCAAUUCUUAGUUUACAAUAUGCAAUUGCAUUCCGCCCUUCUUUUGAUUUUUAACUUCUUUCGUUUUUACUAGAAGGCUCACUGGCUCACACUCUUAUAACGUAUGCAAAGAUCACCAAAUUUCCUCUUUUUGGCUAGAGGGCCUCUUUUUUGUGUGUGUUCAUUUGCAUGACAAUACGGAUAAUCUGCUACUACCUAAAAGCUAUAGAAAAUUAUAUGUGAUAUCAUCUAUUCCAAGACUACAUGUCACAUAAAUAAGAAAUAAGAUCUCAAAAAAGAAACAUAAACAAAGAAAACACUUCACCUAAAAUAUUUUGUAAUACAUUUAGCUCAAUUUAUAACUUGUAGAGUACACAAAUGUUUGCCCCUAAAUAUUAGGCUCUCAGAAGAAGGUGAGAAUCUCACCAAGUAUGCAUGAAAAGUCCAAGUGAGCAUACCCUUUUCUGCAAAUGAGAGGGAGAGGUAGAGAGAGAUUAUUCAAACACUGUGAUGGUAUCUCAAAACACAUAUUUCAGUGUAACAAAAAUGCACUUGUCUUAACUGCUCUUUUCCUGAAUCCUUAGCUAGAGCAACCAAUAUAUAGCAGUUACGGCAAUCACAACAACCAAUAUCAAUCAUGAACAUCACAUUUAAACCAUACACUUACAGAUUUAGCAAUACAAUCUUUGAAAUGGUAAUGGCAACCCAAGACACUUCACCUAUAAAAAAAACAAAACAAAAAUCAUGUCUUCUUCUUUCUCAUGAACUCUUAUUUUUGCUUACUGAACAUACCAACAUUUAAAUUUAUCAAAUGAACGCAACAUACUCAACGAACGAAACCUCAAUUGUUACUAGAUUGUUAAUGGGUAAAUAACUCAAUGACAUAGCAUUCAAGUCAAACGUUUCUUUAAACAUCACACUAUCGCUAAUUGCAUACAGGGGGUCAAAAAUUGCAUAAACUGUAUGCAAUUGCACAAACACUAUAUGCAAUUGCACAUAAGAAAUAAUAUAGCCAAAACCAAAACCAGUUAUGAGGUUUCUCAGUUAAAGAACUCAUCUUUCUCUUUUGAUGCCAACCUUAGUUCUCCAUUAACAAGCCCGAAAACUCCAAUUGGAUUCAUCAUGACCAGAGUUCUUGAGUAAUAAAACAAAUCUCAAAUUGAAAAAAAAAAAAAAAAAGUAGGAAGAAAAUUCAAGAAUCCAAGACUUUAAAGAAAAUCAACAACCUGAUUGUUCAAAAUUUCAUACCUUAUUUUGAAGCACAAAUCCAUAACCUCAUACAUGGAAGAAAACAAAUCCUCCAUAAAACGAAAAUUACAUGGGUUUGAUGGAGAAAGGAUCACAGUGGGUCUGAUGCUGUUGCCACACCCCGGGAUCUGCUCCGCCGUAGCACGAUAUUGUCCGCUUUGGGCCCCCCUCUCUGCCAUCACGGUUUUGUUUCUGGGAACUCACGAGCAACUUCCUAGUGGGUCACCCAUCAUGGGAUUGCUCUAGCCCCUAACUCGCUUAACUUCGGAGUUCCUACAACUCCGAAGCCAGUGAGCUCCCAAAAAGCCUCGUGCUAGAUGGAUGCCGGUGUGCACAUAUAAGGCACAUCACCCCCUCUCCGUUGGUUGAUGUGAGAUCUUAUAAUCCGCCCCCCUUAAGGCUCCGAUGUCCUCGUCGGCACACUCGCACCACACGACAGAGUGGCUCUGAUACCAAAUUGUCACACCCCAGGAUUGGCUCCGUCGUAGGACGAUAUUAUUCGCUUUGGGCCCCCCUCUCUACCAUCAUGGUUUUGUUUCUGGGAACUCACAAGCAAUUCCCAGUGGGUCACCCAUCCUGGGAUUGCUCUAGCCCCUAACUCGCUUAACUUCGGAGUUCCUACAACUCCGAAGCCAGUGAGCUCCCAAAAAGCCUCGUGCUAGAUGGAUGCCGGUGUGCACAUAUAAGGCACAUCACCCCCUCUCCGUUGGUUGAUGUGAGAUCUUAUAAUCCACCCCCCUUAAGGCCCCGAUGUCCUUGUCGGCACACUCGCACCACACGACAGAGUGGCUCUGAUACCAAAUUGUCACACCCCAGGAAUGGCUCCUCUGUAGCACGAUAUUGUCCACUUUGGGCCCCCCUCUCUGCCCGCACGGUUUUGUUUCUGGAAACUCACGAGCAACUUUCUAGUGGGUCACCCAUUCUGGGAUUGCUCUAGCCCCCAACUCGCUUAACUUCGCAGUUCCUACGACUCCGAAGCCAGUGAGCUCCCAAAAGGCCUCGUGCUAGACGGAUGCGGGUGUGCACAUAUAAGGCACAUCACCCCCUCUCCGUUGGUUGAUGUGGGAUCUUACAGCUGUGAUGAAAUUAAGAGAAAAUAUUAAAAUAUUAAAAUAUUAAAAAUUAUUAAAAGAGGGAAAAAAAAAAUCACCAAGAUUCAGUCCAAGGUAUUGAAUUUUUUCUCCCAUCAAAGGCUCUGCAACACAGACAUCCUCACUCCAGAUUCAAUACUAAGUCGUUGAAUUUCUACCCAAAUAAAGGCCUUUCACACCACCCUCGUCGAACUCGACUGAAUCACCCUACUGUCUCCUCUCCGAUGGUUCUUGCAUCGCGGCAUCGGCAAAGAGGAGAUGCUCAGAUUCCGACUUGGGGACAAAGAUGAGGAUUGAAUUUGAGUGUGUGUGUGUGUGAGAGAGAGAGAGAGAGAGAGAGAGAUAUUACAAAGAUGAAGCAGCUCCCAGUGCACGCAACGUAUUCCUCGCGUUCGUCAAAGCUUUUUCGUUUGUUUUCUCAGUCACGUGUAUUUCACAUGCUCUUUAAUAAGAAAGGAGUGAACAAGUCAUCAGGUCAUUCAAUCUCAACCCUUAAUUUUUAAAAUGAAAUAUGAACCCUUAGAUGAUUGGCUGUACCGAUACAAUUGAGGCACCACAGAAUUUUUGAUAACUUAUAGGUACCCAACCCAGUUAACAGUAAACAACAAAUGGGCUUGUCGAAUAUAGGUCCCUACAAUUUCUAUUUUCUAGACAUAUACCCAUCAUUCUUUAAAUCUAUGUGUAAAACUCAAUUUCAAACUUAAAUGACCAGUAGGAUGUAAGAGGUCGUAGUAUUCCUAUGUUUUUAUAUCCUUGCCAUCAGACUUCAUAUUUUAUUUAUAAUUUAUUCCAAGCAUUUCAUUAAGUGUCAUAAUUGUAAUUAAACUCCCUAUUAAUAUCAAUCACCCCAUUUCUUUUGUUUGCCAUUCCUUCUAACAUAUAACCAUUAAAAUUGCAAAUUAAAAAAAGAUGUAAAUUACAUAUCCAAUAAUGUACAUAUGAAAAAUAUAAAUAUAAAUAUAUAUGUAUAAAAAUAUAGGUAUAUUAUUUACCAAAAAAAAUUAACAAAAAUAGGUCAAUUACUUUGUAAUUGAAAUUUUCUUACAUUUUUCAUAAAUUAAAAAUAGGUACAUAAUAAUUUAUAGAAAAUAGGGACGUUCUAUAAUUGAAAUUUAUGCACAUUUUUUAUAAAUUAAAAAUAGGUACAUUACUUAGAAGAAAAAAAUAAGUUCAUUAUACUAGGUAAAUUGUUUUACUAGGUAUACAUUAUUAGAGAAAAAAGGUACAUUAUUUAGAGGAAAAAAAUAGGUUCUUUAUACCAGGUAAAUUGUUUAGGGGAAAAAAUAGGUACAUUAUUUUGAGAGAAAAAAUAGGCUCAUUUAAAAAAAAAUUUGUUUUCAUAAAUAAUAAAUGAUCAAAUUAUUUUUUUAUAAAACAAGUAAUAAAGAAAAAAAAAUAGGUACAUUAUUUUGAGAGAAAAAAUAGGCUCAUUUAAAAAAAAAUUGUUUUCAUAAAUAAAAAGAUGAUCAAAUUAUUUUUUAUAAAACACGUAAUAAGAGAAAAAAAAAAGGUACAAUAUUUGGAGAAAAAAUAGGUUCAUUAAAAAACAAAUUUUAAAAACAAAACAAUAAAUAGAUUAUCAAAUUAUUUUUCAACAUAAUUAUUAGAAUGUACACUAUUAUUCAUAAAACUAUAAUAAAAAAGAAUACUAGUCGUAUAAUUCAUAAAAAGAAAACAACAUUAAUUUCUAAAUUUAAUAUUGAAUUUAAAUUAUUAAUACUUUAAAUAGAUUACUAGUCGUAAUUCAUAGAAGGAAAACACCAUUAAUUCAAAAAUAGAUUACUAGUCGUAAAAUAGAUUACUAAUACUUUAAUGUGAAAUUUAAUAUUUAAUUUCAAAUAAGUUUCUAAAUUAGUUCCUACAUCCAUUACAAUUAUUUGGAGAUAUUUCCAAAUUCAACGGAUGUCAUUAGUUACACCCCCCAUAACACAUUAACUUAUAAAUAGGGGUAGUUUUGGAAUCCGAAAAAUACAAUAAAUCAGAUUUUAAGUUAUAUUAGGUAACUUGCUUAGUUGGAUCCUGGUCAUUGGGUAUUAUUUGAAAAAAUUGGGUAUUUUACAUAGAAUAUUAAAGAAAAGAGUUGUAGGUGAUUUAAAAUGAAUUUUAUGGGUCUAACCUCAAUUACUAAAAACAAAUUUAUAUAUUUGUGCUAGUUCCAUACACGCUCCACACUCUCUUUCACUACUACAUUUUACACUUUGCGCGACGAAGUUAAUUUCGUCGCGCAAAAUAAAUUGUGGUCGCACAAAUUUCAGCGCCACAAAAACUUCGUCGCGCAGAAUCCGUCGCGCAAAGAUCGUGAAGAAAGCCUUUGCGCGACGAAGUUUUUUCAUUGGUCGCGCAAAGUCACUUUGCGCGACGAAAAAAUAUUGGUCGCGCAAAGUAACUUUGCGCGACGAACACAAAGUGACUUUGCGCGACGAAAAAUAUUGGUAGCGCAAAGUUUUGCGCGACGAAAUACAUUGGUCGCGCAAAGUUUUGCGCGACGAAAUACAUUGGUCGCGCAACUGUUUGUGCGACGAAAUACAUUGGUCGCGCAAAGUCUUAAAAAAAUUCCCGCGUCAAAUUUUUGGUACCCGCCCAAAUUUUUAGAGUUUUACGCGACAAAUAGUAACGUCGCGCAAAUAUUUGUGCGAUAAAAUAUUUUUUGUUUUCAAUUUUUUUAAUUUGAAAUAAACUAAUUUAAUAGUUUGAGCUACCAAAUAUUUUUUUCUUUAGUAUGAAUUUAUUUAUAUGAAUUUUUUCAAAUUUUUACUUUUUAAAUUUAAUUUAAUUGUAUGAUUUCUUUUUAAAAUUACUUUAAUUUAAAUUGAUAUUAAUUUUUUCAAAUUUUUACUUUUUAAAUUUAAUUUAAUUGUAAGAUUUUUCUUAAUUACUUUAAUUUAAAUUGACAUAUUCAAAAUAAAAUUACAUAUGAAAAAUAGUGAUCAAAUUAUCCAAUAAAUAUAAAUAUAUAUUCAAAAUGUACAUAUAAAUUAACAAAGUACAAUAAUAAAAUCUUAAUACAAGCGUAUUGUGGUGGUAGUGGCGGAGGAUAUGUUUUGAUAGCUUCCUAAUCCUCAACUUUAGCCGUCAAAGUCUCGAUGAUUCCCUACAAAAAAACAAAUAUAGUCAAAUAACAACAACAACAACAACAAAAAGAAUGCACAAUCUCCCCUAAAAUUGUUAUACCACAAAUCCAACCCAAACUCCAAUCUCUCCCCUUUACUCAACCCCAAACCCCACACAAACUCAAAACUAACUCCAAAAACACAUAUUAAUGAAAAAAAUUUAAAAUUUGGAGAGAAUAUACCUUUUGGCAAGAUUGAGAGUGAGUGAGAAUGAGAGGGAGAAGUGAGUGUGAGAGAAUUAGAAAAGAUAGUGAUAGAGAGAUGAGAGAGUGAGAGAUAGUGAAAAGAUAGAUGAGAGAGUGAGUGAGAGUGAGAGAUAGUGAAGAUAGAGAUGAGAGAUUAAGUGAGAGGAGUUAGUGUGAGAGAAAGGGUGGGAUUUGGGGAAAGGGAAAGAGAGAGGAGAGGUAAGAGUAGAGAAAGAAAUUGAGAAAAUGGUGGAGGAGUUAUUUCAGUUUUAAAAAUCGUAUCACUUUGCGCGACGAAAAUAUGGUUGGUCGCGCAAAGUUUUGCGCGACGAAACGUAUUGGUCUCGCAAAGUUUUGGGCGACGAAAACUUUGCGCGACGAAAAUAUGGUUGGUCGCGCAAAGUUUUGCGCGACGAAACGUAUUGGUCUCGCAAAGUUUUGCGCGACGAAUAGAGGAAUAUUGGUCGCGCAAAGUCUAAAAAAAUUAUUUUUUUUAAAAAAAAUUCCCGCAUCCCAUUUUUGGUACCCGCCAAAAUUUUUAAAUUUUUGCCCGACGAAAAAUACUUAUUGGUCGCGCAAAGUCUAAAACAAUUAUAUAUAAAAAAUUCCCGCGUCCCAUUUUUGGUACCCGCCCAAAUUUUUGCGCGACGAACAAUAUAUAUUGGUCGCUCAAAGUUUUGCGCGACGAAACAUAUUGGUCUCGCAAACUUUUGCGCGACGAAUAUAGGAGUAUUGGUCGCGCAAAGUCUAAAAAAAAUUUUUUUAAAAAAAAAAAAUUCCCGCAUCCCAUUUUUGGUACCCGCCAAAAUUUUUAAAUUUUUGCGCGACGAAAAAUACAUAUUGGUCGCGCAAAGUCUAAAACAAUUAUAUAAAAAAAUUCCCGCGUCCCAUUUUUGAUACCCGCCCAAAAUUUUUGCGCGACGAAAAAUAUAUAUUGGUCGCGCAAAGUUUUGAGCGACAAAAAAUAUUGGUCGCGCAAAGUCUAAAGUUUUUUUUUUAAUUUUAAAAACCCGCGUCCCAUUUUUGGUACUCGCCCAAAUUUUUUGAGUUUUGCACGAUGAACUGUUGGUCGCGCAAACUUUUGAGAGACGAAAAAUUGGUUCGUAGCACAGUAUUUAUAAAAAUAAUUGUUAUGAAUAAUAAAAAAUAAAAAAAAUUAUUUUAUGAUUUAAAUAUAUAUAUAUACACACACCAUUCAACGAUCCAACCAUAAGACUUGUUUGUAUAUACUUCAAGAUCGUAUACCCCAAAAAUCGCAAAAAACAAACAUUCAGAGAUCUAGUAACGGGACAAAACUUUUCGAUAGUUAUAAAUGAAAAAUCACGAUUUAACGGUUAUUUUAACUCCGAUUUUGAUGAUUUUUUUACAGCUACACUCCUUGACCCUAUAUGAAUACAAUGAUUGAAUUUGAUCUUCAAUUUAAAACAUUUGCACUAGUGGAUACCACAAAAUCUUAUGUUAUAUUUAACGAAAAUAUAAAUAAACUCUUAAUUGUUAGUGAAUAUAUUAUUUUGAUGGCAUAUGCAUUCUACGAAACUAGUUUCAACGAUCCAACCGUCAAACUUGUUUUUUUAUACUUCGAGAUCAUAUACGCCAAAAAUUGGAAAAAAUAAAUAUUCAAAGAUCAAGCAACGGGACAAAACUUUUCGACGGUUAUAAAUGAAAAAUCAUGAUUUAACGGUUAUUUUAACUCCGAUUUUGAUGAUUUUUUACAGCUACACUCCUUGACCCUAUGUGAAUACAAUGACUGAAUUUGAUCUUCAAUUUAAAAUAUUUACACUAGUGGAUACCACAAAAUUUUAUGUUAUAUUUAACGAAAAUAUAAAUAAACUCUUAAUUGUUAGUGAAUAUGUUGUUUUGAUGGCAUACACAUUCUACGAAACUAGUUUCAACGAUCCAACCUUCAAACUUGUUUGUUUAUACUUCGAGAUCAUAUAUGCCAAAAAUCGGAAAAAAUAAACAUUCAUUGAUCAAGUAAUGGGACAAAAUUUUUUGACGGUUAUAAAUGAAAAAUCAUGAUUUAAUGGUUAUUUUAACUCCGAUUUUGAUGAUUUUUUAUAGCUACACUCCUUGACCCUAUAUGAAUACAAUGACUGAAUUUGAUCUUCAAUUUAAAAUAUUUACACUAGUGGAUACCACAAAAUCUUAUGUUAUACUUACGAAAGUAUAAAUAAACUCCUAAUUGUUAGUGAAUAUAUUGUUAGUGAACAAAAAAAAACUAGUUUCAACGAUCCAACUGUCAAACUUGUUUGUUUAUACUUCGAGAUCAUAUACGCCAAAAAUCGGAAAAAAUAAACAUUCAGAGAUCAAGUAAGGGGACAAAACUUUUCGAUGGUUGUAAUGAAAAAUCACGAUUUAAUGGUUAUUUUAACUCCGAUUUUGAUGAUUUUUUACUGCUACACUCCUUGACCCGAUAUGAAUACAAUGAACUAAUUCGAUCGUCAAUUUAAAAUAUAUAUUUUCUAACAAAAACCCAAUCCGAACAACAAUAAUAUAUUUUUCUAAUAAAAAUCCGAUCCGAUCUAAAAUAAUAAGUUUAAAGCUACUUAAUAAAUAUAUAUACCGUUUAAUUUCUUAAGUGUUAUGCAUACAAAAUAAAAAACAAAAAUAAAUUGGUUUAGGUGACAAAAUGUUUGGAUUACGUCAUGCAAAGAUUUUAAAAAAUAAUUUUUUUAUUCUAUUUAUUUUUGUAAGGACUUUGCGCGACGAAGUUUACUUUUCGUCGCGCAAAGUCACUUUGAGCGACGAAUUAUUUUUCGUCGCGCAAAAUUCGUCGCGCAAGACUUUGAGCGACGAUGUAUUGUCGUCGUGCAAAAGUUUGUCGCGCGAAGUGACUUUGCGCGACGAAUUAUUUUUCGUCGCGCAAAAUUUGGUCGCGCAAGACUUUGAGCGACGAAGUUUCAAGUUUCGUCGCGCAAAGUAACUUUGUGCGACGAAUAAUUUUUCGUCGCGCAAAGUUUGGUCGCGCAAGGGGUUUUUUUACUAGUGUUUGCUUGGCACAAUUAUUAAAGAUUCCCCAUAGAUAAUCUUCUAGUUCUGAGAUCCAGCCAAGCAUUAUUUUACUAUUGCUACGGUACAGAGGUUUUACCAUGGUGGUGCCUUUGACUUGAUCUGUUCGUUGCUCGAUCUAAAUUUGUAUGUAACGGGCAGAGCCCAAAACAAAGUCAAACAACUUCAAGACUUAUCCCAAAUUCUUUUCCCACACGCUUAUCUUCACCGAGAAUCACAACAUAUUAUCAGGGAUAUGGGGAGAGAAGCAAGAGCUUAUCCAAUAAUUAUAUCUUCACAAGAACAAAUAAAAUGGAUACUGAACUUUCAGUUUUAUUAUAGGAUGCCAGACACACACAAGCUUCUUAGAAGUUACAACUUACAGGUACCAUCAAGAAGUUAAAAGUCCAUGAUUUCACUUUCCUAUCAAAUAUUCCUCUUCCAUGUAGAAGAAUUUAUGCCCUUGAUUUCACUUUCUUGUCAAAUAUUCCUCCUCCAUAAGUAGAAAUGUACAUCUCAACUAGAAGAGGAAAUUGCAUCCAAAUAAAUAAGGUGACUGGAACACUAGCAAGGAAAAUCAUUGGAAUAACAAUCCACGACUGUUCAUGGAUCAUAAUGAAAAGGGCAGAAGAAAAGGCAACCAUCAUGGUGGCAAUAGAGAUGAAUAAGGUGGAAAGGCCUAUUAUCA
rnacentral:lncRNA from 1 species